rnacentral:lncRNA from 1 species
UGUGGAUCUUCUACGCACUGGUCAAGACCGGUGAGGGCCUCCUCAUCAGCAUCAACGCUGCCGGCUGCGUCAUCGAGACCGUCUACAUCGUCAUGUACCUUGUCUACGCCCCCAGGAAGGCCAAGAUUUUCACAGCCAAGAUCGUCGUCCUCCUCAACAUCGCUGGCUUCGGGCUCAUCUUCCUCCUCACCCUCUUCGCCUUCCAUGGCGAGACACGUGUCGUCUCGCUCGGCUGGAUCUGCGUCGGCUUCUCCGUCUGCGUCUUCGUUGCCCCACUCAGCAUCAUCGUGAGCCCUUUUUGACCGAACAACCUCCUACUUGAGUUCAUGCAUGGCGGGACCUCUUGUACGUGCGUCAACUAACUCGAUGUGUUCCCUUCCCCAGGGACGAGUCAUCAAGACCAAGAGUGUGGAGUACAUGCCCUUCACGCUCUCCCUCACGCUCACCCUCAGCGCAAUCGUCUGGUUCCUCUACGGCCUGCUCAUCAAGGACAAAUACGUCGCGGUAACUACACCAACAACCCUUUCUACACAAACAAUUCUCUCAAUCAUGAGCACUGACGAUUAAAAUUAUGUUUCCAGCUCCCAAACGUCCUUGGCUUCACCUUCGGGGUGAUCCAGAUGGUCCUCUACGUGUUCUACAUGAACAAGACGCCGGUGGCAAGCGAGGUCAAGGAGGGGAAAGAGGCAUGGAAGGCGCCCGCAGAGGACCACGUCGUCGUGAUCAACGUCGGCAAGGCCGACAAGAGCUCGUGCGCUGAGGUGCGCCCGGUCACCGAGAUGGCCAGCGCCGUGGACGUCCCCAGGAGAUGCGCUGCUGAGGCGGCGUCGCCGGGGCAGCAAGUGAUGGCGGUGGACUUUGCCCGUUCUGUCGAGGUGGUCUAGAUGCAACCAUGCAUGGCUCAUGCAUGAGUCGUGCAAGCUUUAAUAUUCGAACAACCUUUUUGGAGGGUAUGCAGGGCUCUAGAUUCCUGCAUGCAGGGUAUGCGAUGCCUUUGUUCUGUUAUAUCAACGUGUUGAUAAUAUGAGGCAUAAACAAUAUGUAUCUGCAGUGUAUAGUGCAGUUGCCAGUAUUGUUGCCCAUCUGAAGUUUCCUGAGAUAAAUUUAUUUUGUAAACUACAGGAAAAUCUGUCUGUGCCGAUUGGUCAGCUGUAUGCCAAGUGUUGUUUCGCUGGCUUACAGGCCAGUAUGCCGAGCACCGUCACAAAACACUCCUCGUAUAUACGGUACUCGGCGUACCCAAUAUGCCGAGCAUCUUAAAAUACACUCAACACACCAUGCAAAAAAAAUAAAAAAUUCUCAACACACACUAGGUAUUAGGCAAACACAAGAAGAAAAAGAUAUAAACACUCGGCAUAAACAAGUUGCUCAGAAAUGUUUUGCCACGCGUCUCCUUUGGUUGUUGUUGACGGAUCUGAUACUGUGGAUGUAGUAUGCCGAGUGCCUCUUGUUAAGUACUCCCUCCGUCCGGAAAUACUUGUCAUCAAAAUAGAUGAAAAUGAAUGUAUCUACAACUAAAAUACAUCUAGAUACAUCCAUUUCAAUGACAAGUAUUUCCGAACGGAGGGAGUAAUCGACAAACAUUAUCACUAAAUGUAUGCCGAGUACCCAAAAAUGGCACUCAACAUUUUUUAAAUCUAUUCCUCCAUUAUUUGGUCUUUUUAUUGUCAUUUUCUUUCUUCUAUUUUGCUAUAUUUCUUCUUUUCAUAGCCUUUACAUUCUACUCCCUCCGUCCGAAAAUACUUGUCGGAGGAAUGGAUGUAUGUAGACGUAUUUUAAUUCUAGAUACAUCUAUUUUUAUGCAUUUCUCCGACAAGUAUUUCUGGACGGAGGGAGUACUAUAUUAUGUUCUUUGUUCUUUUCGUUGUACAUAUUCUUUCUUCGGUUUUCCUUUUCUUUUAUUUUCUUUCUUGUAUUUCCCUUUCUUCCAUAUUUUAUUGUAUUUCCUCUUCUUUAUUCGUUAGUUUACAUGUUUAGUAGUAAUAUAGAAAACGAGCCCGAUUACACGAAAUCAUGGCGAGAAAGUGUCGGGUUUAUCAAGCAGGUGGUGGCCCCGUUCCUCCCUUAGCCUUGAAACUUUUUGUGCACUCAACAGAGGCCAUUACAUGACACAUGCCAGAUACUAGCCUUUUCCGGGGCUCGUCUACUUUAUUCAGGACAUUUAAGGCAUUUCUAAGGAUUUAACGGCGUAAAUUCUAGAUCUGAGUUGCAACGACAUGAAAACAUGGCCAAAAUGGAUUGAAAAUUCUUAUUUGCGGUCUUGGUCCCAUGUCCAGGCCACGUGCAGCCAAAUGGAGGGAGGAAGGGGGGCUCAUGGUUAUGCCGUUGACACGCGGAAUGCUACGAUUUCAAUCCACGAAAUUCAUACGAAGGCCUGGCAUGGUGUUGUCAUAUGCCCCCUCAAGGCUAUGGUAAAAAUUAGAGAGAAUUUUUGCAUAAGUCUUCUCAGAGACUGCAUAGAAACUGGACCAUCCACUAGGAAAGAUCUAGGUUUCCAGAGGGAACAAAUCAAGUUUUGUGCAAAGUGACCACCAAUUCAUCUAUUGGCAUUUUACAGCUUGUUUUCUAUAUUUAAUGCAUUAAAUGAAUUCCUAUGCAUUUAAUGAAUAUAAUUAAAAUUUUAACUAUAGGUACAUGAAAUAAUGGUCAGAAAUGGGUUAAAAAAAUCUUAUAAAUGAUAUUUAGUCUAUGUUUAGCCCUUAUACCAUUAAAUAAAUGGAGUGGAAAAACAUCAAGGACCAAGACAUGGGCACCAACAUGGAGCUUGGUACUUACUAAUUCUGAAAAUUUCGAACGAAGCGAAACAACAUGAAACUUGACAUGGUUUCGUGAUAUCACCCCUAGAGGAUGUGGUAGAAAUUGUAUAAUCUUUUAAAGAGUUCAUCACAUAGACUGCUUAGAGACCGAAUCAUGUUUGAGGAAAAAUCUAGGUUUUGAGGAGGAACAUGUCAGGUUGUCAUGCGCAAUGACUACUUUUUCAUAUGUUGGAGCUGGGGUUGUCAAGCUCAAUGAAGUACCCAAAACCUUAUUAACUCCGGGGACACUGUGCUGACAUAGAGGAUAUUUGCGUGGAUCACAUCAUUAAAGGCAGAUGAAUUUUAUUGACCGGAAACUUCACAACAAAAUUAUAACCUUGGCCGCGUGACAUUGUUGACCUUCUUUUGAUUCAUAUAACACGUCACUGUGUAGGACAUAAAGUUCGAUCUAGAGGGUCCUCAACGUAGAGUCUGAUAGCAUCGGUUAACCGGCCUUAUACGUAUUCCAUUUGCGCCCUUCUGGGAUGAUAGUGGGCACCGUUGUUUUGUCUUUGGACGGUCUAGAAUUGGCAGGUACAUCCUUCUCCGUUGAUGGCAGAAUAUCUUGGACUAUGUCUGCGGUAUCGGCAAGGUUGAAAAGGGGGUCAAGGUUCACGAAGGCCAGACCACCAUCAUUAGCAGACAAUCUGCAAGGAAUCUCCUCUAUAUCAACCAGUGGCCACUUAAGCAUGUGGCCCUGGGUCACUUGUCCUAACGUAGUGACUUUCUCUUCAUUCUAGUACCAUCGGUAAAUGGGAUGAUUUGCCCCUCGGCAACCCUUGUCAUCACGCCGUCCAUGUUGGCUUGUAGCCAGCAUGAAACAAAGUGAGAUGAUCAUGGCUGCUGGGUGCUACUAGAAAAAUGUUGCUAGGUAGGAUUUGACAUGUUGCGCAGAGACAAUUCAGCUAACUUCUUCCGAGCUGCUGCAUCUAAUGCGGGUCCUAGUCGUGCUUGCACUUUGGCGUCAAUCUUUUCAUCCACCCUAUUUUUCCAUCUGACUUGUUUAAGUUCUUUGGUUUGGGGAUAGACCUCGUCCCACAAGGUCUUUCCCAUGCCCAAUGCAUGGUCAAUCAUGAUCAACCUGUUAACCCCGAAGCCCUCGCUGAAUGCCUAGGUAAGAGAGUCAUCAUACCUAAAGCCGUGGCGAGAAUCUUGAGGAGCGCGUCCAAAUCCUUGCAACAGACCAGGACAUUAUUUCGCAAGAUGGAACCUAGCAUUUUGCUGUAUGUUCUUGCUGCAUGAGCUCGGCUGACGGGCUCGCCUUCCAGGCUCAUUCGGUGAUUGAAAUGAUACUUUUUAUGAAGCGUCUUUGGAUUCCUAGGCUUUCACUUGCUCUUGUUUGUGGUGGCGGUGCUAGAUGAAGUCCCGCCCGUGUGGCCUGUUCCCUCUCACACGGUGGUCUAUUCUUCAUAUAUGUCCUUGCACAUCUCUAUGUCAGGGGCGCCCAUCUCGACCUCAGGGUAGACGUAGUUGGGUUCCUCUUGAGCUGAUGUUUUGGCGUGGGGAUCCAUUCAUCGAACUACAGUAUUGUCACAAAAGAGUUACAAUCGAAACAUAGAAAAGAAACGUUGAUGGGAAAUUUCAGCAUGACCUUUGCUAAAAUUAGGCCAUAUUGAGUGCCAAAAAUUUGACGAAGUGGAAACAACGUUUUGUCUAAACAUUGGCACUCAUACCAAUUUCUGCGAUCAAACACAACCUUGUGGCUGCACAGUUUGUAACAAAGAAUUAUAAAAAAAACAUAAAAAACAAAAUAUCAUCCAAAUUUUUUGGCAUGACCUUUGCUAAAUUAGGGCAUACAGAGUGCCAGAAAUUUGAUGAAAUGGAAAUGAAUCAGUGUUCCUCAAAACAUUGGCACUCAUAUAAUUUCCUGCAAAUCAACCCACAAAAGUUUGGUAUGUCUGACAACAUCUAACUGCUUUGUGUGCAUUUCAUCGAACACAUUACAAUCCUCUCCAAUAGAGUGGUAUAUGUGGAUUUGAAAAAUGAGUGGAAAUACCUUGGGAGAUCGCGCGCAUACGAGACAGAGGAGGAGAGCUUACAACGGUGCUGGAGGAGACAAAGUUGCGACAGAGGUGACGGUGGAAAGGGGCCGGCGCAGCGGAAUGCCACCGGGGGCAAAUACGGCGGCACACAUGGGCGUCGGCGGGGGCGACAUAUGAGGAGGACAGGGGCAGUGCUACCGACAACGGCACGCGAUAGCGGCAACUGAGGCGAGGAAGUGGGGCUGGAAACUACGGCGGCACUUGGCAGUGGUGGGCGAUUGCCGUGGAUCUGGAGCGGGCGAGAGGAGAGCGGAAGAUGCGAGAGGCGAUUUGAAUUCAGAAGACCGGCUUAGGGGAGUAACUGUUUCAGGUUGUCCUUGUGGCGGGCUUUGCUAAAAGCCGGCCAGCACAAACUUUAGCUGUGGCUGGGACAUAAUAAUGCCCGCCAUCGUGAACCUUAGCUUUGUAAACCCAAGUCCUUUCAUUAGCUUUCUAGGACAUUUUCACUUUAAACUUUUCUAUGAUUAACACACACCAUCCAAAUCCACAAGUUCAAAUUUAGACACUUUUCAUUCGGGUCUGCUAUUUUCGAGGCAUUAGCUGAUUUUACGGCCACUAAAAAAAAGGAAAAACGCUCUUCGGUAAGAAAUAGAGCGCAAAUGAGUUUCGGAUGGGAUGAAACUUUGCAUGGUGUCUUUUUCUUAGAAAUGUUCGGUGUUGUAAAAGUUUGAGAGUGUUAUGGCAAAAACUUGGUGCACCACCCCAAGGGGAUACUUUGUCGGGUGUUACUCGUUGCGCAUCCCAGAUCAACCAAACCCAUAAGGUCCAUCACCAACACCAUCUACAACAUUCUAACGCUAAUCAAAGCCACCACUAGAAUUCACAACUUUUGUAUUUAGGUGAAAGAAAUGCAACAAUUCAAAGGACUGAGCAUGUCAAUGUCUCUCGAGGAUAAAAAGAUUUUCGGACACACAAUUGCAUGAAAACCUUAAGGUAAAGAACAUUAAACAAAACACUAUGGCUGGAAAAAUAACCUCCCCAAGGUUAGAACACUUUACAAUACAAAACUUGAGCAAAAUUAUGAAAAGAAAAGAGAAAAUGCAGUUAUUAAACCAGAGUAUGAGAAGCGGUCACCUCCCCAUGCUUAAGUUAAGAAAGGGUAAUACACUUUAAACGGUUAGGCACAACUGACCUAUCAUUCAAUGAACAUUUUUUUGAUAAAAUGCGCUUUAUAUUCAAUGGACAUAAACCUUUGCUUCAAUAUUUUUUCCUUUUUUUUUCUUGUUAUGGUCUGGUGGCUCCUUACCCCCUCUUGCAUAAAAAUGAGUAGAAUUGGUUGGUAUAGAGGACAGCGAUGGUCAUCUUCGACAGAUUGCACAACGUGCGAAGACCUACUCCCGUAGAAGAUCUGCGGGUUUCUCUGUCCGCCUGCAUGAUGGGUACCACGCCAUCUACGUCACAAGCCGGCAUAGCAGAAGCUGUCGGGCACGCUAAGGGCAUGUACAAUGCUGGCAUAUGGAUACAUAUGCCCCAUGACAAAAAGUAAUUUGAAGCACCUACUUCAGUUUUCUUCUCCAAUGCAAGCUAUUAUUAGUGGGCCUCAUUAAGAAAUAAAAAAUAAAGACUCUAGUACAGCAUCUCUACUUUUCACUCCAACCUUUUCAGCUUUUGUCACCGGACCAUGCUUUUUCUCUUCAAGCACCCGCCUCCUGGAGAGGAUCCCGCUUUCCUAUCCGAACCUACUUUACGUCAUAUCCAAUCCUACAUGACAUGUGAGGCAUCACCUUGAGGCUAUGCAUUGUACAUGCCCUAAGUCGUCACUCUGUUCCGGCUCCACAAGCCCAAUAGGCUAACAGUUUUGAAUUUUUUCUCUAGUUAAACUUGAAUGGCCAUGGCAAUUUUCCAUCGUGCGUAUUGCGUUCAGCAGGAUGAUAGAGAAUUUUAAUGUUAAGCAGUAGUGGUCUAAAAUACUUAUCAUAUCCUUAUGUUAAUCAGGGACAUGUUAAUGGUACUUUUGUGUACCUUUUGGUACCUCCGCAAGGACCAUAAAAAACUCCACUAUGACAAUAAUAAUCUCCCAAGUCUCAACCAAUUGAUAUAUAUAUAUAUAUAUAUAUAUAUAUAUAGUAUACCCUACCAAGGAGGGCUGGGUAUUCAUGACCUUGAGGUUAAAAAACUGCUCUCCUUGCAAAUGGUUGUUUAGGAUGCUAGCAAAAAAUUAUUGAUGACAAACCCACCUACGGAAAAAAUACUUCUUCCACGAUGGGUCCUUCACUAUUAAAGACGGAUCAGAAAUUAGAUUCUGGGAGGAUAAGUGACUAGGCAAUCUGAACAAUAUCUGGCUCUAUACAAUAGUGUACGUCACAAGGGUGAUACUGUCGUCACGGUUCUAGAAUCCUUUCUGCCAAAUGUGAUGUCCAGGAGAGAUUUAAUUGGUCCCAGACAUAUAUGGUGGAACACUCUAUUACUGAGACUAUCCACGAUACAACUGUCACAAGGAGCCCUGAAUUUCAUUGGAGCCUACAAGUGAAUGGUAAAUUCAUGAUGGACUCUAUGUAUAGCGCUAUGAUCCAGUCAAAGGUGGUAGUUGAUAAUAACAAGAAGAUUGGGAAGAUGAAGAUGCCGCUUAAAAAUAAAAUAUUUGCGUGGUAUCUCCAUAGAGGAGCCAUUCUUAUCAAAGAUAACCUUGUUAAGAGGAAUUGGCAUGGAAGUACACAAUGUGUGUUUCGCCAUCACGAUGAAACUAUAAAACAAUUGUUUUUCCAAUGCAAAUUGGCUCGUUUUAUAUGAUCAGUCAUUCAAGUAGCUUUUGGCUUAUAUCCUUCAUGUAGUCUUGCUAAUAUAUCCAGCAACUAGUUACAUGUGAUAGAAUAAAUGUUUAGAAUUCUUCUCAAGUUGAGAGUGCUUGCAGUUAUUUGGUCGCUUUGGCUUUGUAAAAAUAAUAAGGUAUUUAACGAUAAAAGUACUUCUUCUAUCCAGGUUAUCUACAGAUGUACUGGUAUGCUCCGUUUAUGGUCAUCUCUAGAACGUGUGGAGAAUUGAGCCCUAUUUACGAAGGUGUACACGCUUGGAGGCCAUGGUGAGGAAUACUUUUACCCGACAUGGAUGGCUGCAUGAUCUUCAGAUCGGUCCUCCUACAUCUUAGGCGUUGCACAGUCUCCAUAUGAUUACUUGUAUUCCAUCUUUUUACAUUUAUUUGGAACUUAGACUUGAUUAUGGCUAUGAGUAUCAUUUAUGCAGAGACCGGCUGUAAUGCUUAAACCUUUUAAGUAAUAAAGCGUCCUUUAUAAAAAACUCCAUACUAAAUGGAAGAAAAAUAUACUGGAGCAUCGGAUGCAGAACCGAAGAUGCAAUGGAGAAAUCUUUCGUUACAGCUGGAUUUAGGGUUAGAACGAAUCGAAGAACAUCUCUAUACCUACGUUACAUGGCCUGUGACCAUGAUGGAUUUACUAGAUGAAGAAACUAUAUUGACUACUAGCAAAAAAAAGAAAGAAAGAGAAACUAUAUUGACCAUGAAUCAUAUGGAACACACACUUUAAUUUUUGAGGAAUCACGGGGGGAAGGAUCCUCACCCUGAAAAUCAUGCACUUUUUCCCGGAAAAAAAGAAGAAGAGAAAAUCACGCGCUUUGUGACCGUGUAAAUCUGUGACCAAGGCCACUAAAGGUGAUUAAAUUUCAGUGGACCUGGUGACAUCUGUGCCGGCUUUCCAAAAGAGAGAGCAACGGCAUCCAUUCUUUGCUACCUGACCAAUUGUCAAUCAAGAGCUUUCAUGUGCGUCCAAUUCCAAUCAUGGGUCCAUAUUGUCAAACGCAAAAUAUUGUCUAAAUAACCUCUAUCAAGAUUCCGGAUAGAUGCUAGCUUCUUCCUUUUUUUCUUUUUUUCUUUUUUUUUGCUUGCAGGAAUCACCAUGUCAGUACCAUAGUGUGAGCAUGCAAGGUUUCCAUAUAUGAAAAAUCUUUUUCAUUUUGCGGAAUUCACAUCUGAAUAAUCGUGCUAUGCUGAUUGAUUUACUUUACAUACUCUACAUCCGAAACCAAUUCUCAACCAGACAGCACCACGGGUAUGGCUUUUGAGUUCUUUUUAGGUGCAGUACUAUUUAACAUGCCUAGACGUGAGAUGUACUUUUAAUGUUGACUGUCGGCAGGAAAAGCAUUAUCAUUGGAACUUCGUAAAAUUUGAUUUCAGGGCUGCGUUUCAGAUGUUGUGGUUAGAUCUUAGUCGACUGAGAAACUAGAAAGAAAAAAUCACACAAAUCUUUGUGUAGAAUCCCAUGUAUAUAGCAUUGAGCGAGAUAUAACCAAGUCUUAACCGACCGAGAUUUCGCUGGAACUAGAUACAACACAUUUUUUUUUGAGCAAUCUGAACUAGAUACAACACAUUAAUACCAAGUCUUAAAAGGAACUCGCUUUACCUCCAUCGCUCCUGUGAGAGCGGCUCGAUCGAACACAACAACCCGCCACAGCAGCCCAAAAAUCCCACAUCCUCUUCGUCGCUGCAAGGUGAAGCUGCACGGCUCACAGUGGUGGCUGUUGAGUAUGUAUUUUAUACUGCAUGUAUAUUAGAGUUGUGGCCCACCUUCUAGUUUUGCAUAUUUAAGAUAGAGGUCUUCCCUUGUAUUAUAUAUACGUGCACCAGCACCCCAUCAAUACAACGCCUAUUGUAUUGCAAACUUUUCUGUCUACAUGUUAUCAUCUUGAAGGUCCUGAUCUAGGGCAAGGCGCCGCCACCGCCGCGUUGCGCCUCCUCGCGCGCGCCGCCGCCGCCACCGCCGCUCCCCACCGCCGCCGCCGCGCAACGCUUCCCNNNNNNNNNNNNNNNNNNNNNNNNNNNNNNNNNNNNNNNNNNNNNNNNNNNNNNNNNNNNNNNNNNNNNNNNNNNNNNNNNNNNNNNNNNNNNNNNNNNNNNNNNNNNNNNNNNNNNNNNNNNNNNNNNNNNNNNNNNNNNNNNNNNNNNNNNNNNNNNNNNNNNNNNNNNNNNNNNNNNNNNNNNNNNNNNNNNNNNNNNNNNNNNNNNNNNNNNNNNNNNNNNNNNNNNNNNNNNNNNNNNNNNNNNNNNNNNNNNNNNNNNNNNNNNNNNNNNNNNNNNNNNNNNNNNNNNNNNNNNNNNNNNNNNNNNNNNNNNNNNNNNNNNNNNNNNNNNNNNNNNNNNNNNNNNNNNNNNNNNNNNNNNNNNNNNNNNNNNNNNNNNNNNNNNNNNNNNNNNNNNNNNNNNNNNNNNNNNNNNNNNNNNNNNNNNNNNNNNNNNNNNNNNNNNNNNNNNNNNNNNNNNNNNNNNNNNNNNNNNNNNNNNNNNNNNNNNNNNNNNNNNNNNNNNNNNNNNNNNNNNNNNNNNNNNNNNNNNNNNNNNNNNNNNNNNNNNNNNNNNNNNNNNNNNNNNNNNNNNNNNNNNNNNNNNNNNNNNNNNNNNNNNNNNNNNNNNNNNNNNNNNCAGGCUCUCCCCGCUAGCCACCAGGCGUUCAUCGGCACACCCUUCCAGCCGACUGGCGCCGGCUACGGCGCCCUCCUUGCGCCACCGCCCCUCGGUGGUUAUGGCCCGCCCAUCCCGGCGCCGCCCUAUGGGGGUCUUCCGCCGCCGCCAGUACCUGUGCCAUGGGACCCCACUCUCCUCGCCGCCCAGCACUCCACGCCAUCGCCGAGUAGCUCUGUCGGUGGAGGCGACUGGUAUAUGGACUCAGGUGCUACUACGCACAUGGCAGCUCAUCCCGGUAACCUAACCUCCUCCACUCCCGUUCACACACCCACUCGUAUUACUGUCGGCAACGGCUCCUCCUUACCUAUUACUCAUAUCGGUAGCACUAGUUUUCCCUCCACUUCCACACCCAUCACUAUGUCUAAUGUUCUAGUUUCACCUGAUUUAGUCACGAACCUAGUUUCCGUUCGUCAUCUUACUCGUGAGAACCCACUUAUUGUUGAAUUUGACGGUGUUGGAUUCUCUGUGAAAGACGCCCGUACCCGGAUGGUCCUUCACCGUUGUGACAGUCCCGAUGAGCUCUACCCCGUGCACGCUGGCGCCUCCACCCCCACACCCGUCGCCCUUGCCGCCGGCGUUGACCUUUGGCACGCUCGCUUGGGUCACCCCAACCACACCGUCUUACGUCAAAUCCUUAGGAGUUUCUCUUUCUCAUGUGAUAAGCUCGACGAGCACUCUUGUGAGGCUUGUCGCUUAGGCAAGCACGUUAGUCUUCCCUUUAGUGUGUCUUCUUCCGUUUCCACUUUUCCGUUUCAAUUAAUUCAUAGUGAUGUUUGGACAUCUCCCGUUGCGAGUAACACGGGCUAUCUAUACUACUUCAUGAUUUUAGAUGAUUAUUCUCACUAUGUGUGGACUUUUCCCCUUCGUCGUAAAUCCGAUGCUUUAGCCACACUCACUGACUUUUAUUCAUAUGUCACUACCCAGUUCGGUCGCCCCAUACUCGCACUCCAAACUGAUAACGGAAAAGAGUUUGACAACGUUGCUCUUCGCACACUUCUCGCCUCUCACGGCACCAUCUUCCGUCUGACUUGACCCUACACUUCUCAACAGAACGGCCGUGCCGAGCGCAUUCUCCGCACUCUAAAUGACUGUGUUCGCACGUUACUCUUUCACUCUAAUGUGCCCGCUCGGUUCUGGCCCGAUGCCCUCGCUACCGCCACUCUCUUAGUUAACAUUCCGUUCGUGUCGCCCUCGGUGGAACUACGCCCCUCACCACCUUCUCUUCGGCACACCACCGUCCUAUGAUGGUCUCCGCAUCUUCGGGCAUCUCUGUUAUCCUAGCACCGCAUCCACCACGCCACACAAGCUCGCACCACGAUCUGUCCCAUGCGUCUUCCUUGGCUACCCUCCUAACACCAAAAGUUACCGGUGCUAUGAUCCUGUCAUUCAUCGUGUGUACACCUCGAGGCAUGUGUAAUUUGUCGAGACGGUGUUCGCUUUUUUUCAGGUUCCUCCGGCUUCAGCCCCUUCGGCGCCGCCCCCCACGCCCCCUUUGUGGAGAGAUGCACGGCGGCAGCCCCCGGCAGCGCCACCACCUGGCUUCGUGAAUCCCUUUCCCGAGGUUGAGUCCGAGCGGGCCCCCGGGUCCCCGUCUCCCUCAUACGAGAUUGAGCCCGGCACCCCGCCCGCCACUCCUGCGAUGGGCUCGACAUCACCCUCGCCCGUCGCCUCUUCCGCCGCCGGAUCAGCCGCCGCUGUUCCCGUCGCGGCCCCUGCCGCCGCCGCCGCCGUGGCCUCCGCCACAGCCAUGGCGGCCCCUGCCGCCGCACUAGGUGCACCAGGCGCCGUGGACCAUGCUGCCGCCCCGGGUGCCCACGCAGCCACACCAAGCGCCCCUACCGCCGCGGCACCUGCCGGCCCUACUGCCCCGUCACUUGGCGUGACUACCCGUGCCCGAGCAGGAGUGCUUCGUCCCAGCACGCGCUACUCCGCCGACGAGUAUGUGUGCGCCGCCUCGACAUCAACGCCAUCACCCGUCCCCACCUCUGCUCGCACUGCCCUUCGGGAUCCCCACUAGCUAGCUAUGAUGCAGGAGGAGUUCGAUGCCUUACAGCGCAACCGCACAUGGCAGCUUGUUCCGCGACCCCCUCGUGCCAACAUCAUCUCUGGCAAGUGGGUGUUUCGCCACAAGACUCGCCCGGACAGUUCUCUCGAGCGCUACAAGGCUCGGUGGGUGGAUCAUGGUUUUCGGCAGCGCGCGGGCGUGGACUUCACCGACACCUUCGCCCCGGUUGUAAAACUGGGCACGAUUCGUGCCGUGCUUCAGCUGGCGGUCUCGCGCGCCUGGCCGGUGCACCAGUUGGAUGUCUCCAAUGCCUUCUUGCACGGCCAUCUCGCCGAGCAGGUGUUCUGUGAGAAGCCCACUAGUUUCGUCGACGCCGAGCGCCCCGACUUCGUGUGCUUGCUCUCCCGUUCUCUUUACGGAUUGAAGUAGGUGCCUCGGGCUUGGUACCAGCGUAUCGCAGCCUUCCUACAGUCUCUCGGAUUUUGGUCCACUCGCUCCGAUGCUUCACUAUUUGUGUAUCAUCAGGGAGUUGACACUGCAUAUCUGCUGCUCUAUGUCGACGACAUCAUCCUCACGGCAUCCGUCCCUGACCUCCUUCAGCGGCUGACUGCUCGUCUUCAUGAUGAAUUCACCCUCAAGGACUUGGGGCCCCUGCACUACUUCCUCGGCAUCGAGGUGGUCCGACGGACUGACGGCUUCUUUCCGCAUCAGCAGAAGUACGCCCACGAGCUCCUGAAGCAUGCCGGUAUGCUUAACUGCAAUCCGGCGCCCACCCCCGUCAACACGAAGGCGAAGGUCUCUACUCUCGAGGGUCUCUUGCGUCCGAUGGAGCUUUUUAUCACUCUAUUGUCGGUGUUUUACAGUACCUGACGCUGACCCACCCCGACCUGCAGUACGCUGUCCAGCAGGUGUGCCUCCAUAUGCACGCCCCACGUGACUCUCGCUGGACUCUGGUGAAGCGUAUUCUCCAUUACAUACGCGGCACCAUGUCCUUGGGACUCACCCUGACAGCCUCUACCUCCACCGACCUCGUGGCCAACUCCGAUGCCGACUGGGCUGGCUGCCCCGACACGCGACGCUCCACGUCAGGCUACUGCAUCUACCUUGUGCUCUCGUUGAUCUCUUGGUCAUCGAAGCGGCAGCCCACGGUCUCCCGCUCCAGCACCGAGGCAGAGUAUCACGCUGUGGCUAAUGUCGUGGCCGAGUGCUCUUGGAUACGUCACCUGCUCCAGGAGUUGCUUUGUGAUGUUCACAAGGCCACUCUUGUCUACUGCGAUAACGUCAGUGCGGUCUACCUCUCCGCCAACCCGGUGCACCAUUGACGGACGAAGCAUAUUGAGCUCGAUAUUCACUUUGUGCGCGAGCAGGUUGCCCUUGGCCGUGUUCGGGUUCACCACGUGCCGACGACGCAACAGUUUGCUGAUGUGAUGACUAAGGGAUUGCUACUCCCAUCUUCGAGGAGUUUCGGUCCAGUCUCUGUGUCNNNNNNNNNNNNNNNNNNNNNNNNNNNNNNNNNNNNNNNNNNNNNNNNNNNNNNNNNNNNNNNNNNNNNNNNNNNNNNNNNNNNNNNNNNNNNNNNNNNNNNNNNNNNNNNNNNNNNNNNNNNNNNNNNNNNNNNNNNNNNNNNNNNNNNNNNNNNNNNNNNNNNNNNNNNNNNNNNNNNNNNNNNNNNNNNNNNNNNNNNNNNNNNNNNNNNNNNNNNNNNNNNNNNNNNNNNNNNNNNNNNNNNNNNNNNNNNNNNNNNNNNNNNNNNNNNNNNNNNNNNNNNNNNNNNNNNNNNNNNNNNNNNNNNNNNNNNNNNNNNNNNNNNNNNNNNNNNNNNNNNNNNNNNNNNNNNNNNNNNNNNNNNNNNNNNNNNNNNNNNNNNNNNNNNNNNNNNNCUGCACGUGUAUUGGAGUUGUGGCCCACCUCCUAGUCUUUUUAUAGUUGAGGUAGAGGCCUUCCCUUGUAUUAUAUUUUUUUUGUGCACCAGCACCCCAUCAAUACAACAUCUAUUGUAUUGCAAACUUUCCCGUCUACAGUGGCGGUGGACCUCGCUUGCGGGAUGUGGAAGCUCUCUCGCAUAUUGGAGAGAGACACCCUGCCCCUCCCUCAGAUCCAACACGGCGACUUGCAGUGCCACUCCUCGCGGCAGUUGCACCUCCAUUUCAUGGUCUCGACCUUGUCGGUCACCUGGUCGUUUGUUGGCAGACGCGCCCCACUGUGUCUCCCUGCAUCCACUACCGGGACCUGUUAUAGGUGGGCCCUUACUAGUGGCGGGCAGGCAUUUGUGCGUGCCACUGGUAAUUUGGGCAUUUAGCAGUAGCAGGUGCAAAGUCAUGCCCAUCAUUGGUAUUUACUUACCAAUGGUGGGAGCCGGUUUGUGCCUGCCACUAGUAACAUGAGCUCAGAUACGCCAUGUGCCAAAAUUACCAUUAGCGGGCACAAACACGUGCCCGCCACUAGUAAAUCAUCUACCAGUGGUAGGCAAAAACCCUUCCGACGGUGAAAUCGUGCUUUUCCCUUGUGCAUGCUCCUCGAGCCAAAUCAUUUUUUGUGACCACUUUUACUCUGUCCUGGCAAUGAGCACCCUUCUGGAGUGUUGGAUGGCAUGCGGAUGGUAAUGGCUCAACUCCUCAUUUUGGCCACGCGUCGUCUACCCCUACCAGUUGCUCUGGUGCUGCCUUCACGAUGCUUCCACGGCCACAUUUUUUAAGUUUGCUCUCUAGUGUCUCCUCGUAUGAUGUGCUCCUUUGAAAGCCCCUCUCUACUGCUAAUGCUCCAUGUAUGUUGUUAUAUCUCUUGACUUGUGCUGCAUCACAACCUCCUAGGUUCACCUAAUGUUUAGGCUGCUCUGCAUUGUAACUUGUACUUCUUAUUAUAUGUUUCUUGCCUCGCCAGGAUUUAUUACCCGUCGGGUUGUUCAGGUUUGGAUCAUGGUUUUGACAUGAUUUCCUACAUAAACCUGCUCAAUUUCUUUUGAACUGAGAUCUAUAUACAAGUGGGAAUUCCCCUGCCCCUCCCGCAGACUAAUUCAAAAAAUAUGGAACUAUAUAAUACUUCACACGUUGCUGCUAGAAUCUAUUGCAAUAUAUUUUGGUGUGAUUUGUUUUUAUGAAAGAUGAAUAUUUUGAUUAAUAAUAUAUGUGAUAAUAUAUAUUAUAACUUGUUUUUAUUAUUGUAUAAAUGAAAAAUGUUUAUUAAAUAUAAAAGUAGCAUACUAAUAUAAUAUACUGGAAAGCCUUUCCCGUGCAUUUUACGGUGGGCUUUUGACCAGCUGGCAUGUUUGGUGAGUGAGAUAUGUGCAUGUUGAUAUAAAAAUAAGAAGGAAUAGUGAGGAUCAACUAAUAAUGGAAAAAUUGUUAGGAUAUCACCUCUAAUUAUCCCUAAUACAGGCAGAACACAAUAAAGACCAAUUCAAGAAAUGUACGUAAAUUGUAAAUUGAAAAUAUUAAUAAAUCCGCAGUACAACAACCUAAAAUUUUAAAACAAUUACAAAAUUUAUGUUGUACAAUUAAUAUUGCAUCUUGCUUUUCCCGACCAACAAAAAAGUAAAUGUAAAUGUGCAAGACACUAAAGCAUAUGUUACUUCAUUAGAUCAUUACAAAAAAAAACCCUCCAAGGAAUUGUUUUGGACUAUUUUUUCUGUAAACAAAUACUGUCGUUAUUUUUCAUCAUUUGAAGCAUAUAUUUGUUGUGAGUUGUGACGUGCAAAUCUCAAAAAAAUAUGGGAAAUGCGGAAUUAAAGCAGGCAUAAUUAGCAUGCAUGUGGGUUUCCCUGUAGGUACUUGGGAUUAAAAGAGAAACAAUGAUUCUUGAGCUCGUCGCCAAAUUCUGAGGAACCAAAGUAGAUAAUGAGUGGAGGACACAAAUUUUGUGGGUUAUAAAUUGCCCAAUGAAAUUUGGCCCACAUGUUCUGACUCUCGAAGCUAUAAAUGCUUCACCCUCUCUCUAUUUGCAUCUACAUGGUGCAUGCAUAAUAAGAGUUCAUGCAUGAUCUCAAAUUUCUUUUCUCUCACCUCCAUGAAUUGAUUUGUGGCGUCGGACUCAAAAGCACUUUAACUGAAUGAGACUCGAAGUGGGACUAAUAUAAUGAAAAACUAAAUGUUUUGAGAUAGCCCUUUAAACUGGAAGGGAGGGAAUAUAAUUUAAAGUCUAUAGUAAGCUUUGGUAUGGAAUUAAGGAUCUACUACCACCUCCGAGGUAAUAUUUAUGUCAUUUAUUAGAUCAUAAACAAAUAACGGCUUAUAUCAGUUCGGAGCAUUUUAACAUGUAUCAUCGUUCUUAGACAUAUUUUGUGAGUGCACUUGUCUAGCGUGUACCGUAUACUAGAUACCCGCACAAUUAUUUUUCAAUAUCUUUUGGUGAGAAGGCAAGUUGACUCGAUUUGAUUACCAAGCCAAAUAUCAUUUACAUUAUAAUUUCAGUAACUUAAAAUUAGCUAGCCUGAUCUCUCGUAUCAGCGCCAAAGGACCACUAAGCUCAUAAUAAGAGUAAAUUGAGAAGAAAAUUAUAUAUAGUGUGCUAACUUUCUUUUAUAAUCUAAUAAAACAACAUGUAUAGUGGUUGGUAAUAUUUCCCUUUGCUGUAGGUUAUUAGAAGUGUACCCACGGGCUCUGUUCGUAGUCAAUUCUGCAGUGAUCACCAAAAAUUGUGUACAGUCAUGUGUACACGGUUGGAAGAGGAGGACACAGAUGUCUUUACCCAACAUUAGCUGGUGGUACAGUGUGAGGAUUUUCUCCAUCCCCUCCCUUUAGGCAUUGUAGUCUCAGACGACAUUUUUUUUGUCGGCGUUGUGUAGAAUGUGUUUGGUUCUGUGUGUAUCUUAGUCAGACAGAGGCUAGAUGUGAACUUGUUUUGAUUGUAUUCCAUUGGUGUGACAUUAUGAGUCAAAAAGCCCCUUUAUCAAACAUAUAUUAUAGGUCAUAAACAACUAACUACUCAAGCGAGAAUACCUAAAAUCUAGAUCUCAAAUAGCAAAUUGUAAUCUAACAAAAUGUUGGGAAUUAGCACACAAAUGCACUUGUGGUUAACUGAUAACUGCAGCGGACACAAAGUAAUCUCAGCACCACAUCCUGUACUAACUCAAGGAUCGUUGCUUAGCACGGAAGGAAAACAUAUGCAACAACAUAUAUGCAGGCAGAAAAAUGUUAAGCAGCAGGCAAGACACUCCUCAGCCUAGUGUCUUGUGGUACGAGUAAGUUUCUGGACAACACCAAGCAUCAACAAAGAGACACCAGAUUUACGUGAAAAACCCCUCAACUUGAGGGGAAAAACCAUGGGCCGAAGCCACCCAAAUCCUCUUUCACUAUUAUCAAAUGUGGGAUACACCAAGUUCUUCUCUAGACAGCACUAGAGGAUCUCAUACAUCAAGAUUUCUGAAUCUUGGAUGAACACAACAAGAUUUGGGGCUCAAGAACUAGGGAUUGGAACAAUCUCACCAAAGAUGAUGGAACCUAAGCUUGAAGGAGACAAGGUAGUGGAUCUGGACCAUCACAACCUUGGGGAGGAGCUCCCUUUUCUUCUUCCUUCAAUCUUCCUCUUCUUCCCUUGCUCUAUUGGUUUUCUCUCUUCUUCUCUCUUGGAGGAUGAACUUAUUUUCAUCACGCUUGGUGGUGGCUGCUGGAUGGAGGGUAAAGCAUCCCCAUCCACUCAUGUGCUAAGUCCGAAAUGACCCUAGGUCAUAACCCUAAUGGGUAAUGGGCUUCUGCACCUCUUUGGGCUGCCUAAAAGGCCUUUAAAUGGUCAUCUCCUCACAGCCCACAUGAGGAGGAUAUCCCAACAAAUCUCCCCCUCCGACUCGUGAGGGGGGCACCGCCAUGUCUGCUACCUUGCAACAUGCUUGUAGCUUCUCAUUUGGUAAUAUCUUGGUCAUCAUAUCCGAACCAUUUUCGUCGGUAUGGAUCUUCUCAAGUUUCAGCAACUUGGAACUCACAAAAUCUCGAAUCCAAUGGUACCUCACAUCAAUGUGCUUGGUUCGAGAGUGAUAGCUUGAAUUCUUGGCAAGAUGAAUAGCACUCUGACUGUCACAAAACAGAACAUACUUCUCUUGCUUCAUGCCGAGCUCUUGCAAGAAGUUCUUCAUCCACAAAACAUCCUUGCCAGCAUCAACUGCUGCAAUGUACUCAGCUUCUGUAGUUGAUGUAGAAACACAUUUCUGCAAUCUUGAUUGCCAUGACACUGCUUCCCUGCAUAAGUCAUCAGGUAUCCAGAUGUGGACUUCCAACGAUCCUUGUCACCAACAUAAUCUGCAUCUGUAUAGCCCUGCAAAACAUGAUCACCAUUUCCAAAGCAUAGACAGGAUGUAGAAGUACCCUUGAGAUAUCUGAGAAUCCACUUCACUGCUUCCUAGUGAGCUUUACCUAUAUUUGUCAUGAACCGUCUAACAACUCCAACUGCAUAGGCAAUGUCAGGCCUAGUGCAUACCAUGGCAUACAUCAAACUGCCCACAGCAGAUUGGUAAGGUACUUUUCUCAUUUCUUCUUUCUCCUUCUUGAUUGUAGGACAUUGUUUUGAAUUCAGUUUGUGAUGGCCUGCAAGCGGAGAGAUAACAGAUUUUGCAUCGUUCAUAUUGAACCUUUCAAGUACCUUCUCAAUGUAUCUUUCCUGUGAGAGCCAAACUAGCUUCUUUGAUCUAUCACGGGAGAUCUUCAUGCCAAGUAUUUGCUUAGAUGGUCCUAAAUAAUGAUUUACUCAAUGCCUUCUUGAGGAGAGCAAUCCUCUUUGUGCCAUUUCCAACAAUCAGCAUAUCAUCAACAUACAACAAGAGAAUAAUGAAGUCACCCUCGGCGUACCUCUUCAUAAAGACACAAUGAUCAGGUUGUGCUUUAUGGUAACCAAGCCCAGUCAUAAAAGACUCAAACUUCUUGUACCACUGCCAAGGAGCUUGCUUCAAGCCAUACAAGCUCUUCUUCAAUUUGCAAACUAAUUGCUCCUUGCCUGCAACCAUGAAUCCCUCUGGCUGCUCCAUGUAUAUCUCCUCCUCUAGGUCACCAUGUAAGAAUGCAGUCUUCACAUCAAGUUGUUCAAUUUCCAGGUCCAUGGUGGCAGCCAUGCCAAGCACAACUCGGAUCGAAGACAUCUUGACCACCAGAGAGAAUAUCUCGCCAUAAUCAAUGCCCUUUUUCUGAGUGAAUCCUUUCACAACCAAUCUGGCCUUGUACCUUGGAUGUGAUGUGUUUUCUUCAGUCUUCACUCUGUACACCCACUUGUUCUUGAGUGCUUUCUUGCCUUUUGGUAGAUUCACCAACUCAAAAUUAUCAUUCUCAUAGAGGGAAUUCAUCUAAUCCUGCAUGGCUUCUGACCAUUCUUCUUUGUUCUCAUCAGACAUUGCCUCCUCAUAGCAUGAGGGCUCACCUGCAUCUGUCAUCAACACAUAUUGAUGUGGUGGAUAUUUAGAAGAAGGAAUAUGAACUCUUUCACUUCUUCUUUGCUGCUGCAGUAGUGGUGAAUCAGGUGGAUUUUCGUUGGCAUCAUUAUUACCAACUUCAUCAUCAUCAUCACUUGAUGGCUGCUCGCCACUUUGACUUGUACUGCCUUGAUCAGUUGCAUCUCCACUGUCUUCAGUGUCAUCAUCUCCCCCAUGAUUGUCAUGCACGAGAGGAGGACGGAUUGGAUCCAUAUCAACCUGAGGUGUGCUGGUCAUUGGCUUCUCUGGUUUCCCAAUAUCUUUAAUUGUUUCAUCUUCAAUGAACACCACAUCUCGGCUUCUCACAAUCUUUCUAUUGGCUGGAUCCCACAACCUGUAGCCAAACUCUUCACUUGGUUGGCUGAGGUAGAUGCACUACUUUGUUUUUCUAUCAUUCUUGGAUCUCUUGUCCCUUGGAACAUGUACAAAUGCCCUGCAACCAAAGACCUUCAAGUGCUUGUAUGAUACCUCCUUCCCUGACCAAACUCUCUGAGAAAUAUCACCUGCAAGAGUAACUGAUGGAGAUAGGUUAACAACAUACAUAACAUUCAUCAAUGCUUCAGCCCAAAAAGAAUUAGGUAAAUGAGCAUGAGAGAGCAUAGCCGUGACCCUCUCUGUGAGUGUCAUGUUCAUUCUCUCUGCAAGACCAUUGAGCUGAGGUGUCUUUGGUGGACUCUUCUCAAGCCUGAUGCCAACAUUUCUGUAAUACCUUUCAAAAGGACCUCGGUAUUCACCACCAUUGUCUGAUCUCAUGCACUUCAAUUUCUUCCCAGUUUCUCUUUCAACCUUGGCAUGGAACUCCUUGAAGGCUUCAAGCGUCUGGUAUUUGUGUUUCAGCACAUACACAAAAACCUUUCUAGAAUGGUCAUCAAUAAAAGUCACAAAGUAUAAUGCUCCACCAUGAGAUUUUUCAGUCAUGGAGCAAACAUCAGUGUGGACAAUAUCAAGAACAUUUUCUGCACGAUGUGGAGGGAACAUACGAAAUGAAGCCCUAUGUUGUUUGCUAGCAAAACAAUGUGCACAGGGUUUCAAGGAUAUACCUUUCAACUCAGGGAGGUACUCCAUGCGAGCAAGAGCGUGCAUGCCCUUCUCACUCAUAUGCCCAAGCCUCUUGUGCCACAACUCAACCGAAGUGUCUUUUUCAGCAAUGUUCAACACCUCAUUGCACGACUUGGUUUUAGUCACAUACAGAUUACCUUGCUUACUUCCUCGAGCCACAAUCAAAGAGCCUUUGGUGAGCUUCCAUUUUCCUUCACCAAAAUAACUAGGAUGUUUGAUAUCAUCAAGCUUGCCCACUGACAACAAAUUCAGCCUUAUGUCGGGAACAUGCCUCACAUCAUCGAGCACCAAUCUGCAACCUGUGUUUGUUUCAAUGCAUAUAGAGCCCUUGCCAACAAUUGCUGACGAACCACUAUUUCCCAUCCUCACUUGGCCAGUAACACCACUAGUGUAAGAUGUGAAAUACUCCUUGUGUGAUGUGAUGUGGAAGGACACACCUGAAUCCACAACCCAACUCAUGGCAUCAUCACAAACAACACUAUAGCAAUCUUCAUCUUCAAUGACUAGAUAGUCCUCAUCUGUUGCGGUCAUGGUUGAACUGCUCUCAGCCUUUUGCUCGGUUUUCUUUGUGAGUUUCCCCUCUGCAAGCUCUCUUUUGUACUUCCUGAACUCGCUCUUUAUGUGUCCCGGAUUGCCACAAUGAAAGCAAGUAAUAUCUUUUCUCUGUUUUGACUUUGAUCUUCCCCUGGAUUUGCUUUUGCCUUGCUGAAAUCUUGUAUUGCUGCGUCCACGGUUCUCAUUCUUCCCAUGGGUUUCAGCCACAUACGCAUCAGAAGAAGAUGCAUCACCCUUUUCCUUCUUUCUGGCUUCUUCAUUCAGCAUACUGUUCUUCACCAUCUCAAAAGUCAGCUUCCCAUCCGGAGCUGAAUUGCUAAGUAACACAACAAGCAUGUUCCAACUAUCAGGCAUGCAACUCAGCAGCAACAAUGCUUGCACCUCAUCCUCAAAGUUGAUCUUCAUGGCUGAAAGUUGAUUUAUAUGGCAUUGAAAGACAUUUAAGUGCUCAAUCACACUUGUGCUAUCUCAGUAUUCAAGCUUUGCAAGUCUUUUGAUCACCGAUGCUUUGUUCAUUGAUGUCUUCCUCUCAUACAUAGACUCCAACUUCUGCCACAUCUCAUAAGCAUUUGUGUCAUUUGCAACAUGGUGGAAAAUAUUGUGGUUGAUAUACAACCGAAUCAUACCUACUGCCGUUUUGUGCAACACUCUCCAUUCUUCUUCCGUGACACCGGUGGGUAUCUUGUCUUUCACAAUUGGCUCAUACAAAUCCUUGCAAUAAAGGAUGUCUUCCAUCAUGGGCUUCCAUAAUGAGUAAUUGGAAGAAUCAAUUUUUAUCAUGCCGCUUGUAGUAGCGCUUUCUUCCAAAGCCAUUGUGAGCAGCACUUCCAGUAACAAUCAAGCAUCAGAGAUUUGCAACCUUCUAAGCAACCAAGGCUCUAAUACCACUCUGUUGGGAAUUAACACACAAAUGCACUUGUGGUUAACUGAUAACUGCAGCAGAAACAAAGUAAUCUCAGCACCACAUCCUAUACUAACUCAAGGAUCGUUGCUUAGCACGGAAGCAAAACAUAUGCAGCAGCAUAUAUGCAGGCAGAAAAAUGUGAAGCAGCAGGCAAGACACUCCUCAGCCUAGUGUCUUGUGGUACGAGUAAGUUUCUAGACAACACCAAGCAUCAACAAAAAGACACCAGAUUUACGUGGAAAACCCCUCAACUUGAGGGGAAAAACCACGGGCCGAUGCCACCCAAAUCCUCUUCCACUAUUAUCAAAUGUGGGAUACAACAAGUUCUUCUCUAGACAACACUAGAGGAUCUCAUACAUCAAAAUUUCUGAAUCUUGGAUGAACACAACAAGAUUUGGGGCUCAAGAACUAGGGAUUGGAACAAUCUCACCAAAGAUGGUGGAAUCGAAGCUUGAAGGAGACAAGGUAGUGGAUCUGGACCAUCACAACCUUGGGGAGGAGCUCCCUUUUCUUCUUCCUUCAAUCUUUCCUCUUCUUCCCUUGCUCUCUUGGUUUUCUCUCUUCUUCUCUCUUGGAGGAUGAACUGAUUUUCGUCAUCCUUGAUGUUGGCUGCUGGAUGGAGGGUAAAGCAUCCCCAUCCACUCAUGUGCAAAGUUCAAAAUGACUCUAGGUCAUAACCCUAAUGGGUAGUGGGCUUCUGCACCUCUUUGGGCUGCCUAAAAGGCCUUUAAAUGGUCAUCUUCUCACAGCCCACAUGAGGAGGAUAUCCCAACACAAAAAGCUAUCGCAUUCUAACAAAUCCCAAUGUUAUAUAAACAGGCUAAAACACUUCAUUACUAUUUUAUAUAAAUUGUACAACAAAGUAUGUUGUAAUAGUAAAAGAUGCCUCUACGAGUCAAUUCGUCUGGAAAGUUAAACUGCAUGUUUUUUAUGGAUUUGAAGAUCUAAGGCAUUGAUUAUAUCAUUUGUUAGGAACUAAAUUUAAGUAUUAUGAUACUCACACAAACUAACACAUGAUUGGAUUAUAUUGGUAUGAGGUUAAGCUGACUAACACAAUUUGACUUUAUGUGCAAUGAUCUAUACUUCUAUAAAGUUAUACAACGUCUGUUGGACGAUGAACAUUAUAUUAGUGCAUUCAUUACUAAAAGUAGAAUUAUGUCGAUACAUUCGUUUAGUAACUCUUUGCUUACAUUUUAAUAUGACAAGGCUGUUAAAUUAACUAGAUGAUGCCUUGCCCGUUGCUGUGGGAACCUUGGUAAAAAUAUAUGCACAAAUAGAUGCUUGAAAAAUUUAAAGUUUGUUGUCCACAUGAGCUGUUGAUUAUUCACUUCAAAUAGAAACUUGUGCGGGCAUAGACUGGACCAUGUUUAUGUCUAAACACUGGCAGAGAAAAGAGAUAUAAUAUAUAAACUUAAUUAUUUAUUCAUGUAAGACAUUUCAUUCAGUAAAUUCAAUCAACAACUAAUGGUCUGAAGAGUCCUAUCAGUAGAAAUGUCUCAUUUGGUUCGCACUUGUAUGGCGGCUAUUACCACAUCCCAAAAACUUAGGCUGGGAAGACUGGAAGAAUGGCAUAGUGCAACACAAUUCUGAGUGUACAAGAUGCGAUAUUGUAACCCAUCCAUUUCAAAAAAAACUGUAACCCAUCCAAACAGAGCGGUUCCUUUUCGUCCCCCUUCCUAGGCGAAGAGGAAAGGCGACCAGAUCCCAGCCUCGACCACCGGCGAGGCUGCGGGUUCCCCGCCCCUCCUUCAGUCGCUCCGGCGAUGGGAGGGGGGGACCCCAAUCCUCUCCCUGUUUGUAGAUAGUUGUAGGGUUAGGUUUUCAGGUGGCUUCGUCCAGGUGUGGUGGCGGCAGAGCAGCGUCAGAUAAAUCUUCCUCAAUUCCGCCUCCUCCAGUGCCUUCGAGAGGCUGGAAGGUCUUGUAUUGGAGCUUGGUGGUCGCGGGUGGACGUCUUCGUGGCGAUCUCAAUGCCGUCGAGAGGUUUGGCCUCAUUUGUUUUUAAGGAACAUGCAGUAAAUUUCUUAAAAAAAUCUGAGUGUACAACAAUUCAGGAGCGGAUGCAUUAUGCACACUAAAGCGAAAGUGUGCACCAAAGCGACAACUUUUAAAAUUUCCAUCACUAUCUCUUUCAAACAUAUAUAGCACAUCAGAUAAGAUCAAUUAUGCAUUGGUGGAAAAAAAAUCUAGAAAGAGAAACUUUAAUUUUGUGUGGCAUGUGUGAUCGGAGAGCUUGCAUAUGCCAAGGCAGUAAUGCCAUCUUCCUGCCGAUAUAAAGCAUCCCGUUAGCAACCUUACAAUUCAGGCGAAGAGUUUCAACCAACACAGAGAGCUCCUCUCCAAACCUCUCCCUUCUCUCCACCAGGAGACUAGGGUUAGAGAGAGAGAGAGAGUGAGACAAGAGCAAAAACAAUCUCUCGCCCCACUGUUAUACCAAGUUUGCAUCCAUCUCAUAUCCCUCUAUAUAUCUUUGUAUCACGAUGGCAGGCCUAUCCCUAGAGCACCCUUGGGCAUUCGCCUUCGGCCUCCUAGGUAUAUACUAUUCAGUACAAAAGAUUAUUUCCUCGAAUUACCCCUUGUAUUAUGUUAGUUUCUUGUUUACAACAGCUAUUUGCUAGUGCAGUACUAGUAGACUACUUUGUGUCAUUAAAGAUCGGCCUUUUGCAACAUCGAUCUAUAUAUCUUAUUUUUGCUUGCCACUUGCCACUGAUUGAUUGAUGAAUUGAUGUAGCCUAGUACUAGCUCUAGUGACAUCUAGCUCGGUGCACCAUGAACCCAUAAAGAAACAACAACAAAGCAAAUUGCAUAUGUUUUUUCUCAAAGGAUAAAGCGUAUAAAAGAAAGAUGUAAGUGUGCCCAGCAAUUAUCACAACUCAUCGCUAACUUUCCUACCAUGCUAACUUUGUGCCGUGCAGGCAACAUCAUCUCUUUCACAAGCCUCCUGGCCCCCAUGUAAGCGACAGUCUCUGUUUUCUUCAUAUGAUUGAUCAUAUCAAUAUGUCCUCCGAUAACUUGUCUGCACAUAAUAAAUUUAUCAGACCAACAUUCUACCGGAUCUUCAAGAGCAAAUCCACGGAGGGGUUCCAGUCGGUGCCCUACGUCGUGGCCCUGUUCAGCGCGAUGCUGUGGAUCUUCUACGCGCUGGUGAAGACUGGUGAGGGCCUCCUCAUCACCAUCAACGCUGCCGGCUGCGUCAUCGAGACCGUCUACAUCGUCAUGUACCUCGUCUACGCCCCCACGAAGGCCAAGAUUUUCACAGCCAAGAUCGUCCUCCUACUCAACAUCGCCAGCUUCGGGCUCAUCCUCCUCCUCACCCUCUUUGCCUUCCACGGCGAGACACGCGUCGUCUCGCUCGGCUGGAUCUGCGUCGGCUUCUCCGUUUGUGUCUUCGUCGCCCCUCUCAGCAUCAUCGUGAGUCAUCGACAGAUAAACUUUGUUGUAUAUAUUGUUGCUCAUGGCGCAACCUUUUGUACGUGUUAACUAACUGUAUGUGUCAUGUCCUUUCCCCAGGGACGAGUCAUCAAGACCAAGAGUGUGGAGUACAUGCCCUUCUCCCUCUCCCUCACGCUCACCCUCAGCGCCGUCGUCUGGUUCCUCUACGGCCUACUCAUCAAGGACAAAUAGGUCGCGGUAAUUAAAACAUCAUCCAAUCCUUCUGUUAAUUUUCCGAUAGAUACGCAUUCCAUUCUCAAGCAUUUGCACUGACGAGUGACAAUUAACGUUUUAUUUGCAGCUCCCAAACAUCCUUGGCUUCACCUUCGGGAUGAUCCAGAUGGCCCUUUACAUGUUCUACAUGAACGCGACACCGGCAGUGAGCAAUCUCAAGGAGGGGAAAGAGGGAUUGAAGAAGCCAGCGGAGGAGCACGUUGUCGUAAUCAACGUUGGUAAGAUCGAAAAGAGCUCCGGCGCUGUGGUUCGCCCGGUCACCGAGAUGCACAACGCCAUCCCCAGCAGAUGCGCUGCUGAGGCGGCGGCACCAGGGCAACAAGUGAUGGCGCUGGACUAUGCCCGUUCCGUCGACGUGGUCUAGAUUUACGCAUGCAGGGCUUGCAUGAUGCCUCUGUUCUGUUAAAUCAACUUCUUGAUUGUAUGAGGCACGAUAUUUGUUAACGAGACCGACAUGGCUAUAUCCUAGGGCAAAGGCAACUGGCGCUCCUCUCCAAGACACCCCAACACUGGCCACGCGGGCGCUGGCACACGCCGCCAGCUCCUCCGUGUAUUUAUUGUAUCAAUUUGUUGUGAGUUAAAAGUAUGGUGCCCCCUCCUCAUCAUUAUAUAAGAGGCCUAGAAUACAACGUGUUUGACUCCAGCACAAACUCGUAUCCAUCCACAUCAAUUACAGCUCCAAAUUCAUGUAAUCCUUUGGCUACAAUAUUCCACACAAAUAUAAAAAAUUGGGAACAGGGACAUUUUCUGAAAUUCUUAAAAAAUGGAAGACCGAACAUCUUCUGAAAAUGCACACAGUUUUAAUUUACUUUUUCUUGAAAAUGGGAAUAUUUUUCCGAAAUUUUAAAAAGUAUAAUAAAAACGCAAACAUUUUGUUUUUACAUUUCGAAUAAUAUUUGAACACUCAUUUAAAAAAAUGAACUUGAAGUUAAAGAAAAGGCAUCGAGAUACCAGGGAAAAUUCAGUUAAUAAACCUUCCAUAAGGUUCCGAAAAUUGGAUAAAAUAGAAAAUAAAAUUAGUUCAUGAACCUUCCAAAAGGUUCCCAAAACAAGUUAAACCAGGCAGAAACCUCCUAGAAGGUUCCCAAAAUUGGAACGAAUGAGAACAAUUUAAAUGGGCCAGACAUAUAAACCCUGUUGUUUUGUCGACCGUUCAACGUAACAAACGUCUAGACGUCUAGUAGGACUCUCGAAACUCCCCCUUUGCUCCUUAGGCCCCCGAAAGAAAAGUUGGCACUCACGUCCAUCAUAGUGUUCCACAUCCCAAGUGGAGUAGCUCGCUCGUGAUCACUACUCCCAAGGAGCUCUUUUUUCACUAAAAAAACAGUAGCUUAGUGUUCUUUUUUUCAUUUGCUCGUUUUUUCUCGGUUUUCUCUUCUGCUAUUGUUUUAUUCACCAAAAAACACUAGUUGCUGGUUUUAAAUUCAAGAAAAUAUUCAUAAUUUCAAAAUAAGUUUAAGAGUUUACGAAAAGUUCAUGAUUUUGAAAAACAAUCACGGAUUUUAAAAGAAAUCAUGAAAUUAAAAAAUCUUGAAUUUUUAAAGAUGUUCCUGAAUUUGGAAAACAUUACUGGAUUAAAUCAUAAAUUUAAAAAAAGCCCAUGAAUUUGAAAAAUCUGCAGAUAUUUGGAAAAUGGGACAACUGGGAGCUGAAUUGGGAGUUGUGUACCAAAUGGCCUCUAGCAAGAUUUGGCUACUAAUAGCUUUUUAAGUAGAGGUAGUUGCUAAAAUAAAAUAGUUAAGUGUUGUCAACUAGCAGACUGAAUUGGGGGGGAUGACGUUCACGCAUUGUGGAGGGAAGGCCAAUGAGGGAGGUGAUAUCUAACCUCAGGUUUGUGAGCUAGUGAACCCACUAAUUUUAUUAGUGCAACUUGAAAGUGUAACGAGCCUUCAAAUUCAGUUUUGAUAAUAAAGAUAUAUGAUUUCUAGACUAGUGGUUUCUAUACCCUAAUCAUUUUUUGAAACAAUACUACCAUUUAUUUUAUAAGUAACAGAGUCAUCUUCCCUACAAAACCAGAGUUGAGUUUAUAGAUGUAUAAUUUCUAACUUUGUGAAAAAUUCGAUGCAAUUCCCUAAAUUACUUGGGUGCCAAAAUACCUUUACCUCCACAAUUCGGACUUGGUGCAGACAAUUAUGACAUUACAUUCAAUUUCGGCCCCUGACAAAAAAAUAAAACUAGGUCAAUAUCUUCUAAAUUCAGUAGACUUUGAUGUAAAAUUUAUAUCUUGGGAAAUUUUAAACCCUUGUGAGAUUCGGACUGCGCUUCGGUGCCUUAAGGCACAUCCUUUGUGCCUAUGACAUGUGGGUCCAACCGGUGGCUGGCCCACAUGUCAAGGACACAAAGGCAGGUGCCUUUAAGGCACUGAAGCUGCGUCCGUGAGAUCCGCAUGUAGGUAUGUACGAUGCGCUUUUUCAGGAGGAGGGCGGGUCGGUCGGAGAGGCAAACAAGAGAGGUCAUGUGAUAGGGACCAGGACCAUACUAUGGGAACAUGGAAGUCCCAUGAGAUGGCGGCGGCGCAGCCGGUGUCAUUAACUGGAAUCAGAGAAUUUGCCAUCAGUCGGUUCUUCACCGUCUCCUAGCUGACGGUGAAGACAUGAUGGUAAAUCCGCAAUUUGCCAUCAGCUUUAUCUUUGUCGUCGCUAGAAGACUGCAAAGAGGUGAGAGUGGGGUCCAGUGGAGGCCAGUUUAUUGCAACGACCUACCACACCUAUUUGCCGUCUGCUAGCAGAUGCAAUAAGCCGGCCUCCACUGGACCUCACUCCCACCUCAUUGCCGUCUGCUAGCGGACGACAAAGUUUCUUUGCCGUCCGCUAGCAGACGACAAACUAGCCACUACCUAACGGCCCGUUACCCACCCUCUCUCUCUCUCUCUCUCUNNNNNNNNNNNNNNNNNNNNNNNNNNNNNNNNNNNNNNNNNNNNNNNNNNNNNNNNNNNNNNNNNNNNNNNNNNNNNNNNNNNNNNNNNNNNNNNNNNNNNNNNNNNNNNNNNNNNNNNNNNNNNNNNNNNNNNNNNNNNNNNNNNNNNNNNNNNNNNNNNNNNNNNNNNNNNNNNNNNNNNNNNNNNNNNNNNNNNNNNNNNNNNNNNNNNNNNNNNNNNNNNNNNNNNNNNNNNNNNNNNNNNNNNNNNNNNNNNNNNNNNNNNNNNNNNNNNNNNNNNNNNNNNNNNNNNNNNNNNNNNNNNNNNNNNNNNNNNNNNNNNNNNNNNNNNNNNNNNNNNNNNNNNNNNNNNNNNNNNNNNNNNNNNNNNNNNNNNNNNNNNNNNNNNNNNNNNNNNNNNNNNNNNNNNNNNNNNNNNNNNNNNNNNNNNNNNNNNNNNNNNNNNNNNNNNNNNNNNNNNNNNNNNNNNNNNNNNNCACCGCUACCGCCCUCGAUCCAACGCCGCCCCCGACCCCACACCGACCCGGCCUACAGCUUCGACCCCACGCCGCCGCCGCCGCCUGAUACGUCCAUUUUGCAUCAUGCUUUUAUAUCGAUAUUUAUUGCAUUAUGGGUUGUUAUUUCACGUUAUGUCACAAUACUUAUGGCUAUUCUCUCUUAUUUUACAAGGUUUACAUGAAGAGGGAGAAUGCCGGCAGCUGGAAUUCUGUGCUGGAAAAGGAGCAAAUAUUGGAGGCCUAUUCUGCGCAACUCCAAAAGUCCUGAAACUCCACGGAAUAUCUUAAAAUAAAUAAAGAAAAAUCAUCGCCAAAGAUGAAGGCCAGGGGCCCCACACCGUGCUCACAAGGGUGGGGGGCGCCCCCCUGGUGGCUCUCCGACGCCCAUCUUCUCCUAUAUGAAGUCUUUCCAUGAGAAAAAAUACAAGGCAACCGAUGAGACUCUGCCGCCACGAGGCAGAACCUUGGUGGAACCAAUCUAGGGCUCCGGCAGAGCUGUUCUGCCGGGGACACUUCCCUCCGGGAGGGGGAAAUCAUCACCAUCGUCAUCACCAACGCUCCUCUCAUCGGGAGAGGGCAAUCUCCAUCAACAUCUUCACCAGCACCAUCUCAUCUCCAAACCCUAGUUCAUCUCUUGUAUCCAAUUCUUGUCUCCAUGUCCGGGAUUGGUGCUAGUAGGUUGCUAGUAGUGUUGAUUACUCCUUGUAGUUGAUGCUAGUUGGUUUAUUUGGUGGAAGAUCAUAUGUUCAGAUCCUUUAUGCACAUUAUUAUCCCUCUGAUUAUGAACAUGAAUAUGCUUUGGGAGUAGUUACGUUCGUUCCUGAGGACAAGGGAGAAGUCUUGUUAUUAGUAUUCAUGUGAAUUUGGUAUUCGUUCGAUAUUUUGAUAAGGUGUAUGUUGUCUAGCCUCUAGUGGUGUUAUGUGAACGUCGACUACAUAACACUUCACCAUUAUUUGGGCCUAGAGGAAGGCAUUGGGAAGUAAUAAGUAGAUGAUGGGUUGCUAGAGUGACAGAAGCUUAAACCCUAGUUUAUGCGUUGCUUCGUAAGUGGCUGAUUUGGAUCCAUAUGUUUCAUGCUAUGGUUAGGUUUACCUUAAUACUUUUGUUGUACUUGCGGAUGCUUGCAAUAGAGGUUAAUCAUAAGUGGUAUGCUUGUUCAAGUAAGAACAGCACCCAAGCACCGGUCCACCCACAUAUCAAAUUAUCAAAGUACCGAACGCGAAUCAUAUGAGUGUGAUGAAAACUAGCUUGACGAUAUUCCCAUGUGUCCUCGGGAGCGCUUUUCCUAUUAUAAGAGUUUGUCCAGGCUUGUCCUUUGCUACAAAAAGGAUUGGGCCACCUUGCUGCCCUUUAUUUACUUUUGUUACUUGUUGCUCGUUACAAUUUAUCUUAUCACAAAACUAUCUGUUACCACUUAUUUCAGUACUUGCAGAGAAUACCUUGCUAAAAACCGCUUAUCAUUUCCUUCUGCUCCUCGUUGGGUUCGACACUCUUACUUAUAGAAAGGACUACGAUAGAUCCCCUAUACUUGUGGGUCAUCAAGACUCUUUUCUGGCGCCGUUGCCGGGGAGUGAAGCGCCUUUGGUAGGUUGAAUUUGGUAAGGAAAAAUUUAUAUAGUGUGCUGAAACUUUCUGUCACUUGUUACUAUGGAAAGUAAUUGUCUGAGGGGCUUGUUCGGGGUAUCUUCACCCCGUCCAGUAGAGCAAAGAGUUGCUCCUCAACCCACUCGACCUACUGAACCUAUUGAAAAUGAAACUCCUUUUGAGAUUCCUUCGGGUUUGAUGGAAAAACUGCUAGCUAACACUUUUACAGGAGAUGGAACAAAGCAUCCUGAUGAACAUCUACGCUAUGUGGUUGAUGUUUGUGGACUAUUUAAGCUUGCAGGUAUACCCGAUGAUGUUGUUAAGAAGAAUACCUUCCCUUUAUCUUUGAAGGGAGACGCAUUGACAUGGUACAGGCUAUGUGAUGAUAUGAGAUCAUGGAACUAUAAAAGAUUGAAAUUGGAAUUCAUCAAAAGUAUUACCCUAUGCAUCUUGUUCAUCGUGAUCGCAAUUAUAUAUAUAAUUUUUGGCCUCGCGAAGGAGAAAUCAUCGCUCAAGCUUGGGGGAGGCUUAAAUCAAUGUUAUAUUCAUGCCCCAAUCAUGAGCUCGCAAGAGAAGUGAUUAUGCAAAGUUUUUAUGCUCGGCUUUCUGAUAACAAUCGCACCAUGCUCGAUACUUCUUGUGCUGGCUCUUUUAUGAUGAAGACUAUUGAAUUUAGAUGGAAUUUAUUGGAUAGAAUUAAACGCAACUCUGAAGAUUGGGACCUCGAUGAAGGUAAGGAGUCAGGUAUGACACCUAAGUUUGAUUGUGUUAAAUCUUUUAUGGACACUGAUAUUUUCCGUAAGUUUAGCACUAAAUAUGGACUUGACUCUGAGAUAAUAGCUUCUUUCUGUGAAUCUUUUGCUACUUAUGUUGCUCUCCCCAAGGAGAAGUGGUUUAAAUAUCAUCCUCCCAUAGAAGUAAAAGUAGCUGCACCUAUUAAAGUUGAAGAAAAGACUGUCACGUAUAAUGAUCCUAUUGUUUCCACUUCUUAUGUUGAGAAACCACCUUUCCCCGUUAGAAUGAAGGAUCAUGCUAAAGCUUCAAUUGUUGUGCAUAAAAGCGAUAUUAGAACUUAUACACAUCCUGAGCAAAUCAAAGUAGAACCCACUAUUGCUAUUGUUAAAGAUCUCUUGUCUGAUAAUAUUGAUGGGCAUGUUAUUCAAUUCUGUGGUGAAACUGCCAGAAUUGCUAAACCUUGUGAUAGAGAUAAACAUAGACCUGUGUUAGGCAUGCCUAUUAUUUCUAUUAAAAUAAGAGAUCAUUGUUAUCAUGGCUUGUGUGAUAUGGGUGCUAGUGCUAGUGUUAUACCCAUUAACUUAUACAAAGAAAUUAUGCAUGAUAUUGCACCUGCUGAGUUAGAAGAUAUUGAUGUUACAAUUAAACUUGCCAAUAGAGAUACUAUAUCUGCAAUUGGAAUUGUUAGAGAUGUUGAAGUCUUGUGUGGAAAAACCAAAUAUCCCGCUGAUUUUCUUGUUCUUGGUUCUCCACAAGAUAGCUUUUGUCCCAUUAUAUUUGGUAGACCCUUCUUGAAUACUGUUAAUGCUACGAUAGACUGUAAAAAGGAUGUUGUUACUGUUGGCUUGGAUGAUAUGGUUCAUGAGUUUAAUUUCUCUAAAUUUAGUAAACAACAUCGUGAGGAAGAAUUGCCUAGUAAGGAUGAGAUUAUUGGUCUUGCUUCUAUUGCCGUGCCUCCUAGUGAUCAUUUAGAACAAUAUUUGCUAGACCAUGAAAAUGAUAUGUUCAUGAAUGAGAGAAGAGAAAUAGAUGAAGUAUUGUUUAAACAGGAACCUAUUCUGCAACACAAUUUACCUGUUGAAAUCCUAGGGGAUCCUCCUCCACCCAAGGGUGAUCCCUUGUUUGAGCUUAAACCGUUGCCUGAUAAUCUUUAAUAUGGUUAUCUUGAUGAAAAGAAAAUAUAUCCUGUCAUUAUUAGUGCUAACCUUUCAGAGUAUGAAGAAGAAAGAUUAUUGAAAACUCUGAAAAAGCACCGUGCUACUAUUGGAUAUACUUUGGAUGUUCUUAAGGGCAUCAGUCCCACUCUAUGUCAACAUAAAAUAAAUUUGGAAGCUGAUGCCAAACCAGUUUGUGAUCCUCAACGAUGUUUGAAUCCUAAAAUGAAAGAAGUGGUAAGAAAGGAAAUACUCAAGCUUCUGGAGGCAGGUAUAAUUUAUCCCGUUGCUGAUAGUCAGUGGGUAAGUCCUGUCCAUUGUGUCCCUAAGAAGGGAGGUAUUACUGUUGUCCCUAAUGAUAAAGAUGAAUUGAUUCCACAAAGAAUCAUCACAGUUUAUAGGAUGGUAAUUGAUUUACGCAAAUUAAAUAAGGCUACUAAGAAAGAUCAUUACCCCUUACCUUUUAUUGAUCAAAUGCUAGAAAGAUUAUGCAAACAUACACACUAUUGCUUUCUAGAUGGUUAUUCUGGUUUCUCUCAAAUACCUGUGUCGGCUAAAGAUCAAUCAAAGACUACUUUUACAUGCCCUUUUGGUACUUUUGCUUAUAGACGUAUGCCUUUUGGUUUAUGUAAUGCACCUGCUACCUUUCAAAGAUGCAUGAUGGCUAUAUUCUCUGACUUUUGCGAAAAGAUUUGUGAGGUUUUCAUGGACGACUUUUCCGUUUAUGGUUCCUCUUUUGAUGAUUGCUUGAGCAAUCUUGCCCGAGUUUUGCAGAGAUGUGAAGAAACUAAUCUUGUCUUGAAUUGGGAAAAGUGCCACUUUAUGGUUAAUGAAGGUAUUUUCUUGGGCACAAAGUUUCUGAAAGAGGUAUUGAAGUUGAUAAAGCCAAGGUUGAUGCUAUUGAAAAGAUGCCAUGUCCCAAGGACAUCAAAGGUAUAAGAAGUUUCCUUGGUCACGCGGAUUUUAUAGGAGGUUCAUUAAGGACUUCUCAAAAAUCUCUCGGCUUCUGACUAAUUUAUUACAAAAAGAUGUACCAUUUGUCUUUGAUGAUGAUUGUGUAGAAGCAUUUGAAAUACUUAAGAAAGCAUUAGUCUCUGCACCUGUUGUUCAGCCACCUGAUUGGAAUCUACCCUUUGAAAUUGUGUGUGAUGCUAGUGAUUAUGCUGUAGGUGUUGUUCUAGGGCAAAGAGUUGAUAAGAAAUUAAAUGUUAUCCAUUAUGCUAGUAAGACUCUAGACAAUGCCCAAAGAAAUUAUGCUACUACCGAAAAGGAACUUUUAGCAGUUGUGUUUGCUUGUGAUAAGUUUAGACCUUAUAUUGUUGAUUCCAAAGUUACUAUUCACACUGAUCAUGCUGCUAUUAAAUAUCUUAUGGAAAAGAAAGAUGCAAAACCUAGACUCAUUAGAUGGGUUCUCCUGCUGCAAGAAUUUGAUUUACAUAUUGUUGAUAGAAAGGGAGCUGAGAACCCCGUUGCAGACAACUUGUCUAGGUUAGAGAAUGUUCUUGAUGACCCACUACCUAUUGAUGAUAGCUUUCCUGAUGAACAAUUAAAUGCCAUAAGCACUUCUCGUAGCACUCCAUGGUAUGCUGAUUAUGCUAAUUAUAUUGUUGCUAAAUUUAUACCACCUAGCUUCACAUACCAACAAAAGAAAAAGUUUUUCUAUGACUUGCGACAUUACUUUUGGGAUGACCCACAUCUUUAUAAAGAAGGAGUAGAUGGUGUUAUUAGACGUUGUGUACCUGAGCAUGAACAGGAACAGAUCCUACACCAGUGUCACUCCAAAGCUUAUGGAGGACACCACGCUGGAGAUAGAACUGCACAUAAGGUAUUGCAAUCCGGUUUUUAUUGGCCUACUCUCUUCAAGGAUGCACGUAAGUUUGUUUUGUCUUGCGAUGAAUGUUAAAGAAUUGGUAAUAUUAGUAGACGUCAAGAAAUGCCUAUGAAUUAUUCACUUGUUAUUGAACCAUUUGAUGUUUGGGGCUUUGAUUAUAUGGGACCUUUUCCUGCCUCUAAUGGAUAUACUCAUAUUUUAGUUGUUGUUGAUUACGUUACUAAGUGGGUAGAAGCUAUUCCAACUAGUAGUGCUGAUCAUAACACUUCUAUUAAAAUGCUUAAGGAAGUUAUUUUUCCGAGGUUUGGAGUCCCUAGAUAUUUAAUGACUGAUGGUGGUUCACAUUUGAUUCAUGGUGCUUUCCGUAAGAUGCUUGCUAAAUAUGACAUUAAUCAUAGAAUUGCAUCUCCAUAUCACCCGCAGUCUAGUGGUCAGGUAGAAUUGAGCAAUAGAGAGCUCAAAUUAAUUUUGCAAAAGACUGUCAAUAGGUCUAGAAAGAAUUGGUCCAAGAAACUUGAUGAUGCAUUAUGGGCCUAUAGAACUGCAUAUAAGAAUCCUAUGGGUAUGUCUCCGUAUAAAAUGGUUUAUGGAAAAGCUUGUCACUUACCGCUCGAACUAGAACCUAAGGCAUAUUGGGCUAUUAAAGAUCUCAACUACGAUUUCAAACUUGCCGGUGAGAAGAGGUUAUUUGAUAUUAGCUCACUUGAUGAAUGGAGAACCCAAGCUUAUGAAAAUGACAAGUUGUUUAAAGAAAAAGUUAAAAUAUGGCAUGACAAAAGGAUACAAAAGCGUGAGUUUAAUGUAGGUGAUUAUGUAUUGCUAUACAACUCUCGUUUAAGAUUUUUUACAGGAAAACUUAUCUCCAAAUGGGAAGGUCCCUACGUUAUCGAGGAGGUCUAUCGUUCCGGUGCCAUAAAAAUAAACAACUUUGCAGGCACAAAUCUGAAGGUGGUAAACGGUCAAAGGAUUAAACACUAUAUUUCAGGUAAUCCCAUAAAUGUUGAAACUAAUAUUAUUGAAACCGUAACCCCGGAGGAAUACAUAAAGGACACUUUCCAGAAUGUUCCAGACUCCGAAAAGGAAUAGGUAUGUGGUACGGUAAGUAAACCGACUCCAAAACAAUUUUUAAGGAAAUAUUUAUCUAUUUUGGAAUAUUUAAAAAAUAGAAAAAUAAGUAGCAGUCCGGGGAGGACACGAGGCCUCCACGAGGGUGGAGGGUGCGCCCUACCCCCCUGGGUGCGCCCCCCUACCUCGUGAGCACCUCGUGUGCCCUCGGGACUCCGUUUCCUUGCACGAUACAUAUUCUGGUAGUUAAAAAUUCAUUAUAUAUACUCCCGAAGGUUUUGACUCUCGUAUCACGCAAAUAUCCUCUGUUUUCGUUUCGAGCUGUUCCUGCUGCAGAUUUGAACAAGAUGUUGUCCCAAGAUUCGGAGGGAGAGAGCUACAUAGCUGAUUAUAUUGCAAAUCCAAGAGUAUAUGGGGACGUGGAACACUAUGGCUGGACCACGGAAGAAGAAGAAGACUAUGAUCCAAAGAGGAAGGAGGAGACAAGCUCUGAUGAAGAGGACUACCCACUGCCUCAACCUGGUGAUAUGCAUGUGGAGUUCAAGAAGUCAAGCCUCCCUAAGGUCCAAUCUAUCCCACCAUGUUUUUUGCAGGACAGCAAGGCAACACUAUGCAAGAAGAUAAUGAAACUUGAGCUCGAGAAUGAGGAUCUGAGGGAGGAAAAUUUUAGCCUCAGGCGUAAGCUAGAGAAGAAAAGUGCAACGAAUCCUACUUCACCACCUCCGAAGAUAUAAUAACGUGGGUAUGGGCACUCCCCUUGGCAACUGCCAAGCUUGGGGGAGGUGCCCUGGUAUAGUAUCACCAUCACAACUCCUAUCUUUACUGUUUUUCUUAGUUCGAUCUAUUUAGUAGUAUUUUGAUUUAGUAGAAUAAAGUCAUGGCAAGAUCUAGUUUUGAGUUUUGCUUUAUGAUCCUUCUUUGUAAUCGAGUCUGUGAGCUAUAUAAUAAAGAUUAGUGUUGAGUCAAGGGCUUGAGUAUUUUGCCAUGAUCUUGGGUGAUUAGAAGAAAAAGAAUAAAAAGAAUCAAAGAGUUCAUAUUGAUCUUAGUGAAAGUAAUGACUUCACAUAGAAAGAGUAUGAUGAUUAAAGGUUGUUGGGAGUUGGCAAAUAUAGCUUUGGUCAUCGUUGCAAUUAAUAGGAAGUAAUAAGGAAAGAGAGGUUUCACAUAUAUAUAUAUAUAUUAUCAUUGACAUCUUUUAUGAUUGGGAGCACUCAUUAAAAUAUGACAUGCUAAAAGAGUUGAGGUUGGACAAGGAAGACAACGUAAUGAGUUAUGUUUUCUUACAUCUGAGAUAAAGUAUGUUGUCAUGGAUCCUCUAACGUGUUGAGCUUGCCUUUCCCCCUCAUCCUAGCCAAAUUCUCGGCACCAAGUAGAAAUACUACUUGUGCUUCCCAAUACCCUUAAACCAGUUUUGCCAUGAGAGUCCACCAUAUCUACCUAUGGAUUGAGUAAGAUCCUUCAAGUAAGUUGUCAUCAGUGCAAGCAAUAAAAAAUGCUCUCUAAAUAUGCAUGACUUAUUAGUGCAGAGAAAAUAAACUUUGUACGAACUUGUUGUGGACGCAAUAAAAGCGACGGACUGCAUAAUAAAGGUUCACAUACAAGGGGCAAUAUAAAGUGAUGUUCUUUUGCAUUAAGAUUUUGUGCAUCAACCCUAAAUGCGCAUGACAACCUCUGCUUCCCUCUGCGAAGGACCUAUCUUUUAUUAUUAUCCUCUAUCUUAUGCAAGAGUCACGGUGAUCUUCACCUUUCCCUUUUAUUUUAUCCUUUGGCAAGCUCAGCAUGUUGGAAAGAACAUGAUAUAUAUAUCUAAUUGGAUGUGGGGGAGAAUGAAAUAUUAUUGUUGACAUUACCCUUUAGGUAAAAGGUUGUGAGGCAAAACUAUAAGCCCCUAUCUUUCUCUGUGUCCGAUUAAAACUCCGUAACCACAAGUAUCGCGUGAGUGUUAGCAAUUAUGAAGGACUAAGUGAUAGUUGAGUAUGUGGAGUUGCUUUUAAGCUCUGACAUAGACUCUUUCCGAUGUUAUGAUAAAUUGCAAUUGUUUCAAUGACUGAGGUUAUAAUUUGUUGGCGCUCAAUAAGGCUUCUGAUUCAUACUCUGGCUUCGGGAAAUGAUCAUCGUUUGAACAUGAGUAAUCAUAUGAUAAAAUCUAUUUAUGUUGCUGUUAUGGAAAUAAUCAUGCUGCCUUCAUGUCCGUAUUUUUAUUUUUAUCGACGCCUCUACCUCUAAACAUGAGGAAAUAUUUAUUGUUAUCGGCUUUUCGCUUGAGGACGAGCGAGGUGUAAGCUUGGGGGAGUUGAUACGUCCAUUUUGCAUCAUGCUUUUAUAUCAAUAUUUAUUGCAUUAUGGGCUGUAAUUUCACGUUAUGUCACAAUACUUAUGGCUAUUCUCUCUUAUUUUACAAGGUUUACAUGAAGAGGGAGAAUGCCGGCAGCUGGAAUUCUGGGCUGGAAAAGGAGAAAAUAUUGGAGGCCUAUUCUGCACAACUCCAAAAGUCCUGAAACUCCACGGAAUAUCUUAAAAUAAAUAAAGAAAAAUCGUCGCCAAAGAUGAAGGCCAGGGGGCCCACACCCUGCUCACGAGGGUGGGGGCGCGCCCCCCUGGGCGCGCCCCCUACCUCGUGGGCCCCCUGGUGGCUCUCCGACGCCCAUCUUCUCCUAUAUGAAGUCUUUCCAUGAGAAAAAAAUACAAGGUAACCUUUCGGGACGAGACUCCGCCGCCACGAGGCGGAGCCUUGGCGGAACCAAUCUAGGGCUCCGGCAGAGCUGUUCUGCCGGGGACACUUCCCUCCAGGAGGGUGAAAUCAUCACCAUCGUCAUCACCAAUGCUCCUCUCAUCGGGAGAGGGCAAUCUCCAUCAACAUAUUCACCAGCACCAUCUCAUCUCCAAACCCUAGUUCAUCUCUUGUAUCCAAUUCUUGUCUCCAUGUCCGGGAUUGGUGCUAGUAGGUUGCUAGUAGUGUUGAUUACUCCUUGUAGUUGAUGCUAGUUGGUUUAUUUGGUGGAAGAUCAUAUGUUCAGAUCCUUUAUGCACAUUAUUACCCCUCUGAUUAUGAACAUGAAUAUGCUUUGGGAGUAGUUACGUUCGUUCCUGAGGACAAGGGAGAAGUCUUGUUAUUAGUAUUCAUGUGAAUUUGGUAUUCGUUCGAUAUUUUGAUAAGAUGUAUGUUGUCUAGCCUCUAGUGGUGUUAUGUGAACGUCGACUACAUAACACUUCACCAUUAUUUGGGCCUAGAGGAAGGCAUUGGGAAGUAAUAAGUAGAUGAUGGGUUGCUAGAGUGACAGAAGCUUAAACUCUAGUUUAUGCGUUGCUUCGUAAGGGGCUGAUUUGGAUCCAUAUGUUUCAUGCUAUGGUUAGGUUUACCUUAAUACUUUUGUUAUAGUUGUGGAUGCUUGCAAUAGAGGUUAAUCAUAAGUGGGAUGCUUGUUCAAGUAAGAACAACACCCAAGCACCGGUCCAUCCACAUAUCAAAUUAUCAAAGUACCUAACGUGAAUCAUAUGAGCGUGAUGAAAACUAGCUUGACGAUAUUCCCAUGUGUCCUCGGGAGCGCUUUUCCUAUUAUAAGAGUUUGUCCAGGCUUGUCCUUUGCUACAAAAAGGAUUGGGCCACCUUGCUGCACUUUAUUUACUUUUGUUACUUGUUGCUCGUUACAAUUUAUCGUAUCACAAAACUAUUUGUUACCACUUAUUUUAGUACUUGCAGAGAAUACCUUGCUGAAAACCGCUUAUCAUUUCCUUCUGGUCCUUGUUGGGUUCGACACUCUUACUUAUCGAAAGGACUACGAUAUAUCCCCUAUACUUGUGGGUCAUCACCGCCCCCGACUGCACCCCGCCGCCGCCCCCGACCCUGACCGCACGCUGCAGCCGCCCUGGACCCCAUGCCGCCCCUGCUCCCCACCACACCCCGCCGCCGUCCCCGACCCCACGCCGCCCCCGACCGCACAGCGCCGGCGCCCGCGACCCCCCACCACCNNNNNNNNNNNNNNNNNNNNNNNNNNNNNNNNNNNNNNNNNNNNNNNNNNNNNNNNNNNNNNNNNNNNNNNNNNNNNNNNNNNNNNNNNNNNNNNNNNNNNNNNNNNNNNNNNNNNNNNNNNNNNNNNNNNNNNNNNNNNNNNNNNNNNNNNNNNNNNNNNNNNNNNNNNNNNNNNNNNNNNNNNNNNNNNNNNNNNNNNNNNNNNNNNNNNNNNNNNNNNNNNNNNNNNNNNNNNNNNNNNNNNNNNNNNNNNNNNNNNNNNNNNNNNNNNNNNNNNNNNNNNNNNNNNNGGCACGCCGCCCCGGCCCGUCGGUGUCGGUCUCCUCCACCUCGACCUCCACCUCCCCCACUCCGGUGAGCCUCCUCCCCCUCUCUUUUUUUUCAAUUUUUUCUCUGUUAGUGUAGUUAGUUUAGUUAGAGUAGUUAGUUACUAUAGUUAGUGUAGUUAGUGUAGUUUAGUUAGUGUAGUUUGGUUAGUUAGUGUAGUGUAGUGUAGUGUAGUUAGUGUAGUUUUGGUCAGUUAGUGUAGUGUAGUUUAGUUAAUUUAGUUUAGUUGUAGUUUAGUUAUUUAGUUUAGUUAAUCUAGUUUAGUUGUAGUUAGUUACUGUAAUGCACUGCCUGGAUGUAAAGGAAAAAAUAAACUGUAAAUGUAGAGAUCCCAAGAUCCCUCCCCUCGUCGGUCACUAACCUAUCCCUCCCCGGAUCGCCCCCUCCUCGCAGAUCCUUGCUCGUGCCCCUUGCUUCAUCCAUUGGCUUCCCGUUCCGUCGAGGUGGUCUAGAUUUACGCAUGCAGGGCAUGCAUGAUGCCUCUGUUCUGUUAAAUCAACUUCUUGAUUAUAUGAGGCACGAUAUUUGUUAACGAGACUGACAUGGCUAUAUCCUAGGGCAAGGGCUACUGGCGCUCCUCUCCAAGACAUCCCAACACCGGCCGCCCGGGUGCUGGCACACGCCGCCAGCUCCUCUGUGUAUUUAUUGUAUCAAUUCGUUGUGAGUUAAAAGUAUGGUGCCCCCUCCUCAUCAUUAUAUAAAGAGGGCUAGAAUACAACGUGUUUGACUCCAGCACAAACUCGUAUCUAUCCACAUCAAUUACAGCUCCAAGUUCAUGUAAUCCCUUGGCUACAAUAUUUGACACAAUAUAACAAAUUGGGAACAGGGACAUUUUCUGAAAUUCUGAAAAAAAUGGAAGACCGAACAUCUACUGAAAAUGCACACAUUUUUUAAUUUACUUUUUAUUGAAAAUGGGAAUAUUUUUCUGAAAUUUUAAAAAGUAUAAUAAAAACGCAAAUAUUUUGUUUUUACAUUUCAACACUCAUUUAAAGAAAUAAACUUGAAAUUAAAAAAAGGCAUCGAGAUAACAGGGAAAAUUCAGUUAACAAACUUUCCAUAAGGUUCCCAAAAUUGGAUAAAAUAGGAAAGAAAAUUAGUUUAUGAACCUUCCGAAAGGUUCCCAAAACAUGUUAAACCAGACAGAAACCUCCUAGAAGGUUCCCAAAAUCGGAACGAAUGAGAACAAUUUAAAUGGGCCAGACAUAGAAACCCUGUUGUUUUGUCGACUGUUUGACGUAACAAACGUCUAGACGUCUAUUAGGACUCUCGAUACUCCCGGUCUAGACGUCUAGUAGGACUCUCGAAACCCCCCCUUUGCUCCUUAAGCCCCCGAAAGAAAAGUUGGCACUCACAUCCAUCACAGUGUUCCACAUCAGUACUCCCAAGGAGCUCUUUUUUCACUAAAAAACAGUAGCUUAGUGUUCUUUUUUUUCAUUUGCUCGCUUUUUCUCGGUUUUGUCUUGUGCUAUUGUUUUGUUCAUCAAAAGACACUAGUUGCUGGUUUUUAAAUUCAGGAAAAUAAUCAUAAUUUCAAAAUAAGUUUCAGAGUUUAGGAAAAGUUCAUGAUUUUGAAAAAAAAUCACGAAUUUUAAAAGAAGUCAUGAAAUAAAAAAAUCAUGAAUUUGAAAAUUGUUCAUGAAUUUUUAAAAUUGUUCCUGAAUUUGGAAAACGUUAAUGGAUUAAAUUAUAAAUUUAAAAAAGCCCAUGAAUUUGAAAAAUCUGCAGAUAUUUGGAAAAUGGGACAACUAGGAGUUGAAUUGGGCGUUGUGUACCAAAUUGCCUCUAGCAAGAUUUGGCUACUAAUAGCUUCUUAAGUAGAGGUAUUUGCUAAAAUAAAAUAGUUAAGGGUUGUCAACUAGCAGACUGAAUUGGGGGAUGAUGUUCUCGCAUUGUCGAGGGAAGGCCAAUGAGGGAGGUGAUAUCUGACCUUAGGUUUGUGAGCUAGUGAACCCACUAAUUUUAUUAGUGCAACUUGAAAGUGUAACGAGCCUUCAAAUUCAGUUUUCAUAAUAAAGAUAUAUGAUUUCCAGACUAGUGGUUUCUAUACCCUAAUCAUUUUCUAAAACAAUACUACCGUUUAUUUUAUAAGUAACAAAGUCAUCUUCCCUACAAAACCAGAAUUGAGUUUAUAGAUGUAUAAUUUCUAACUUUGUGAAAAAUUCGAUGCAAUUCCCUAAAAUUACUUGGGUGCCAAAAUACCUAUAGCUCCACAAUUCGGACUAGAUGCAGAAAUUAUGACAUUACAUUCAAUUUUGGUCCCUGACAAAAAAAUAAAACUGGGUAAAUAUCUUCUAAAUUCACUAGACUUUGAUGUAAAAUUUAUAUCUUGGGAAAUUUUAAACCCUUGUGAGAUCCGGCUUGCGCUUCGGUGCCUUAAGGCACAUGCCUUUGUCCCUAUGACAUGUGGGUCCAACUUAUGGCUGACCCACAUGUCAAGGACCCAAAGGCAGGUACCUUUAAGGCACUGAAGCUGCGUCCAUGAGAUCCGCAUGUAGGUAUGUACGAUGCGCUUUUUCGGGAGGAGGGCGGGUCGGUCGGAGAGAUGAAGAGGUGAUGGUGGGGUCCAGUGAAGGCCAGCUUAUUGCAACAGCCUACCACACCUCUUUGUCGUCUGCUAGCGGAUGCAAUAAGCCGGCCUUCACUGGACCNNNNNNNNNNNNNNNNNNNNNNNNNNNNNNNNNNNNNNNNNNNNNNNNNNNNNNNNNNNNNNNNNNNNNNNNNNNNNNNNNNNNNNNNNNNNNNNNNNNNNNNNNNNNNNNNNNNNNNNNNNNNNNNNNNNNNNNNNNNNNNNNNNNNNNNNNNNNNNNNNNNNNNNNNNNNNNNNNNNNNNNNNNNNNNNNNNNNNNNNNNNNNNNNNNNNNNNNNNNNNNNNNNNNNNNNNNNNNNNNNNNNNNNNNNNNNNNNNNNNNNNNNNNNNNNNNNNNNNNNNNNNNNNNNNNNNNNNNNNNNNNNNNNNNNNNNNNNNNNNNNNNNNNNNNNNNNNNNNNNNNNNNNNNNNNNNNNNNNNNNNNNNNNNNNNNNNNNNNNNNNNNNNNNNNNNNNNNNNNNNNNNNNNNNNNNNNNNNNNNNNNNNNNNNNNNNNNNNNNNNNNNNNNNNNNNNNNNNNNNNNNNNNNNNNNNNNNNNNNNNNNNNNNNNNNNNNNNNNNNNNNNNNNNNNNNNNNNNNNNNNNNNNNNGGCUCACUGCCCCGGCCCCCCGACGCCCCGACGCUCCGGCACGCUGCCUCGGCCGGCCGGCGUCGGUCUCUUCAACCUCGACCUCCACCUCCCCCACUCCGAUGAGCCCCCUCGCCCUCUCUUUCUUUCAAUUUUUUUCUCUGUUAGUGUAGUUAGUUUAGUUAGAGUAGUUAGUUAGUAUAGUUAGUAUAGGUAGUGUAGUUAGUGUAGUUAGUUUAUUUAGUUUAGUUAGUGUAGUGUAGUGUAGUUUAGUUAGUGUAGUUUGGUUAGUUAGUGUAGUGUAGUGUAGUUUAGUUAGUGUAGUUUUGGUCAGUUAGUGUUGUGUAGUUUAGUUUAAUUUAGUUAAUUUAGUUUAGUUGUAGUUUAGUUAGUUUAGUUUAGUUAAUCUAGUUUAGUUGUAGUUAGUUACUGUAAUGCACUGCCUAGAUGUAAAGGAAAAUAAAAUAAAAUGUUAAUGUUGAGAUCCCAAGAUCCCUCCCCUCGUCGGUCACUAACCUAUCCCUCUCCGGAUCGCCCCCUCCUCGUAGAUCCUCGCCGGUGCCCCUUGCUUCCUCCAUUGGCUACCCCUCCUCGGCUCCACCCCUCAUCGCCGACAGCAGCAGGAAGCUAGCUAUAUCCUCCUCCUCCCCCUUCCUUUGAUCUGUUCCGGCCUUCAUUCCAAUGACACUAGCUAGGUAACUACAGUCGCGUAACCAAUUUUUGUCUCAUGUUCGAAAGGGUCGCAUCGAUAAAUAUGCAACUAAAUAUGCAUCAAGUUGCAUAUUUAUCACCAUAACUCAUUCGGAUUGUCCAACGAUUUCCACGGACAGCCCAAGGAUGUGUAGAUUGGGUACGUUCUCCAUGUUCUACCCAAUUCCAAGAAACAAAUUCUCCAGCACCUCCCUGUUGUUCUUUGGAUGCACAUUCUCUCGGCUUUUUGCCGAGCCGUGUAUUUGGAGAACAGUGGGGAGGUGCUGCUGAAAUUUUGUCUCGGAAUGGGGUAGUGCAUGGAGAACGUACUCAAUCUACACAUACUUGGGUAGGAUUAGGACCUACCUUUACCUAUUCGCAUGUAGGUUGCAUGGACGUAAUAAAAUUGACAAACUAGAUUAACUAAUGAAUAUACAUGCUGAAUUAUAUAUAUUUCUUUUGUGUCUAGUAGCUUGGUAAGAUGAGUGAUCGUGCAUGGGUGUACACUGGUCACACUAGUCAGAAAGACAUGACCAUUGAAUGGUUAACAAAAACCAAGGGGGUUGUGAGAGCCGCAUUAGCAAAUGGCCAGAGAAAAACCUGGUGCCCCUAUGUACGAUGCGACAAUUGGCACAAGAGGACAGAGGAUGAAAUGGGCAAACCAUUGCAGAAGAGUGGUUUGACGGCUGGUUAUACGGUGUGGACAUUUCAUGGUGAGUCUGGCCAACGUGCCAGAGCUGACGUGGUUCAUCGUCGCACCGACAAGAAAGGUACCGAGAUGGAAGACAUGGUGCAAGACUUUGAUGAUGCUCGGGAUUCGGACGAUGAGAUGGAGGAAUCUGCAAAGGCCUUCAAUGAAAUGUUGGACUCUUCAAAACGUCCUCUCCACGAGCACAAUGAGCUUUGUCAUCUGAAUGCCAUCUCCCAAGUAAUGGCUCUGAAGGCUCAACUAAACUUGGGCAGUGUCGGGGAUAUACCCCGCGGUAUGACCCGGCCGGAGUUAUGACCCGGCCGGACUUGGCGAUUCACCAGAAGACCCGGUUGGAGCUAGGCGACUCACUGGUGACCUGCCUGGACAUGGCGGUUUACAUAUAACCCACCUGGACAUUAUGACUCACUGGAGACCCGGCGGGCGGGUCAAACGGACGACAAGGCCCAAGGCCCAGUAGGCCGGUUCAUGUGAUGGUGGGCCGACUUAAGAAGAAAGGUGUGAGGAAUAUUUCCCUUACAAGGAAUCAAGACCCGGACUUGUAUCCGGCUUGUAGUAGAAGAUAGCCUAAUCCUAGUCCUACUAGGACUCCACAUGUAACCCGCCCCUCUAACUUAUAUAAGGAGGGGCAGGGCUCCCCAAGAGGGACAAACAACAGGAAACAAUCUCUAGGGCUAGACACAAAGGGGGAGCCGGCUUAUGCGGCGACUCUCUCAUGAGCAUAAUGAGACCUAGCCUCAAACAGCAUGUAGGGCUAUUACCGGAUGAUGUUUCCCGGGGCCCGAAGCUGUCUAAAUCCUUGUCUUGCGUGUUGAUCCGCUCUGCGUCUCUCGUCCCACUCAACCCCUCUCAAGCUACCACAUAGAUGCGUUGGCUUCGCGACUAAGUCCUCACACUAAGGACAUCUGACGUGUUAAUUCCACGAGAGUUGACGCCCACUAUCGGGGCUCGCGCAUGUGGUGUUGAGUUUUUGGAGGGAUCUCUCUUAGGGAUCAAGGGGCUCGAAAUUUUUCAGAUGAAGAAAAGCUGGAUUGAAAGGAUUUGCAUCAGUGACGAGUUCAUCAGUCCAAAUUGAAGAUCUGUCAGAUUUAAGGUUCAAAGGAAUUAGGGUUGCGAGUUGUUCCGCCGCUGUUUUAUUGAAAAGUCGCCAAGACCGACGGAAUUUUGGAUCAGGUGCAUCGACGUCCAGUUGGUUCAAGUGUUUCAGAUUCGUUCGAUCGGCGGUUCAAGGUUGUUUUUACCAAAAGUCAAGCCAGGUCGAUUGCGUACUGCUCCAAGCUGGAUUCGGUUCAGAUGCCAAAAAAGAAAAACAAAAGGAAGAGAAGAGGAAACAUCCCACGACUCGUAAGUAGAUUAGACAAGAGACUUGGUCUCUGCCAUCGAGCCGGUUUUCCCUCACCAAUCCUGGUCGAGCCAUGACCUCCGCGACUUGCCGUGUCCUCACUCUCCCGACCUCCGCCAAGGCCUGUCCGUGAGCCGCCGCCGGGCCCCAUCCAUCCGCCUCGUAGCAGCUGGCACAUCAAGCCGGCCGGCCGGCCACGGCGCCAGGGAGUUGCUGCAUCAGGGAGUCGCUGCAUCGGUUACGGUUUGUUCUGCUGCCGCCGCAAAGAAGUUGCCGCUGGUAGGAUUUCUAUUGUCUAUGCAACGACAAGUCCAAGACAGGGAGAGCUGCACGGGCUGGUUCAUCUGUGGUAUUACUACAUAUAAGACACACGUAAGUCGCCCAGGCUGCAGUAAAACACCAAGUUCUAGUUGUUCAAAUGACCAAAGUCAAACUACGACCUGGAACGAGAUCCGCCUGAGCCGCCGCCGCAACGAUACAGCCGUGCUUGAUCCGGCUUGCCGCCCCGUCGACUUGCUUUGCUGCCGUGGGCCGCGUCGAGUCACCAUCUCCGUUUCCAAACGACCAUGGGCCUCCGCGAGCCACCUCGCCUCUGAGUUAUUCUAAACUUGCCUCUGCCGUGGCCGUGCUCUAGGCUACUGCAGCCUCGUUUCCACCCUCGAGUCACCAGUCACGCAGUGGUUUGCCUUCACAUCCAAGCCGGUUUGCUGCGUCUACUGCGGUUGUCUACGAAUCCUCAAGCAACUUUGUUGUUGCCAUGGCUGUACUCCGUUUCUACAUAUUGUUAAUCCGAACCCAAAUCCAUCACCAGGACGGAGGAUCAAGCCAAAAAUGAGAUUCCUUUCUGGAGAUGCACCACAUAACCUGAAGCGCUGUCAAAAGCGACGAGGGAGCUAUCAAAGGUCAGCACUAGCAUGGGUAUCCAUCCAAAGAAGCAUUAAGGAUUAGUACUAGUACAUACAUUAAGGAUUACCGUCAUCAUUUGGGAAAAAUGUACUAGUACAUACACAAUUUCCAAAAACAGUCUUUAUGUUUCCUUAUAUGGAGCCACGCAAGAAAAAAUAUAUCCAUCGAUUUCAAUAUUCAGUGGUGGAAGAGGUGAGUACAGUCUGAUCGGACGGAUGUUUUCUUCAAACCGCCGCCGGAUCGAGUCAACUCAAGCCUCACCCGCUGCUGCUGUCUCUGCGGUUACAAGACGCCAUGACCCGGUGGCAUUAAACCGGAGCCACAUCUGCCUGUUUCAAAUCGCCGCCGCUUCACUUCUGGCUGGCUGAUGUUCCGGACCGCCCCCGUCGCUGCUGACUCUGCCGUGCCGCGGUGCCCCUGCCCUCAACUCUGUGGCUGGCUUCGUCUGCUCGCCGUGGCCUCAACUUUGAACCGCUUGCCUCGCCUCUGAGCAACCUCGCUGCCAAGUCACCGUGGCCGGGUCUCACUGACCUUGUGGGCCGGCCUGCUGCCUCUGCCGGGUCUCACUGACCGGCAAAAAAUAUCAGGUGAUAUUCAUCCAAGUGUAUUUUAUUAAAUAUAUUAUUUCUGUUAAAAAACAAGUUUAUCUUUGCCUUGGUCUGCAAUAUUGUUUAUGCAGGGCAAUUAUUUAUGACAAAAAGAGAUAUUAUACCACGGAGAUGGAGGCACGCCAACAUCUUUUGAUACAGGUGGUCGUCAUUACUCAACGGACUCCUGCACCGGCUCACAACGCCGUGGCCGUCUCCCGCGACCACGCCGGCUUACAACAAGGAGGACAACUUGCCCGUCCGCACCGGCUUACAACGCCACGGCCGGCUUAUCUGUCUGUGCCACCUUAGAUGUUGCAGUCGUCUUUACCGUUCGUCUCUCGUUGCCUGGUCUACAUCAACACAUUGGUCCGCACCUGUCUGCAUGAGUUGUUUAUUAAGUAUGAGCAAGUCACUACUUGGGAAGCCCGGUUUUCUUCCAACAAAUUGGAGGCAAAUUAUCAUGUAUUAUUAGCCAUCGUCUGCACUGGAUGGUUCAAUGGGCAGGCGCACAAGUCGCCGCACUACGGUUUGGUUAAACUUUAAACAGCCAGUUGGAAGGAACCAUUGGCCGAGUUGCUGACACGGUUCAUACGGGAUCAUUUAUAACCCGCCGCAGUCACCUCAACCUUCUGUGGAUUCACAUCGCGCUAUCAACGCCAAUGAUAUACACCUUCUGCUAUGGUCAAAUAUGGAGAAUCUCAAGCCAAUACUUCGAGUCAUCUUGAGACUCGGGGGCUACAAUGGUAUGGCUCGGCAAGAUUGGCCGGUUUCAUUGAAUUCAAGAACUCCGGGUGAUUGAAGGGAAGAUAACCCGGCCCUGGAGGUUACUGCUUUAUUGGAAAAUAUUUAAAGGCCGUCAGGAAAAUUUCCGGUUCAAAAUGAGGAUUCCGGUUUAAAAUACAGCUCAAGAGACAUCUUUCUCCCGCAAAACUUUGAAGCUCUCAAAACUGGUUCAACAUCCGGAUCAAGGUAAAUUUGUCCCUUACAAAGCUUUGAGGAUCUCAAUAUCCGGUUUAAGAAUUUCCGGUUCAAAAGAAUUAAUCUCUCGCAAAUUCGAGAUAUCGAACAAAUUAAUGGUUACCAAAGGGAACUUGCCGCCAUGAUGCACGGUUCAAAACAUGGGUAUCCUGCCUUACGGCUUAUUUUAUUGUGGUCACUAGGGGGCUUCCUGCUCAUCGGGCAUAGCUAUCAGUACCCUCUUGAUCGGCGCAAUGCCAGAAAUUUAUAUGGUCACUUGGGGGCUUCCUGUUCAAACAUAGGUCGUAUUCGAACCAAAGAGAACAUAGCUGUCGAUACCCUUUUGAUUAGCAAACUGCUGAACCUACUUGGGGGCUUCUUGAUCGUAUCCGAAUCAUAGCUCAACCCCUUUGGGAAUCGACGUGGAUCGUAUAUGAAUCAACAUUGUUAAAACAACUUUUAAGGUCAUUUGGGGGCUUCCUGUUCAAACAUAGGUCGUAUUCGAACCAAAGAGAACAUAGCUGUCGAUACCCACUUUGAUCGGCAACGCCAAUGCCACUGGGGGCUAUAUGAUCGUAUUCGAAUCUUAUCUUAACCCCUUUGGAACGGUUUGCUGAUCGUAUUCGAAUCAGAAGCCUCAAAAUUUUUAUCUAUUUUUAUACAAUCCAAGUAUUUGAGUUGUCACAAAUAUCAUAUGUGCCGGCUCUUACAGAGUUGAGUUAUCAACUUCACUAUCCGGGUCACAUAAGCCGACGGUAUCAUUCAAAGGAUCAUAAGGAUCUUGUGAUCUACUUGUGUGCAGGAUAAGACUACAUUUGGGUGAUUACCCGCCCUGGCUUUUGACGUUAAUUCGCCAGGGCAUAUGUUGUUUAAACUCUUUGCAGGGUUUGCAGAAAUAUGACAUAUAAAUGAUUAAGUUCAAGCUCAUUACCAAAGUUGAUGCUUCAAAAUGAUGACCCGUUCUGGAUUUUUUCCAAAGGCUAUAAGCCGCCGGGUUAUAAAAAUUCCGGCUUACAAUGGAGGCGUAUUAAAUCGCCAUCGGCCAAGAGCCGCUGAGUAUUUAAACUCCGGAUUUACUUGUCAAGCAAUGAGGUAUUCAAAUCUUUAAUAGCCAAAACUGGCUGGAUUUUCAUGAUGAUAUUGAAUGAUUGAGGUUUUCAUACUGGAUUAUAUUAUUCAAAUCUCGAAUAGCCAACAUGGCUGGAUUUCUAUUGUGAUUAUCACUAACCAGUGUUAUGAUUGAGGUUUUCAAAGUCGCUUUAGCGCAACGGCUAUUAUUUUUAUCAAUGGGCAUGAUUUAUUUUACAAUGGAGGAAAUAGUCCCGAGUCGUUGCAGGCUUACAACCCGGCACUUGGGGGCUACAUUGUUCAAAUCGAGAUUACAUCAAAUAUACAAGUCCCAUGUCACUACCAGCAUGCACCAUGGCACUUGGGGGCUAAUGCAAAGCCAUUUAUUUGCUCAACUUAUUGAAGACCCGACUCAUCACAUUUUAAAUGAGCCGGCCCUUGGGGGCUACUAAUUGCUCCUGUCAAAAAUUCAAGGUACACAAGCAUUAAUCCAUUAUAUUGAACGGUCCACUAUUCAGUUGGUGGAGUACAAAGCUCUUAACCUUGUGGACGUGGGUUCAAGCCCCAUGGUGGAGACCAUAUUAUAUGAUGUUAUUGUCAAUUAUAUACAAAGUCCUAGCUCAAUAUUAUGUUACUAAGCCGGCCCUUGGGGGCUACACAUUGCUGUUCAAAUUUACAUGGUUAUAUCUACAAAGUCCCUGUUCAUUAUUGCAUAAUGACCCGGCCCUUGGGGGCUAUACCGGUUGAAGUUUUCAUGAGCAUAAAGCAAUUACAAGUCCCGGGUUGCUGCAAGCAUGACAACCCGGUACUUGGGGGCUACAUGUGUGGAAUAUUCAGUUUAUAUGAUUGAGAUGAAUAAACCGGAUUUCUUCAAGGUUGCAACAUUUAUUGGAGCAAGUCUUAAACCAUCACUUUGUUCUGCUCAAGACUUGGGGGCUACAAGUAAUAUGGAUAUAAGGGAGAAAAAUCUUCAAAUUAUCAGUUUUGAGCAAAUCAGGAGGAUCAAUUACGUAAACCGGUGUCAACAACAAUUAUGACCCGGCAUCGUCUGUUUAUAAUCAGGCAGUUUUUGGUAAUGAUAAACCGGCAGGUUUUACAUCUUCAAGCUGGCUGAAUAUCAGAUGAGUAUUUGAAGAUCAAAAUUAUUUAACCUGGUGCCUUGGAAGCCGACUCAAGUGGAUUAUUCUUCACAAUAUUUUUCUGUGAGAAACCAACAUCAGCAAAUUGAGUAUGAAGCUAGCUUAUUUGACCCAGAUUUUCUAGAUGAAGGAAAUGAAAAUUGGACUUAAGGAUAAUCAGGUCCUGUCUCAGGAGAAUAUUUAACCCGGAGCGCAAGGAAUUAAGGAUGAUUAGGUGCCGACUUACAAGAAUUUUUAACCCGGAGCACAACCUGUCAAAGUUGUUUUGGUGUUUAUUUUGCAGGAUCAGUUUAACAUGGAUAAAUCCAAAAUUAAACUGGGGGCUAAUGUCGGGGAUAUACCCCGCGGUAUGACCCGGCCGGAAUUAUGAUCGGGCCGGACUUUGCGAUUCACCAGAAGACCCGGCUGGAGCUAGGCGACUCACUGGUGACCUGCCUGGACAUGGCGGUUUACAUAUAACCCGCCUGGACAUUAUGACUCACUGGAGACUCGGAGGGCGGGUCAAACGGACGACAAGGCCCAAGGCCCAGUAGGCCGGUUCAUGUGAUGGUGGGCCGACUUAAGAAGAAAGGUGUGAGGAAUAUUUCCCUUACAAGGAAUCAAGACCCGGACUUGUAUCCGGCUUGUAGUAGAAGAUAGCCUAGUCCUAGUCCUACUAGGACUCCACAUGUAACCCACCCCUCUAACUUAUAUAAGGAGGGGCAGGGCUCCCCAAGAGGGACAAGCAACAAGAAACAAUCUCUAGGGCUAGACACAAAGGGGGAGCCGGCUUAUGCGGCGACUCUCUCAUGAGCAUAAUGAGACCUAGCCUCAAAUAGCAUGUAGUGCUAUUACCGGAUGAUGUUUCCCGGGGCCCGAAGCUGUCUAAACCCUUGUCUUGCGUGUUGAUCCGCCCUGCGUCUCUCAUCCCACUCAACCCCUCUCAAGCUACCACAUAGAUGCGUUGGCUUCGCGACUAAGUCCUCACACUAAGGACAUCUGACGUGUUAAUUCCACGAUAGGCAAAGAAUGCUACGAUGCGAUGAUGACAAUAUUUGGAUGCUUUGUAGCCAAAGGCCAUGUAAUGCCUACAAACUUCUACCAGUAGGACAAAAUCCUUUGUGCAAUUAAGAUGCCCUAUGAGAAGAUACAUGCCAGUGAGAAAGGAUGUGCCUUAUUUAGGCUUGAGUAUGCGGACUUGAACUAUUGUCCCAUUUGCAAGUCUUUCGUGUAUGUUGUGGUACAACGGUAUGGGUGAGAAGACGCGGACCAAAAUCCCCGUUAAUGUUCUUCGGUAUAUGCCAAUCGUACCAAGACUUCAACGUCUUCUCAUGGUUGAAGAGACGGCCAGACAUAUGACAUGGCACAAAAUGGGCAAAAAAACUGAACUAGAUGCAGAUGGGAAUCUGAUGAUGGUACACAAAUCGGAUGGUUCUGCAUGGAAGCGCUUCGAUGCAUUACAUGAGCAAAAAGUGGCAGAUCCAAGACAUCCUCGAGUAGCCAUCAGCAUGGAUGGGUUCAAUGUGUUUGGUCUGACGGAAACCCAAUACAGUUGUUGGCCCGUAAUUGUUAUUCCACUCAAUCUCCCCCCGAACAGGUAAUGCAAAGAAACAACAUUUUCCUGAUGUUGAUAAUUCUAGAGCCCAACUAUCUGGGGAAGAAUAUGAAUGUGUACAUGCAGCCGCUUAAGGAUGAAUUGCAAUAAGCUUGGGAUAAUGGGUUCAAGACAUACAACGCCGCUAGCAAACAAAACUUUAUAAUGCGUGUCUGGUACAUGUACUCGAUGCAUGACUUGCUGACGUAUGCACUAUCCAUUGGCUAGUUUGUGCAUGGAAGGUUCUCGUGCCCCACAUGUAAGGCAGCUCUUCAGUUUCGUUGGCUGCAGGCGGGUCGCAUGUUUUCUUGCUUCGACUUGCAUAGACAGUUCCUGGAUCCUCGCAAUAAAUUCAGGAAAGACAAGAAGAACUUCAUCAAAGGUAGAGUUGUCAAAAACUCUGCACCACCUGUGUUGAUAGGCCAAGAGACCCUGGAUCAGUUAAAUGCUCUAGAGCCAAAUCUAGAGCGUCCAUGGUAUUUCAAGGGGUAUAAUUCAGGACACGCCUGGACUCACGAGACAUGCUUGUGGGAUCUGCCUUACUUCAAGGACCUCCUUUGCCCACACAACAUCGACGUGAUGCGCACUGAAAAGAAUAUCGCUGAGGCCCUUUUUGGUACAUUGUUCGGCAUAGAGGGGAAGUUAAAGGAUAAUACUAAGGCUAGGGUCGAUCGGGAUACACUAUGUGAUAGAACGCUACAAAACAUGCAAGAACCGAAUGGAAAGCAGAACUGGACGAAGUCAAUGGCAUGGUUCAAUCUUGGAAGGCCAACUAUGAGGGAAAUUAUCUCAUGGGUGAAAAUGCAGUUGAUGUUCCUCGAUGGGUAUGCAGCGAAUCUAAAGAGGGGAGCAAUUCUUGAAAAAUUGAAAACAUUUGGUCUCAGGAGUCAUGAUUAGCAGAUAUGGAUUGAGUAGGUAAUGCCGGUGAUGUUGUGUGGCUUCAUCGCUGAGGAUGAAUGGCUAGUACUGGCAGAGCUGAGCUGUUUCUUUCUGAAGGAAAUAUGCCCUAGAGUCAAUAAUAAAGAUAUUAUUUAUUUCCUCAUUUCAUGAUAAAUGUUUAUUAUUCAUGCUAGAAUUGUAUUAACCAAAAACUUAGUACAUGUGUGAAUACAUAGACAAAACAUAUUGUCCCUAGUAUGCCUCUACUUGACUAGCUCGUUAAUCAAAGAUGGUUAUGCUUCCUAACCGUAGAUGUGUGUUGUUAUUUGAUAAACGGGAUCACAUCACUAGGAGAAUGAUGUGAUGGACAUGACCCUUCCGUUAGCUUAGCAUUAUGAUCGUUACAGUUUCAUUGCUACUGCUUUAUUCAUGACUUAUACAUAUUCCUCAGACUAUGAGAUUAUGCAACUCCUGAAUACCGGAGGAACACCUUGUGUGCUGUCAAAUGUCACAACAUAAAUGGGUGAUUAUAAAGGUGAUCUACAUGUGUCUCUGAAGGUGUUUGUUGGGUUGGCAUAGAUCGAGAUUAGGAUUUGUCACUCUGUGUUUCGGAGAGGUAUAUCUGGGCCCUCUCGGUAAUGCUCAUCACUAUAAGCCUUGCAAGCAAUGUGAUUAAUGAGUUAGUUGUGGGAUGAAGCAUUAUGGAACGAGUAAAGAGACAUGCCGGUAACGAGAUUGAACUAGGUAUGAUGAUACCGACGAUCGAAUCUCGGGCAAGUAACAUACGGAUGACAAAGGGAACAACGUAUGUUGUUAUGCGGUUUGACCGAUAAAGAUCUUCGUAGAAUAUGUAGGAACUAAUAUGAGCAUCCAGGUUCCGCUAUUGGUUAUUAACAGGAGAUGUGUCUCGGUCAUGUCUACAUAGUUCUCGAAGCCGUAGGGUCCGCACGCUUAACGUUCGAUGACGAUUGGUAUUAUGAGUUUAUGUGAUUUACUGUACCGAAGGUUGUUCAGAGUCCCGGAUGAGAUCACCGACAUGACGAGGAGUCUCGAAAUUGUCAAGAUGUAAAGAUCGAUAUAUUGGAAGGCUAUAUUCGGACAUCAGAAAGGUUCUGACCGUUUCGGGUAUUUUUCGGAGUUCCAGGGAGUUAUGGGAAUUCACCGGGAGAAGUAAUGGGCCUUAUUGGCCUUUAGUAGAGAGAGAGGAGAAGGGCCAAGAGGUGGUGCACGCCUCCCCCCUUCCCAAACCGAAUUGGACAAGGGGUGGGGGUGCAGGCCCCCUUUCCUUCUCCCUCUCCCUCUCUUUCCUUCUCUCCUACUUCGAAUGGGAAAGGGAAUCCUACUAGGACUUGGGAGUCCUAGUAGGACUCCCUAUGCUUGGCGCGCCCCCUAGGCUAGCCGCCUCCUCCCUCCCUCCUUUAUAUAUGGGGGAGGGGAGCACGCCAAGGACACACAAGUUGAUCUUUAGCCGUGUGUGGUGCCCCCUCCACAGUUUUCCACCUCGUUCAUAUCAUCGUAGUGCUUAGGCGAAGCCCUGCACCGGUAACUUCAUCAUCACCGUCAGCACGCCGUCGUGCUGACGGAACUCUCCCUCGGCCUCAGCUGGAUCUAGAGUUCGAGGGACGUCACCGAGGUGAACGUCUGCAGAUCGUGGAGGUGUCGUGCGUUCGGUACUUGAUCGGUUGGAUCGCGAAGUUGUUCGACUACAUCAACCGCGUUACUUAAACGCUUCCACUUUCGGUCUAUGAGGGUACGUGGACACACUCUCCACUCUCAUUGCUAUGCAUCACCUAAAUAUAUCUUGCGAGAUCCUAGGAUUUUUUUUGAAAUUAAUGCGUUCCCCAACACUUCUGUGUUCUCUGUGCGAGAGAACUAUCGCCUGGCGUGCUAGAAGAAAUGGAAGAGUUGGCGCCAGAUUUGAUCUGCAAGUUAGAGAAGAUCUUUCCAUCGGGCUUCUUUAAUCCAAUACAACACUUGAUUUUGCAUCUCCCGACCGAGGCAAGAUUGGCGGNNNNNNNNNNNNNNNNNNNNNNNNNNNNNNNNNNNNNNNNNNNNNNNNNNNNNNNNNNNNNNNNNNNNNNNNNNNNNNNNNNNNNNNNNNNNNNNNNNNNNNNNNNNNNNNNNNNNNNNNNNNNNNNNNNNNNNNNNNNNNNNNNNNNNNNNNNNNNNNNNNNNNNNNNNNNNNNNNNNNNNNNNNNNNNNNNNNNNNNNNNNNNNNNNNNNNNNNNNNNNNNNNNNNNNNNNNNNNNNNNNNNNNNNNNNNNNNNNNNNNNNNNNNNNNNNNUGCUUCGAGCAAAAUGUAAAAAUAAACGUUGAAUUGAAGCAUCGAUGGCCGAGGCAUUCAUUACGGAGGAGGCAACAAACUUCAUGACAACACACUACAAAGCCAGAAAUCUUCAUUUGCACAAUCCGAAGCCUCGGUACAAUGCUGGCGACCCUAAAAAAGGUGGAUCCAACCUUAGCCUAUUCAAAGGGAAUCUCGCACCAUCCGGUGCUUCGAAACCAAUAUCGUUGGAUGUCGAAGAAUGACGGACCAUUUUGUUGUAUAUCUUCAACAACCUAACAGAAGUGCGGCCGUACAUCGAGUAAGUUCUCGGUACGUUGUUUCACAACAUCUAAUUCCUUUGAACUACUCUUAUUCCCAGAUAUUCGAUGUAGUUGAUACGUCGCCAAAUUCUCGGAUGGAGAGGUGAUCCAAAAGGAAUCCAUCGAAGAUUAUGAGCUUCUGGCAAAGCAUGGAGGCGACUUUCCCGGUUUGAUCUCUUGGUUCAAACAAACGGUAAUUUCCAUUAGACCACUCUCAUUUCUUUGUCUAAUUUGCGGCUAAUACAACAAUCCUUUCGUAUGAAACUUGUAGGCUAAUUCAGAGUCUAUGGACGCCAAAUUGAGACAAGUCGUUAAUGGUUUUGACUAUGAGGUCCGUUCAUUUGACAAAUACGACAUCAACGGGUAUCGCUUUCAUACCUUCGGCAAAGAGCUCUCUAUGGCCGACCAAAAGUCUACAAAUUGUUGUGUCUCUGCUAUCGGCGAAGGAGGUACCAAGUAUUAUCGGAGAGUUGAAGCAAUUUAUGAACUUCUAUUCUAUGGUGAAAACCCACCGAACAUUGUAGUCUUCAAAUGUUAUUGGUUCCAGCCAAAGGAGACUAGUAGGACUCAUGAACAUAUAGGGCUAUCCGAAAUCAAACAAAGCACCCAUUUAGAUGUCCCUGAUGUCUAUAUUACGGCUCAAUAGGCGACCCAAGUUUUCUAUCUACCAUGGGCCUGCCAAACUGAUCAAUAUUUGAAUGGUUGGGAUGUCGUUUAUGAAAGUGCCGCCACGUGUUAGGCCACUACCCCCCAAUGAAGAGGAUUAUGAACCUCACAUUAAACCAGACAAAUAUGAAGGAGAAUUCUUCCAAGAAACACGUCUUUCCAAAAAAUGUUUCAAGAAACGCUCUACUUCACCCCAGAACAUUGAAGUAGAUAGCGACAGUGAAUCCGACUUCACCCCUGAGCUGGAACAAGAAGAUCCGAAACAAGAAGAGGUUACUGCUGCGAAUGACCUGUCAAUGCUUGACCUAUUACAUAAAGGUGCCCUUCCACAUGUUGAUGCCGCUGAACCCGAUGAGCACACGAUAGUGAUGAUGAUGAUGCAUUUAUUGCUCCCGAAGCAUAUAUAGACUAUCAAGAUUAUUAUUAGUUCAUGUCAGGUAUUCAAUUUGUAUUAUAUACAUAUAUAUUGUUAUUUAUGUUAGCUAUUCAAUUUUUUUAUGUUGUACUUGAUGAUGAUACACUUAUGUUAUAUACAUAUUGUUAUUUAUGUCGGUAUCAAUUUUAUUUAUAUUGUACUAAUUUCAUUUACUCCUUUUCAUGGCAGGUGUUGAAAGAUGGUGGGCGCUGGUCUGGACCGCUCCAAGGCUCCUUCUUCGUCGGCGCGUGGUGGGAGGGGUAUUUACAUUCUACCCCAGUCUAUCCGAAGAGCUUUUCUCGACAGUAAGUAGACACCCGUCUGCGCUUCUUCGUCAGCGUUGUUGCCCACCGGGAGAGGAUGUCGGGGAAGGAAGAAGAGAGGAGGUCGGGGAGGAUGUGGACGUGGGAGAGGUAGGUAGGCUCCUACUCCUUCCUCGUCGCCACCGCCAGCUGAUUCACCCAAUCACAUGACUAGUACGGUGGACACGUCCGAGGAGGAGGGUAUGCGGACUCCGAUCCACGAGUGUCGGGUCAAAGGGCCUUCGGCCCAUGAGACUCUGGACUAGGGUACGUCCCAGGAGACGUCUGGAUGGGGUACCUAGCCGGAUCCGCCUGAGGGGCCGAGUGGCCAUGCUGAUGGUGGUGGGGAUCCGGCUGAUAGCGAGGGCGAGGUGGUUGAGGGGGCCACCGUCUACCAGCGUGGUUGUACACGACUCUCGCCCAUGUCGGUGACACGCGAGCAGAGGUAGUUGAUUUUGCCUGACGGGGAGAGGUAAGUGCAUUUACUCUUUUUGUACCUUUUGCGUUCACGUUUCUUCAAAUAUAUCUAAUGUGUUGGCCUUGUCAUACUGCAGGGGUUGGGACCAUGCUCUGGAUGUCCGCAGGCCCAACACCAUCCUUGUUGUGUUUUGCUGGUAAAACUUCCUGGAGUUUGUCACGUUACCCGGUGAGGCUCGGCUUCCAUAACUAGAAUUCAGUCGGGAGCACUACUUGGCUGCCCCAGCCCCGACGGAGGAGAUGCUCGACGGUGUCUUAUGCCACACGAGGGCAGACAUGGUGAUUAGAAAGUGUUGGGUAAUUUCUCCUUUACACAAUUAAAAAUGUUCAAAUAGCUUGUUAUUUUACUAAUCAAUGGUGUCUCAUUUGAUUGCAGACCUUCUACAUGUUUGAGGAGGGAUACGAGGAGGCUGCGGCACAGGUUAUCGAUGCCGAGUGCAAGCGCCUACUAUGAAACUUAUGGCACGAGGCUCAAGUGCAGGCUAUUCGAGACUACUAUGCCUCACAUGGUAUUAAGAAGACCAAGACGGCGUGCCACGAAAAGUUUCUAAAGAAGGAGCAGUACAUGACAGUAAUUACCUAUUCUUAAGGCCUUGUACUUAGUUUCCUUGAUUUUAUUCGUAGGUGAUACGUCUCCAACAUAUCUAUAAUUUUUGAUUGUUCCAUGCUAUUAUAUUACCUGUUUUGGAUGUUUAAUGGGCUUUACUAUGCACUUUUAUAUUAUUUUCGGGACUAACCUAUCAAUCGGAGGCCCAGACCAAAUUGUUUUUUUGCCUAUUUCAGUGUUUCGCAGAAAAGGAAUAUCAAACGGUGUUCAAACCUAAUGAAACCUUCGGGAGAGUUAUUUUUGGAACAAAUGCAAUCCAGGAGACUUGGAGUGGACGUCAGGUAAGCAACAAGGUGGCCACGAGGGUCCAGGGCAAGCCCUACCCCCUGGGCGCGCCCCCACCCUCGUGGGCCCCUUGUGGCUCCCCUGACUGACUUCUUUCACCUAUAUAUACUCUUAUACCCCCAAAACAGCCAGGAGCACCAUAGCUCGGGAGUUCCACCGCUGCAAGCCUCUAUAGCCACCAAAAACCUCUUGGGAGCCCGUUCCGGCACCCUGCCGGAGGGGGGAUCCAUCACCGGUGGCUAUCUUCAUCAUCCCGGCGCUCUCCAUGACGAGGAGGGAGUAGUUCACCCUCGGGGCUGAGGGUAUGUACCAGUAGCUAUGUGUUUGCUCUCUCUUUCUCUCUCUCUCUCUCUAUCUAUCUAUCUCUCUCGUGUUCUUGAUUUGGCACGAUCUUGAUGUAUCGCGAGCUUUGCUAUUAUAGUUGGAUCUUAUGAUGUUUCUACCCCUCUACUCUCUUGUAAUGGAUUGAGUUUUCCCUUUGAAGUUAUAUUAUCGGAUUGAGUCUUUAAGGAUUUGAGAACACUUGAUGUAUGUCUUGCAUGUGCUUAUCUGUGGUGACAAUGGGAUAUUCACGUGAUCUACUUGAUGUAUGUUUUGGUGAUCAACUUGCGGGUUUCAUGACCUCAUGAACUUAUGCAUAGGGGUUAGCACAUGUUUUCGUCUUGACUCUUUGGUAGAAACUUUGGGGCACUCUUUGAAGUACUUUGUGCUGGUUGAGUAGAUGAAUCUGAGAUUGUGUGAUGCAUAUCGUAUAAUGAUGCCCACAGAUACUUGAGGUGACAUUGGAGUAUCAAGGUGACAUUAGUGUUUUGGUUGAUUUGUGUCUUAAGGUAUUAUUCUAGUACGAACUCUAUGAUAGAUCGAAUGGAAAGAAUAGCUUCGUGUUAUUUUACUACGGACUCUUGAAUAGAUCGAUCAGAAAGGAUAAGUUUGAGGUGGUUUCGUACCCUCCAAUAAUCUCUUCGUUGGUUUUCCGCUAUUAGUGACUUUCGAGUGACUCUCUGUUGCAUGUUGAGGGAUAGUUAUAUGAUCCAAUUAUCUUAUUAUUGUUGAGGGAACUUGCACUGGUGAAAGUAUGAACCCUAGGCCUUGUUUCGAAGAAUUGCAAUACCAUUUACGCUCACUUUUACCACUUGUUACCUUGCUGUUUUUAUAUGUUCAGAUUACAAAUACUCAUAUCUACCAUGCAUAUUUCACUUGUAUCACCAUCUCUUCGCCGAACUAGUGCACCUAUACAAUUUACCAUUGUAUUGGGUGUGUUGGGGACACAAGAGACUCUUUGUUAUUUUGUUGCAGGGUUGUUUGAGAGAGACCAUCUUCAUCCUACGCCUCCCAUGGAUUGAUAAACCUUAGGUCAUCCACUUGAGGGAAAUUUGCUACUGUCCUACAAACUUCUGCACUUGGAGGCCCAACAACGUCUAAAAGAAGAAGGUUGUGUAGUAGACAUCAAGCUCUUUUCUGGCGCCGUUGCCGGGGAGGUGAGUGCUUGAUGGUAUAUCUUUAGAUCUUGCAAUCGAAUGUUAUUGUUUCUUGUUUUAUCACUAGUUUAGUUUAUAAAAGAAAACUACAAAAAAAUGGAAUUGAGUUUGCCUCAUACGCUUCAUCUUUUUAAUAUCUUUCAUGAGAAUGAUUGUAAGUAAAAUUGUGCUCAAGUGCUAGAAGAAGAAGUCUAUAAAAUGUUUGGCACCAAAUCUUUGAAUGAGGAUCAUGAUUGCAAUGUUAUUAGUAUGAACUCUUUGAAUAUCCAUGGUACUAAUGAUGAGUGCACUAGUCAUGAUGAAAAUGUCCCUUAUAAGCAUGUCAAUUUUUGUGGAGUGCAUAGAGUUUGCAAGUACACACCAAAUAGGGAAGAUAGAUUUACAAGAGGCAUAACUAUUUAGAAACCAAAUGGUUGCAAGAAAUGCUAGAUGCUUGUGCUGAAAAUUUAAAAUUUCUUUGCCAUCUUUAUGAACUUUGCAAUGAACGUGAUCAUUUAAAUACGCAAUGCAAAUUGUUUCAUGAUCAAAUCGUGUCCAAAAGUUGUGAUGACUUGAUUUCCCUUGCACAUCAUAAUAAGUUAGUUUGCUUAUGGGUUAUGUAGAAAUGAAAUGUAUAACUAAGGAUAUGCCCGAAUUUGUCCUUGAUAAAGUUUUUGAUUUUGAUCUAGAAGAAAUUUUUAUGUAUUGUGUGGUGAAUUGCAUUGAAAAUCCUUAUAUUGCCAAUUACAUAAAGAAAAGAAAACAAAUAGAAGAUGAAGAGAAUCCUAAUGAAAGGUAAGAGACUUCCCAAUAUCCUCCUAUUAUUUCUUAUGAUGAAUCAGGUAACGAGGAGGAGCUUUCUAUUCAACCAAUCUCAUUAAUAAGGAGCUCAAAAAAGAGGGUUAAACCCACACAUGAUGUGAAGAAGAAAAAUAAAAGACGGAGAAGGAAAGGUAGAAAGGUAUCCCUCCCAAAUGAUGUUGCUCCUAUUACUCAUUGUGAUGAUGAUAAUUGAUAUACUAUUGGUGCUAUCCAUACUAUUAAUGAUGAGAGUGAUUGUGCUUAUGGUACGAAAAGGCCCAAGCUUGGGGAUGCUAUGUUUGAUGAGAAUGACAUGUUUUAGAAUAUAUUUGCUGCAAUUAAUGUUUGUCCCACGCUUGGGGAUGCUAUGUUUAAGGAAGAUAAUAUUUUUAGCCUCCCAAGUUUUGAUGAGCAAAUUUAUUAUUAUGAUAGCAUGCCUCCUAUUUAUGAUGAUUAUAUUGAUAAAAGUGGGUUUGGAAGAGUGUCAACUUUAGGAAGUAAUGAUCCCACUAUUUUGGAUGAUGUUGAAUCUUAUUGUGAUAAUUAUGAAAGUGGAUUAGGAUAGGUCAUGACUUUAUUUAGUAAUGAUUCCACUGUCUUGGAAUAGGUUUCAAUUGAUUAUGAUUAGAACAAAGUUGCUACUUAUGAUGAUUAUUGUGAUGAUACUUAUGCUAUAAAAAGUAGUGAUGAUUAUAUUUAUAACUUGUCAUGAUUAUUAUUACCCUUUUUCUUUUAACAUUACUCUUUUAAUGUGGACACAAAUUAUAUUAUUCGAGUCUCUUAUGAUACUCCCACUAUUCCGAAUGAGAAGAAUUUUGCUUAUGUGGAGAGUAGUAAAUUUUCUCUGCUUGUGCAUCAUGAAAAUAGUUCUUUAUGUGAUGGUUAUACUUCUGAAUUCAUUCGUGAUGCUACUUAAAAUUAUUAUGAGGGAGGAAUAUAUGCUUGUAGGAAUUGCAAUAAUAUCAAGUUUCCUCUCUAUGUGCUUAAAGUUUUGAAGUUAUGCUUGUUUUGCCUUCCUAUGCUAGUUGAUUAUUGUUCCCAUAAGUUGUUUGCUCACAAAAUCCCUAUGCAUAGGAAGUGGGUUAGACUUAAAUAUGCUAGUCAUAUUCUUCAUGAUGCUCUCUUUAUGUUUCAAUUCUUAUCUUUUAUGUCAGCAUCAUUGAAAUCAUCAUGCCUAGCUAGGGGAGUUAAACGUUAGCGCUUGUUGAGAGGCAACCCAAUUUUAUUUUUGUUCUUUGAUUUUUGUUCCUGUUUAGUAAUAAAUAAUUCAUAUAUCCUAUGGUUAGAUGUGGUUUUAUGUUUUAAUUAGUGUUUGUGCCAAGUAGAACCUUUGGGAAGACUUGGGUGAAGUCUAUGCGAUCUUGCUGUAAAAAACAGAAAAUUUUGCGCUCAUGAGAUUAGCUGCCUUUUUUACUAGAGAGUGACUUUAGGUUGAUUCUUUUUGAAGAUGAGUAAUAGGCAAAUUCCUUAGGUCCAACAAUUUAUUUCAGAAUUUUUGGAGUUACAUAAGUAUUCGAAUAUACCGAUUACUACAGACUGUUCUGUUUUUGACAAAUUCUGUUUUCUAUGUGUUGUUUGCUUAUUUUGAUGAAUCUAUGAGUAGGAUCGGAGGGUAUGAACCAUAGAGAAUUUGGAAUACAGUAUAUAUUACACCAAUAUGAAUUUAGAAUGAGUUCACAACAGUACCUAAGUGGUGAUUUAUUUUCUUAUACUAACGGAGCUUAUGAGUUUUGUGUUGAGUUUUGUGUUGUGAAGUUUUCAAGUUUUGGGUAAAGAUUCGAUGGACUAUGGAAUAAGGAGUGGCAAGAGACUAAGCUUGUGUAUUCCCAAGGCACCCGAAGGUAAUAUUCAAGGACAACCAAGAGCCUAAGCUUGGGGAUUCCCCGGAUGGCAUACCCUCUUUCGUCUUCGUUCAUCGGUAACUUUACUUGGAGCUAUAUUUUUAUUGACCACAUGAUAUGUGUUUUGUUUGGAGCGUCAUUUUAUUUUCUUUUGUUUUGCUUGCUGUUUGAAUAAAAUACCAAGAUCUGAAAUUCUUAAAUCUUAGAGAGUCUUCACAUAGUUGAACAAUUAUUAGAAUACUCUAUGUGCUUCACUCAUAUCUUUUGGAGUAUUUUGUCAUUUGCUCUAGUGCUUCACUUAUACCUUUUUAGAGCACGGUGGUGGUUUUAUUUUGUAGAAAUUAUUGAUCUCUCAUGCUUCACUUAUAUUAUUUUGAGAGUCUUUUAGAACAGCAUGGUAAUUUGCUUUGGUUAUAAAAUUGGUCCUAAUAUGAUGGGCAUCCAAGUUGGGUAUAAUAAAAACUACCAUAUCAAGUGUAUUGAAAACUAUGAUAAAAUUGAUACUUGAUAAUUGUUUUGAGAUAUAAAGGUGGUAAUGUUAGAGUCAUGCUAGUUGGGUAAUUAUGAAAUUGAGAAAUACUUGUGUUAAAGUUGGCAAGUCCCGUAGCAUGCACGUAUGGUGAACGUUGUGUGAGAAAAUUGUAGCAUGGGGUGCUCUUUGAUUGUCUUCCUUAUGAGUGGAGGUCGGGAUCGCGCGAUGGUUAACUCCUACCAACCCUUCAUCUAGGAGCAUGCAUAGUAGUACUUUCCUUUGAGGGAUAAUAAACUUUUGCAAUAUGUAUAUGAGUUCUUUAUGACUAAUGUGAGUCCAUGGAUUAUGCGCACUCUUACCCUUCCACAAUUUGCUAGCCUCUACGGUACCGUGCAUUGCCCUUCCUCACCUUGAGAGUUAGUGCAAACUUCGCCGGUGCAUCCAAACCCCGUGAUAAGAUACACUCUAUCACACAUAAACCUCCUUAUAUCUUCCUCAAAACAGCCACCAUACCUACCUAUUAUGGCAUUUCCAUAGCCAUUCCGAGAUAUAUUGCCAUGCAACUUUACACCGUUCCGUUUAUCAUGACACGCACCAUCAUUGUCAUAUUGCUUUUGCAUGACCAUGUAGUUGACAUCGUAUUCGUGGCAAAGCCACCUUUAUAAUUCUUUCAUACAUGUCGCUCUUGAUUCAUUGCAUAUCCCGGUACACCGCCAGAGGCAUUCACAUAGAAUCAUAUUUUGUUCUAAGUAUCGAGUUGUAAUUCUUGAGUUGUAAAGUAAAUAAAAGUGUGAUGAUCUUCAUUAUUAGAGCAUUGUCCCAAGUGAGGAAAGGAUGAUGGAGACUAUGAUUCCCCCACAAGUCGGGAUGAGACUUCGGACUUUAUGAAAAAUAAAAGAGGCCAACGAAGCCCCAAAAAAAGAGGGCAAAAAAGCCCACCAAAAUAAAAAAAUGAGAGAAAAAGAGAGAAGGGACAAUGUUACUAUCCUUUUUCCACACUUGUGGUUCAAAGUAGCACCAUGAUCUACAUGAUAGAGAGUCUCCUAUGUUGUCACUUUCAUAUACUAGUGGGAAUUUUUCAUUAUAGAACUUGGCUUGUAUAUUCCAAUGAUGGGCUUCCUCAAAAUUCCCUAGGUCUUCGUGAGCAAGCAAGUUGGAUGCACACCCACUUAGUUUCUUUUGUUGAUAUUUCAUACAUUUAUAGCUCUAGUGCAUCCGUUGCAUGGCAAUCCCUACUCCUCAUGUUGGCAUCAAUUGAUGGGCAUCUCCAUAGCCUGUUGAUUAGCCUCGUCAAUGUGAGACUGUUUUUAUCUUCUCCAAACAACCUCCAUCAUCAUAUUCUAUUCCACCCAUAGUGCUAUAUCCAUGGCUUACGCUCAUGUAUUGCGUGAGAGUUGAAAAAAAGCUAAAUCGCGUUAAAAAGUAUGAACCAAUUGCUGCGCUGAAACCGGGGUUGUGCAUGAUGGGAGUAUUUUGUGUGAGGAAAAUGAAGCAUAGCCUAACUAUAUGAUUAUGUAGGGAUAAGCUUUCUUUGGCUAUGUUAUUUUGAUAAGACAUGAUUACUCAUUAGUAUGCUUGAAGUAUUACUAUUUUUAUGUCAAUAUGCACUUUUAUUUUGAAUCAUUUGGAUCUGAACACUCAUGCCACAAUAAAGAAAAUUACAUUGAGAAAUAUGAUAGGUAGCAUUCCACAUAAAAAAUUCUAUUUUAAUCAUUUACCUACUCGAGGACGAGCAAGAAUUAAGCUUGGGGAUGCUUGAUACGUCUCCAACGUAUCUAUAAUUUUUCAUUGUUCCAUGCUAUUAUAUUACCCGUUUUGGAUGUUUAAUGGGCUUUACUAUGCACUUUUAUAUUAUUUUUGGGACUAACCUAUUAACCGGAGGCCCAGCCCAAUUUGCUGUUUUUUUGGCCUAUUUCAGUGUUUCGCAGAAAAGGAAUAUCAAACGGAGUCCAAAUGGAAUGAAACCUUCGAGAGAGUUAUUUUUGGAACAAACGCAAUCCAUGAGACUUGGAGUGGACGUCAGGAAGCAACGAGGUGGCCACGAGGGUCCAAGGCGCGCCCUACCCUCCUGGGCGCGCCCCCACCCUCGUGGGCCCCUCGUGGCUCCCCCGACGGACUUCUUUUGCCUAUAUAUACUCUUAUACCCCGAAAACAUCCAGGAGCACCAUAGAUCGCGAGUUCCGCUGCCGCAAGCCUCUAUAGCAACCAAAAACCUCUCGGGAGCCCGUUCCGGCACCCUGCUGUAGGGGGGAUCCAUCACCGGUGGCCAUCUUUAUCAUCCCGGCGCUCUCCAUGACGAGAGGAGAAUAGUUCACCCUCGGGGCUGAGGGUAUGUACCAGUAGCUAUGUGUUUGAUCUCUCUCUCUCUCUCAUGUUCUUAAUUUGGCACGAUCUUUAAGUAUCACGAGCUUUGCUAUUAUAGUUGGAUCUUAUGAUGUUUCUCCCCCUCUACUCUCUUGUAAUGGAUUGAGUUUUCCCUUUGAAGUUAUAUUAUCGGAUUGAGUCUUUAAGGAUUUGCGAACACUUGAUGUAUGUCUUGCAUGUGCUUAUCUGUGGUGAGAAUGGGAUAUUCACGUGAUCUACUUGAUGUAUGUUUUGGUGAUCAACUUGCGGGUUUCGUGACCUCGUGAACUUAUGCAUAGGGCUUGGCACACGUUUUCGUCUUGACACUUCAGUAGAAACUUUGGGGCACUCUUUGAAGUACUUUGUGUUGGUUGAAUAGAUGAAUAUGAGAUUGUGUGAUGCAUAUCGUAUAAUCAUGCCCACGGAUACUCGAGGUGACAUUGGAGUAUCUAGGUGACAUUAGGGUUUUGGUUGAUUUGUGUCUUAAGGUGUUAUUCUAGUACGAACUCUAUGAUAGAUCGAACGGAAAGAAUAGCUUCAUGUUAUUUUACUACGGACUCUUGAAUAGAUCGAUCAGAAAGGAUAACUUUGAGGUGGUUUUGUACCCUACAAUAAUCUCUUCGUUUGUUCUCCUCUAUUAGUGACUUUGGAGUGACUCUUUGUUGUAUGUUGAGGGAUAGUUAUAUGAUCCAAUUAUGUUAUUAUUGUUGAGAGAACUCGCACUAGUGAAAGUAUGAACCCUAGCCCUUGUUUUGAAGCAUUGCAAUACCGUUUAUGCUCACUUUUACCACUUGUUACCUUGCUUUUUUUAUAUUUUCAUAUUACAAAUACUCAUAUCUACCAUCCAUAUCGUACUUGUAUCGCCAUCUCUUCUCCGAACUAGUGCACCUAUACAAUUUACCAUUGUAUUGGGUGUGUUGGGGACACAAGAGACUCUUUGUUAUUUGGUUGCAGGGUUGUUUGAGAGAGACCAUCUUCAUCCUACGCCUCCCACAGAUUGAUAAACCUUAGGUCAUCCACUUGGGGGAAAAUUGCUACUGUCCUACAAACCUCUGCACUUGGAGGCCCAACAACGUUUACAAGAAGAAGGUUGUGUAGUAGACAUCAGUAGGCAUAGCGCUCAAGUUUAUCUUUACUAACUUAGGUGCCCCCGAGAUGGUGUGCGGAUCAGAUGGAUUGUUUGGAGGUGUUGGUGGAUGAGUGGUGCUCAGACCAAUGGCUACCCCUCCACAGCAAUGCUAAGGACCGGCAUGCCCAAAUGGAAGGUGUGCCACACCAUCAAGGCAGCGCCAACUUAUAUCAGUCCGGGCGGAACAGGGUAUGUGGUUUGCUUCAUGAUUCAUGCAAUUCAUUCUUCAUGCUAGCUUCAGCCCUUUAAUUACUAAUUUAGUCUAUUCCUCUCUUUUAGGAGCGACACAAUAAGGCGGAGGUGCCAGAGGUGUACAACCUCUAUGCCAUGGACCAUACUGCCUCGUAGAAGAAGGUCAAGGCAUUCUCUUCGUCUAACCUCGAUCAUCCAGAGAACUUCACUAACAUCUCCCACAACAAGCUCAUGAGCUACAGAGAUGAGGGGAGGACUUUAACCCGAGCAAGGGUCCCAUUGAUCUAGAUCUGCUGAUGAUAUCUGGUGGCGGAAGGUCCCAUGGCUCAAUAUCCAUUGUAGAUGGACUUAUACAUUGUCCUAGCACUCUCCCAGAGAUCAAGACAUGCCAGACGAGCUCCACUCCUGAGAUAAGGCCUCAUCAACGGCCAGUCUGGCUCGCCUUUGAGGUUAGUUAUAUGGACUCAGCUAUCUUUCCUACAUUACAUUGUGUGUGCGGCCAUCGAUUAUUACAAUGCUAACAUGGAGUGGUGUUGCAGGCUGCUCUUCAGAGAGAGAGAGAGAGAGAGAGAGAACCCAUGCGCUUCUGGCGGAGAGGGACCGGUAGGCGGCGAAGAAGGAGUGGGAGUUGGAGGAGAGGACGGCUAGGAUGUUGGAGGAGGAGAGGGAACGGAAAGACAUGCAGAACCGGGGCAUGUACGAGCUCCUCAUGGUAAGUUUCUUCUGCAUAUUAGCCAAAUCAUGCACGUAAUGUUUGUUUCAUUACUAACUAGUAUGACUGACUCGUCAAAACCAAAUGUGCAGUCUGUGUGCGAGAAGACUGGUCAGACCCCUCCGCCAAUGCCAUUCAUUGCUCCGGGGACCAUGGUGAGUUUCAUUUGAAUUUUCAUUAGUUACUACUCUUAACAUUUGAGUGUCAUCAUGCUAACAAGACACUGCAAAUGAUCUUCGGUGCAGCGUAAUUCCAGACAAGCAUCGCACGAUCCUUCUCCAGGUGGUACUGGCACGAGCCACCCCGGUGCUUCACCUCUGUAAUGACGGUAAGUUUUCUCUAGUGUUUUACUUAACAAAUGCAUAAUGACCUAGACUUAUCUUUAUUUUCUCCAAUAUGCUUACCAUAAUGACCUAAGUUAGCUCUAAUAUGCUUAGUUACCUAGUUAGCUCAAUAAUGAUCUAUACUUAGCUUACUUAUGUCAAAAAUGGCAUAAUUACCUAGGCUAGCUCCAAAAUGAACCAUUUUACCUAAGUUAGCUCCAAGAUGAUCUAUUUUACCUAAGUUAGCUCCAAAAUGACCUAAGUUAGUUCUAAUAUGCUUAAUUACCUAGGUUAGCUCAAUAAUGACCUAUACUUAGCUUACUUAUGUCAAAAAUGGCAUAAUAUGCUUAGUUAACUAAAAAAUGGCAUAAUUACCUACAUUAGCUCCAAAAUGAACCAUUUUACCUAAGUUAGCUCCAAAAUUAUCCAUUUUACCUAAGUUAGCUCCAAAAUGAUCCAUUUUACCUAAGUUAGCUCUAAUAUGCUUAGUUACCUAGGUUAGCUCAAUAAUUCCUAUACUUAGCUUACUUAUGUAAAAAAUGGCAUAAUAUGCUUAGUUAACUCAAAAUGGCAUAAUUACCUACGUUAGCUCCGAAAUGAACCAUUUUACCUAACUUAGGUCCAAAUUAAUCCAUUUUACCUAACUUAGCUCCAAAAUGACCUAAGUUAGCUCUAAGUUACCUCUAAUAUGCUUAGUUACCUAGGUUAGCUCAAUAAUGACCUAUACUUAGCUUACUUAUGUCAAAAAUGGCAUAAUAUGCUUAGUUAACUCAAGAAUGGUAUAAUUACCUAGGUUAGCUCCAAAAUGAUCCAUUUUUACCUAAGUUAGGUCCAAAAUGAUCCAUUUUACCGAGGUUAGCUCCAAAAUGAUCCAUUUUACCUAUGUUAGCUCAUAAAUGAUCAAUUUUACCUAAGUUAGCUCAUAAGUGGUCCAUUUUACCUAAGUUAGCUCAUAAAUAAUCAAUUUUACCUAAGUUAGCUCAUAAAUGGUCCAUUUUGCCAAAGUUAGCUCAUAAAUGUCAUUUUUACCUAAGUUAGCUCAUAAAUGAUCCAUUUUACCUAAGUAGCUCAUAAAUGUCAUUUUUACCUAAGUUAGCUCAUAAAUGUCUUAUACUUCUCCUCCUCCUCCUCCUCCUCCUCCUCCUCCUUCUUCUUCUUCUUCUUCUUCUUCUUCUUCUUAUUCUUCUUCUUGUUCUUGUUCUUCUUCUUCUUUUUCUAACUAUCUUAUUUCCCAUUUUGUAGAUUUCAUUCACUUCACGGAAGCUUGCAUAGAUGGGGUGCUUGUUUUCCCUUUCUGUUUUUCUUUUGUAUCAAUGAAAAAUGUGGAUUUUUAUAUGGAUGAAACUGUUGUAAUGUGUAUGGUUGGAUGCCUACGUUGAACUUUCUAUGUAUGGUGGGAUGGAACUAUGCAUGUAUGAUGAAACUUAUAUGUGUUGGGUAUCUCAUAUGUUUGCUGUGAAAUUGCCCUGUGAUAUAUAUUUGUUGUGAAAAUGCUUGGAUAUAAGAAAAAAUAGAAUAAAAAGAGGUAAUGCAGGCUCUUUGCCGUCUGCCACUGACGGCUAAGUGGCCAUGUGGCAGCAACCUGUGCAACCUGGGAAAGACUAAAGGGAAGUUUGUUGUCUGUGGCAGACGACAAAGGCUAGGGCGGUUUGCCUUCCGUGGCAGACGACAAAGAGCGGGGAGGGCAUGAUGCGUCUACUGACAUUAGAUGGCAGACGACAAAGGACGGGGCAUAAUUGCCAUCAGCUGGCAGACGGCAAAGCCUCCUGUUAGCCACCUAACAUGGCUAACGUCUGUUCUUUGAGGUCCACCUUCUUUGCCGUCCGUUGUGCGAAAACAGAUGGCAAAUCAGUUGUUUACCGUAACUUACAGUGUCGGACAGGUUUGCCGUCCGUGGCUGACGGCAAAGACUUUGCCAUCAGCUUUUGAGUCCUUUGCCGUCUGCCAUGGCAGGCGGCAAAUCAGCUGAUUCAUGUAGUGUGUGCAUCAGCAGUGUGAGCACGACAACAAACGCCAUGAGCUCCUCCAGAAAACGUUCCAUCUCGCAAGCACCCCUAGUAUUCGUGUUACAUUCCUCCUUUAGUGGUGGACAAUGAUUUAGAGCCGCCACCACCCGAGCUUCGUAUUCUCUGGUGCUUAGGGCACUUCGGUCCCUGACUCGCUAGUCCAUAAAACAAGGUGUAUAAGUGCCUCCACCAUGCAAAAUGUGUCAUCCACAAAGCUACAAGAGUGCGGUGAAGCUCUUGUACUAUGUCAAGAAAGGACCCAUACCACCCUACAGUGAUGGCCAAGGCCAUCCGUUAUAAGGUGACAAAGAUGGAUGAUCUCUACUACACAACCUUCUUGUAGACGUUGUUGGGCCUCCAAGUGCAGAGGUUUGUAGGAAAGUAGCAAAUUUCCCUCAAGUGGAUGACCUAAGGUUUAUCAAUGCAUGGGCGGCGUAGGAUGAAGAUGGUCUCUCUCAAACAACCCUACAACCAAAUAACAAAGAGUCUCUUGUGUCCCAAACACACCCAAUACAAUGGUAAAUUGAAUAGGUGCACUAGUUUGGUGAAGAUAUGGUGAUACAAGUGCAAUAUGGAUGGUAGAUAUAGGUUUUUGUAAUAUGAAAUUAUAAAAACAGCAAGGUAGCAAGUGGUAAAAGUGAGCGAAAACGGUAUUACAAUGCUUCGAAACAAGGCCUAGGGUUCAUACUUUCACUAGUGCAAGUUCUCUCUGUUGGAAAUAUGCCCUAGAGGCAAUAAUAAAAUGGUUAUUAUUAUAUUUCCUUGUUCAUGAUAAUUGUCUAUUGUUCAUGCUAUAAUUGUAUUAACGGGAAACAGUAAUACAUGUGUGAAUACAUAGACCACAACAUGUCCCUAGUGAUCCUCUAGUUUACUAGCUCGUUGAUCAAUAGAUGGUUAUGGUUUCCUGACCGUGGACAUUGGAUGUCAUUGAUAAUGGGAUCACAUCAUUAGGAGAAUGAUGUGAUGGACAAGACCCAAUCCUAAGCAUAGCACAAGAUCGUAUAGUUCGUUUGCUAAGAGCUUUUCGAAUGUCACGUAUCAUUUCCUUCGAGCAUGAGAUUGUGCAACUCCCAGAUACCAUAGGAAUGCUUUGGGUGUACCAAACGUCACAACGUAACUGGGUGGCUAUAAAGUUGCACUAUAGGUAUCUCCGAAAGUGUCUAUUGGGUUGGCACGAAUCGAGACUGGGAUUUGUCACUCCGUAUGACGGAGAGGUAUCUCUAGGCCCACUCGGUAAUGCAUCAUCAUAAUGAGCUCAAUGUGACUAAGUAGUUAGUCACGGGAUCAUGCAUUAUGGAACGAGUAAAGUGACUUGCCGGUAACGAGAUUGAACGAGGUAUUGGGAUACCGACGAUCGAAUCUCGGGCAAGUAACGUACCAAUUGACAAAGGGAAUUGUAUACGGGAUUGCUUGAAUCCUUGACAUCGUGGUUCAUCCAAUGAUAUCAUCGUGGAACAUGUGGGAGCCAACAUGGGUAUCUAGAUCCCGCUGUUGGUUAUUGGCCGGAGAACGUCUCGGUCAUGUCUGCAUGGUUCCCGAACCCGUAGGGUCUACACACUUAAGGUGUGGUGACGCUAGAGUUGUUAUGGGAAAUAGUAUGUGGUUACUGAAGGUAGUUCGGAAUCCCGGAUGUGAUCCCGGACGUCACGAGGAGUUCUGAAAUGGUCCGGCAGUGAAGAUCGAUAUAUUGGACGAAGGGUAUUGGAGUCCGGAAGUGUUCCGGGGGUACCAGGCUAUGGCCAGCAUGACCGAAAGGUGUUUCAGGAGCCUCGGCAAGUGUUGGAGGUCCUCAUGGGCCAAAGGGGAAGGGGAAAACCAGCCCACUAAGGGGUGGUGCGCCCCCGACACCCUUUCCCACAUUAUUUGGGGAGGUGGGGCACCUCGACCUGGCUUUGGAGGCAAUCGUCCACCUGCUUGGCUUGGGGGGGAAGUCUCCCUAGGAUUUUCCCUAGGGAGAUCCAAUCUGCUUGGCCGCCGCCCCCUAGGGGAAACCCUAGGGCGCCUCCCCCUCUCCCCUUGACCCUAUAUAUAGUGGAGGGGUGGGAGGGCAGCCGCACCUCUUCCCUGGCGCAGCCCUCUCCCUCCUCCAACACCUCCUCCUCCUCCGUAGUGCUUGGCGAAGCCUUGCAGGAGAACCACGAGCUCCACCGCCACCACGCCGUCGUGCUGUUGGAGUUCUCCCUCAACUUCUCCUCUCCGCUUGCUGGAGAAAGAAGGAGGAUACGUCCCCGGGCUGUACGUGUGUUGAACGCGGAGGCACCAUUGUUCGGUGCUUAGAUCGUAUUCGACCGCGAGCUGAAUCGCUUCGUGUACGACUCCGCCGACCGCGUUCUUGUAACGCUACCGCAUCGCAAUCUUCAAGGGUAUGAAGAUACACUCAUCCUCUCCCUCUCUUGUUGCUAGAAUCUCCAUAGACUGAUCUUGGUGAUGCGUAGAAAAUUUUGUAUUUCUUCUACGUUCCCCAACAGUGGCAUCAUGAGCUAGGUCUAUGCGUAGUUUCUAUGCACGAGUAGAACACAAGUUGUUGUGGGCGUCGGUUUUGUCGGUUUACUUGCCACUACUAGUCUUAUCUUUAUUCAGCGGCAUCGUGGGAUGAAGCGGCCCGGACCGACCUUACACGUACGCUUACAUGAGAUAGGUUCCACCGACUGACAUGCACUAGUUGCAUAAGGUGGCUAGCGGGUGUCUGUCUCUCCCACUUUAGUUGGAUUGGAUUCGAUGAAAAGGGUCCUUAUGAAGGGUAAAUAGCAAUUGGCAUAUCACAUUGUGGUUUUGGCGUAGGUAAGAAACGUUCUUGCUAGAAACCUAUAGCAGCCACGUAAAAACUUGCAACAACAAUUAGAGGACGUCUAACUUGUUUUUGCAGCAUAUGCCGUGUGAUGUGAUAUGGCCAAAAGGAUGUGAUGAAUUGUAUAUAUGUGAUGUAUGAGAUUGAUCAUGUUCUUGUAAUAGGAAUCACGACUUGCAUGUCAAUGAGUAUGACAACUGGCAAGAGCCAUAGGAGUUGUCUUAAUUUAUUGUAUGACCUGCGUGUCAUUGAAUAACGCCAUGUAAUUACUUUACUUUAUUGCUAAAUCGUUAGCCAUAGUAGUAGAAGUAAUAGUUGGCGAGACAACUUCAUGAAGACACGAUGAUGGACAUCAUGGUGUCAUGCCGGUGACGAAGGUGAUCAUGCCAUGCCUCAAGAUGGAGAUCAAAGGCGCAAGAUGAUAUUGGCCAUAUCAUGUCACUUUAUGAUUUGCAUGUGAUGUUUGUCAUGUUUACAUCUUAUUUGCUUAGAACGACGGUAGCAUAAAUAAGAUGACCCCUCUUAAAUUUUCAAGAAAGUGUCCCCCCCUAAAUGUGCACCGUUGCGAAAGUUCGUUGUUUCGAAGCACCACGUGAUGAUCGGGUGUGAUAGAUUCUAAUAUUCGCAUACAACGGGUGUAAGCAAGAUUUACACAUGCAAAACACUUAGGUUGACUUGACGAGCCUAGCAUGUACAGACAUGGCCUCGGAACACAAGAGACCGAAAGGUCGAACAUGAGUUGUAUAGUGGAUACGAUCAACAUGAAGAUGUUCACCGAUGAUGACUAGUCCGUCUCACGUGAUGAUUGGACACGGCCUAGUUGACUCGGAUCAUGUAUCACUUGGAUGACUAGAGGGAUGUCUAUCUGAGUGGGAGUUCAUUAAAUAAUUUGAUUAGAUGAACUUAAUUAUCAUGAACAUAGUCAAAAGGUCUUUGCAAAUUAUGUCGUAGCUCAUGCUUUGGUUCUACUAUUUUAGAUAUGUUCCUAGAGAAAAUUUUAGUUGAAAGUUGAUAGUAGCAAUUAUGCGGACUGGGUCCGUAAACUGAGGAUUGUCCUCAUUGCUGCACAGAAAGCUUAUGUCCUUAAUGCACCGCUCGGUGUGCUGAACCUCGAGCAUCGUUUGUCGAUGUUGCGAACAUCUGACAUACACGUUUUGAUGACUACGUGAUAGUUCACUGCGUAAUGUUAAACGGUUUAGAAUUGAGGCACCGAAGACAUUUUUGAUACGUCACAGAACAUAUGAGAUGUUACAAGAGCUGAAAUUGGGAUUUCGGGCUUGUGCCCACGUCAAGAGGUAUGAGACCUUUGAUAAGUUUCUUAGCUUGCAAACUACGGGAGAAAAGCUCAAUCGUUGAGCAUGUGCUCAGAUUGUCUGAGUACUACAAUCGCUUGAAUUGAGUGGGAGUUAAUCUUCCAUAUGACAUAGUGAUAGUUCUCCAAAAAGUCACUGCCACCAAGCUACUAGAGCUUCGUGAUGAACUAUAACAUACCAGGGAUAAAUAUGAUGAUCCUUGAGCUGUUCGCGAUGUUUCACACCAUGAAAGUAGAAAUCAAGUAGGAGCAUCAAUUGUUGAUGGUUAGUAAAACCACUAGUUUCAAGAAGGGCAAGGGCAAGAAGGGAUACUUCAUGAAAUGGAAAAUCAGCUGCUACUCUAGUGAAGAAACCCAAGGUUGAACCCAAACCCAAGACUAAGUGCUUCUGUAAUGAGGGGAGCGGUCACUGAAGCAAAACUGCCCUAGAUACUUGGUAGAUGAGAAGGCUGGCAAGGUCGACAGAAGUAUAUUGGAUAUACAUUAUAUUAAUGUGUACUUUACUAGUACUCCUAGUAGCACGAGGGUAAUAGAUACCGAUUCGGUUGCUAAGUGUUGGUCGCUCGAAAUAAAAGGCUACGGAACAAAUAGAGACUAGCUAAACGUGAGAUGACGAUAUGUGUUGGAAGUGUUUCCAAGGCUGAUGUGAUCAAGCAACGCAUGCUCCCUCUACCAUCGAGAUUGGUGUUAAACCUAAAUAAUUGUUAUUUGCUAUUUGCAUUGAGCAUAGACAUGAUUAGAUUAUGUUUAUCGCAAAAAGGUUAUUCAUUUAAGGAGAAUAAUGGUUACUAUGUUUAUUUGAAUAAUACCUUCAAUGGUCUUGCACCUAAAAUGAAUGGUUUAUUGAAUCUCAAUUGUAGUGAUACACAUGUUCAUGCCAAAAGAUAUAAGAUAGUAAUGAUAGUACCACAUACUUGUGGCACUGCCACUUGAUUCAUAUUGGUAUAAAACGCAUGAAGAAGCUCCAUGUUUGAUGGAUCUUUGGACUCACUCGUUUUUGAAAAAGAUUGAGACAUGCAAACCAUGUCUAUUGGUAUAUAUGCAUGAAGAAACUCCAUACAGAUAGAUCAUUUGGACUCACUUGAUUUUGAAUCACUUGAGACAUGCAAAUCAUACCACAUGGGCAAGAUGACUGAAAGGCCUCGUUUUCAGUAAGAUGGAACAAGAAAGAAACUUGUUGGAAGUAAUACAUUUUGAUGUGUGCAGUCCAAUGAGUGCUGAGGCACGCAGUGGAUAUCGUUAUGUUCUUACUUCAUAGAUGAUUUGAGUAGAUGCUGAGUAUAUUUACUUGAUGGAACACAAGUCUGAAUUAUUGAAAGGCUCAAGUAAUUUCAGAGUGAAGUUGAAGAUCGUCGUGACAAGAGGAUAAAAUGUCUAUGAUAUGAUCAUAGAGAUCAGUAUCUGAGUUAUGAGUUUGGUAUACAAUUAAGACAUUGUGGAAAUUGUUUCACAACUAAUACCGCCUGGAACACCAUAGUGUGAUGGUGUGUCCGAACAUCAUAGCUGCACCCUAUUGGAUAUGGUGCAUACCAUGAUGUCUCUUAUCGAAUUACCACUAUCGUUUAUGGGUUAGGCAUUAGAGACAACGACAUUCACUUCAAAUAGGGCACCACGUAAUUCCGUUGAGAUGACAGCGUAUGAACUAUGGUUUAGAGAAACCUAAGCUAUCAUUUCUUAAAAAUUGGGGCUGCGAAGCUUAUGUGGAAAAGUUUUAGCUGGAUAAGCUCAAACCCAAAGCAGAUAAAUGCAUCUUCAUACGAUACCCAAAACAGUUGGGUAUACCUCCUAUUUCAGAUCCGGAAGCAAAAGUGAUUGUUUCCAGAAACGGGUACUUUCUCGAGGAAAAGUUUCUCUCGAAAGAAUUGAAUGGGAGGAUGGUGGAGUCUUGAUGAGGUUAUUGAACCGUCACUUAAACUAGUGUGUAGGAGGGCACAGGAAGUUGUUCCUGUGGUGCCUAGACCAAUUGAAGUGGAAGCUGAUGAUAUCGAUCAUGAAACUUUGGAUCAAGUCAAUACCAAAACUCGUAGGUUGACAAGGAUACGUACUACUUCAGAGUGGUACGUAAUCCUGUCUUGGAGGUCAUGUUGCUAGACAACAAUGAACCUAAGAGCUAUGGAGAAGCGAUGGUGGGCCCGGAUUCCGACGAAUGGCUCGAGGCCAUAAAAUCUGAGAGAGGAUCCAUGUAUGAAAACAAAGUAUGGACUUUGGAGGAACCACUUGAUGGUUGUAAGGCUGUUGUGUGCAGAUGGGUUUUAAAAGGAAGACGGACAAUGAUGAUAAGUAUCACCAUUAAGAAAGCUCGACUUGUCAUUAAGAUAUUUUCUGACAAGUUCAAGGAGUUGACUACGAUGAGACUUCCUCACUCGUAGCAAUGCUAAGAGUCUGUUGGAAUUAUAUUAGCAAUUACUGCAUUAUUUAUGAAAUCUUACAGAUAGGAUGUGAAAACAUUGUUUCCUCAACGAUUUUCUUGAGGAAAGGUUGUAUGUGAUACAACCAGAAGGUUUUGACAAUCCUGAAAGAUGCUAACAAGUAUGCAAAGCUCCAGCAAUCCUUCUAAGGACUAGAGUAAGCAUCUCGGAGUUAGAAUGUACACUUUGAUGAGAUGAUCAAAGAUUUUGGGUUUUAUACAAAGUUUAUGAGAAACUUGUAUUUCCAAAGAAGUGAGUGGGAGCACUAUAGAAUUUCUAAUGAGUAUAUGUUGUUGACAUAUUGUUGAUCAGAAUUGAUGUACAGUUUCUCGAAAGCAUAUAGGGUUAUUUGAAAAGUGUUUUUCAAUGGAAAACCUGGAUUGAGCUACUUGAACAUUGAGCAUCAAGAUCUAUAAGGAUAGUUCAAAAUCGCUUAAUAUUACUUUCAAAUGAACACAUACCGUGACAAGAUUUUGAAGGAGUUCAAAAUAGAUCGGCAAAGAAGGAGUUCUUGGCUGUGUUAUAAGGUGUGAGUAUUGAGUAAGACUCAAGACCUGACCACGGCAGAAUAGAGAGAAAGGACGAAGGCCGUCCCCUAUGCUUUAGACAUAGGCUCUACAGUAUGCAAUGCUAUGUACCGCACCUGAAGUGUGCCUUUCCAUGAGUCAGUCAAGGGGUACAAGUGUGGUCCAGGAAUGGAUCACAGGACAAUGGUCAAGGUUAUCCUUAGUAACUAGUGUACUAAGGAAUUUUCUCGAUUAUAGAGGUGGUAAAAGAGUUCGUCGUAAAUGGUUACAUCGAUGCAAACUUUGACGCUAAUCCGGAUGACUCUGCAUAGCAAACUGGAUUCGUAUAGUAGAGCAGUUAUUUGGAAUAGUUCCAAAUAGCGCGUGGAACCUGCAUCUACACGAUGACAUAGAGAUUUGUAAAGCACACACGGAUCUGAAAGGUUCAGACCUGUUGACUAAUAAACCUCUCUCACAAGCGAGAUAUGAUCAAACACCAUGGGUGUUGGAUUCAUUACAAUCACAUAAUGAUGUGAACUAGACUAUUGACUCUAGUGCAAGUGGGAGACUGUUGGAAAUAUUCCCUAGAGGCAAUAAUAAAAUGGUUAUUAUUAUAUUUCCUUGUUCAUGAUAAUUGUCUAUUGUUCAUGCUAUAAUUGUAUUAACUGGAAACCGUAAUACAUGUGUGAAUACAUAGACCACAACAUGUCCCUAGUGAGCCUCUAGUUGACUAGCUUGUUGAUCAAUAGAUGGUUAUGGUUUCUUGACCAUGGACAUUGGAUGCCAUUGAUAAUGGGAUCACAUCAUUAGGAGAAUGAUGUGAUGGACAAGACCCACUCCUAAGCAUAGCACCAGAUCGUAUAGUUCGUUUGCUAAGAGCUUUUCUAAUGUCAAGUAUCAUUUCCUUAGACCAUGAGAUUGUGCAACUCCCGGAUACCGUAGGAAUGCUUUGGGUGUACCAAACAUCACAAGGUAACUGGGUGGCUAUAAAGGUGCACUACAGGUAUCUCCGAAAGUGUCUGUUGGGUUGGCACGAAUCCAGACUGGGAUUUGUCACUCCGUAUGACGGAGAGGUAUCUCUGGGCCCACUCGGUAAUGCAUCAUCAUAAUGAGCUCAAUGUGACUAAGUAGUUAGUCACGGGAUCAUGCAUUAUGGAACGAGUAAAGUGACUUGCCGGCAACGAGAUUGAACGAGGUAUUGGGAUACCGACGAUCGAAUCUCGGGCAAGUAACGUACCGAUUGACAAAGGGAAUUAUAUACGGGAUUGCUUGAAUCCUUGACAUUGUGGUUCAUCCGAUGAGAUCAUCGUGGAACAUGUGGGAGCCGACAAGGGUAUCCAGAUCCCGCUGUUGGUUAUUGGACGGAGAACGUCUCAGUCAUGUCUGCAUGGUUCCCGAACCCGUAGGGUCUACAGACUUCAGUUUUUGUGACGCUAGAGUUGUUAUGGGAAAUAGUAUGUGAUUACCGAAGGUAGUUCGGAGUCCCGGAUGUGAUCCUGGAUGUCACGAGGAGUUCCGAAAUGGUCCGGCGGUGAAGAUCGAUAUAUUGGACGAAGGGUAUUGGAGUCCGGAAGUGUUCCGAGGGUACCAGGCUAUGGCCAGCAUGACUGAAAGGUGUUUUGGGAGCCUCGACAAGUGUUGGAGGGCCUCAUGGGCCAAAGGGGAAGGGGCAAACGAGCCCACUAAGGGGUAGUGCCCCCCCCCCACACCCUUUCCCACGUUAUUUGGGGAGGUGGGGCGCCUCCACUUGACUUGGGAGGCAAUCCUCCACCUGCUUGGCUUAGGGGGCAAGUCUCCAUAGGAUUUUCCCUAAGGAGAUCCAAUCUGCUUGACCGCCCCCCCUAGGGGAAACCCUAGGGCGCCUCCCCCUCUCCCCUUGCCCCUAUAUAUAGUGGAGGGGUGGGAGGGCAGCCGCACCUCUUCCCCAGGGCAGCCCUCUCCCUCCUCCAACACCUCCUCCUCCUCCGUAGUGCUUGGCGAAGACAUGCUGGAGAACCACGAGCUCCACCACCAGCACGCCGUCGUGCUGUCGGAGUUCUCCCUCAACUUCUCCUCUCCCCUUGCUGGAUCAACAAGGAGGAGACGUCCCCGGGCUGUACGUGUGUUGAACACGGAGGCACCGUUGUUCGGUGCUUAGAUCAGAUUCGACCAUGAUCUGAAUCGCUUCAUGUACGACUCCACCGACUGUGUUCUUGUAACGCUUCCGCAUCGCGAUCUUCAAGGGUAUGAAGAUACACUCAUCCUAUCCCUCUAUUGUUGCUAGAAUCUCCAUAGAUUGAUCUUGGUGAUGCGUAGAAAAUUUUAAAUUUCUGCUACGUUCCCCAACACUCUCAACAAUAAUAACAUAAUUGGAUCAUAUAACAAUCCCUCAACACGCAACCAAGAGUCACUCCAAAGUCACUAAUAGCGGAGAACAAACGAAGAUAUUAUUGUAGGGUACGAAACCAUCUCAAAGUUAUUCUUUCCAAUCAAUCCAUUGGGCUAUUCCUAUAAGUUACACAAACAACCCUAGAGUUCGUAGUAAAAUAACACCUUAAGACACACAUCAACCAAAACCCUAAUGUCACCUAGAUACUCCAAUGUCACCUCAAGUAUCUGCGGGUAUGAUUAUAUGAUAUGCAUCACACAAUCUCAGAUUCAUCUAUUAAAAUGACACAAAGAACUUCAAAGACUGCCCCAAAGUUUCUACCGGAGAAUCAAGACGAAAAUGUGUGCCAACCCCUAUGCAUAGAUUCCCAAGGUCACGAAACCCGCAAGUUGAUCCGCAAAACAUACAUCAAGUGAAUCAAUAGAAUACCCCAUUGUCACCAUGGGUAUCCCACGCAAGACAUACAUCAAGUGUUCUCAAAUCCUUAAAGACUCAAUCCGAUAAAAUAACUUCAAAGGAAAAACUUAAUCCAUUACAUGAAGGUAGAGGGGGAGAAACAUCAUACGAUCCAACUAUAAUAGCAAAGUUCACGAUACAUCAAGAUCGUGCCAAAUCAAGAACACGAGAGAGAGAGAGAGAGAGAGAGAGAGAGAGAGAGAUCAAACACAUAGCUACUGGUACAUACCCUCAGCCCCGAGGGUGAACUACUCCCUCCUCGUCAUGGAGAGUGUCGGGAUGAUGGAGAUAGCCACUGGUGAUGAUUCCCCCCUCCGACAGGGUGCCAAAACGGGGUAUAGAUUGGUUUUUGGUGGCUAUAGAGGCUUGCAGCGGCGGAACUCCCGGUCUAGGUUUAUUUCUUGGGGUUUCUGUAUUUAUAGGAAUUUUUGGCAUUGUUCUCAUGCCAGGGGGUGUUUCCGAGUCAUCCACAAGUUAGGGGGGCGCCCAUGUGGGUAGGGCGCACCCUCCACCCUCGUGGAUGGCUCGGGACUCUUCUGGCCCAGCUCUUCUACUUCAGGAGCUUCUUUUGGUCCAUAAAAAUCCACAAAAAUUGGCAGGUCAAUUGGACUCCGUUUGGUAUUCCUUUUCUGUAGAACUCAAAAAAAGGAAAAAGCCAGAAACUGGCACUAGGCUCUAGGCUAAAAGGUUAGUCCCAAAAAUCAUAUAAAAUAGCAUAUAAAUGCAUAUAAAACAUCCAAGAUGGAUAGUAUAAUAGCAUGGAACAAUAAAAAUUAUAGAAACGUUGGAGACGUAUCAAGCAUCCCCAAGCUUAAUUCCUGCUCGUCCUCAAGUAGGUAAAUGAUAAAAACAGAAUUUUUGAUGUGGAAUGCUACCUAACAUAUGUAUCCAUGGUAUUUCUUUUAUUAUGACAUGAAUGUUCAGAUCCGAAAGAUUCAAAACAAAAGUUUAAUAUUGACAUGAAAACAAUAAUACUUCAAGCAUACUAAGAAAGCAAUCAUCUCUUCUCAAAAUAGCAUGGCCAAAGAAAGUUAUUCCUACAAAAUCAUAUAGUCUGGCUAUGCUCUAUCUUCAUCACACAAAAUAUUUGAAUCAUGCACAACCCCGAUGACAAGCCAAGUAAUUGUUUCGUACUUUUGAUGUUCUCAAACUUUUUCAAUCUUCACGCAAUACAUGAGCGUGAGCCAUGGAUAUAGCACUAUGUUGGAAUAGAAUGGUGGUUGUGGAGAAGACAAAAAGGAGAACAUAGUCUCACAUCAACUAGGAGUAUCAACGGGCUAUGGAGAUUCCCAUCAAUAGAUAUCAAUGUGUGUGAGUAGGGAUUGCCAUGCAACGAAUGGACUAGAGCUAUAAGUGUAUGAAAGCUCAAAAAGAAACCAAGUGGGUGUGCAUCCAACUUGCUUGCUCAACAAGACCUAGGGCAUUUGAGGAAGCCCAUCAUUGGAAUAUACAAGACAAGUUCUAUAAUGAAAAUUUCCCACUAGUAUAUGAAAGUGACAACAUAGGAGACUAUCUAUCGUGAAGAUCUUGGUGCUACUUUGAAGCACAAGUGUGGUAAAAGGAUAGUAGCAUUGUCCUUUCUCUCUUUUUCUCUCAAUUGUUUUUAUUUUUUCGGGGCCUUCUCUUUUUUUGGCCUCUUUUUUUAUAAUUUUUUUUAUUUUUCGUCCGGAGUCUCAUCCCGACUUGUGGGGGAAUCAUAGUCUCCAUCAUCCUUUCCUCAUUGGGACAAUGCUCUAAUAAUGAAGAUCAUCACACUUUUAUUUUCUUUACAACUCAAGAAUUACAGCUCAAUACUUAGACAAAAAUAUGAUUCUAUAUGAAUGCCUCCGGCGGUGUUCCGGGAUGUGCAAUGAAUCAAGAGUGACAUGUAUGAAAGAAUUAUGAACGGUGGCUUUGCCAGAAAUACGAUGUCAACUACAUGAUCAUGCAAAGCAAUAUGACAAUGAUGAAGCGUGUCAUAAUAGACGGAACGGUGGAAAAUUGCAUGGCAAUAUAUUUGGGAAUGGCUAUGGAAAUGCCAUAAUAGGUAGGUAUGGUGGCUGGUUUGAGGAAGGUAUACGGUGGGUGUAUGGUACCGGCGAAAGUGGGGCGGUACAAGAGACGCUAGCAAUGGUGGAAGGGUGAGAGUGCGUAUAAUCCAUGGACUCAACAUUAGUCAAAAACAACUCACAUACUUAUUGCAAAAUCUAUUAGUUAUCGAAACGAAGUACUACGUGCGUGCUCCUAGGGGGAUAGAUUGGUAGGAAAAGACCAUCUCUCGUCCCCGACCGCUACUCAUAAGUAAGACAAUCAAUAAAUAAAUCAUGCUCCAACUUCAUCACAUAACGGUUCAUCAUACGUGCAUGCUACGGGAAUCACAAACUUUAACACAAGUAUCUCUCAAAUUCACAACUACUGUACUAGCAUGACUCUAAUAUCACCAUCUUCAUAUCUCAAAACAAUCAUAAGGAAUCAAACUUCUCAUAGUAUUCAAUGCACUUUAUAUGAAUGUUUUUAUUAUAUCCCUCUUGGAUGCCUAUCAUAUUACGACUAAAUUUAUAACUCAAGCAAAUUACCAUGCUGUUAUAAAGACUCUUAAAAUAAUAUAAGUGAAGCAUGAGAUUUCAUCAAUUUCUUCAAAAAUAAAACUACCAUCAUGCUCUGAAAAGAUAUAAGUGAAGCACUAGAGCGAACGACAAACUACUCCAAAAGAUAUAAGUGGAGAUCAAUGAGUAGUUGAACAAUUAUGCAACUAUGUGAAGACUCUAUAACAUUUAAGAAUUUCAGAUCUUGUGAUAUUACUCAAACAGCAAGAAAAACAAAAUAAAAUAAAAUGACGCUCCAAGCAAAACACAUAUCAUGUGGUGAAUAAAAAUAUAGCUCCAAGUAAAGUUACCAAUGAACGAAGACGAACGAGGGGAUGCCUUCCGGGGCAUCCCCAAGCUUAGGAUCUUGGUUGUCCUUGAAUAUUACCUUGGGGUGCCUUGGUCAUCCCUAAUCUUAGGCUCUUUCCACUCAUUAUUCCAUAGUCCAUUGAAUCUUUACCCAAAACUUGAAAACUUCACAACACAAAACUCAACAGAAAAUCUCAUAAGCUCCGUUAGUAUAAGAAAAUAAAUCAUGACUUUUGGUACUGUUUUGAAAUCAUUAUAAAUUCAUAUUUGUGUAAUAUAUACUGUAUUCCAACUUCUCUAUGGUUCAUACCGUCCGAUACUACUCAUAGAUUUAUCAAAAUAAGCAAACAACACAUAGAAAACAGAAUCUGUCAAAAAUAGAAUAGUCUGUAGUAAUCUGUAACUCUCGAAUACUUAUGUAACUCCAAAAAUUAUGAAAUAAAUUGGUGGACAUGAGGAAUUUUUAUAUUAAUAUUAUGCAAAAAUAAUCAACUCAAAACCACUCUUCUGUUAAAAAUGACAAUUAUUCUCAUGAGCACAAAGUUUCCGUUUUUUACAGCAAGAUCACACUGACUUUCACCCAAGUCUUCGCAAAGGUUCUACUUUGCACUUUAUUGAAACAAAAGCAAUAAAACAUGAUUACUACAGUACCUUAAUCAUGUGGACACACAAAAACAGUAGGGGUAAAUAUUGGGUUGUCUCCCAAAAAGCGCUUUUCUUUAAUGCCUUUUUAGGUAGGCAUGAUGAUGAUAAUGAUGCUCACAUAUAUAAAAGAUAAGAAUUGAAACAUAAUGAGAGAAUCAUGAAGCAUAUGACUAGCACAUUUAAGUCUAACCCACUUCCUAUGCAUAGGGAUUUUGUGAGCAAACAAUUCAUGGGAGCAAGAAUCAACUAGCAUAGGAAGGCAAAACAAGCAUAACUUCAAGAUUUUCAACACAUAGAGAGGAAACUUAAUAUUAUUGCAAUUACUACAAGCUUAUGUUCCUCCCUCAUAAUAAUUUUCAGUAGAAUCAUGAAUGAAUUCAACAAUAUAACUAUCACAUAAAGUAUUACUUUCAUGAUCUACAAGCAUAGAAAUCUUAUUACUCUCCACAUAAGCAAAUUUCUUCUCCUCAUGAAUAGUAGUGGGAGCAAACUCAACAAAAUAACUAUCAUGUGAGGCAUAAUCCAAUUGAAAUUUAAAAUCAAGAUGACAAGUUUCAUGGUUAUCAUUAUUCUUUAUAGCAUACAUGUCAUCACAAUAAUCAUCAUAGAUAGCAACUUUGUUCUCAUAAUCAAUUGGAACCUCUUCCGAAAUAAUGGAUUCAUCACUAAAUAAAGUCAGGACCUCUCCAAGUCCACUUUCAUCCAUAUAAUCAUCAUAAAUAGGAGGCAUGCUAUCCUCAUAAUAUAUUUUCUCAUCAAAACUUGGGGGACUAAAAAUAUCAUAUUCAUCAAACAUAGCAUCCCCAAGCUUGUGGGUUUGCAUAUCAUUAGCAUCAUGGAUAUUCAAGGAAUUCAUACUAACAACAUUGCAAUCAUGCUCAUCAUUCAAAGAUUUAGUGCCAAACAUUUUAUAGACUUCUUCUUCUAACACUUUGGCACAAUUAUCGGAAUCCUUAUUUUCACGAAAUACAUUAAAAAGAUGAAGCAUAUGAGGCACACUCAAUUCCAUUUUUUUGUAGUUUUCUUUUUUAGACUAAACUAGUGAUAAAACAAGAAACAAAAAGAUUCAAUUGCUACAUCUAAAGAUAUACCUUCAAGCACUAACCUCCUCAGCAACAACGCCAGAAAAGAGCUUGAUGUCUACUACACAACCUUCUUCUUGUAGACGUUGUUGGGCCUCCAAGUGCAGAGGUUUGUAGGACAGUAGCAAAUUUCCAUCAAGUUGAUGACCUAAGGUUUAUCAAUCCAUGGGAGGCAUAGAAUGAAGAUGGUCUCUCUCAAACAACCCUGCAACCAAAUAACAAAGAGUCUGUUGUGUCCUCAACACACCCAAUAAUAUGGUAAAUUGUAUAGGUCCACUAGUUCGGCGAAGAGAUGGUGAUACAAGUGCAAUAUGGAUGGUAGAUAUAGGUUUUUGUAAUCUGAAAUUAUGAAAACAACAAGGUAGCAAGUGGUAAAAGUGAGCGAAAUAAGUAUUGCAAUGCUUCAAAACAAGGCCUAGGGUUCAUACUUUCACUAGUGCAAGUUCCCUACACAAUAAUAACAUAAUUGGAUCAUAUAACAAUCCCUCAACAUGCAACCAAGAGUCACUCAAAAGUCACUAAUAGAGGAGAACAAACGAAGAGAUUAUUGUAGGGGACGAAACCACCUCAAAGUUAUUCUUUCCGAUCAAUCCAUUGGGCUAUUCCUAUAAGUUUCACAAACAGCCCUCGAGUUCGUAGUAAAAUAACACCUUAAGACACACAUCAACCAAAACACUAAUGUCACCUAGAUACUCCAAUGUCACCUCAAGUAUCCGCGGGUAUGAUUAUACGAUAUGCAUCACACAAUCUCAGAUUCAUCUGUUCAACCAACACAAAGAACUUCAAAGAGUGCCCCAAAGUUUCUACCGGAGAGUCAAGACGAAAAUGUGUGCCAAUCCCUAUGCAUAGAUUCCCAAGGUCACAGAACCCGCAAGUUGAUCACCAAAACAUACAUCAAGUGAAUCAAUAGAAUACCCCAUUGUCACCACGUGUAUCCCACGCAAGACAUACAUCAAGUGUUCUCAAAUCCUUAAAGACUCAAUCCGAUAAGAUAACUUCAGAGGGAAAACUCAAUCCAUUACAAGAAGGUAGAGGCGGAGAAACAUCAUAGGAUCCAACUAUAAUAGCAAAGCUCACGAUACAUCAGGAUCGUGCGAAAUGAAGAACAAGAGAGAGAGAGAGAGAGAGAGAGAGAGAGAUCAAACACAUAGCUACUGGUACAUACCCUCAGCCCCGAGGGUGAACUACUCCCUUCUCGUCAUGGAGAGCAUCGAGAUGAUGAAGAUGACCACCGGUGAUGAUUCCCCCUCCGGUAGGGUGCCAUAACGGGGUUGUCGGUGUCAAAACCGGCGGAUCUCGGGUAGGGGGUCCCGAACUGUGCGUCUAGGCGGAUGGUAACAGGAGACGAGGGACACGAUGUUUUACCCAGGUUCGGGCCCUCUUGAUGGAGGUAAAACCCUACCUCCUGCUUGAUUAAUAUUGAUGAUGUGGGUUACAAGAGUAGAUCUACCACGAGAUCAAGGAGGCUAAACCCUAGAAGCUAGCCUAUGGUAUGAUUGUUGUUCGUCCUAUGGACUAGGGCCAUCCGGUUUAUAUAGACACCGGAGAGGGCUAGGGUUACACAGAGUCGGUUACAAAGGUAGGAGAUCUACAUAUCCGUAUCGCCAAGCUUGCCUUCCACGCCAAGGAAAGUCCCAUCCGGACACGGGACGAAGUCUUCAAUCUUGUAUCUUCAUAGUCUUGGAGUCCGGCCGAUGAUGAUAGUUCGGCUAUCCGGACACCCCCUAGUCCGGGACUCCCUCAGUAGCCCCUGAACCAGGCUUCAAUGACGACGAGUUCGGCGCGCAUAUUGUCUUCGGCAUUGCAAGGCGGGUUCCUCCUCCGAAUAAUUUAUAGAAGAUUGGGAACACCAGGAUAGUGUCCGGCUCUGCAAAAAUAAAUUCCACAUACCACCGUAGAGAGAAUAAUAUUACACAAGAUCAAUCUGUUCAUGUAUUCUGUGGCGUGACGUCACACCACUUCCAAGCCUUUACUCGAAUUGUUUUUAUUGUUCCACCUCAGCGCGUUUAGCGAGGCGGUUUCCUUGGCACGUCUUGUCGAAGCAGAGAUCGUGUUCCCCUUAUUCCGGGAUUCCCAUUAAUACGGACAUGGGUAACCCAAACGCGCCCGUUGCCACGCCCCCUCCAUCGAAGGCGGGUUCCAAACGUUCACGGGGACGGCUCUUGGUAUUCUUCCUCUUUAUAAUGAGACCAAGGCCCGUUCUUUUUAUUCAAUCCUCUAUCGAAUCCUCCCCUCUCCCUGAGUUCCAACACCUAGGGCUCCGAAUUCAGGUACCUUCGAUCUUUGACAAUGUCUGGUCCUGAUCUACGAGGCUGGUGGAUGCCCUCCUCCGUCACGGAGGAGGACAUGCUAAAGCUGAGAGAUGCCAGGUAUUUAACCUAUGAGAUUUUGCAUAGGCUGCCUUCCCGAGGGCAAGUUAUCCCAACUCCCGAGCCUGGCGAGAUCGUCGUGUUCGUGUCUCACUUCCGUCGGGGUUUAGGCUUCCCGACGGAUCCCUUCAUGAGGGGGCUCAUGUUUUACUAUGGGCUGGAAUUCCAUGACUUGGCUCCGGAGUCCAUCCUCCAUAUCUCAUCAUUCAUUGUCGUCUGUGAAGCCUUUCUCCGCACUACCCCUUACUUCGGCUUAUGGCUCAAAACCUUCAACAUGGAGCCGAAGAUGAUUGAGGGGCGUCAGGCAGAGUGCGGUGGGGCGGUUAUAAGCAAGAGGGCCGAAGCUCCAUGGCCCAAGGGCUCUUUCCAAGAGGAGCUCGGCUUGUGGCAACAGGAGUGAUUUUAUAUCACCGCUCCCCGGGGCAGCAGGCAGAAGCCGCCGCCCGUCUUUCGCUCGGGCCCUCCACAGCAGCUGACGUCAUGGGUCAACAAGGGGCGUGACUGGGGGCCGCCCAAAGACGUCCCCCUGCUGCAGGACCGGAUUCGAGGCCUCCAAGAAAGGGAGAUCAAUCUGGUCGCAGUGGUGCAGGUCAUGUUGAUCCGGCGCCUACUGCCCUACAAACGUCGCCCCCUUCGCCCAUGGGAAUUUAAUCCGGAGGGGCCACGAGCUCUUCAACACUUCAUGGGUUUGACUCCCAUGGAGAUGUAUAAACUGUUCUUCGGAUCACAAGAGACGCAUCCGGAAUUGACCGAGGACGCUGGCCUAAGCUGCAAUCGCCCGGAUACUCAAGUAAGUAGCCAUGUGUCCGGACACACCGUCCAUUUAUUUUUCGUGAGCUUGCCUUUUAACCAGCUAUCCCUGGACAGGAGUGGAUAGCGCAAGCAAAACUGAUACGGUGUCCGGCCCCCCUCCCUGAGACCAUGCAGGAUCCCAUGUUAAUCAAAAUCUUGGAGGUUGCACCUUCGAAUGAGGGCGAAGGGGGGCACGGGAAAACUGUCACCUCUGCCAAGGAGGCGUUUAGUAAGGGAGGAAUCGAGAGUCCCUCAUUCCAGGGGGAGAAGAGGAACGCUUCCGAAGACCCGGAGGCCAAGGCCUCAAAACGGGGAAAGAAAUCUGUACCGGAAGGUCCUGCGCCAGAAAGCGCCUCGGCCGUAUUGUCUCCUCGGAGGAAUCAGCCCUCUAACGAGCCAUAAGUGAAAAGGGGGAUUUUAUAAUUAUCAGUCACCCCUGCUUAAUGUCUAAAGGUAAUGAAGUUUUUACCUUGUAGUUCGGAUGUCAGCCUAUCUCAGCACAGCUCGUCUUCGGGAGACCUUCGUCCGGAGAUGAUGGAAAGCGAAACGCCUUCAUCUACCUCCCCAUCAUGCGGGGCGGACGACCCUGAGGUGUCAUCACGGAGGGUCUCCCCAAGUCCGGCGGUGGAGCUGCAGGAUUUGCUUAAGAGGGCGUCCAUCUCAGAAGAUCACCGCACAUUAAUGGGUGAUGUGAUUGAGAGGAUUUCGUCCGCCGAAACCGGGUUGUAUGAGGCCGUCGGAAUUUUACUGACGGGAUUUGAGGUACGCAAAAAAUGACAUACCUGUUGACAGUUUUGCACAUGAAGUGCGCCCUGUAUAGAUAGUAGCCCCUGAGACUUGGUAUGCUGUCGAAAGCGAUAGCGUGCUAAGGAUCGUAAUCUCAGUUAUAGAAUGCCUCCUUUCCUAUGCAGGUGGCGGAUCGUCCGGUGGCCAACCGGACUGAUGGAUUUGCCGAGCUGAGAAGGCAACUCGACGUUGCGGAUGCGGACAUCUCGCUGGUCAAUAAACGACUGGAUGAGUCACAAGGUACGUGGUUGCUCCGUGGUCGCCUAGUAAGGAGGCUGACGCCCGUGCCUUACAAUUUUUAUGCUUGAUGCAGAUGGCGCUACCACUAUGGAAGGCCUUCGAGCCAAACUUGCUUGGGCCAAGGAGCAAGCCAGAAAAAGCGAGGCGGCUGCCUCGAAGGCAGCGGAAGAGCUAGAAGCCGAGAAGGCUGCGCACUGCUGAAGCAGGGAGGAGAUGGCCGGAAUGGCCGCGAAAUUAAAAGUUGCUACCGACCGCCAGGAGGUUCUUGAAAGAGAACGUCGAGCGGAACAAGAGGAUCUGAAGAAGGCCGACGCCGAAGCCAAAGAUGCCCGUAGUGCGAUGCGGGCUAUGAAGGAGGAACUGCGUCAAAUCCGAGACAUUGUGGCUGGAAAGCCCUUUAUGCUGCGCAGGAAGUUCACGGAUCCGGAGUAUGCUCAGCUCGGCCGAUUGUAUGAUGCGGAGGAUCCUUAUCUGGACUUGGCAGCGAGUGCGGCAGACGCAGUCGUGCACUUCCGAAGCCAGAAGGGUCACGAAAUGGAAGAGCUUUUCUGGUCUCAAUUCCAUAGUCCGGAGCGUCAACUGCCGCUGAGUGAUCGGCUGGUUGAGUGGGCUGAGCUAAAUAGAUUGUCCGGACUUGCCAUGACGGAUGUGGUCACUCAUCUUUGGCCGGGAAGAUCCAAGCCGAAGAGUUAUUUUGGCUUGUUGCAGCAAUUCCUUGGGGCAGUGCCGCAUAUUAAGGCGAUGAAGUGGUCGGCAUGCAUAGAAGGUGCACGGAUGGCUCUCGCCCGUGGUAAAACAUACUAGGCGGAGAUGGAUGCCACCGCUGUUGCAUCCCGGGGUUCGGACAAAAGCCAAUUCCCCACCGAGCAUUACUCUGAGGAAGUCCUGCAGGGCGCUCGUAUAAUAGAGUCGCAGUGCUCGAAAGAUGUUAUGUUUGAAUGACAUGUAUGAUUUCUAAGAUCAUGUUUAUAAUGCAAUGACUUUUUAUACUUGUGUGUUCAAGUAUUGAACUAUCUCCUGUGCGGCCGUAUAUGUAUGUAUAAUCUGAAAGAUGGCAGUCUUUGGCUUCAGCCCCCACGCACAUGGUGCGGGGGUGUUUGCAAAAAGAAAAACACUUUUUCACACUUAAUCCAACGUCUUGGUCCUUUUAAGGAGGUGAUAGCAUAGCAAACUAGGCAACCGGACUAUAAUGCUUUAUCACUUUCACUUAGCCAUAGGAGCUCGAAUGUGGGGCUACUAUAUAGCCCCUGAUGGCACCGUGCUUCUCCGAACUCGGGGCGCGUAUGUGCCUGACCGGGAAGCGGUCCUUCGUCAAAGCGGAGGAAUUCUAAACAUUCCCAAUGGUCGAUCGAGUGGUUGACCAGUCUCUCGCUAUAUCAUGAUAGUCAGUUUUCGGCUUUCUCUACUGAGGUGCUCUCCCGGCUGAACCGGGGCACAAUCGCAGUAGUUCUCCUGGUGCCACGUUAGCCGAUGAUACGGAAUGUAAGGCAGCAAAACACAGGAGCCGGGCAAACCCAACAUUUGACCAAAGACAUGAUUCGGAGCUGAUGCAUAUAAGGCCUAACUCGAGACGCCGAACACUCCCUGAGGUGUUCGGUCUUUAUGAUAUUGGGCAGAAUAAAGCCCUAAGCCCCUAGUGUCCAAGUACAGGCGGGAACUUCUAACGCGGCCGAUGCCAAAAUGCCAGCCUCCUCCUCGGCUCUGGUAGGAAACCGGGGGAUGUGUAUCAACAAGAGACAGUGAGAAAGGUUUACGCAGGGUCUUAAUCUGAAAAGAAUCCUUGCAACAGGUCCCUACUGCACGUCUGCGCCUGUAUCUCCAUUGUGCUGUAUCCUGGACGGGUGUAGCAUGUGCUUCAUCUAUAAAAGAGAAGGACUUAGUUUCUAAGAAAUAUCGUGCAAAAAGUGUAUCAAAAUAAAGUAUAAUUUGGAAGAUGAAGAAAGUUAAGCUUUAUUGGCUUUCAUCAUUUAUGCGCGCGGCCCCCUAAAAAGGGUAUGCGGCUGGGAAGCCCCUUGCUAAGUUACCCUGGACUCGUCUAACCAUGUCCGAGGCCUAAAUGACCUGUUUUUAGGGGCUUUGACCUGCAAGGUCGAAAUAAUGUGUGGCUGUCGAGGCAGCCGCACAUUCUCCGUGGUCGAGAGACACCUGGAGUUUUAAGAAUAUGCCACGUGGACCGGGCAUUUUUAAGCGUAAGAGACGCGUAAUGUGGUAUUGCAUUAAAGCGGGCGAAAGCUGCACGCCCCAGUAGUGCUUAAGGGCUACUGCUAGAUGGGGUGAUGGAGGGUGAGCUUUUUCACGACGGAGGUUGUCGGAUGAACCAAACACGACCUCUAGUGGUACAGAGCCUGUAAAAUUGGCUAAAAAAGGCCUGGCAUCACUCCUUUGAAGGAAGUGCUUCUAUUGCGAAUUUUGGUGGGUUAUAUCCCCAGUAUGCGGACGGUGUCCUGGUAUAGCAGGGGCCGCGCUGCGUGUUAUCACGUGAAGUGAGUUCACUGUUUUGACUUCUAAUGGGAAAGUCUUUUGGUUUCCGGAGCGCUGCUUUUGGAUUUCGUCACUUUCACUUGGUGUGUCGAGCCCUUUGUGUUCGGCGUUAAGUCGGCCGGACUGCUUGAAGACCCAACAAUCUCUGUGGGUAUGGUUUGCAGGCUUCCCGGAGGUACCGUGUAUUUGACACAUUCUAUCCAGAAUCUUGUUUAGGUUGGAUAGCUCAUCACUGUUAUCCUUUAGGGGCAGUGUUUUGUUGUUCGGCCGAGAGCUUUUGAAUCCGGCGUUGACCGCCGUACUAUUUGGGCCAUUUUCCUUAUUCCGGCACUGAUCUUUUUUGCGUCGUGAUUUCCCAUUUCCAUCCCUGAUUUCGGAUGUACUCGGGUCGCUGGUGCUGCAUCUAGCCAACCAGCUGUCUUCCCCCACGCAAAAGCGGGUCAUGAGACUUGUUAGUGCGGCCGUUGUUCUUGGUUUUUACUGGCCGAGGUGUCUGGCGAGCCAUUCGUCUCGGACGUUGUGUUUAAAGGCUGCUAAGGCUUCAGCGUCCGGACAGUCGACUAUUUGGUUCUUUUUAGUGAGGAACCUAUUCCAGAAUUUGCGUGCUGAUUCUCCGAGCUGUUGAUUUAUGUGACUUAAAUCAUCUGCAUCCGAAGGCCGGACAUAAGCCCCUGAAAAUUCGCUCGAAACGCAUCCUCAAGCUCUUCCCAACUUCCGUUCGUAUUUUUUGGGAGGCUUUUAAGCCAAUGCCGGGCCGGCCCUUUGAGCUUGAGGGGUAGGUAUUUUAUGGCAUGGAGAUCGUCUCCUCUUGCCAUGUGUAUGUGUAGGAUAUAAUCCUCAAUCCAGACUCCGGGGUCUGUUGUUCCGUUGUAUGCCUCUAUGUUUAUGGGUUUAAAUCCCGCUGGAAAUUCAUGAUCCAGUACCUCGUCGGUGAAACAUAGUGGGUGUGCGGCGCCCCUGUAUUUGGGUGUGCCGUUGUUUUCAAAUGCUCGGCUGGUUGUGUUACUUCCUGGAGUCUUCUUUUUUGGCCCAUAGAUAGACCUGGCCGGGUUAUCCUUUUUCUGAGGAUCUUUAUGCUGAUCAUGUGCCGGCUUGUGUGUGGCGCCCUCUGUUGCUCUUGGCCUGUCAUCUGGUCGUCUAUCCGGUCAGGCGACCCCUUUCUUUUUUGACUGCGGGGGCUCGAAGGCCUCCUCGUCAAAUUCGGGCAGCAGCUUGCGCUUCGGGUAGCUCUUUGUCUGGUGACUAGUGCCAUAUUUAUCUGUGGUGUUGAGUACUUUGCUCCAUCUCAUUCUGAGUGCGUCUUCCGCUGUUUUGAGCUUCUGCUUUUGCUUCUUCAGACUUCUUGCAGUGGCGACGAGCCUUUUAUGAAGAUUCAUAUGCUCUGGUGAUGUGAGAUCAUUUUCGCCGGGGAUGAGUUGCUUGUCCGGUUCAUGUCCGGCUGGCUGCUUGUUGAUGUGUGCGUCGUCCACUGCUUCGCCCUGCUCUAGGGCCGGGUCCAUAUGGGUGCCAUUUUUGUCGAUGCCGGUCUUCGGGCGGCGCUUGCGUCGCCGCUUUGUUUGUUUGUUGGGGGAGUUGUCCUUCGCCACGUCCCUUUUUCCUCAUUGUCGCUUCCCUUUGGUGUGUCCACCAUGUAUACGUUGUGGGCUGGGGUGUCUUUCCUGCACCCGUUAGGCGCUGGUUCUUGGUCGUCUUCGAUAUCGUCGUCCAUACCGUCGAUGUCCUCGGAGUCGUAGUCUAGCAUGUCGGUUAAAUCAUCGACAGCGGCUACCAAGUGGGUGGUGGGUGGGCUUUGAAUUUCUUCGUCGUCCGCGUCCCAACCGUCCUGGCCGCAGUCCGGCCAGGGUUCUCCUGAUAACGAGAGAUAUUUUAGCGAACUCAAGAUGUCGCCAAAAGGUGAGUGUUGAAAGACGUCCGCUGCGGUGAACUCCAUGAUCGGCGCCCAAUCGGAUUCGAUCAGGGCGGGCACGGGAGGUUCGGAGUCCAGCGAGGAGUCCGACACCUUGGAGUCACGAUCUUUAUGAGGGACAAAGUCAGUGUUCGGCUCUAUCGCCGUAGAGGUUGCAGCCCCCGAGGCGGUGUCUAGGCAUCCAUCCUCGAUCUGUGCGGCCGGCUCCAAAUUGAGGAUCGGAGCGGGCUCGAGUGCGGCCUCUAGGGUAUUGUCCAGCGACAGAGCUAAAUCAUGCCCGACGUGACAGUGCGGCACGCUCGGCUGUGGCUCAAAUCCGUCGAAGAUCAAGUCCCCGCGGAUGUCAGCCGUGAAGUUCAAACUUCCAAAUCUGACCUGACGGCCAGGGGUGUAGCUUUCGAUCUGCUCUAGUUGGCCAAGCGAAUUGGCCCGCAGUGCAAAGCCGCUGAAUACGAAGAUCUGUCCGGGGAGGAAGGUCUCCCCGUGGACUGCGUCGUUGAUGAUGAUCGAAGAAGCCAUCACGCCUAUCGGUGACGACACAGAGGAACUCUCAAUGAAAGCACCAAUGUCGGUGUCAAAACCGGCAGAUCUCGGGUAGGGGGUCCCGAACUGUGCGUCUAGGCGGAUGGUAACAGGAGACGAGGGACACGAUGUUUUACCCAGGUUCGGGCCCUCUUGAUGGAGGUAAAACCCUACGUCCUGCUUGAUUAAUAUUGAUGAUGUGGGUUACAAGAGUAGAUCUACCACGAGAUCAAGGAGGCUAAACCCUAGAAGCUAGCCUAUGGUAUGAUUGUUGUUCGUUCUAUGGACUAGGGCCAUCCGGUUUAUAUAGACACCAGAGAGGGCUAGGGUUACACAGAGUCGGUUACAAAGGUAGGAGAUCUAAAUAUCUGUAUCGCCAAGCUUGCCUUCCAUGCCAAGGAAAGUCCCAUCCGGACAUGGGACGAAGUCUUCAAUCUUGUAUCUUCAUAGUCUUGGAGUCCGGCCGAUGAUGAUAGUUCGGCUAUCCGGACACCCCCUAGUCCGGAACUCCCUCAGGGGUCUACAUUGGUUUUUGGUGGCUACAGAGGCUUGCGGCGGCGGAACUCCCGAUCUAGGUUUAUUUCUGGGGGUUUCUGUAUUUAUAGGAAUUUUUGGCGUCGGUCUCACGUCAGGGGGUUUCCGAGUCAUCCACGAGAUAGGGGGGCGUGCCUAGGAGGGUAGGGCGCGCCCUCCACCCUCGUGGAUGGCUCAGGACUUUUCUGGCCCAACUCUUCUACUUCGGGGGCUUCUUUUGGUCCAUCAAAAAUCCACAAAAAUUGCCAGGUCAAUUGGACUCCAUUUGGUAUUCCUUUUCUGUAAAACUCAAAAACAAGGAAAAAACAGAAACUGGCACUAGGCUCUAGGUUAAUAGUUUAGUCCCAAAAAUCAUAUAAAAUAGCAUAUAAAACAUCCAAGAUGGAUAAUAUAGUAGCAUGGAACAAUCAAAAAUUAUAGAUAUGUUGGAGACGUAUCAAUGGACAUAUCUAAGUCCUCAGCUCAAGCCGGCAAUCGAGGGUACGUGUUGGCCUUUGUGACGUACGGAAUGACAUUUCUUGCACCUUGAGUGGACCACCUUCGCCCUCUAGGAUUUGAUCAAUGACGAUGUUACCCCUAUGUACCAUGCCAUGAUCUUGUCACCCGUCUCACUACUGUCAGCAUCUCUUUAGGCAACGGUGAGACCACCCUUGGGGAAGGUGCUUUUGUUGCAUCUCGGCGUUCAUUAUUGUAGCCUAGGUGAUGUUUUGUAGAUAUAGGGUUCCCUUCCGUUUCCAUUUUAACUUAUGUGGCAUUUGUGGUGAUCACCAUGUCUGGAUGAUGUCUUGUUGCCAUUGUAAUCUUGCUUGUUGCGUUCUAUUUGUUCAAUGAGCCCUUUCACUUUCUCGGUUUGCUCUUUGAACGUGUGUGGGCUGGGAAAAACGAUAAGUGCAAUGAUGUUCUUUGUCCAAGUGAUGAUUAACAGUGGGCCAGGUGGACCGAGAGGAGAAGGGGAUGAGUGGGGAGACAUGGGCAGUGGAGAGACGUGGUCCAACUGAUAGUGGGACGAGCGUAGCGUCCGGGCUUCCCCGGAACCCCUAGUUUAGGACAGUUUGUGGGAUUUCAAACACCCGUACCAGUUCAUGAACUUUUGAUGACUUGCGUUGAACAUUUCCGUGACCGACGUUGAGGAUGCCCUAAGCAUUGGUGGACUGGAAUGCCUAUCAUACAGUAAUGUUAAGCACAGGGUUAAUUUUGAUGGUACUUCUGUGUGGUUGGUGGCGUGGGGUGGGGGUGGGGGUGGGGGAAAGUGGUAAAGGUACAAGAGUACCUUUUGGUAUAGCUUCUCAAGGACCGUAGAUAAUAUUGAUGACAACAAUAAUUAUCUCCCAACCAAUCACAAAAGAAAAAAAGUUUCAAACUAAACUGAAGAAAAAUAUACCGGAGCAAGGGAUGCAUGACUGAACAUGCAAUGGAUGAAACUUCAGGGUUGAGGGUUAGAACUGACCGAAGAACAAUUCUGCCUACUUUCAAACUAGAGCAUCAUAUUUGCUUCUCUCUGGUCCUUCUUUCACCCCCUUCCCUCUCCCUGCUCCCUCCCGGGUCGCUUGCGCGAGCGGCCCCGGAGGCCCCAAAACCUAACCAAAAAAGCCCCCAAAUCGGGGUCUCCCCUGGCCGCUGCCACCAUCAACAGUGUCGGCCGCGCCAGGCCAUCGGAGGCGGCAGGUGGGUGGGCGCCCCCCGUCAGGCUCCCUUCACAAAAAGGUGAGACGACAAGCGGGCGGCACAGGGUGGCGUGGAGUUGCGGUGGUGCUGGUCUAGAUGCGCGGGGGAGGAGUUGUGGUGCACGAGGAGGCCCCGCCAGAGCUAUGGAGGUCCUGGAGCAGGCCGGCGCUGCACAACAUAGGCGCCUAGAGGAGAUCUGGUGGCGGCGGCGCGGGCUGAUCUGGGCCAGAUCUAGGCCCGAUCUAGGCUCUGCGGGCCACUCACGUGGAAGUGCCAUGGCUGGCCGCUUGAAACUGGAGUGCUUGCGUCGACAGCUACGGGCGAGGUUGGAGGACCCUCUGCUGUGCGGGAGGUGGAUGGUGGGCCAAGGCAGUGGUCUCGUGGCGUGCAGGAGGUGGAAGACGGUGUGCUCUCGGCCAUGCGGGUGUUGGUGGACCAUGACUUCAUGGCUACAUCUACGAGGUGUUGGGGCGGCGGUGGUGUGAGCCAAUUUGGACAAGGUUGUGCGAAUCGUGUGGCAGGGAUGGAGUUGUGCGACUAUACGAACAAAAGUCCUGCCUGUCUCCAGUCGAUGCAGGUGACGACGGUGCUUGUGGGUGUCGUUUUCCUCCUUGGAGGCGUCACCGAGUGUGGCGGCAUGUCCCUCGCUAUCACUUGGGGUUGGCAGUUGUCUCGAGGCGAAAGCCUUGGUUCGGAGUUGGAUCGGCGCGAUGGCGGCAUCUUCGACGUCGUUCCUCCGUUGGGGGCAUCAUGUUAGGAGACACUACCUGAGGUGCUAUGUGGCACACUUUCAGUGCUCGUCAUUGUCCAAGGAUGAGCUCAAGGAGCACUGUGUACGUCGUCGCCGGUGAGUCCAAGACGGUGCUUUCCUUGGACCGACCAAGUUCCGCCAUCUACUUGCCACCUCCUUUUAGGCAUCAAGGGUGGAUGGUGCGUUGACAAGGGACAUUCAAUUGGAGUUAGAGUUGUCUUCGGAGGUGAGCGGCGUCGGUCGAGACGCGGUGCUGUUGCUUAGCUUUGGAUAGGCACUUCGGUUUUGUAUUUGUGCUGUCUAUAGUGGUUGUCUUCGAACUAGCUUGGGUGUGGAGUUGUGCUACACUUGUUGUUCGCAGCAAACUGUAGCUCUUUUGUAUUUAAAAUUCUAUCUUUUAUAAAAAUAUAGUAUGCCUAGGCGUACUCUAAAAAAAUUGCUCCUCAGGAGUCGUGGUGUUAUGUUGCUUCGAUAGAUUGACUAGAUGGAGAAACUAUAUUGACCAUGACUCUCAUAUGAAACACACGCUUUAAUUUUUGAGGAACCACGGUGGGAAGGAUCCUCACUCUGAAAAUCACGCGCUUUGUGAACGUGUAUAUCGGUUACAAAAGCCACAAAGGUGGUCAAAUUUGAGUGGACCUGAUUACAUCUGCGCCGGCUUUCCAAAAGAGAGAGCAAUGGCAUCCGUUCUUUGCUAGCCGACCAAAAUCAACAGUUUUCAUAGCCCUCAAACAAAAACUCAACAGCUUUCGUGUGCGUCCAACUCUAAUCAUGGAUCCUCCGCCCGCAUCGUCAAGCGCAAAAUAUUGUUAAGAUAACCUCCUUCCCUCCCGGGAUGUAAGAGUUUUUUGACACUUGAGACGGAGGAGUAGCUUCUUCCUUUUUUUGCUUGUAGGAAUCAGAAUGUCGGCAGUGAGCAUGCAGGGUCUCAUAUUGGAAGAACCUUUUUUUGGAAGUCAUAUAUGAAGAACCUCGGGGCAUCUUCAACGUGACCCAUAAAUUUUCUCCCCCAUCUGUCCGUAGACAGGGAGGCAGUCCCAGUCGUGGUAGGCCGUCAUAUAUACAACACUGUCCGCAUACAUUUAAACAACUUUAUGAACCCACCGCACGAAAUUAGUGUAAACACGGUGGAUUUCAUAUAAAUCGGACGCCAUUCAUGCAAACUUGGCGGAUUUUCAAUACAUUUCAAACACUUAGAAAAAGACCUAUGGCAGUCGCCGGCAUCCAAGCGCUUGUUGUUCCCUUCCUGGGACUGUCUCCUCCAUCCGCCGUCUCCAUGUGCACCGGCGAUAAGACCGAUGGAGUGAAGUUGCGGUCUCCGGGAGGAAGAAUAGAACACGGGCGACAGACCAGCCCACAUGGGACGCAAGGCACUGCGGGCUCCCAUGCCCUACCAAUCUCGGAGGAGUCUGCGCUUUGUCCGUCGCUGGUGGUCGUGAGGUCAACGAUGGAAAUGGUGAUGCCCGCGCUGUCGUCGUCCCACCGGGCCGCUCCAUAGUUCGUCGGCAGCGCGUAGAAGGUGCAGCUGGCAUUGUUCACCUUCGCAAUCGCCUGCAGCUGCACCUCCGCAGCGGCCACUUCCUGGCAAGCAGCAUCUUGAGCACAGACGAUCUCGUAGAUCGCACGCUGCUCCAUGAUGAAGUUGGGAUUUGCUGCGGCCAUGGCCGCCACGGCCUCCUCGCUCGCCGUUGAUUUGGCCCUCCGCCAACCCUUGUUGCUCCAGGAGAAGCAAGUUGUGUCGUUGUUCCUCCUGUGCCUGCUGGAACACCGACAUAGGCGCCGACGCAGGCUGCACCUCCGUCAUGGCGUCGUUGUAGUGUGCCUGCGCCGCUCCAUGGUGAAACCGGCGUGAAUAGGUGCGGGCUCGGGUGCGUUGUCAUAUGGGCUCAUCGCCAUGGUGGGGUCGCCCUCAUCGUCAGAGCCUCGGGCGAGCUGGCCGGCAAGCCUGCCUUGAUCCGCCUGGCACGGCGGCACUGCCAGGUGGCCGCAAAGGCGGCCUCUUCAUGCUUCAUCUCUGUGGAAAGGCUCUCCCACAGAGCUUCACCACCUACAGUCAUGGCGGAUGCGAUGCAAGGAAAGAGGAUGUGGAGCGUCUUGUGUUGUGGCAUGGAGUUUGCCGGGUGUGGCCGCCUUUAAAAGGAUUUCAGUGAGGCCGAGCGUCCGGGGUGCACCAAUGCGAGGCGCCGGCUCGGCCAACGAACCUGCUUAAUGGUGGCUUAUGGACGGAUGGGGCGUUGAAGGGAUGUCGUAGAUAUCCAACCCGUCCAGUAACGCGUUUUCGACAUUGAACAUGCGAGAACACCAGGGACGCAUCGUGGGCGGCGUCCUUGGCCGGCGCGCUGCUUCAAUGGCGUAGCCAAUGAGAGGUCGCGUUCGCUCUUGGCCGACUUCAAUGUGAAGCGGCCGCUCUACGGUGACAUGAGGGAACACGCGCAGGCGAAGGAGGAUGAUUUUGGGUGGGCCAAAGUGGUCAGACGCGGGCGUGGCUGUUGUCCAUACGCUCACGAAGCCCCCACAUUUGUCUCCGAUUUACGGGAGAAAGUGCAUCCGAACCGUCCCGCGGACCGAUGUAGGAGCAUGUUGGAUGGCACAACACACCUGAACCACGUGGUUCGGACGGUUUGAGUGUCAGCAUUGAAGAUGCCCUAACUAGGAUUAUUGACUUAUUCACUCUAUAUCCGUACCGAAUUCUCAACCAAACAGCACAACGGGUAUAGUUUCUAGUUCAUUUAUUUAUUAAGGUGCACCCCUUUUUUUUGACGGGAAGGUGCACCCCUUUACGUGCCUAGAGGUAAGAGAAACUUUUAGUCCUGGCCGUCCGGCAGACAAGGGUAGCAUGGUACUUCGUAAAAUUUUAUUUCGCUGCUGCAUUNNNNNNNNNNNNNNNNNNNNNNNNNNNNNNNNNNNNNNNNNNNNNNNNNNNNNNNNNNNNNNNNNNNNNNNNNNNNNNNNNNNNNNNNNNNNNNNNNNNNNNNNNNNNNNNNNNNNNNNNNNNNNNNNNNNNNNNNNNNNNNNNNNNNNNNNNNNNNNNNNNNNNNNNNNNNNNNNNNNNNNNNNNNNNNNNNNNNNNNNNNNNNNNNNNNNNNNNNNNNNNNNNNNNNNNNNNNNNNNNNNNNNNNNNNNNNNNNNNNNNNNNNNNNNNNNNNNNNNNNNNNNNNNNNNNNNNNNNNNNNNNNNNNNNNNNNNNNNNNNNNNNNNNNNNNNNNNNNNNNNNNNNNNNNNNNNNNNNNNNNNNNNNNNNNNNNNNNNNNNNNNNNNNNGUUUACAGAUAAUCAAGAAAGUAAUAUGAUAUCACCAAUUAGAUUAUAAGAAAAUUGACAGUCUAUACCGAUUUGGAGCAUUGUAAAAUUUCACAUCGUUCUCAGACAGAUUUUGUGAGUGCACAUGUCUAUCGUGUACCGUAUAAUGGACAAGCGCCCACACACUUCAGUUGCAUUAUCUUUUAGAGAGAAGGCCACUUGACUCGAUUGAUUAGCAAGCCAAACAUCAUUUGCAUUUUAAUUUCAGCAACCUGAAACUAGCUAGCAUGGUCCCUAGUAUCAGCAUCAAAGGACCACUUAGCUAGUUGCACUAUUAAUAGAAGGAUACUGAGAAUCAAAUGCUUAGUUUGUACUUUGUACUUAUAAAAUUAUAUAUGGUGUGCUAAAUCGGAAAUACCUGAUGGAGCUGGAGCUCCUUGGAGCCCUUUAUUUGAAAAAAAAACAAAUUUUGAUAUAUUUUUUUAGUUCUGAAAAGUUCUGAAUAAAAUACACAUAUACAUAUGGAUGUAUACUACUUGUCUGUGAAGCUUCAUGAUGAAAUACUUUUUAUGCAAGCUACACAAAAAUGCAAAAUGUGCAUAUUUACAGCACAUGUACUAUUCACUAUGAAAUCACAUGAUUUUUUUUGUAGAGGCCACACAAAAAUUAUUUUGUCAUGAAAUUUCACACACGUUCAAUAAACAUCUAUAAGUACUUGUGUAUUUUUUUCUUCAUAUUUUUUUUUAGUUUAGACAGUUGAUUUUGGAAUGUUUGAAAAUCAAGGGCUCCACUGAGAGCAAAAAAAAAUCCUAUCAUGCUAAAUUUCUUGUAUAAUCUACUGAAACAAUAUAUAUAGUUCUAGUUGUCAGAACGACUUUGUGUUUAAUAGAAUAAAAGUUCAAAAAACAUUGCAGGUAAUAUACAGGGCGUCUGAAUGGAUCCGUACAUGGUCAUUACUACACCAUGGCCCAUGCGGAAGUGAGGGGCUUAUGGCUUUUGGUAGAAACCGAUGGGAGACAGUACGUAGCACGGGAUAUACACAAUUAGCUUGGAUGACGGUCCAAUAAUAUGAUAUGUAUAAAAGCAUUUUUCUUUAUUUGUGCCAGUUGUAGCAUUUUGUCAUGUAUUUUUCUUUUCUUUAUUUGUACUGGAGCUGCUCGUGAUACUUUGAUACUUGGUUCAUUUUAAUAAAUGAUUGUGUAUCUUUUGAUACAGAGACCGGGAAUAAUCCUUCUUUUCGAGAAAAAUAAUAUAGUUAUAGGUCAGAUUUCUCUUUGCUACAGGUUAUCUAGCAAUCUAUACACUUGCUCGUUUGUAGUUUAUUCUUCAGCGAUCUGAACACCGACAAUUGUUUCUAGCCAUGUGUACGCAGACGGAAUAGAAGGACAAGGAUGUCUUUGCCCAACAUGGUUGAAGCUUUUUCUGAGACCCCCCUCCCCCUCGCCUUAGUUAUUGUAGUCUCGAACAACCUUAUUUUGUCAGCGUUAUUUAGAAUGUGUGUUGUUGUGUGUGUAUCUUGGCCACGUAGAGAAUGGAUGUGAACUUGUUUUGAUUGUAUUCCAUUUAUGCAACAUUUGGAGUCAAAAAACGCACUUCUUCAAAAACUGUGUGGGUCAUAAUUAAAACACUAACUACUCAAGCGAAAAACCCUACAAACUUGAUCUAAAAUAGCUUAUUAUAUCUUAUUAUAAUCUACCUCAAUACUAUCGCAGUCUAAGACAUCUCGACCUUAUAUAAGCAAGCUAAAACACUUCACUGCUAGUUUUCACAAUUUGUAAAACAAAGUAUGUUGUAAUAGUAAAACAUGGUUCUAAGAGUCAAUUCGAUUGGAAAGUUAAACUUCAUGAGUUUCUAUUUUAUGGAUUUGAUGACCUAAGGCAUUGGUUGCAUCAUUUCUAGGAACUAAUCUUUUGAGGACUAUGGUACUCGCACAAACUAGUACAUCUCUACUCCUAUAAAAGACUCAGUUGGUGAUGAUGGUGUGUCUGCCAUCCAUCGUUUCUGACCAUUAGAUCUGCAUCUAACGACUGUGAGGUAAGUUGUGGCCUUUUUCAAACAACAGCCCACUUCUUCGCUCCAAUUUGCAGAAAACCCCUUAGUAUUUUGAAACCAACCACAUCCCUCCCUCACCUCAUCAAAACAGCCCAAGGAAUAUAUAUUUUGAGUGAAACAUAAUAUAUUUUUAGUGAUAUAUGUAUAUCAAAACUAGAGUGCUUUCUUUUCAAUUUACGAAUAAGUAUUAUUCUACUUUGGAUCCGUUGCAACGCACGGGCACAUUGCUAGUUAUUGGAUUAUACUUAUAUGAAAUGAGGUAAGGUGACUAACACUAUUUGACUGUAUGUGCAAUUGCAUACUUCUCUAAAGUUACACCACCUCUGUAAGAUGAAUAUUCUAUUAGUGCAUUCAUUACUAAAAGUACAAUAAUGUUAGUACGUUCGAUUAAUAACUAUUUGCUUACAUUUCAGUUCAUUUGUCUUGGUUUAUUGGCUCCCUUUGUAAUUUGUGCCAAAUUUUCACCAAAUAUUUAACUAACAAAAUGUUAAUGCAUGUCAGCAAAAAUUAUAUCAUUUGAUUCGUAUUUGAACAUGAUUUACAAUGAUAUAAAUUUUGGUAACAUGCAUGAAUAUUUUGUUAGUUAAAUAUUCGGUCAAAAUUUGGCACAUACUACAAAGGGGGCCAAUAAACCAGGACGGAGGUAGUAAUACGAGAAGGUUGUUAAAUUAAUUCAGUUUUUGUACAAUAUGUUUAUCUAUCUUUAUGUCUAAACACUACAAGGAAAAUAGAUAUAGCAUAUAAACUUUAGAAAAAGUCCAUUUUACUACCCUGAAUAAAGUGGGUGGUUCACUUUACCCCCUGAUCUAUUUUUCCGCUUCUUUUACCCCCAAACAAAUCCAAACCGGACAAAACACCCCCUGGCUGGUUUUUCUCCACCCGCUGCUGAUGUGGCACUAGUCAACGGCGGUUUUGACCUGGGUGGGGCCCCCUUGUCAGUGUUCUCUCUUUCUCUCUCUCUCUCUCNNNNNNNNNNNNNNNNNNNNNNNNNNNNNNNNNNNNNNNNNNNNNNNNNNNNNNNNNNNNNNNNNNNNNNNNNNNNNNNNNNNNNNNNNNNNNNNNNNNNNNNNNNNNNNNNNNNNNNNNNNNNNNNNNNNNNNNNNNNNNNNNNNNNNNNNNNNNNNNNNNNNNNNNNNNNNNNNNNNNNNNNNNNNNNNNNNNNNNNNNNNNNNNNNNNNNNNNNNNNNNNNNNNNNNNNNNNNNNNNNNNNNNNNNNNNNNNNNNNNNNNNNNNNNNNNNNNNNNNNNNNNNNNNNNNNNNNNNNNNNNNNNNNNNNNNNNNNNNNNNNNNNNNNNNNNNNNNNNNNNNNNNNNNNNNNNNNNNNNNNNNNNNNNNNNNNNNNNNNNNNNNNNNNNNNNNNNNNNNNNNNNNNUGCUGCCGCGCCGUUGCGCCCCGUCUGCGCGCUCGCCUAGCCCGCGACGUCGCUGACCGCAGCCGCCUGCCCACAUCGGUCGGUGCCCAGCCGCCCCUUCCCCUCCCACGCCGACGCCGGGCCGUGCCCGAACCCCCGCGGCUGCCCACUCCUCGCCGCGCCGCUCAGAUCGCCCGCCGUCCGUCCUGCCCCGCAGCCCCUCGCCGCCCCUACCGCAUCCCCGUGGCCGCUGCGCUCGGCCGUGCCUCCACGCGCGCUCGUCUGCGUGCUUGCCCGCGCAUGGCCGCGCCGCGCCCGGCCACUUCCCUGUCGCCAUAGGCGUGGCGACGCCUACAGCCUCCGCUCGCUUUAGGCGCUCUGCCUGUCCCUUCGGUUGGUGUGAGAGAGAGAGAGAGAGAGAGAGAGAGAGAGAGAGAAACCUGACAAGGGGGCCCCACCCAGGUCAAAACCGCCAUUGACUAGUGCCACAUCAGCAGCUGGUGGAGAAAAACCAGCCGGGGGGGGGGUGUUUUGUCCGGUUUGGGUUUGUUUGGGGGGUAAAAGAAGCGGAAAAAUAGAUUAGGGGGUAAAGUGAACCACCCACUUUAUUCAGGGUAGUAAAAUGGACUUUUUUCUAAACUUUAUUAUCUAUUCCUGUAAGACAUCUCAUUUGGAAAAUUCGAUGAACUAAGGGUCUGAAGAGUCCUCCGAGUUGAAAGGUAUCAUUUGGUUCGCACUUCUCUGGCGGCGCUGGAAACCUUUUUUUUCUAGAAAGCCAAUCAUUAAUUUUAUGUGGCAUAUGUGUGAUUGGACAGCUUGCAUACGCCAAGGCAGUCAUGUCUUCCUGCCUAUAUAAAGCACCCCAUUACCAACCUUACAACUCAGGCUAAGAGUUUCAACCAACUUAGAGAGCUCUCCUCUCCAGACCUCUCCCUUCUCUCCACCAGGAGUUUAGGGUUAGAGAGAGCGAGACGAGCAAAAACAAUCUCUCGCCCCACUGUUAUACCAAGUUCGCAUCCACCUCACUGUUAUACAUCUUUGUAUCACAAUGGGUGGCCUAUCCAUGGAGCACCCUUGGGCAUUCGCCUUCGGCCUACUAGGUAUAUUAUUCUCACCGCGAACAACAGAUGUCGAACAAUCACCCCUUGUAUUAUCAUAGUUUCUUAGUUACAGCCAAGGUUUUGGUAACCGAAUGAGGCAUUUUUACCGAGGGGGACUGGUAAACGCGGUUACCACGAUUACCAAGAAAUAUCGAUAAAUACCGAGGAUAUUUCGAACGAAUUUUAUAGUUGAUUUUUGAAUUCAAAUAAGUUAAUGAAUGAAUAUUUGAACCAUAAACCUCUCAAAACAGGAACUAGGUUACUACCAACACGCCAGAACCAACUCUCAUGGCAUUAGUUAGAUCCUACGAACUUUACUACAAAUCGAGUGUUUAAAUUAAAAAAAUUAAAAAAACUGGUAUUUUUUGCUUGGUACGUGGAUUUACCGAGGGGCACGGAAAUACGCGGUAACCAUGGGAAAUCUCGAAAUUUCGACCGGUAACCAAAACCUUGGUUACAGCUACUAUUUAUUAGUGCAGUACUAGUAGACUACUUUGUGUCGUUUGAGAUCACCCUUUUGCAGCGUCUAUCUAUAUGUCUUAUCUUUGCCACUGAUUGAUUAAUUGAUGUGUAGUCUGGUACUAGCUCUAGUGACAUGUAGCUCGGUGCGCCAAAAAACCCAAAAAGAAACAACAACAAAGCAAAUUGCUUAUGUUUUUUCGAAAAGGAUAAAGCGCAUAAAAGAAAGAUGUAAAUGUGUCAUACAAUUAUCACAGCUCAUCGCUAACUUUGCUAAACUUUGCAGGCAACGUGAUCUCUUUCUCGAGCCUCCUGGCCCCGAUGUAAGCAACUGUCCAUAUUGGUUUUUGUUUCAUUUGAUCAUGUUAAUCAAUAUGUUCCCCCAUAAUAACUAACCAAUGUAUUCAAAAAAACAAAAUGUUAGACCAACAUUCUACCGGAUCUUCAAGAGCAAAUCCACGGAGGGGUUCCAGUCGGUGCCCUACGUCGUGGCCCUGUUCAGCGCGAUGCUGUGGAUAUUCUACGCACUGGUCAAGACCGGUGAGGGCCUCCUUAUCAGCAUCAACGCUGCCGGCUGCGUCAUUGAGACCGUCUACAUCGUCAUGUACCUCGUCUACGCCCCCAGGAAGGCCAAGAUUUUCACAGCCAAGAUCGUCGUUCUCCUCAACAUCGCCGGCUUCGGGCUCAUCUUCCUCCUCACCCUCUUCGCCUUCCACGGCGAGACACGCGUCGUCUCGCUCGGCUGGAUCUGCGUCGGCUUCUCCGUCUGCGUCUUCGUUGCCCCACUCAGCAUCAUUGUGAGCCCUUUUUGACCCACAAACCUCCUACUCGAGCUCAUGCAUGGCGGGACCUCUUGUACGUGUGUCAACUAACUUGAUGUGUUCCUUUCCCCAGGGACGAGUCAUCAAGACCAAGAGUGUGGAGUACAUGCCCUUCUCCCUCUCCCUCACGCUCACCCUCAGCGCCGUUGACUGGUUCCUCUACGGCCUGCUCAUCAAGGACAAAUACGUGGCGGUAAUUUAAACAUCAUCCAGCCCUUCUAUUAAUUUGCCGAUCGAUACGCAUUCUAUUCGCAAGCAUGAGCAAUGACGAGUGGCAAUUAACUUUUUGUUUGCAGCUCCCAAACAUCCUUGGCUUCACCUUCGGGAUGAUCCAAAUGGUCGUCUACAUGUUCUACAUGAACGCGACGCCGGUGGUGAGCGAUCUGAAGGAGGGGAAAGAGGGGUUGAAGAUGCCGGCGGAGGAGCAGGUGGUGGUGAUCAACGUUGGCAUGAUCGAAAAGAGCUCUGGCGCUGUGGUUCGCCCGGUGACCGAGAUGGUCAAAGCCGUCCCGGCGGCGCCGGGGCAACAAGUGAUGGCGCUGGACUCUGCCCGCUUUGUCGAUGUGGUGUAAAUUCACGCAUGCAGGCUUGCCUCAUGCAUGAGGCAUAAGCUAUUUAAUAGCUGCUACCGCUGCUUUCACCAACCGUAAAAAAAACAUUGCUUUCACCGCGUCCUUGAUAAUUAGAGGUUAUUGCAAUCCGUUGUUUCGUUUUGAUUUUAUUUGCGCCGACAGGGUUUUAAAUAUGUUAUGGUGUUUUUUUUUCAUUUGUAGUAUAUCUGGUGUGCUACUAGAGACGACAUUUGUUCUGAGAGGAGAUUGGAGUUAUUCGGUGCAGGGUUGUAGUGUCCUUAGUCCUUACACAUUUCGGCUUUGGUGUGAGCCGCUGGUCGGGGCAUGACUUCCUUGAGAGCUCAUAUUCAUGUUGAAACCAUGAAAUUGUUGCUAUACGUUCACAUGAGUUGGCCCACAAAUCUCUCGCUCGCUCAUCUCGGCUCCCUGCGCGCUCCACUUGCCUGCUUAGCAUUUUUUUCGCCCACUCUACUUUUAUCUUAUAAAAAUCUGGAUAUUUUUUAUAUGAAAUCUUUAGUUAAAUCAAAACAUGUUUACAGAUUUUAGAAAAAUCUUUGAUUUUUUAAAAAUGUCACACACUAAAAAACCCAUGAUUUUUUGAAAAACAUUUGGGAAUUUCUAAAAUAUUCAUGGAUUUCAGAAAUUAUUUACAAAACUAUUUAAAAAAGUUUGCAAACUUUAUAAAAUGUUCCGAAACAUUGAAAAUAUACAAGAGUUAAAAAUAUGUUGAUUGAUUUAAAAAUGUUUAAUGAUUUGUAAAUAUGUUCAGAAUUUUUAAAUGUUCACAGUUGUCAAUAAGUAUUCAUGAGUUAAAUGUGAAAAGAUAAACAAUGAAAUAAAGAAAAGAAAAAUUAAAUAAAAACCAGCAUGAACCACAAACAAGGACACAUAUCAUUACAGGCCCUUAUUGCACCAGGAGGCUCCAAAUCUAGGGGGCUUCAUAGAUUUUAAGUGUGGAGUGCAGGUGGGAGUAUUGUAACCCAUCCGGAGUUUCUUGGGAGGAAUUUGCUCUAUGCACUGCAGGAAAAACUACAUAUGUCGAGCGUAAUAAAAGCUGCACAUGCCCAUGUCGAGUGUUAUUUCACGGGGUGCUCGUCAUACAGCUCAGUAUGCCAAAUACCCCUAGAAAACACUUCAUAUAUAUAUACGGGACUCGGCAUACAACCCAAUACGCCGAGCACCUUAAAUAAUUCACUCGGCACACUCAAGGUACUUCGCACGCAUAAUAAAAACACUCGGCCCACAAGGCACUCGGCAAAUGUUUUACCACGAGUUACCUUUGGCCGUAGUUGAUGGAGCUGUUACAGUGGGGGUAGUAUGUCAGUGCCAAGUAUUAGAAGUAUAUCUUUCCCAAGGACAAACAGAACAUUGAUAUACCUGUCAGGACAUCAAGUACAUAACCAUUCAGAUGAAGGGCAAGGAAACUAAUGCCGUUUUACCAGUUUACGGAGUUUGGAUAAUUGAUCAAGAAAAAUUUAGCAUUGUGCUUCCAAUGUUCUUGUUGAUAUUCGGAUUACCACAGUCAUGCUUCGGGGUAGCAAUAAUAUGAUGUUUCAAGUAAUGGUUGGGUUUGAAGAUCACAAGAAAUACACAAGGAACAAUUUUAGAAAUAGCAAGGAACUCAAGGUAUAACAAAAACACGACCAAGUAUGUGUUGGAUGGAAAGACAUGGAUGUUGUCGAUGACAACACAAUAUUCGAGGGACAAGGAUAACAUUUCUCAUCAUGAAUUCCAUUCAGAUCUUGGAAGAAGUCAAAAUGUUGAUGAUGAUCACACCUCAUUUUGUCGAGAGGUUUCAUGAAGAUGUAAUCGAUCAGCGAUGGCAUCAAGCAAAAGGGGUGGUGAAGCGAAAGGCUAUUGUAACCAUAGAUAAGAUGCAAUCUCAGAAUCAGAGUUGUCUUUCAAGACAAACAAUAUGAUGUGGAAAGCUCGACGUAAGCUUAACACAAUGUGGGAAUUGUGUUCUGGGGAUGAAGAACUAGGUAGCAAGGUCAAGCUUUUGCAUGAGGACGAUGGUGUAGCCAAUCGGCUGGGAAAUGACAUGAUUGAGUAGAAAAUCGUAGCAACAAAGAUUAUUAAGAGUCAUUGAACCGCAUUGUGGACUCGUUUCACUUAUCGGUGUCCUCAAGCGGCAACCAACGCAGAAUUUGGGAGAAAACUGAAAUCGUGAGAGUAAUACUUGAUGAAGAACUCAUAGGAAGUAAUGAAGUUUCGUGAUAUUCUCGAGAUACCAGAGGGUAAUACUCGAAGUUAGAUCAGAACAGAGGUUGGACUGGUGUAUUGACAUGCGGAAGAAAAGUGCUUUAACUUGUCUGGAAAAUGGAAUCAAUGGAGAACAACAUUGUUGGAACCAUGAUUGCAAACGACCAAAUCACAGAUACAACAUGAAUUUAUACCGAGGGGGCGGUUAUUUUUACGAGAAUCUUCCUUGAUAAGAUCUACAUCGUGUCCAUGGGCAUGAACACAAAGGUUCAAGGUCGCCUCCCACUUCUCCAAUGCACAAAUUCUCAUUCAUUGGUCUGCUAAAAAAGUUUUGAGUCUGAAAAUUUACCUGGCGAAAUACCAGAAGAGUAUGACCUAUGAAAAUUUUGGGUUCACAGAAACAAUUCAACAAACAACUGAAGCAAGGGAUUCAACUUAGAAAGCGGAGUACCGAAGUCAAAGUAGACGAUGUGACUCGUCAAAGGUAAUUUGUAUCAAGGGAAGAACUCAAGUGUUUAGAAUAUGCAUGAACGGUCGAAUAAUAAUCCACCAAAGGAUCUGGCGGCCCACAAAGGAUCUGAUGUGAGUAUCCAUACUCAACUAGAAGAGGAACGAAUGCAAAUGCAUCAGAUUUUAGAAACAUCUGAAUAGUUUGAAGUAUAAAAUACAAAGGGAUUGCGAUUUCUGAAUCGGGGGACCAGACGCAGAUGCUCUAAUUAAGGAUGAUUAAGUUGAAUAGAUUUAGAGGCAUAUAACCAAUCAAAACUUGAUUGGUCAAGAACUAGCUCAUAUCUGGAAUGAUGUCUGAGCCGAAAUGAUAAAUUCUAAGGAUCAAUGGAUGACCGUGUAUUCGCACACGUGAUGAAUCAAUGGGAUAAAUAGGACAACUCUACAACACAAAUAUAAACAAAAAUCUUUAUAUUACAAGCCAGGCCCACGAGGACCCAUAAUACAUCAGUCAUGGAAGCAAAUAUUUGAUACAGACAUAGUAAUUAAAGUUCUGCCUUAAGAAGGCUAAGCAAAACAACGACACUAGAUCGAAAGGCAAGGCCUCCUGCAUGGGACCACCAGACUACUCCUGGUCGUCGGUCUCCACAUAGUACACACCAUCGGGGUAACCUGCAUCCUUGGUGUUACCAUCUAUUGCAGCAACCGAGUCAAAUGAAAAGGGUAGCAAAGCAAUGGUGAGUACUCAUCCAAAGCACUCCCAAGACUUACAUCAAAUCUAUACUAGAUAUGCAUCGGUAUCAAAGGAGUGGGGUCAUUUCUAUGUACUAAACUACAAAAUAACAGAAUAAGUGGGAGAAGCUCAUCCUAUCGAAGACUACAUCUUUCAGUAAUAGAAGAGAGGAGUGUAUAUGGUAUCAUCUUGUGCAUAUAUAUAGCUAUAAUCCUACCCAGAGAUCCUCUCCUCGUCAUGUUGUGAGAAAGAUAUCUCCGAGUUUAUCUGUUUGUUAUCAGGGGUGUGUUUUACCAAGUAUACGGUUUUAGUUGUAGAAGUUCGGGAUACAACUCCAAGUCAUAUUAUUUUCGUGGACAUGGCUAUUCAUAUAGUUUAACUUCCUCUGCAGGAGUGCACCACAUAACCUGAUAUGCUCGAUUACCUCUGGCCAGACACACUUGUGUGGGUAAUGCCCGGCCUCGGAUAAUCGACACGCCGUAGUCCUACCUAGACUCUACAGAGAGGUCAGCACGCCGGUCUACAUCCUAAACACGAAGGGUUCAUGGGCCGAUUGCCCUAAGCACUCCUACGCAUUGCGAGGAUGGCCGGGACCAAGCCCACCUUGCAUCCAUGCAUGCUUCGCACCCGGGCACGUGCCGCUCAACUGUGACAUCUUACAGAGCUUUUGGGAAGAACGUACGAUGCAGAGGGCCCCAGAAACCGUUAUGCAGCAUAGCGGUUAGUGCGUAUAUGCUAGUGGCAGUAUCAAAUACACCGAAAUCAUUAAGCAUGUUACUAUGAAAUAACCGCAGACACUGACCAGGGCCCAUGCCCACCUCUCUCCUAGGUGGUCUCUACUUAGCAUGUCAUUCCGCCACAGUGUAUCACUCGCGGGUACUCUCCGAGCCGAUCCGAGUUUAAUGUAUCAUGUAUGACGUAUAGUGUAUACAAUUGGUCACUUUCAUCAUGUUGGUUUGGUUCGUGUUCGCUACUUUGAUAAUUUAAUAUUUGGGUGGACCGGUGCUUAGGUGAUGUUCUUACUUGAACAAGCCUCCUACUUAUGAUUAACCCCCUCUCAAGCAUCCGCAACUACAAGAAAAAUAUUCAGAUAAAAUCUAAUCAUAGCAUGAAACAUAUGCAUCCAAAUUGUUCCCUUACGAAGAAACACAUAAACUAGGGUUUAAGCUUCUGUCACUCUAGCAACCCAUCAUCUAAUAACUACUCCACAAUGCAUUCCCUUAGGCCCAAAUAUGGUGAAGUGACAUGUAGUCGAUGUUCACAUGACACCACUGAGGGAAUCACAACAUACAUAUCAUCAAAAUAUCUAACACAUAUCAAGUUCACAUGAUUACUUGCAACAUGACAUCUCCCUUGACCUCAGGAAUAAAAGUAAAUACUCACAAAUGAUAAUCGUGCUCAAUAUCAGAUGGGUAUUAAAUAGCAUAAUGGAUCUGAAUAUAUAAUCUUCCACCAAAUAAACCAUAUAGUAAUCAACUAUUAGAUGUAAUCAACACUACUAGUCACCCACAAGUACAAAUCUAUGGUUCCGGUACAAAGACUGAACACAAGAGAUGAACUAGGGUUUGAGAGGAGAUGGUUCUAUUGAAGAAGAUGAUGGAUAUUGCCCUCCCAAAGAUGANNNNNNNNNNNNNNNNNNNNNNNNNNNNNNNNNNNNNNNNNNNNNNNNNNNNNNNNNNNNNNNNNNNNNNNNNNNNNNNNNNNNNNNNNNNNNNNNNNNNNNNNNNNNNNNNNNNNNNNNNNNNNNNNNNNNNNNNNNNNNNNNNNNNNNNNNNNNNNNNNNNNNNNNNNNNNNNNNNNNNNNNNNNNNNNNNNNNNNNNNNNNNNNNNNNNNNNNNNNNNNNCCCCUUGAUUUUUCUAUCUCAAAAUAACCUAUAUACCAUAAGAUGGGCACCGGAGGUAGGCUGAGGAGGGCACAACCCACCAGAGUGCGCCUGGGGGGCCAAGCGCGCCCUAGUGUCUUGUGAUCACCAGGGUGGCCCCUCCGGUAAUUUUUUGCUCCAUUAUUUUUCAUAUAUUACAAAACAAUUAUCCAUUAAUUUUCAGCUUAUUUGGAGAUGUGCAUAAUAGGUAACUCCGACAUAGCUUUUUCAGGUCCAGAAUUCCAGCUGCCGACAUAUGAGAGAAAAGGCAAUGGAAUUACACCUAAAAGCAUUAUUAUGCAUAAAAACAUUAUAAAUAAUAGUUGUAAAUCAUGAUGCAAAAUGGACUUGUAUCAACUCCCCCAGGCUUAGAUCUUUUUUGUCCUCAAAUGAAGAACUGAUAUCGAAAAACAUGUCCACAUGCUUAGAGAGAGAGAGGUGUCGAUAAAAAUAGAAUACGGACAUAGAAGCAUCAUAAUUAUUAUUAUAACAGCAAAGAACUUUUAACAUAAAACUUUAUCAUACAAGUUUUGUCAUAUAACUUCUCAUGAACAAGUAACAAUUCAUCACAACAUUGAAGUAUAAAGCAUAAACUCUAUUGAAAAGCAACAAACUAUGUUUUCAGUCAACUUUGCAACUACAAUUCAUCAUAUUUUUAGGAAGGGUCACGUAUCAGAGCCUUUUGGCAAGUCCACAUACUCAAACAUCAUAUAAUAUUCUAUGAUUGCUAACACUAAAAGCGUACCCAUGAGCGAAAAGUUUCAACCGGACACACAAAAAUAUAGCGGCUUAUAGUUUCGCCUCCCAACAUAUUCACCUCAAGGGUGAUGUCAACAGUAAUAACUCAUGCUCACUCAUAUCCAAAUGGAUAUAUGUGUUUAGAUCUUUCCUCACCACAUGUUACUUGCCAAAAGAGAAAAUAAAAAGGAAUAGGGAAGAAUACUUUGACUCUUGCAUAAAAUUAAAUAAAUAAAACUAAAAGAUAGGCCCUUCGCAGAAGGAAGCUGAGGUUGCCAUGCGCUUUUUGUUUGUAUGCCAAAUCCCUUAAUGCGAAAGAACGUCACAUUAUAUUGCCCCUUAUGAUAGCAACCAUUACUAUGCAGUUUGUCGCUUUUAUUACUUCAUCACAAGUUCGUACAACGCUCAAUUUUCUCUUACACUAAUUGAUCCAACACAUUUAUAAGCAAUUUGUAUUGCCUUAUUACACCGAUGACAACGUACUUGAAGGGUCUUACUCAAUCCAUAGGUAGGUAUGAUGGACUCUCUAGGCAUGAAUUUAGGUUUAAGGUUUUUGCAUGCACAACUAGUAUCUCUACUUAGUGCAGAGUUUUUUGGCUAGCAAAGAUAUUGAGCAAGAACCACAUGUUGAAGGUUCUAUAACAAUAUAACUUCUAUGUGAAUAUGAACAUGCAUAAAUCAUUACAUUGUCUUCCUUGUCCAACGUCAACAACUUUGACAUAUAAUAUUUAAUGGGGGCUCACAAUCAUAAAAGAUGUCCAAGAUAGUAUAUUUGCAUGUGAAUAUUCUUGUGACGCCCCCGAUUUAAUCGUACACUAAUCAUGCGUGCAAAUGUGUACGAUCAAGAUCAGGGACUCACGGGAAGAUAUCACAACACAACUCUAAAACAUAAAUAAGUCAUACAAGCAUCAUAAUACAAGCCAGGGGCCUCGAGGGCUCGAAUACAAGGGCUCGAUCAUAGACGAGUCAGCGGAAGCAACAACAUCUGAGUACAGACAUAAGUUAAACAAGUUUGCCUUAAGAAGGCUAGCACAAACUGGGAUACAGAUCGAAAGAGGCGCAUGCCUCCUACCUGGGAUCCUCCUAACUACUCCUGGUCGUCGUCAGCGGGCUGCACGUAGUAGUAGGCACCUCCAGUGUAGUAGGAGUCAUCGUCGACGGUGGCGUCUGGUUGCGACAACCAGAAAGAAAGGAAAGGGGGAAAAAGGGGGGGGGGAGAAAGCAACCGUGAGUACUCAUCCAAAGUACUUGCAAGCAAGGAACUACACUACAUAUGCAUGGGUAUAUGUGUAAGGAGGCCAUAUCAGUGGACUGAACUGCAGAAUGCCAGAAUAAGAGGGGGAUAGCUAGUCCUAUCGAAGACUACGCUUCUGGCAGCCUCCGUCUUGCAGCAUGUAGAAGAGAGUAGAUUGAAGUCCUCCAAGUAGCAUCUCCAAGUAGCAUCUCCAGUAGCAUCACAUAGCAUAAUCCUACCCGGCGAUCCUCCCCUCAUCGCCCUGUGGAAAAGCGAUCACCGAGUUGUCUGUGGAACUUGGAAGGGUGUGUUUUAUUAAGUAUCCGGUUCUAGUUGUCAUAAGGUCAAGGUACAACUCCAAGUCGUCCUGUUACCGAAGAUCACGGCUAUUCGAAUAAAUUAACUUCCCUGCAGGGGUGCACCACAUAACCCAACACGCUCAAUCCCAUUUGGCCGGACACACUUUCCUGGGUCAUGCCCGGCCUCGGAAGAUCAACACGUCGCAGACCCACCUAGGCACAACAGAGAGGUCAGCACGCCGGUCUAAAUCCUAUGCGCGCAGGGGUCUGGGCCCAUCGCCCAUUGCACACCUGCAUGUUGCGUACGCGGCCGGUGAGCAGACCUAGCAACCUCCAUUACAAAGGAAGUUGCGUUAACGCAGUCCAACCCGGCGCGCGCCGCUCAGUCGCUGACGUCAAAAAGGCUUCGGCUGAUACCACGACGCCGGGAUACCCAUAACUACUCCCGCGUAGAUGGUUAGUGUGUAUAGACCAAAUGGCUAGACUCAGAUCAAAUACCAAGAUCUCGUUAAGCGUGUUAAGUAUCCGCGAACGCCGAACAGGGCCAGGCCCACAUGUCUCCUAGGUGGUCUCAACCUGCCCUGUCGCUCCGCCACAAAGUAACAGUCGGGGGCCGUCGGGAACCCAGGCCCACCUCUACCGGGAUGGAGCCACCUGUCCUUUCAGCCCCCUCAUCAGAAUCACUUGCGGGUACUCAUCGAGCUGACCCAACUUUAGUCACCAUUUGUAUAGUAUGUAUGUAUAGUAUAUACCCGUGAUCACCUCCCGAGUGAUCACAGCCCAAUAGUAUAGCAAGGCAGACUGACAAGAAUGUAGGGCCAAUGAUGAUAAACUAGCAUCCUAUACUAAGUAUUUAGGAUUGCAGGUAAGGUAUCAACAGAUGUAGCAACAAUGUCAGGCUAUGCAUCAGAAUAGGAUUAACGGAAAGCAGUAACAUGCUACACUACUCUAAUGCAAGCAAUAUAGAGGAGAAUAGGCGAUAUCUGGUGAUCAAGGGGGGGGGCUUGCCUGGUUGCUCUGGCAAGAGAGAGGGGUCGUCAACUCCAUAGUCGAACUGGGGCAUCAGCAUCGUCACGGGGUCUACCAAAGAGAAGAGGGGGAGAAAUAGUAAAUACAUAACAAGCAAGUGCAUAACAGGAUAACAGGCAGAGCUAGACGUGUUCUAACGCGGUAUGAGGUGAUACCGGUGAAGGGGGGAAGCAUCCGGGAAGUAUUCCCAGGGUUCCGUGUUUUCAGGCAGAGGAGCCGGAGGGGGAAAGUUGCGAGUUCGAUAGGUUAGGGGGGUGUGGCGGACGAACGGGUUGCGUAUCCGGAAUCGUCUCGUCGUUCUGAGCAACUUUCAUGUUGAAAAUAAUUUAAUCCGAGUUACGGAUUAAAAGUUAUGAUUUUAAUUAGUUAUUUAAAUUAAUUCGAAAAUGGAAUAAUGACAUCAGCAUGAUGUCAUGCUGACGUCAGCAGUCAACAGUGUUGACUGGUCAACCUGACGUGUGGGUCCCACAUGUCAUACUUUGCUUAUACUAAUUAGGAUUUAACUAAUCUAAUUAUAGUUUAAUUAAUUAGCAAUAGUUAAUUAGGUUAAUUAAACAAGAUUAAUUAAGUUAAUUAAUUCACCAAUUAACUAAUUAAUUAAUUAUUAAUUUUAUUAAUUCAUUUUUAUUUUAAUUCCUUUUUUGUAAAACAUUCUAGGGCACGGGCCCCGUUUGUCAUAGGCCCCUAGGGGCCUGUCGGGUUCGGGCGUGCAGGCGACGGGCGCCAGCCCGAAUGGGCGCCCGCCCAGGCCAACUGGGGGAACGGCGAGGCGUCGCCGGCCACUGCAACGGGCGGCCGCAGCCGCCGGGAAAGGAAAGGGGGCGGCCAUGGCGCGGCAGAGCCGGAGCGGGGGUUUGUGGGGGGGCGCGGGCCGGCGAGGNNNNNNNNNNNNNNNNNNNNNNNNNNNNNNNNNNNNNNNNNNNNNNNNNNNNNNNNNNNNNNNNNNNNNNNNNNNNNNNNNNNNNNNNNNNNNNNNNNNNNNNNNNNNNNNNNNNNNNNNNNNNNNNNNNNNNNNNNNNNNNNNNNNNNNNNNNNNNNNNNNNNNNNNNNNNNNNNNNNNNNNNNNNNNNNNNNNNNNNNNNNNNNNNNNNNNNNNNNNNNNNNNNNNNNNNNNNNNNNNNNNNNNNNNNNNNNNNNNNNNNNNNNNNNNNNNNNNNNNNNNNNNNNNNNNNNNNNNNNNNNNNNNNNNNNNNNNNNNNNNNNNNNNNNNNNNNNNNNNNNNNNNNNNNNNNNNNNNNNNNNNNNNNNNNNNNNNNNNNNNNNNNNNNNNNNNNNNNNNNNNNNNNNNNNNNNNNNNNNNNNNNNNNNNNNNNNNNNNNNNNNNNNNNNNNNNNNNNNNNNNNNNNNNNNNNNNNNNNNNNNNNNNNNNNNNNNNNNNNNNNNNNCCACGGUGGGCACGCACGGGACAGGGCGUGUGUGAGGCGCGGCCACGGUGGGCGCGCACGGGGAGGAGGCCGCGGUGGGCGCGCACUGGGAGGAGGCCACGGUGGGCACGCACGGGGAGAACAUGCAGGAGCUCGUAUCCGAGCUCAAGAAGGCACAGGGGGGUGGUGGAGCUCACAGCGAUGUUGUAGGGAUAGGCAGCGGGCUCGGGGUGGUCCGACGAGGUAGAUCGACGGCGAGGGCAAGGUGGCAGCGACGGCGUCGACGAGCGGGCGUCCAGCGCUCCAGAUCGGGGCAGGGGGAGCUGCGAGGAGAUUGGUGGUGGCGGUGCUCGGCGCCUGUGGGCGGCAGCCUCUAGGGAGCGGUGGCUCGGGUGCCCGGCGCGCGCUCCACUGAGCGUGCUUGCGUGCGUGUGGCGGCGCGGGUGAGGGGACGAGGGAAACGAUGGGGGAUCAAGUGAGUGAGUGGAUCGGGUUAGGGUUAGGUGGGUGAGGCCACAUAGGCCAUGGGGUGGCCGGUUGGGCCUUUGCCCAGUUGGGCCGGCCAGCUGGGCCAUCUGGCCCGGUGAGGGAGGGGGGGUUUCUUUUUUUUGUGUGUGUUAGUUCUGUUUCUGUUUUGAUUCCUUUUCUUAUUUUCUUUUCUGUUUCAUUUGUAGUUUCUUUUAAUUUUUAGUUUUAUCAAAAAUCACCACUAGUACCUAAAGUAGUAUUUAUAAACAAUCUGCUGUCACAUCAAUUCUUAACCCAUAAUAAAAUAUUUUUAAUAUUUUAUAAAAUCCAAUAGGUAUUUGUUUAAUUGUCUUCACUACUAUUUUAAUUAGUUUAGAGCCCUUAAACAUUUUAUCAAGGUUUGGUUUCUCCAUCGUGUUUACACAUGAUUUAUCUGACCCACCUUGAACAUUUUGGUUUCAUUGUUUGAGAACUUUUAUUAUUUGCCUUUAAUUGAAUUUGAAUUUGAAUCGGUUUCAAACUAACACGAGAUUAGUGAUAGUAAUCGAAGUGACGUGGCAUCAUUAGCAGAGAAUUACUGUAGCUUAAUUAUCCGGGCGUCACAAUUCUCCUCCACUACAAGAAAUCUCGUCCCGAGAUUUAAGAGGGGAGUAAGGGGGGAAAGUCCUGGUUACGAUAUUCUAACGGAUCUUCUCGAAGAAGUUAAUCCCUUUCGUUGAUGUCUACAAUUCUUUAUUCCAAUGCAUCAUGAUAAACUUGUCAUCAUUUCUUCGGGAACUCCAUCGUACUUACGAAAGGAGAAGGGGCAGCUCACUACGACAUAAUGCUUUUGAGGGAAACAAUCUGGGGUUAACCCAUGAAUGAGUAUAAGAUUAUCUCUCAAGUUGAAUAUAUGAAAUGCAUCGAGAGUAAGGUGCGAAGGUACAAUAAGAGGUUCCAAGCGGAUAGAUAGUUGCUCGAAGUCUGAACCAGAGUGAGAAAGGGUUCAGAGUAGCGAGAGUAAGUAUUGCGUCUGAUACCAGAAUAGAUCACUAGGACGGUGGCCCGUGAAUUACAUACGAGGCCACGCGCGAGGAAUAACUUUGGGAAUAGGGGGUGUACAGGACAGUCAGGUUUCGAUCCUGUGGAACUGUGGGUUAUGGGCCCACCAUGUGGGUUUUUUUAAUAGGAGAAGUGACAUCUUGCAGGGUCAUGAUAGCAAGGCAUGUCAGAGAGUAGCAUGUCAGUUAUGUCGGCAACAACGUCGGUACCAAGGGCGAGGGACGAAGAGAACCAUUUUCCUGCUCGUCGAACGAGGAAGACCAAUAGGCAAAGUUCUCGUCCAUCGGUUGCUACCGGAAUGUCAACAACAAUAGUAACAGGGUCUUGCUGAUAGAAUUGUACACCGAGGUGUUUACAUAAGCAGGAGAAUAUUACUGCUUAGAUCAUAUAGAUCACAAGCAACGUUAAACCAACCAAUGGAAUGGAAAAUAUGGUUAUCAGAUUAAACAGAACAAUGGAAAGGAAAAUGUGUUAAAACACAUAUUUCAAGGGUAUAUCGUUCCCAAGGACAAGCAGAGCAUGAUAUCCAUGAUAGGAUAUAAUGUAGAAAACUCUUUAGGUAAGGGGAGAGAAAUUUCUUGACAGCGGUGUUUGGAUAACUGACCAAGAAACAUUUAGCAUUGGGCUUCAAAUGUUCUUGUUGAAAAUCGGAGUACCAUAGACAAGCUUCGAGAUAGCAUUGACAGGGUCUUCAAGCAAGGGUCGGACCUUGGAUACACAAAGGAUUUAUCAGGAACCACUUGUAGAAUAAGUCUUACCAUUUCCUCAUGGAAGAAAGGAUAACCUUGAGGAAAGGGAACUAUAACAAUAGGGCCUUCGGCCAGGUGUGUUAGGCAUGACAUCAUCUUACUGAGUCAUAUAAAGACCAAUGAUACGAAUCUAGGAAAAUGUCUCAACCAUCAUAUCUGACCGAGAUUCAGAUCCGAUUGGUGUCAUGAUACCUCAGACUCAGGAUGUCCGAGAAGAAAAGGGUCUACACAACUCAACGAAAUGACAUUGCAAGAUUCUCGGGAAAUGAACUAUGGGAGCGGGUUCCUAAAACAAUAGUUCAUCAUUAAACCAAGGAGGGGAUAAGAAGGUGGCUGAUGGGCUCGGCAACAAUUCAUCGAGAAUUCCAAGCGGAUGGAUUUUCCACAAUAAUGUGAACAUGGGGAUAACAUUUGUCAUAUCAAAUUAUAUAAUGAGGUAUGCUCGAGGAAAACAUACACAAUUAAACAUUGGUUGAAAGGUGCGCCCGAAAUAUGGGUCGGGUUUGCACGACCAAUGUCAGAAUGGUGAUUCAAUAAUCAAUAGUCCAAGAACGAACGACCGACCAUUAACUUCAAAGCAAUAGGGUUGCUAGAAGGGCAGAAUUCAAACAGCACCGUUCACUUGUUGGUACACCGGUUGGAAUGAACACGAGGACCAAGAAAGAAUGGUGAGGGUGAGAAGUAUCACCAUACCAAGAAUUCUUAAGAGGUGGUGAAUUUCUCACGACAUUCUUGACAUAGAAGAUGGUAAUACUUCAAGGUAGAACAUAACAUAAGUCGGUUAACAAGGAACUCAAGGUAUAGCCACAACACAAACAAGUUUGUGUUGGAAAGAAGGCAAGGAAGUAGUCGAUGACACACAAUUCAUCGAGGGGCAAGGAUGGUAAUUCUUAUCAUGAAUUUGAUUGUUAUUCUGGAAUAGCUCAGAAAGUUGAUAAUGAUCACGACACAUUUGUCGAGAGAUUACCUGAAGAUGUAAUCGAUCCGCGAUCACAUCAAGUCAAAAGAAUGAUGAAGCAAGAGGUUAUUGGAACCAUGGGUACGGCACAAACUCGGAACCAAGCUUGUUGUCUGAGGUGGAAUGAUAAGACAUGGAAAUCAACGUAAGCUUAGCUCAGCGUCGAAAAUUAUGCUCUGGGAAGAGGACCAGGUAGCACGGUUAAAAUCGGCACGACAAGGAUAUAGCCAAAAAGGCUAGGAAUGAUGUGAUGGAAUUCAAACUCGUAAGUAAUGAAGGUUACCGAGAGUUGCUUAAUCGCGAUGCGGACUCGUGUCAGUUAUCGGUGUCUUUGAGUGUUAAAUAACUCAGAGCCCGUGCAAAAUUGGAAUCAAUGAGAAUGUAGCACUUGAUGAAGAACUCAUAAGAAGUUAUGCAGUUCCGUGAUAAUCUUGAGAUACCUGGGGGUAACACUCGAGGACAAUCCAAAGUAGAGCUUGGACUGGGGUAUUGUUAUAAAGAAGAUAAGUGCUUAAACAUGCACGAUAAAUGGUAUUUAAAAGAGAUCAUGGUCGGAACCAUGAUUGCAAAAGGCCAGAUCCCAGAUAUAAGAUGUACUUAUACCAAGGGAAUAAUUAAUUUAAGAGAAGCUUUAAUGAUAAGAUCUACAUCGUGUCCAUGGGCAUGAACACAAAGUUCAAGGUCGACUCCCACUUCCAUAAUGCAUAACCUUCCAUUCACUUCUCGUUCUCAAAGAAGUUGUAUGGUAGAAAAUUAUCUGCUAAACACUAGAAAGGUUGACUUGUCAAAACCUUCCGGUUCAUACGGUUUUUAAUGAAGGUAUAGGUUCAACCCAUAGGGGCUUCUUAGAAACAUAUACCACAAGUUUUAAGAGUAAAUAACACAAGCUCGAAAGUAGAGCAAGGUUGAGAAAGUAGAUGAUACAAUUUACCAAAGGCAUUAUGUAUCCAAGGGAAGGCUCACAAGGUUAUUGAAUAUGAAGGAAAAUGUCGGAUAAAAUCCAUUAAAGGAUUUGUCGGUCCAUAACAGAGCUGAUGUGAGCAUCGGCACACAAUCAGAGGAAGUAACAAUGCAAGAAAUUGGAUUUUAGAAACAACUGAAUAACUUAGAGCUCAAUUGCUAAGGGAUUAUGAUUUACAAAGCGAAGGAUCAGAAGCAGACACUCUGAUCAAGGAUGGGUAAAUUCAAUAGACUUAGGGGCACAAUCGACGACAAUUUAAUUGGCGAGAACCAGUUCAUGAUUAAAACUACGUCCGAGCCGGAAGGAUGAAUUCUAGGAUCUGUUUGAGGAUUGCGAGCAUUCGCCACAAAUCGAAACAACGGACUAAAAAUGACAAUGACAAUGGAUGUCAACAAGAUUACUAGACUUAUGGGAUUAACCAUAAUGCAAGCAAUCAAGAAUUUCAAGAGCAAUAGGUUGCUCAGGAUUUUCGGAAGAUCGAAUGGUAUUUCGAGGAUUGGUGACAUACAUGAAUCAACUGGGGAUGAGUGGAUACUCGGUAAGUGCGAGAAAUUAUCCGUAGGGGUAUUCAUGUAACAAAGAACUGCAAGGCAAUAGUCACAAAGUAUUCUCGGAACACUAGAUAGAAUUUCGAGGUAUCUUGUAAUAACAAGAUCGACUGGGUAUAAAGUAAGAACGACGGGUGUAAGUAUUUAUCCAUAGGGAUAUUGCAAUGGUAGGGAAUUGCAAAAGCAACGGGCACAAGGUCUCGAGAGAAUAUCGAAAGGUAUCUUCGGAAUCCUUCGGUGCACAAGUUAAUCAUCUAGACUGAAGAGGCUCUCCGGGAGAAAGUAUUAUCGAGAACCUAGAGUCAGAGUUAGUAAAAAUCGUUUAACCUGAAUAGAAGAGAGAUCAGAUUCCCAGAGUACAGAUCGAGGAGUAAAAGAUCCUAAUACCACCCAAAUGGCGACGUGAGCCCAUGGGCCGCACAGCCAUGUUAGUAAAAUAGUUUUCAUCGUCUAGACUCAACAUCGGCCAAGGAGUUGGAAGGGGAUUCCUACAGGCAGUCGGCUCUGAUACCAACUUGUGACGCUCCCAAUUCAAUCGUACACUAAUCAUGCAUGCAAAUGUGUACGAUCAAGAUCAGGGACUCACGGGAAGAUAUCACAACACAACUCUAAAACAUAAAUAAGUCAUACAAGCAUCAUAAUACAAGCCAGGGGCCUCGAGGGCUCGAAUACAAGUGCUCGAUCAUAGACGAGUCAGCGGAAGCAACAACAUCUGAGUACAGACAUAAGUUAAACAAGUUUUCCUUAAGAAGGCUAGCACAAACUGGGAUACAGAUCGAAAGAGGCGCAUGCCUCCUGCCUGGGAUCCUCCUAACUACUCCUGGUCGUCGUCAGCGGGCUGCACAUAGUAGUAGGCACCUCCAGUGUAGUAGGAGUCGUCGUCGAUGGUGGCGUCUGGCUCCUGGACUCCAGCAUCUGGUUGCGACAACCAGAAAGAAAGGAAAGGGGGAAAAAGGGGGGAGAAAGCAACCGUGAGUACUCAUCCAAAGUACUCGCAAGCAAGGAACUACACUACAUAUGCAUGGGUAUAUGUGUAAGGAGGCCAUAUCAGUGGAUUGAACUGCAGAAUGCCAGAAUAAGAGGGGGAUAGCUAGUCCUAUCGAAGACUACGCUUCUGGCAGCCUUCGUCUUGCAGCAUGUAGAAGAGAGUAGAUUGAAGUCCUCCAAGUAGCAUCUCCAAGUAGCAUCUCCAGUAGCAUCGCAUAGCAUAAUCCUACCCGGCGAUCCUCCCCUCGUCGCUCUGUGGAAAAGCGAUCACCGAGUUGUCUGUGGAACUUGGAAGGGUGUGUUUUAUUAAGUAUCCAGUUCUAGUUGUCAUAAGGUCAAGGUACAACUCCAAGUCGUCCUGUUACCGAAGAUCACGGCUAUUCGAAUAGAUUAACUUCCCUGCAGGGGUGCACCACAUAACCCAACACGCUCGAUCCCAUUUGGCCGGACACACUUUCCUGGGUCAUGCCCGGCCUCGGAAGAUCAACACGUCGCAGCCCCACCUAGGCACAACAGAGAGGUCAGCACGCCAGUCUAAAUCCUAUGCGCGCAGGGGUCUGGGCCCAUCGCCCAUUGCACACCUGCACGUUGCAUACGCGGCCGGUGAGCAGACCUAGCAACCUCCAUUACAAAGGAAGUUGGUUAACGCAGUCCAACCCGGCGCGCGCCGCUCAGUCGCUGACGUCAAAAAGGCUUCGGCUGAUACCACGACGCCGGGAUACCCAUAACUACUCCCGCGUAGAUGGUUAGUCUGUAUAGACCAAAUGGCCAGACUCAGAUCAAAUACCAAGAUCUCGUUAAGCGUGUAAGUAUCCGCGAACACCGAACAGGGCCAGGCCCACAUGUCUCCUAGGUGGUCUCAACCUGCCCUGUCGCUCCGCCACAAAGUAACAGUCGGGGGCCGUCGGGAACCCAGGCCCACCUCUACCGGGAUGGAGCCACCUGUCCUUUCAGCCCCCUCAUCAGAAUCACUUGCGGGUACUCAUCGAGCUGACCCGACUUUAGUCACCAUCUGUAUAGUAUGUAUGUAUGUAUAGUAUAUACCCGUGAUCACCUCCCGAGUGAUCACAGCCCAAUAGUAUAGCAAGGCAGACUGACAAGAAUGUAGGGCCAAUGAUGAUAAACUAGCAUCCUAUACUAAGUAUUUAGGAUUGCAGGUAAGGUAUCAACNNNNNNNNNNNNNNNNNNNNNNNNNNNNNNNNNNNNNNNNNNNNNNNNNNNNNNNNNNNNNNNNNNNNNNNNNNNNNNNNNNNNNNNNNNNNNNNNNNNNNNNNNNNNNNNNNNNNNNNNNNNNNNNNNNNNNNNNNNNNNNNNUGGUGAUCAAGGGGGGGCUUGCCUGGUUGCUCUGGCAAGAAGGACGAGUCACCAACACCGUAGUCGAACUGGGGCAUCAGCAUCGUCACGGGGUCUACCGAAGAGAAGAGGGGGGAGAAACAGUAAAUACAUAGCAAGCAAGUGCAUAACAGGAUAACAGGCAGAGCUAGACGUGUUCUAACGCGGUAUGAGGUGAUACCGGUGAAGGGGGGAAGCAUCCGGGAAGUAUUCCCGGGGUUCCGUGUUUUCGGGCAGAGGAGCCGGAGGGGGAAAGUUGCGAGUUCGAUAGGUUAGGGGGGUGUGGCGGACGAACGGGUUGCGUAUCCGGAAUCGUCUCGUCGUUCUGAGCAACUUUCAUGUUGAAAAUAAUUUAAUCCGAGUUACGGAUUAUGAUUUUCUAAAGAUUUUAUUAAUUUCUGGAAUUUAAUUAGUUAUUUAAAUUAAUUCGAAAAUGGAAUAAUGACAUCAGCAUGAUGUCAUGCUGACGUCAGCAGUCAACAGAGUUGACUGGUCAACCUGACGUGUGGGUCCCACAUGUCAUACUCUGCUUAUACUAAUUAGGAUUUAACUAAUCUAAUUAUAGUUUAAUUAAUUAUCAAUAGUUAAUUAGGUUAAUUAAACAAGAUUAAUUAAGUUAAUUAAUUCACUAAUUAACUAAUUAAUUAAUUAUUAAUUUUAUUAAUUCAUUUUUAUUUUAAUUCCUUUUUUUUAUAAAACGUUCUGGGGCACGGGCCCCGUUUGUCAUAGGCCCCUAGGGCCUAUCGGGUUCGGCGUGCAGGCGACGGGCGCCAGCCCGAAUGGGCGCCCGCCCAGGCCAACUGGGGGAACGGCGAGGCGUCGCCGGCCACUGCAACGGGCGGCCGCAGCCGCCGGGAAAGGAAAGGGGGCGGCCAUGGCACGGCAGAGCCGGAGCGGGGGUUUGNNNNNNNNNNNNNNNNNNNNNNNNNNNNNNNNNNNNNNNNNNNNNNNNNNNNNNNNNNNNNNNNNNNNNNNNNNNNNNNNNNNNNNNNNNNNNNNNNNNNNNNNNNNNNNNNNNNNNNNNNNNNNNNNNNNNNNNNNNNNNNNNNNNNNNNNNNNNNNNNNNNNNNNACGGUGGGCGCGCACGGGACAGGGCGUGUGCGAGGCGUGGCCACGAUUGGCGCGCACGGGGAGGAGGGCGCGGUGGGCGCGCACUGGGAGGAGGCCACGGUGGGCGUGCACGGGGAGGACAUGCAGGAGCUCGUAUUCGAGCUCAGGAAGGCACAGGGGGGGUGGCGGAGCUCACAGCGAUGUUGUAGGGACAGGCAGCGGGCUCGGGGUGGUCCGACGAGGUAGAUCGACGGCGAGGGCGAGGUGGCAGCGACGGCGUCGACGAGCGGGCGUCCAGCGCUCCAGAUCGGGGCAGGGGGGAGCUGCGAGGAGACUGGUGGUGGCGGUGCUCGGCGCCUGUGGGUGGCGGCCUCUAGGGAGCGGUGGCUCGGGUGCCCGGCGCGCGCUCCACUGAGCGUGCGUGCGUGCGUGUGGCGGCGCGGGUGAGGGGAUGAGGGAAACGAUGGGGGAUCGAGUGAGUGGGAGGAUCGGGUUAGGGUUAGGUGGGUGAGGCCAUAUAGGCCAUGGGGUGGCCGGUUGGGCCUUUGCCCAGUUGGGCCGGCCAGCUGGGCCAUCUGGCCCAGUGAGGGAGGGGGGGUUCCUUUUUUUGUGUGUGUUAGUUCUGUUUCUGUUUUGAUUCCUUUUCUUAUUUUCUUUUCUGUUUCAUUUGUAGUUUCUUUUAAUUUUUAGUUUUAUCAAAAUCACCACUAGUACCUAAAGUAGUAUUUAUAAACAAACUGAUGUCACAUCAAUUCUUAACCCAUAAUAAAAUAUUUUUAAUAUUUUAUAAAAUCCAAUAGGUAUUUGUUUAAUUGUCUUCACUACUGUUUUAAUUAGUUUAGAGCCCUUAAACAUUUUAUCAAGGUUUGGUUUCUCCAUCGUAUUUACACAUGAUUUAUCUGACCCACCUUGAACAUUUUGGUUUCAUUGUUUGAGAACUUUUAUUAUUUGCCUUUAAUUGAAUUUGAAUUUGAAUCGGUUUCGAACUAACACAAGAUUAGCGAUAGUAAUCGAAGUGACGUGGCAUCAUUAGCAGAGAAUUACUGUAGCUUAAUUAUCCGGGCGUCACAGUUCUCUUCCCUUAUUAAUUCUUUCAUGAGUUGCAUCAUUGACCAAUGCUAUAUUCGUCAAUCUCCAAUAAAUUUUACCACUUAUACUUUUCCUUAUGUGAUGUCAUUAUUUACCAUAAGAUUAGCAUAUGAUUUUUUUUCAUUUAUUUCUCUUUAUUUUAUUGCAACAUGGAAGUAAUUAAAUAAAGGCUCAAACUAACUUUAUUAUAUAUCUCGCACAUGAUUACAUAGUGUGACAGCCUGGUUUUGCCCUCUUCUCUCUUCUAGUUUUCAGUUGGGCAUUGAUUUGAAUUUUGAGUUUGAAUCAUUUCAGUUGGACUUAAAACACUUGGGCAUCACCUUGGCUUUCACCCAAGUGGCUCACCCCUCCUCAAAACCAUCAUUUCCUCUCUGGUCUACCUCAAAAUAAUGGCAUGAGUAUUUUUAUUAGAUGAAAAAAUAUUCAUUUCCCACUCAAAAAACCCUAACCAGAAGCUUGUGCUCCAAAGCAACCCCAAUUUUUCCUGGCCACAAAAAUCUGAGAAAAUUAUCAAAAAUCCUCUGAACCCCAAGGCACCUCCCUGAGAAAAAAUAUCACACCACUUUUUGUAAUAUUUUUGCUACAUAAAUUAUUUUAUGUUCUGGGAAGAAAUGGUAGUUUCUACAGCAAUUUACCUGAUCAAAUGGAGCUGCAUUUUCUUGUGCAUCACCACCAUCCUAGAUGAUUGCUAGCCACCAAAGCGCAGCUCCCAAUUCCCAGCCAUUUAACCUCAGCAAGCUCUCGAAGUUACUGUCCAGUAACUUGCAGUGAAGUAAAAAUCUUGUUCACUGCGUCUGAGCUCAAACCAAAAUGUGGUAACCUCUAAAUCUACCACGAACAACACGCCAGACGUGAAGUUUAGGCUUAGCUGGGCCUAAGGUCAGAGUUUACGCGGUGACCGCGUUCGCCCAAGCGUGCUGGCAUGCAGCUGACGCUCUCUGCGUCGCGCCCGAGCCUCUAUUGAUCGCGUGAUCGCUUCCCUGCCUGCCAAACCUUGCCAAACCUCGACACCAUCUCACUUCAACUCCUCAGGUAUCAUCGCCACUGCCUCAGUUCAUAGCUGAAUAGGCAGGUGUUGAAGAAAUGGAAGAAGAUGAAGAUGUGGACAUUGGGAGCACCACACCUGUGAUGAAUGAUAACUUUUGGGAAAGUCAGCACCCCAACUCUCCUUUGUUCACGCCACUGCAAUAAAUUCCUCAGUCCCCAGUACCUAUUGGAGUUUAAAUGGGCUAUGAUGAAAUUCACACUGCGCCUUCCAUUCCUGAAGAAAUUCCAGCCACUAGUGCUGAUGUCAAAGCUACUGAUGAAAUGGAUACCGAGGCUGCUACUGAAGCACAAGCUGAAAUUCCUCAGCCUGCGGCUCCAGAGAUUGAGAUUCCUGAGAUUGUGCUGCAAUUGGCUGAUACUCCUCAGUCAAAGCCGAAGAAUCCAUUCUCGAAGACGCCAAAAUUCAAGGCUAAUGACUUCUUCCAUGAGCAUGUGUUCUUCACCGACUACAACCCUUGUGACUCUGCUCGUCUUAGAAGGAAGUGUUUCUGGACUGCCAGCCAAGAAAACUUCUAUUCUUCACUGCUUUUUGAUAAGGACAAAAUCUUUGAUCAUGCGCAUAUUCCUCAUGUGGACAUGGAAUCACUGCCGUGCUUCACACCAGUGCUUUGUCUUCUUCAUGACACUAGAUUGCUCAACUUUUGCACAGACAUAUGUGAUUGGAAUGAAGAACUCAUUCUUCAGUUCUAUGUGACGCUGCACGUCACUAGAAAUGUUGAAGAUGUCAACUCUUGGGUGUUGGACUGGAUGACAAAGAACACUCACUUCAAAGCACCGGCCUCUGAAUUGCUUCACGCCCUGCCUGUCAGUCGUCCCCUUGAAGGUGCCAGUCGUAUAUAUCAUGAACCUGAGCUGUCUGAUCACUUCAUGCAAGUACUGAUGAAGCCACUGAAGCCCGGUCAAGCCCCAAGGACCAAAUUCCUCGUGAAGGAAUUGCUAUAUGUGCCUCGGACUGUCUAUCGCAUUUUGACCAAGACAUUAAGUCCAAUCAAAGGCCAUGACUCAAAUGAUGAAGAAGUCGUUGGCAUCAUGAAGAACCUGCUAUUCAAUAUCAUGCAUGGUAUCCCAAUAAACUACCAUGACUUCUUCAUGUAGACUAUGGCAAACGUUGCAUUGUCUCCCUUUGAAUUGAAGCCUUACGCUACCUGGAUUAUGAGAUUCCUCAGAUCAAGCUCUUCAAUCAACUACAAGGCUGACACACUCAACCAUGGAAGUUACUUGCCCCCUAUUGAAGUCAUCAAGCGGACAUUUUCCUCAGCUGAUGAAAAGGGCAAGGCCACUACAAUUGUUGAUGAGGGCAUUCGUCCAUUGGAUGGACAGUUUCGUAAAGCUGCAUCAUAUUCCACCAAUGAUGACUCUGCUACUCAUGAUUCUACCGCCAAUGCAUCAAAGCAAAGUCCUCAAGCCACAGCUCCAAGGGUGAUGACUGAUCGUGAGCUUCUCCUCAGUCUUCAUCAGAAGGUCGACCGCAACCAUAAAUGGGUCAAGCGUCAGUUUGGUUCGAUUCUUCACAACAUGACUGCUACACAUAAUUCAGUGAAGAAGAACCACUACUACCUCCAUGAAGUUUUUGAUCACACCUGGGCUGUUCUAACUCAUCUCUACAGUGAUGAGGAUCUCAAGCAGAUGGGCUUCAAGCAGGACUUCAGCUGGUCUAAGCCUCCGGCGAAGAAAUUCAAGAAAGUCGAAGUUCCUCCCUUGGUGCCCAGCUUAUAUUCUUCAUCGCGCGAGACCGAUGAAAAUGAAGACUUGGACGACAAUGCGGCAGGCCCUACUCCAACAACCGACCCCAACAAUGCUGGCGCACCUCCAUCAACUUCGUGAUGAAACUCUUCAGGGGCGUUAGUCCUCAUUUUUUGUCCCUUUUGGUCUUUUGAAGACAAAGGGGGAGAAAUUUGAGUUAGUCUUCAAGCGGUUCUAUCUAUAUGGUCGUUUUUUUGUUAAGUUGCAACUCUUGCUCUUCUGAAGUGUUUGUUGAUUGAGUUGUAAACUUAAGUCCGGUGGUGACCUGAUACUUUUGCUCUGUUUUUCUACAUGUUAUUUCAUAUGUCAUGCAUGCAUGCUGAAUUACAUCAGUCACCAUAUUUCAUCAUGCAUUUCAAAUUCUUCAUUCGAUAUGUUAAAUACAUGUAUGAAUUACAAGAUAUAGGGGGAGAUCUCCAUGAUUCUACUCUUCAAAUGUGCAUUGCUUCAAAAGAAAAUUCCUCACUAUGCACAUCUUCAGGGGGAGUUUUUCUAUAUCUUGCAAUCAAAUUCCUCAAUAUUGAGAACUUUCUAUUCAUAUGUUUAUCCCCGUUGAAAACUUAACCUAUAUUGUCAUCAAUCACCAAAAAGGGGGAGAUUGUAAGUGCAUCUAGUGCCCCUUAGUGAUUUUGGUGUAUUGAAGACUUAUAGGUUAACGGACUAAUAUGUUUGUGAGUAUACACAGCCUCUAUAAGUCGAAGAGGAGUUUGAUAUUUACAAUGAAAGUCGACCCCUAAAAAUGAAUGUCUUCAGCUGAAGACUUUGGUUCUCCUAAAGACUUUGAAAGUGAUGAAAUUGGUGUGACCUUGAAGACUUGGAUAUUCAUGCGAGGAUUAUGAAACGUGAAGACUUUUGUUUUUGUAGUUUCAUUUUAUCCUUCUUGAGUCAUAGGAAACAUCAUACUAUUAAAGGGGGUCGAGGUAAUACUAAGGACACUGAUUUCCAAGUGAUGCUCAUCUCAAAGUCCUAAACCUACCCAAUCCUUUUGAGUGAAGCCAUUGGAAAUCUCAUAUCAGUUCAGUCAAUUUCUUCAGUGACAGAGACGAAGAUCUUCUGGUCUCUGCGGAAUUUGUUCUGACUGAGGAGUUCGGAAUUUGCCCGUGCGGAUUGCCUACAUAGUGAGGAUCAUGAUAGCCCUGAGGAAUUCGAACCUCAAAUCCGACUAUUGCUGUGCGAUGCGCCAGCUGUCCAAAAUAUCCUACCACCUAACGGUCAUAUCCUUGAAGGGCAUUUAUCUCUUAUCAUGUCGGGUUGCUCCCUAGGCUAUAAAUAGCUACCCCCUACAACGACUAGCUGGUUGGCUGCUCCGAGAGAAACUGUCACUUGUCAACUGAGAGCAUCCCAUCCUCUGAGGACUUUGAGCGAAAAUUAUCAAGUGAGGAAAACCCAAACCUACAAACCCACAAACCCAAAGUGAUUGAGCAUCACUGAAGAGAUUGUUCCUGUGUGGAACUGACGCUUGUUAGCUUUGAGGACUGUGUAUCCUCCAGACGGUUAGGUGUCAUGGUCUGAGCAUCCAAGAGGAAUUAUGGAUCACCGAGUGACCAAGUCUGUGAAGGUUUAGAAGUCACCUAUGAAGACUUACCACGAGUGUUGGGCGAGGUCUGUGUGAUCUUAGCUCAAGGACAAUACGGUGAGGACUGUGUGUCCUCGAGUUUAAAUACUCAGCCGCUCCAACCAAACGUACAACUGUCACAGCAGUUGGAACUAGUCUACCAAAUCAUUGUCUUCACCAAGCCUACUUGUUCUAUUGUCUCAACCCUUUCAUUUCCUCAUUCAUGUGUUGAUGAACCUGAUCACUACUGUUUGAAGACAUUGAUUGAAGACUUUCUCUAUUUCCUCAAUCCAUUUUCUUCAGUCACAUUGUCUUCAUCCUGCUUAUUUUGUGUUUACGCUUUCUGUACUUUGUGUCCGUCUUUCAUUUCAUCAUGAUGACUAUGCUAUUGCUCUGUGAUGCUUAUACCUGAGUACUUAUUCCGCUGCUAGUUGUUCGUGACUUAGGAAUUUCCUCACCCUGAAAUUCCUUAGUGAAGAAUUUGUAAAAAUUGCCUAUUCACCCCCUCUAAUCGACUUAACGCACUUUCAGUUUAUGAUGGGUACUUGGUAUGGCUUGACUUGGCGUAGAUCUCCCCGGUAACGGUGCCAGAAAUCCUUCUUGCUACCUCUUGAGCUUACGUUGGUUUUCCCUUGAAGAGGAAAGGGUGAUGUCGGUGUCAAAACCGACAGAUCUCGAGUAGGGGGUCCCAAGCUAUGUGUCUUAGGAUCGAUGGUAACAUGAACACGAGAUUUUACCAAGCUUCGGGCUCUCUUGACGAGAUAAUACCCUACAUGCUGCUUGGUUGACUUUAGCGAGUAUAGGGGUUACAAGAGUUGAUCUACCUCGAGAUCAUAGGUUGUGGUCUAAACCCUAGAGGUAUGAUGAGUAAUGUCCUAAUCUAUCGACUAGCCUGGCCCUGGUUUAUAUAAUGUACCAGAGGCCUAGGAUAACAAGAGUCCUAGCCGAAUACGCCGGUGGGGAGGAGUCCUCGUCUUGAUCACCAAGUCUUGUGGAAUCUUCCUUGUGUAUACUUUGGCUGUCCGAACUGGCCCAUGAGUAAACAGCCAUGGGGGUCCUCGGACCAAUCCAACUGAUCGGGAGACGAGGUGGUGAGUACCCCUAGUGUAGGACACCGUCAGUAGCCCCCUGAACUGGUCUUCAAGUUUUGGGAUGCUCCUUGAUUCUUUCGAAUUGUUCUUCAUAUUCUGCCGUCGGUCUUGAAAAGUGGUUCGACAAAUCUUCUCAUCUUCGAUCUUGAGGAUCGCCGAAGUAAAUCCGAAGAGUUUAGACGUCGGGCAUUCGAGGAGCCCAUUUAAGUUUCCGGCCUUUAUCAAUGCCUUGUUAUUUUAAUGCCACACCUCGGGUUUGAAGUUAUUCCUGGGCGGUAGUGUCCUCUUGCAUCUGAGCUCCACCGCCGUAUUGCAUUCGAGGUAUCUUCUGCAGCCAAGCACCAAUGUCGGACUGCUUCCGAGCUCCAACGCCGGAAUGUAUCUGAGCUCCAACGCCGGACUGUGUCCAAGCUCCAAUGUCAGACUAUAUCCGAGAUGUCAUAGAUCAUUUUGGUUCAAAAAAGUUGAAGGAGAUUAGUCGAGCUUAAUGCUAGAAAUGCGCUCUAUGGAGCCAGCCACUGGCGCCCGAACUUUAUGCCGGACUACUUCCGAGGUGGUGCACCACCCAGACUGCGGGCUGAUUGUUUGCGUAUUUUAUUUCUGAUUGAUGCAAUUUACAUACUGACGAGAUAUGUAGCCAGUAGCCCUCAAGGUGUGUGUGUCGGCCUAAAAUUCCGAGAUGCACUUUAGAGGAAAACAUGAAACCGCUGAUCCUAGUAACCCCUGAGACUCAGGUCGAUGCGCGAAAUCGGCCUGAGGAUCAACUCCUAGCUCGGCAGCAUACAUAGGAAUAGAAACGCAGUGUAAUAUAUUAGAGAUAAUAGUGAUCGGUGAAUGGGCCCUUGAGAGAGGGUCUUGAGAAGUUGUCGUAAUAUAUUAGCUUGAUGCCGGAUAGGUCCAUAUGGUACCUAUAUCAGGCAAAGCAGUAGCCCCCGAGACACUGGUCGGGUGGCAAUACCAGAUCAGGAGAUCGAUGUGCACCUUUAUAUUUUUAAAUAAUGAGCCCGAAGCCCAGUAGACCCCGAGCCUUAAUGUAGGCACGGGUGGCCGAAUUAAGGAUCGAUAUCCAUAGUAAAAUCACAAAUUAUGUACAAAACUUUGUUGACCGACCAUCGGCUUCAACCUCUUCGGCCAGUAGCCGAGGAGUGUUUUCCUACUUUAUAAAGCCGUUAUAAGGGCAAAGAUUUAUGGAAAACAAGGCAAUCCAGCCAUAUGGUUUUAUAAACAAAGGUACACGCAGAGAUAUGUUAUAUUACGUAAUGUAAGAAACAUCUUCCAAGGAAAAUAGUCCCGCUAUCGGUUCCUUUCUUUGGGUCAUCAUGCUUAUCAUGAUCAUGAAACCUCACCUCGGGUCAAUGUGGGAGGAAAAUAUUGAGGAUUUAGUUCGGGGAAAGUUCCUGAACUCUAUGUUAUUAAUGAACCAAAAUUUUCACUUCCGUUGUUGCCGACCAAUGUGUGUCGGCGUUCUGGAUAUGGGGGUAUCCAGCCCUGCCUACCUGCAGCCCACUGCGUGGCUCCACCAGUGGCCCAGUAAGGCCUGUCUUCAUCAACCAAGCACUCAAGACCCUCGCGAGGGGCCAAGCCUCGUGGAGCGGACGACGCACUGCCUCCUCAGGAGCGGCCUCACCAGGCAGGCUCACGAGGGAGGUGGAGAGAUCAAGGCACGGGGUACGUUGCGAGGUUCCCAUGACGCAAGCCAUGACGACCAAGGCCAGGCGGGCGCCAGCGGGUGCAGUGCACUAGUUUCCCCUUUGGUGCUAAUGGGGCAAGCGCAGGCGCAGAGUACCAAGGCAUCAGGCAAAGGUUUCCAUAUCAGUGCAACGAGACCAAGACUAGCAGGACGGCAAGACGGAGGUCAUCGUGGAACCCAAGACGGCGUCCUCACUAGAGCCUUUGGCAGGCGAAGACCACCUUUAGUCAGGAUAGCCUGUACUGGUUGUCCCCUUUCAAAUCCCACCGUUGUGGAAUCCCUUCCCGCUCAAUAUUUGGGAAGAGGACCAGGGCCUCCAUAAAUAGGACUAGACACCACCAUAGAGAGGGGGUCGAAGGGAGAGAGAUCCAUUCGGACCAGAACCACCCACAGAGCACAAGAACACCUCGCCUUAGGAGGUUGUUCUUCCUCUUGUACUGUUCAUCAUCAGCCCGAAAGGCAAUCCACCACACCACACACUGGAGUAGGGUAUUACAUCACAAUGGUGGCAUGAACCAGUAUAAACCUUGUGUCUCUUGUGAUGUGAUUUUGUUUAGCUAAGCCUAGGGAUCGUGACGAGGCAGAGAGAGUGAGAUAUUCGAUAGGGGGAAAUCUUUGUGCGCACCCCAGUGUUCGAACCUUAAGGGUUUUGCCCGAACCCGAUAUCCGACAUUUGGCGCGCCAGGUAGGGGUGCACCGGAGUUCUUCCUUCCAUCGAUCCGCGUCCCGUCGCUUCAUCGCAGCCAUGUCCGGUGAUCCGAUGACCAACACCGACCACCGGGCGGCCUGGCCAGCCCGAGCCACGCCACCUUCUCAAGAAGAUCUCAACCACUCACUCCAGGUGGCUCGCACACCGCAGAGCGCCACGGGGCGAGGGCGACGCGGUCACACGCCGCCCGCCCUUACUCCGUGGCAGGUGUGAGCAGCUGCAAGGGCCGCAAACCACGCCGCGGACACGGCAUCACACUCCAGGUAGGAAUAGGCAAACACGAGAGCCGCACUCACGGUGGCACAGGAGCUGCUACUUUCCAGGCUAAUGGAGAGUGGUCAGGAUGCGUUGAUGGAGCAUGUCACCGAGCUCCUGGACGCCGUGGCCUUGGGGUCGGCGCCCUUCUGCUUCCAGCUUCCACCUCGGGCCCCGGCUGGGUUGCACGGCGGGCCUCUCUGUGCCCGCAUUCCCCCAAGCGUGCCGGAGGGUUUCGUCGGGGCUAGUUCGACCACCGGCGCCAGGCACCAGAUCGCGCCACCACCACCUCCGAUGCAUCACGGCAUGAGCGUGGCCUACAUCCUAGGCGGGCAUCCGCCGCUCUACCAUCCUCAAGACGGCACACAAGGCCAGGCGACGUGGAGCGUGGGGCACUAUGGCAAGGACUUCGAGGCGGCGGCUUCGGAGGCUUACAUGCCCCGCAUGAUGGUUCAAGAAUAUGCACCAGAAGACAACCCUGGCUCGUUCCUCGGACCAGGCUGGGAGGAAGAGACGCUAGAAGCCGAUCCUUUUCAGGAACUUCAAGGAAGCCUCACCAACCGCUCCGGCAGCGGCAGUUACCGGGUACCACUAAUCCCUCAAGAGCAGGCUUACGCUAACCAUGGUUCUUAGGGGGUUCAGGUCACAACAGCAGACGACUGCCCCAGCUCAGUGGCCUCCCUUUCGUCAGGAGGGGCGCAAUGGGGGCUGCAGGAGAGGGACAGGGAGCCAGGCCCCUCCCCACGGUGCAUAGAGCAAGACGUCCCCCGGAGGUAGGCCCUUUGUUGGGGAGGUGCUGCAAGGCCUACCCCCGGCAGAGGACCCGUGGUCGCUGAGGGCACUGCUAGCGUCCCCUUGCCCCUGUUGGCGUCGUCCUGGUUUCCGGUCGCCGUCAAUAGAGGUCUAGGGUGGCGCAAGGCGGGGCCCUCGUUUGGCGAUAUGAAGCAAGGCACAGUACCUGAGAAGAAGGCCCAGUGCAUGUGAAGCUCGCCGCCCAUGACACUCUCACGUAAUAAUGAGUGGGGUUGUACACGCCCCGGAGUCUCCGGAGGCCGCCCUUGGGCCUCAGGGGCUCCCACCCAUGCCUAGUGGCAGCACUUAGCUCUGCGCUGGUGAGAAGACGUCGAAGACUAGACUAGGUGCCAGACGUCGCCAUUUGCUUUUGGUUCCCCUUUCUGUGGAUGUGCUUCCUUUGUUUCAGAUUUAAGUUGGAGUUGAAUUUUCGCUUAUGUGCGGGGAGGGUGACUUUUCGCGUUCCUGCGUUUCUUGCGUUCUGGUUCCCACCUUAAUCUAGAGUUCCUAUCAGCUGCCCCCCCCCCCUCGCGAGCCCUUCAUGGGUGGGGCUGGGUGAAGCACGUGCACACUACGCAUAGGCCGUGCCUCGGCUGGCGCUCGCUCUCGCGAGGCUUUCACGAACGGGCCGAUAGGUCCCUCAGGAGACCCCCAGGGGCUCACGACCUCGUGAGCCAAUUCAGGACUUGGCCUGGCUAGAGGUAAACCACAACAACAUGCUCGCCGCAGGGCAUGAAGGAUCAUGAAGGUGCACGAUUGGCAUCAUUCUUAAAAGCAUACUGUCGGUAAUCUUUUUACAUGAGGGGCUUCCCCUCCCAAAAUGCUCUUACAACCUUUCGGGCCACGCCUGAGCUUUUGUGUGCAGGAUAAACAACAAACAAACACGGGUCAGUCAGACAUGUCGCUCACCGCGUCCUCCUGGUCACCUUCACACGCAUCGCUGGCGCCGCUGUCACCGUCACUGACAUCACCACCACUAGCGCCACCGUCACCACCAUCGACCACGUCACCUCCAUCCACCGCGACUACCACCCCGUCGUCGUCAGACGCGAAGGCCCUAACAAGCGCAUCAACGUUGUCCUCCACCAACCACACCAGGUCGCCCCGGAUGGCCUCAGGAACCAGAGCGAUGGCGGCGUCGAAGUCAAAGGCGGGAUUGGUGUUCCGAAGAUGGCUGAAGAGGCGAGAAAAUGCGCGCCCGAGCAGGUUGCGGCUCCUCUCCUCCACAAUCUGGUGAGCCCUCACGGAGCAGUUCUCCAAGCGCGUCACCAUGUCAGUAAAGAAGCAGAGAUGGCUGGCGUAGUGGUCACUUGGGGAUGCUAGGCGUUCUCGUUGCAGAUGUUGCACAAAGCCACAUUGGCCCUGACCCUGAGGUCUUGGAGCAUAGGGGCAUGCAUAUGCUUCAGUGUUUGUUUCUGGAGCAUUUCUUCCCUAUUUUGCCGCGCGAUGGACUCGGCAUCGUCAACCCGCUGUCGAAGAGGAAGCAGGUCGGCACGGGCAGAGGUCAGCUCGGCCUGCGCCGAGGUCAGUGCAGGUGAGGCGACAUCCGCGCGCCGUUCAGCUUCAGCGAGCCUGGAACUAAGGGCGGCAGUCCUGCCCACGGCUUCGGCUUCAACCAGCUUCAGCUUCAGGUCGUAGCCACUUGCAAGAUUUGUGCGAGCCUCGGUCACGCGGCGAUCGACCUCUUCAUGGAUCCGAGCUUCACGCGCGCUGACGUCGUCUUCCGCUUGGUCAACCUGGCGAUCCCUCGUCGCCAACCGCUCAAGAUCAAUACUACGCUCGGCGGCCUCCAGCGUCAAUGCUUCCUCACGCUUUCUGAGCUGCUCUUCCUCGACAGGCGUCCCCCUCAGUGACGCGAGGGCUGCCUGGUGCAGCUCCACUUGCUGCUCCAGAGAAACGCUCCGGGCUUGGAGCUCCCACGCGCGUUUCUCCACGAGCUCGCGACGGCGUUGAGCCUCCUGAGCCUCCUCCAAAGCUCAUGAGAAGGCUUCUCGCGAGGCUGCAAGGGACGCUUCGGCUUACGCAUUGUCAAGAUCGCGCUGGUGGCGCGCGAGGUUGAUGGACACCUUCAUCUUAUAGCGCUCCUUGACUAGCCGCCUGAGGGAGUCCUGGAUUAGGGGGUCCUCGGACAGCCGGACUAUAUGCUUAUGCCGGACUAUUGGACUAUGAAGAUACAAGAUUGAAGACUUCGUCCCGUGUCCGGAUAGGACUCUCCUUUGCAUGGAAGGCAAGCUUGGCGAUUCGGAUGUAUAGAUCACCUACUCUGUAACCGACUCUGUGUAACCCUAGCCCCCUCUGGUGUCUAUAUAAACCGGAGGGUUUAGUCCGUAGGACAAGAACAAUCAUAAUCAUAGGCUAGCUUCUAGGGUUUAGCCUCUACGAUCUCGUGGUAGAUCAACUCUUGUAAUACUCAUAUCAUCAUGAUCAAUCAAGCAGGAAGUAGGGUAUUACCUCCAUCGAGAGGGCCCGAACCUGGGUAAACAUCAUGUCCCCUGCCCCCUGUUACCAUUAGCCUUAGACGCAUAGUUCGGGACCCCCUACCCGACAUCCGCCAAUUUUGACACCGACAUUGGUGCUUUCAUUGAGAGUUCCACUAUGUCGUCACAAUAAGGCUUGAUGGCUCCUUCAAUCAUCAGCAACGAUGUUGUCCAGGGUGAGGUUUUCCUCCCCGGACAGAUCUUUGUAUUGGGCGGCUUCAUACUACGGGCCAACUCACUUGGCCAUCUGGAGCAGAUCGACAGCUACGCCCCUGGACAUCAGGUCAGGUUUGGAAACUUGAACUACACAGCCGACAUCCGCGGAGACUUGAUCUUCGAUGGAUUCGAGCCCACGUCAGGAGCGCCGAAUGGUCACGACAGGCAUGACUUAGAUCUGCUAUCAGACGGUGUUCGGGAUAUCGCACCUACGGCUGCCUCGGCCUUCGAUCCGGAGCAGAUCACGCCAUCCAAGGACGGGUGGAUGGACCCCGUCGCGAGCCCGCACAUUCAUCGGCGCUGGGGCCGAACACAGACUUCACCUCCAAAGAGAACUGUGUCAUCGGACCCUCAGACUCGUCUCCGGUCAUAGGUUCCGAAUCGCGCACGUCUGUGCCUAUCGAAUCUGAUUGGGCACCGAUCAUGGAGUUUACCUCCGCAGAUAUAUUUCAGCACUCACCCCUGGGCAACGUGCUAAAUUCAUUGAGGUCUCUCUAUCUAUCAGGAGAGUCUUGGCCGAACUAUGUCCGGCUUGAGUGGGAAGCGGACGACGAAGAAAUUCGUUCCCCACCCACCACCCAUUUAGUAGCCGUUGUCGAUGACUUAACCGACAUGCUCGGCUUCGACUCCGAAGACAUCAACGGUAUGGACGACGAUGCCGGAGAAGAACAGGAACCACCACCCACAGGGCGCUGGAUAGGCACCUCAUCAUAUGAUAUAUAUAUAUAUAUAUAUAUAUAUAUAUAUAUAUAUAUAUAUAUAUAUAUGGUGGAUACACCUAAAGAAAGCAAUGGUGAUAAGGCAACGGAUGAUAAUCCCCUCGAGAAGCAAUCUAAGCAUCGGCGUCAUCGGCGCCGCUCUAACCCCCGCCAUAGAAAAAGUUGUGAUACCGACACAAGAGACGAUGAUGCCGAAGAUGAAAACAACACCGCCCAGCCAAGCACUGAGCAAGCCGGAUGGGAGGAUGGGCAAGCUAGCCCGGAUGAACAGGCAACGGAUGGAGACUUGGAGGACGACAAUUAUAUGCCUCUCUCCGAUGACGAGGUGAGCCUCGGCGACAAAGAAUUUGUCGUGCCGGAGGAUCCCGUCGAGCAGGAGCGCUUCAAGCGCCGGCUUAUAGCCACUGCAAAAAGCCUGAGGAAAAAACAGCAGCAGCUUCAAGCUGAUCAAGAUCUGCUAACAGAUAGAUGGACUGAGGUCCUGGAAGCCAAGGAAUACAGACUCGAGCACCCAACCAAAAGUUACCCGAAGCGCAGGUUGCUACCUCAAUUAGAGGAGGAGGCGCUAGAGCCUACACUACCAGCGCAAGACGAGGCUGACCGGCCACCUCGUGGCCGAGACAAAGUGGCGUAUCAGCCUGAACAACCGCCCGCACCCCGUCGCCAAUCAAACAAAAAUACUAAGGCCCGGGGCUACACGCAGGACCUGCGAGACGUAUUGGAAAACAAAGCAGUACAGUCAAGAUCGAUCUACGGAUCACGGGGGCACGCCACAACACGUGAGGAUGACCGUCAUGCCGGAUACACUAAAAACAAAUCCGGCCUGGACUAAUACAACAGACCAGACUCAUUCGAACUGCGUUGUGAUAUAGCCCGGCAUAGAGGCGCCGCACACCCCCUAUGCUUCACUGAUGAAGUAAUGGAUCAUGAAUUCCCAGAAGGGUUUAAACCCGUAAACAUUGAAUCAUAUGAUGGUACAACAGACCCCGCGGUAUGGAUUGAAGAUUUCCUUAUCCACAUUCACAUGGCCCGCGGCAAUGAUCUACAUGCCAUCAAGUACCUCCCACUUAAGCUCAAAGGACCGGCUCGGCAUUGGCUGAAUAGCCUGCCGACAAACUCGAUUGGCGGCUGGGAGAACCUGGAGGACGCAUUCCUUGACAACUUCCAGGGCACUUGUGUGCGACCACCGGACGCUGAUGACUUAAGUCACAUAACCCAACAGCCCGGAGAGUCAGCUAGGAAAUUCUGGACUCGGUUCCUAACUAAAAAGAACCAAAUCGUCGACUAUCCGGAUGUCGAAGCCCAAGCGGCCUUUAAGCAUAACAUCCGCGACGAGUGGAUCACUCGACACCUCGGCUAAGAGAAGCCGAAGUCCAUGGCAGCCCUCACUACACUCAUGACCCGCUUUUGUGCGGGCGAGGACAGCUGGCUAGCUCGUAGUAACAUCACGCUAAGAAAUCCUGGCACUUCAGAUGCCCGACAUAGCAGCGGCAAGCCACAACGCAACAUACAUAAGUGUCGGAACAACGGCGACAACACCGAUGACACGGCAGUCAAUGCCGGAUUCAGUGGCUCUAAGUCCGGUCAGCGGAAAAAGCCAUUUAAAAGAAACAAUCCGGGUUUGUCCAGUCUGGACCGCAUACUCGAUCGCUCGUGUCAAAUUCACGGCACCCCUGAUAAACCAGCCAACCACACCAACAGAGAAUGAUGGGUGUUCAAAUAGGCUGGCAAGUUGAAUGCCGAAAAUAAGGAAAAGGGGCUACAUAGAGAUGAUGACGAGGAGCACCGGCCGCCGAACACAGGAGGACAGAAGAAAUUUCCUCCCCAGGUGAAAACGGUAAACAUGAUAUACGCCACCCACAUUCCCAAGCGGGAAUGGAAGCGUGCACUGAGGGACGUCUAUGCGAUGGAGCCAGUCGCCCCAAAGUUCAACCCAUGGUCGUCUUGUCCGAUCACUUUCGAUCGCAGGGACCAUCCUACCAGUAUCCGUCAUGGCGGUUCAACCGCAUUGGUCCUUGACCCCAUCAUUGAUGGAUUCCACCUCACGCGAGUCCUUAUGGACGGUGGCAGUAGCUUGAACCUGCUUUAUCAGGAUACAGUGUGCAAAAUGGGCAUCGAUCCCUCAAGAAUCAAACCCACCAAAACCACCUUCAAAGGCGUGAUUCCAGGUGUAGAGGCCUGUUGUACGGGCUCAAUAACACUGGAAGCAGUCUUCGGAUCUCCGGACAACUUCCGACGCGAGGAGUUAAUCUUCAAUAUCGUCCCCUUCCGUAGUGGCUAUCAUGCACUACUAGGACGAACUGCAUUUUCUCGAUUCAAUGCGGUACCACACUAUGCAUACCUCAAGCUCAAGAUACCAAGACCUCGCAGGGUUAUAACAGUCAAUGGAAACACAGAACGCUCGCUCCGUACGGAGGAUCACACUACGGCUCUCGCAGCAGAAGUACAAAGCAAUCUUCUUAGGCAGACUGCCAACUCGACGAUAAAGCCCCCGGACACCGUCAAGCGAGUCUGGAGUACUCUGCAACAGGAUUGUCCGGCACGUCCAGAGCUCGACUAGCAAUUCGGCCUCUGUCCUAGUCCCAGUCAAGUGGCAAAAUAUCCGUCGUGCGUACAUAAUUACGCACUCAAAAUACCAUGGGCAUAGGCGGAGGCACGGCUACGACGUGGUCCACAAUGCGGCUCAACCGCCCCAGGACCCGUAUACCUUAAUCAUUUUCUUUCUUUCAGGACCCUACUUUCGGGAAGCCCUUUCAGAGAGGCUAAUUACCGGACUCAUCUCGGGAAGGAAAAACCAAGGAGGCAAGAGGCUUUGACGUACAAAGAAAUACCCAGGUGGUCUCCGAUAACAAUCGUUAUACUUGUUUUACAUAUCCACACGCAGCCUGCCCUUGGUUAGGACAUGUCAAAUCAUCCUAUUUUUGCUUAUCGCAUUACUUGUACACAUACGCUUUGACGUAUUACUUAAAUAACAAUGAAAAAUAUACAGCGUCAGCUUAUUAUUAUAUUUUCUUUAUCUUUUUCCUUGACUGCUUAUUUAAUACAAAUUGCACCCGCACACUUUGGUACGUUCAGUUCACCAUGGGCUUCAAUGUACCCCAUAACACGGCAAGAAAAGUCCGUACACUUUCGACAGUCGGCACCCCGAACUUAUAGCAUUAUAUGCAUCAGCUCCGAAUCUUGUCUUGGGUCAAUAGUUGGGUUUGCCCGUCUCCCAUGUUUUGGUGUCUUACGUUCCGUUAUAUCGGCUAAGGUAGCGCAGGGAGAACUACUGCGAUUGUGUCCCGAUUCUUCAAGAUGAGCACCUCAGUAUAGAAAGCUGAAAACUGACUGUCAUGUUGUGGCGACAGCUGGUCGCUGUUUGAGAGGUCUCAAAUCCUUAAAGAUUUUUUCUGCUUCGGGGGAGGAAUCGGCCUUGUCCGAUUUAAGGCAUGUAUAGCGCCCCAAGUUCGGCCUUCCGAAUACUAGGGGCUUCGCCAAAGUUUAAAAUUGUAGACCUCUAUGGCUAAGUGAGAGUGAUAAAGCUAUAUAGUCUGAUUGCCUUGUUCGCUGUGCUAAACACCUCCUUAAAGGACCAAAAAUUUGGAUAAAGAGUGUUUAGGUUUAUCCCGAACACCCCAGUACUAGUUCAUGGGGGCAGAAGUCGUCAACUGGCCAACUUUCAAAUUUUUAUGAAUGGACGCAUAGAAGGUAAUAUUUUAAAUCAACAAGCGUUAUAUAGAGCACACGAACUCGUUUUCGUAUUAUAGGAUGACAUGAGUAUAUUCAUUCAAAUAUUACAUCCUUGGCACAUUCCUCCACCACAAGGCGGGCGCCUUUCAUAACACCGUCAUAUUACUUCUCGGGUGACGGCACGCCUUGCCCUCCGGUGGUCCCUCCGUUACCAGCUUCUCGGCAUCCAUCUUCGCCCAGUGCACUUUCACGCGGGCGAAGGCCCGGCGGGCACCUUCAAUGUAGACGGACCGCUUAAUGACUUCAAGCCGCGGACAGGCAUUUACCAUCCGCUUUACAAGGCCGAAGUAGCUGUUGGGAAGGGGCUUGCCAGGCCACAGCCGGACUAUGAGGUCCUUCACGGCCAGUUCGGCCACCUUGUGCAGUUCGACCAAUUGCUUCAGCUGGUCACUCAAGGGCACCGGAUGUUUGGUCCCAGUAUAUUGAGACCAGAACAACUUCUCCGUCGAUCUCCCUUCCUCGGCACGGUAGAACUCCGCGGCAUCCGAUAUGCUAGGUGGCAGAUCUGUGAACGCCCCUGGAGAGUUCCGAAUUCAGGUAAGUAAAAGGAAAGUAUCCUUUACAUGCUUGCUUUGUAUAAUGAAUGCCUUACCCGUCGCUAUCUUCUUGGCCGCCUGAAUCUCUUGGAGUGCCAUUUGGGCUUCGGCGUUGGCGUCUCGUGCACUCUGGAGGGCCUUCGCAAGCUCGGACUCUUACGUCUUGGAGUCACGCUCCAAGGACUCGAAUUUUUUGACGAAGUCCUGGAGCUCUUGCUGGACCUCAUUAACCUGAGCCUCAUGUUUCUCACGCUCGAUGCCCUCCUUGGCCGCCUUGUCUUCGGCCUUGGACAACACUUUCUUAAGAGCCACCAAUUCAGUCGUGGCCCCUAUUAAAAUUCAUGAUGCUUCUGUUAGCAUAAACGAUUAUUCGCUUAUAUGACACACGAACGUGGUAUUACUUACCUUUGUUCUCAUCGAGCUGCCUCUUUACGAGGCCAAGCUCUUCCUAGGCCCGCCCCAGGUCCCGCUUCAGUCCGGCGACCUCCGCAGUGCGGGCGGCAGCAGCCAGCAGCGAUGCCUGCUUAUUCACAUAGACAUUUUCGGUUAGACUCCUGCGGAUACCAGUUGACCCUCUAUUUGGCUUUUCUUUCCGAACACCAAACAGACUAUCAGGGGCUACUAUCUAUAAUGCGAUAUUUUCUUACACUUUUGUUACUUACCUCAAAGCCUGUUAGGAGGCUGGCGCAUGCUUCGGUCAAUCCGCUUUUGGCGGACCGAACCUUCUCAAUCACCGUACUCAUAAGAGUAUGGUGCUCUUCGUCAAUGAAAGCGUCGUGAAGCACUUCCAGCAAAUUGUCCGAUGCCUCUGGGUGGACAGAGGUCAUCGGCACAGGCGGCUCGCCCUCCUUAGUGAAGGGCUGCCUACCUGAAUCCGGAACCAUUGGAGGUUCUAGCGCAGUACCCGGCUGGGGGCCAGACUUGCUACGGCCCCCGUCAGCAGAAUCCAUAUGGGUCUUUCCCCCCAUGUGCCCGGCAUCUGGGAUUUCGCCUUGGGGUAUCUCCAGAACCAUCAGCCCCCCCCCCCCGUUCCAGUAACCUCUGGGACAACACCUCGGUGUCAUCCGCGGGCCAGGGGGAGGUGUCCGUCGGGAGUGAAUAGCUAUUCAUCUCUGAUUGACUCAAAGACACAUCUGAAGAGGAUACCUCGAUGUGGGACUCGGCCGGACUGCAUAUGCGUGUUCGGCAUUAUAAGAAGCAAUGAAGCCAAACACACUGAAAGUACUAUGAAGUAUGGAUACUUACAACUUCGCCAGGGGCUUGUCCCUGGGCAACCACUCCUCGUUGUUGUAGGCGGCCGUGGUGGAGUGGUCCGGAGGGGAUGUCUUUCCCUUCUUCGGCAUCUUGGCCUCCCCCUGUGGGGCGGCUUUUCUCUUCUUCUCCUCCCGGUGGGGGGAGGGGGGAUUUCUUCCUCCUCCUCCUCCUCUUCGUGGGAGGAGUGCAUCUCGGUGUGCUCAGACAACGAGUCCGAUACAACCUUGCGCCGGAGACCUUUCCUGGUCCCCACGGCCAUCUUCUUGGCCUUCUUCUCCGGCACCUCAUAGGGCGCCGGAAACAACAUCCUUGUUAGAAGCUCCGAUUUCGAAUCUUCUGGUAAUAGAGCCGCGCAGUCGAUCCUCUCCGCUACUACUACCCAAUCCUGCAGAAACAGCGUAAAAGGCUUAGGAUCCUCCUCUAGAUGUGCUGAUGAAAAGUGCGUCCUGCAAAACACAUAAACAUACCGGAUUGGCGGGGUGCUUGACACUGAGUCCGUGAUCUUCGGUUAUGGGUGGUGCUACCUCGUUGGUCUUGAACAACAAUUUCUAGACGUCUUCGUGCAUCGUGCCGAAGAGUUCUCGUAGUGUCUGGUGUUCGGCCGGGUCGAACUCCCACUAUUGCAAACCCGUCGUUGGCACAGAAGGAUCCGGUGUAAGAGCAUGACUUGUACUAUGUUGACGAGCUUGAUCUUCUUGCUUAUCAUAUUCUAGACAUAGUUCUGCAGUCCGGACAGCUCUGCCACAGACCCCUAGGCUAAGCCCUUCUCUUUCCAGGAGGUGAGCCGCAUGGGGGCGCCGGAUCGAAAUUCGGGGGCCGCCAAGCAGUUGGCGUUGCGCGGCUCGGUGAUGUAGAACCACUCCGAUUGCCACCCCUUUAUGGUCUCCACAAAGGAGCCCUCGGGCCAAGCGACGUUGGGCAUCUUGCCCACCAUGGCGCCCCCGCACUCCGCUUGUUGGCCGACCACCACCUUUGGCUUCACGUUGAAGGUCUUCAGCCAUAGGCCGAAGUGGGGCGAGAUACGGAGGAAAGCCUCACACAUGAUGAUGAACGCCGAGAUGUUGAGGAUGAAGUUGGGGGCCAGAUCAUGAGAAUCAAGCCCGUAGUAAAACAUAAGCCCGCGGACGAAUGGGUGUAGGGGAAAUCCCAGUCUGCGGACGAAAUGAGAGAGGAACACUACUCUUUCCCGAGGUUUCAGAGUGGGGAUGAUCUGCCACUCGGCCGGAAGCCUGUGCGCAAUGUUUGCGGCCAGGUAUUUGGCCUCCCGUAGCUUCGUUAUGUCCUCCUCCGUGACACAAGAGGCCAUCCACUUGCCUCCUACUCCGGACAUGCUUGAAUGACUUUGUGGAGAAAGUGAGGGCUUGGGCGCUACAGCUCGAGCGUGCGAGAAUGGAUGAGCAAGGGAAGAGGGCGUGGGUGAAAAAAGGGGAAUCCUUAUAUCUUUAUAAAGGCGGUUGAAACUGUGCGCCUCCCCACUUGCCCUAUAAACUCGCUUAUUCCCCAACCGUCGUAUUGAUGGCGUGGUUGGGUUACCCACGCCCGUAUUGAUGAGAAUCAUGUAAUAAGGAGAACAUGAUCUCUGCUUCGACAAGACGUGCCAAUAAAACCGCCUCGCUGUACAUGCAGUAGCAGGCUGGGAAAAACGGUUUGUAUAAUGAUUGGGCCGCAGCAUAAUGUCACGCUAUGAAAUGUUGUCAGCAGAUUAGAUUUUUGGAACAUUGUGCUCUCUACGGUGGUUGGUGGAAAUUAUUUUGCAGAGCCGGGCACGAUCCUCGUAUUUAAGAUACUCUAUGGAGUAUUCGGAGAAGGAACCCGCCUUGCAAUGCCGAAGACAAUCUGUGCACAGGGCUCAUCGUCAUUGAAGCCUGGUUCAGGGGCUACUGAGGGAGUCCUGGAUUAGGGGGUCCUCAGAUAGCCGGACUAUAUGCUUAUGCCGGACUGUUGGCUAUGAAGAUAAAAGAUUGAAGACUUCGUCUUGUGUCUGGAUGGGACUCUCCUUUGCGUGGAAGGCAAGCUUGGCGAUUCGGAUGUAUAGAUCUCCUUCUUUGUAACCGACUCUGUGUAACCCUAGCCCCCUCUGGUGUCUAUAUAAACCGGAGGGUUUAGUCCGUAGGACAAGAACAAUCAUAAUCAUAGGUUAGCUUCUAGGGUUUAGCCUCUACGAUCUCAUGGUAGAUCAACUCUUGUAAUACUCAUAUCAUCAAGAUCAAUCAAGCAGGAAGUAGGGUAUUACCUCCAUCAAGAGGGCCCGAACCUAGGUAAACAGCGUUCCCCCCGCCUCCUGUUACCAUUAGCAUUAGACGCACAGUUCGGGACCCUCUACCUGAGAUCCGCCGGUUUUGACACCGACACCCCCACGACUGCUGGCCGGGCCCCGUGAGGGGCCGGGGCUGGCGUAGACUCGCCGCCUGAAGAGGAUCCUAGGAUUGACGCCCACCAUUGUCCAUCCAUGACCAGAGGAGGAGCCCUGGGUAGGCUUGCCUCACUCCAGGCGAGGUCGUGAAGGAAAGGCGGCAAGGGCACAGGCUCAAGGCACCUUGCAGGCAGGCUUGCUCCUCCGAGCCCCGCGUCAGGGGCAGUGUGCAGGCUCGGGGCGCUUAAGGCCAGCGAUGAAGAUGAGGCCUGAAGAGGCUGCUCCUCGAGAGAUCUCACAGGAUCAGCAAGAGGGGCCCUGAAGAGCCGUAGUCAGGAGAGAAAGCAGCAAUCGAGGAAUUACAAGGUUAAGGUACUUACUCGUUAAUGGAAAAGUACUUUCUGUGCUUCAGCGGCCGGAAGGUGCAACCAUUGCAGCUCGAGGACUCUUUCCUCUUGCAGAGUUCGGCGAAGUCCACACGGAACCGGCCUAGGCGCUCGACAUGGGGGUUAGCACGGCGCAUGGCGGGAGGGACACCCAGGCGGUCCACCUCAGGAGCGCAAAGCUGGGAAGAGCAUCCAGGCCCCGCCUCAUGUUAGUCCGCCAAGGCCUCAGGUGCGAUGGCCUCCGGAGCCGCAAGCUGCAUCUCCCCAAUAACUGCCUCAGGGCGAGCCUCACGAGUCCCAGAGGAUGACGCCUCGGGAACCCCAAGCGGCACCGGCACCAGGACACCUGUGCCUCCGACCUCGAGCGAUGCUUGCCUUCCCGCACCCACUCUCGGGGCAAACUCGGUGCCGGCGGCAAGGAGGGGAGCCACGACGACGGGAUUCUCGCGGGAUCCCACAAGGCCGACUAGACGCAUCCCCCAUUCAUCGAAGGAAGGCAUCUGCCUCCCAAACUCGGCCUUGUUCGAGCAGAGAUACAAGAGGCCGCCCCCGUGCGACAAGUCGCCCAGUGAGGGGUCGCCGGUCAAGACCUCGAGCACCUUCCUCAGUGCUUCGGGCGGGAGCCCCGACUCCUAAAGACUCAUGCGAUCUCGGUCACCAGUCAGGGACCACAUCAGCCGGGAAUGGCGCUGGAGAGGAGCAACGUGACGCUGGAGGAACUCCUUCACCACCUGAGGCGCAGUCACACCAAGGUAUCUCAGCCUCUUCAAUCGGAACCAGACAAAGGAGAGACGAGGGCUCUCGAGUUUCUCAUGGCCCCAACCGGAGUUGGGGACAGCGGGCAAUGACGGAAGCGAGAGCAGAGGGGUGCGCACCUUAACAUCCACGUCCACCCAGCGUGUCCGGAACCCGCUCACAGACGGCGGGAGAGCAAAAUCAAUCCCCGAAGCGGCAGUCUCCGCCGCGGCAAGGAAGCUCACGCACGCCGAGCAUUGCGAGGGAUCAGUCAGAUGCAGCGAAAAGAAAUGGCGCAAGAAGGCGACGGAAGGAGAAAUGCCCAUCAUGGCCUCACAGACAAAGGUGAAAACAGGGAGAAGGGCGACGGAUUGGGGAUCAAGAUGCAACAUGUGGAUCUGAUAAUGGGAAAGCACUGCAUUCAAGAAGGCAGAGAAAGGGGGAACCAGGCUAGCCCACAAGGCGUCGACAAAGAACCGAACCUCGGUAACUGACCUAUCAAUGGAGGCAUGGGACGCAGGCCAAGCCACCGUCUUCCUCCACUCGUUGAAGCUGGAGGCAAGCACAGGACAGACCUUCUCCACGGCCUCCAAGUUGAGCACCAGCGACCGGCCAACGACGGGUUCAGUUAUCGGAGAUGGGUUAGCAGAGAGCAGAGGCUUCUUCCCCUUAUUCGUGCUAGUCGGCGCCAUGGCAAUGGAGGGAGGAGAACGCAAGUCAGAUUGGGAGUGGAGGCAGAGCCCAGGAAGAAGGAAGGAUGGGGAGCACGCUGCUUGCGAGGAGGAAAUAACUGCAUAAGGCGUCAGGGUCGCCUAGCCAGGCGGAUAUUGAGAUGACAUGGGGAAGCGGAGACGCCCGCAUCCAAUCAGUUGCCACGCGUCAACCAAGGCCGCAGGCUUGAGGGCCCAUGGCGCUCCGCACUUGCCCCUUGGCUUUGCCGCUAAGCCAAGUCCGAGCGCGCCUUGGGCCUAGGGGCUACUGUCGGUGUUCUGGAUAUGGGGGUAUCCAGCCCUGCCUGCCUGCGACCCGCUGCGUGGCUCCACCAGCAGCCCAGUAAAAGGCAUGUCUUCAUCAACCAAGCACUCAAGACCCUCGCGAGGGGCAAAGCCUCGCGGGGCUGACGACGCACGGCCUCCUCCGAAGCGGCCUCACCAGGCAGGCUCGCGAGGGAGGUGGAGAGAUCAAGGCACGGGGUACCUUGCGAGGUUCCCAUGACGCAAGCCAUGACGACCAAGGCCAGGCGGGCGCCAGCGCGCGCAGUGUACUAGUUUCCCCUUUGGUGCUAAGGGGGCAAGCGCGGGCGCAGAGUACCUAGGCAUCAGGAAAAGGUUUCCAUAUCGGUGCAACGAGACCAAGACUAGCAGGACGGCAAGAUGGAAGUCAUCAUGGAGCCCAAGACGGCGUCAUCACCAGAGCCUUUGGCAGGCGAAGACCACCUUUAGUCAGGAUAGCAUGUACUAGCUGUCCCCUUUCAAAUCCCGCCGUUGUGGAAUCCCUUCCCGCUCAAUAUUUGGGAAGAGGACCAGGGCCUCUAUAAAUAGGACUAGCCACCAUCAUAGAGAGGGGAUCGAAGGGAGAGAGAUCCAUUUGGACCAGAAUCACCCACAGAGCACAAGAACACCUCGCCUCAGGAGGCUGUUCUUCCCCUUGUACUGUUCAUCGUCAACCCGAGAGGCAAUCCACCACACCACACACUGGAGUAGGGUAUUAAACCAUAAUGGUGGCCUGAACCAGUAUAAACCUCGUGUCUCUUGUGUUGUGAUUUCAUUUAGCUAAACUAGGGAUCGCGACGAGGCAGGGAGAGAGAUUCGAUAGGGGGAAAUCUUCAUGCACACCCCAAGUGCUCGAACCGUAAGGGUUUUGCCGGAACCAGAUAUCCGACAAUAUGAUCCUUUAAGAUUGCUAGCUUUCGGCUUCACCCAGUCUGAGGUAGUUACUCGGAUGACCUAGUAGUAACAAUCACAGAGGUACUCCCUUUACCACCUAGCCGAACAAUCGGGAACGUAGGGGUAAACACAGGAGCCAGGCAACCCAGCUUGGCAAAAAUCUUAAGUCAAAUUGAUGCAAUUUAUGGCUUUAUAAAGUUGAUUAUGGAAGGCGGCCCUUGUAUAUUAAAUACAAGUGCCGAUGAUAUGUUUAUUUUGACUCCGUUGCGACCGUUUAUUAGUUGAAAGUGGCCCAUUGUCGGCUUCUACCCCUCUGUAGGUACUACGUAGGGUGUUUCCGCAAAAACAAGACAACCCUUAGCCGACGUCUCGGUGCCCGAAGGCAGUUGUGUUAGCGGAAACGAGGCAAUCAGAUAUGCAGGCUUUAUAACUUUCACUUAGUCAUAGGAGCUUUAAAUUGGGGAAGCUAGCUAUGAGCCCCCGGUUAGUGUUUGGCGACAGCCGAGGUCAAGCCGUAAACACUUCGGCCAAUGUUAUGAACGGCCCGUCAUUUAAAAUAGUCAUCGGAUCACUAACCACUUUACGCUUAUUGUGACAGUCAGUGUUCAGCUUUCUCCACUGAGGUCCUUAACCAUGCGAGCUGGAAGCACAAUCGCAGUGGUUCUCCCUUUGCACACCUAGCCGAACAAAGCGGAACGUAGUAGGCAAGCACAGGAGCCGGGCAACCCAACUAUUGACCGAAGACACAAUUUGAAACCGAUGCAUAUAUAGCAAUAUCCGAGAAUGUUUUUGCCAAAUCCCUAAAGGUGUUCGGCAUUGCACUGUGAGACUUGUGCUGAAAGCACACAAAUAGUUUAAAAGUGCCAUAAGCUUGGAAAACCAAAAAACAUCAGUAAAAACUGGACAUCCGAACAAGAUCACGUGUUCGUUGUUAAUCCAAAAAUUGGAAGCAAUUGUGCUUCUGUCGUGCUUUAACACGACGCAUCCGAUCUCAAGACUUCACGUGGGUUAGCCCUUUGCAAGGACCAAGAAGAAAACACAUUUAGUAUAAAAUAGCUCAUAUAAAUUUUAAGAACCCCCAAGUGACUUGGUUAAAAGAAUUUUAUGUAUAAUGAUUGUAUGUACCGAAGUACUUAUAUUACAUUUUUGUUCACCUGAACUUUGAACGCGUCUUAACCGACUAUCGGCUUCUCCCUCUUUGGUCAAGGACCAAAAAGUGUUAUGUACUCCACCUGUCGAGAAUAUCGACGGUGUUUCUGAUAACUAGGCAACCUGGCCAUAAGGCUGUAACAGACAAAGCAAGCUCAGGGAACUUAUGCUAUAUUACUGACGAAGUGUAAGAAGCAUCUUCGAAGAAAAUAGUACCUCCACCGAUACCUUUCUUCAGUUCCUCAUUGUUACUAUGAGACUUGUGCAAUAGAUUAUUUGUACUCAUGAGUUCCGUUGUGUGCCGACCAUGAUUGAAAACAAUAAGUGCGCUAACUUUCGGCUUCACACAGUCUGAGGUCCGAGCUUGGAUGACCCGCCAUGACAAUCGCAGAGGUGCUCCCUUUACUCCCUAGCCGAACAAUCGAGAACGUAGUGGUAAGCAUGGGAGCAAGGCAACCCAGCUUGUGGAACAACUUAAGUCAAUAUGGUGCAUAUUGUGGCGUAAUACACGAACAAGGAACGAAGCCGUACAAGUAUAAUCGUAUGCAAGAGGAAAGGCUUCAUAAAGGAAGCCCCCAAGUAAACGAGGUGUUUGAAUUUGUGUGUCACAAACAAAGUUAUGACAAGGAAUUUUUUCACAAACAACUUUUUUCCAAAAAAGUAUAAUGCUUGGUCGAACCGAACAAAAUUUAAAACUGAAAGUUUCUGAGCAUGAAAGCGACUUAGCUAUUUAAUGUGUUCGGCAUUGAUGACGCGGUCCGAGCUUGAUGCGGGACAAGGUUCCAGCCCACAGGCUGGUCCCAAGGUGGCCGAGCAGAGAGUUCGGCACUCCGAAAAGAUGAAGCCCCCAACCCAGCCGCGGUAAUGGAGCAGGUCGGCGCGCCAAGGAAACAACCCAAUUCGGUUGACGGAGGCGACAGCGCGGCUCAGCCUGAGUCGAUUGGCUGUAUAGAUAAAAUAGUGCAAACCAAAAGUAAUGACAAUUAAAGAUAAUAAUGUUUAUUAAAAAAAUCUUAUACUUAUUUAAUACAAGUGAAGUAAAUAAUGAAAGAGAUAUGGCCUAAAGUCGAGGUCAAUGUCGAAGCAGGGCAUCAGCGUGAUGUGGUAAAGGCGUGGCAAAGCCCGAAUUCACAGGUCGGUCUGAGUUCCGGAUACGGUGUCCGUCGAACUAUGUAUGGAACCUGUCCAAACCACCACGCCAACGUUGUUAAUGCGGCCACCAUUUGAUAGACCUGUGUAUAGAUGAUGGAACAAAGCAGAGUAAUAAUUCCUUGGAAAAAAUAAACCCAAACAAGCAAAAAUUGCUAGGAUUAAUAGCACCUGGUUUAUUUGUUGUAGCGGUCUGAAGAAAGGUUACUCCCAAAAUUGGGACUCGAUCCGCACACCCAUUGCCUGAUGGGUGAUGAAGCUAUGGCAUGGCGAUGCUGGCAAAGGUUGGCUCGCCGUGGCGAAGCCCGUCGUCCAGCUAAUGUGAUGAAGCUAGUCGGCUGGUGACGCCGAAGUCUCCGAAGUAAGUUGAUGAAGAGAUGGCGAAGCCCUCCGUCUAGUCGAGGUGACGGAGCAGGUCGAUAAGGAGACGUUGUAGCUACCAUGUUAGCCGAGGUGUUGAAGCAGUUCGGCGUGAUGGACAUCGGCUUGAAGAAGCAACAGUGCGGCCAUGCCGAUGCAGGUCAUAAAUUGUGACGCGGUCAAUGCCGGCUUGAUGAAGUGAAGAUGCGGCGAUGCCGGUAUUCCCGCUCCGUGUAAUCCGUGGGGCGACGAUGUUGGUGAUAAUUUAUCCUUCGCGAUGACACACUCUUGUUCGGCUCACUGAGAUGAUGAUCCAGAGAAGUUGAGCCCGGCUCAGCAAAGCAGUGACGUGUCUAGCGCAGGUCGGCCGCCGUGGAGCAAUGUUGUCGUGCUGGUUUGACACCGGUGCGAUGGUGAAGAUCGUAUUCUAAAAACACUUUUAAUAUUAGUGGGAUGUGUUUGAGAAUAAAACACAAUACCUCAAACAAAAAUUUCCUUCAAAAAGGAUGUCCGAAAUCUCGUUCAUAGAGGAGAUGAACUCGGGUCGGAUUCGUUCUCGCGCAGAAAACAGGUCCAAAAAGUGAUGCACUAAUCGGAAGGUUCCCGGAGUUUGGACUGUCAGAUCGAGCUGAAAUUUUGAUAGGUGGUAGAUAUAGGAAUUCCGCAGCCGAUCAACGUUGGAUCUUCCAAAGGACAUCUGAGCUAGAUGCUGGACACCACGCCCUAAACUCGUCCAGAUUCCCGUCCAGAUUUGACAGGGCUCUGGUAUAUCAAGGAUUGCCAGAGAUUCCUCCAUUGGAACUCGACGAAAUUUUCCAUGGUUUUUGUAGACUCAAUUCCGCACAAACCCACCAAAGGAAUUGUCAAAGCGAUGCUCGAGGAGGUGGUGGCGGCGGAUACAAGUUUGUUGUUCGGAAAAAACUGCCCAGUCGCCCGAGCGUAAUGUUGACGUUGAGCCCCCGAGCUCCAUGGAUGAUUCCUCCAUGAUCUUGAUAGAGGUCGUAGUCAAUGUUUGAUGAAGGCCCUCAUCCGAACAUGAUGAUCGGAGGUAGGGCGCAGUCCUCGGUCAAGCCAAGGUGACCAGUCGAGCCAGUGACGAAGAAGCCAACGUCGCAGUUGAUCUGCAGUCGAGCCAUUGAUCCUUUUGUCGAUCACACAGUGAAACUCUCAAUGAAAGCACCAUUGUCGGUGUCAAAACUGGCAGAUCUCGUGUAGGGGGUCCCAAGCUAUGUGUCUUAGGAUCGAUGGUAACAUGAACACGAGAUUUUACCUAGCUCCAGGCUCUCUUGAUGAGAUAAUACCCUACAUGCUGCUUGAUUGACUUUAACGAGUAUAGGGGUUACAAGAGUUGAUCUACCUCGAGAUCAUAUGUUGUGGUCUAAACCCUAGAGGUAUGAUGAGUAAUGUCAUAAUCUAUCGACUAGCCUGGCCCUGGUUUAUAUAAUGUACCAGAGGCCUAGGAUAACAAGAGUCCUAGCCGAAUACGCCGGUGGGGAGGAGUCCUCGUCUUGAUCACCAAGUCUUGUGGAAUCUUCCUUGUGUAUAUUUCGGUUGUCCGAACUGGCCCAUGAGUAAACGGCCAUGGGGGUCCUUGGCCCAAUCCAACUAAUCGGGAGACGACGUGGUGAGUACCCCCUGGUCCAGGACACCGUCAGGUAAUGCAGCAAAGUAGCAUAAGUAUUUCCUUCAGUUUUGAGAACCAAGGUAUCAAUCUAGUAGGAGACGACGCACAAGUCACCGAAUACCUUCACAAACAAUCAAACUUGCAACCAACGCCAUAAAGGGGUUGUCAAUCCCUUCACGGUCACUCGCAAAAGUGAGAUCUAAUAGAGAUAGAUAAACGGAAAAGUAAAUAUUUUUGGUAUAUUUGGUUUAUAGAUUGGAAAGUAAAUAUGCAAAAUAGUAGAUUGGAAACUAGAAAGAUGUCAACGAGAUUCAAUAAUAUGGAAAAGAGACUCGGGGGCCAUAGGUUUUACUAGUGGCUUCUCUCGAGAUAGCAUGUAUUACGGUGAGUGAACGAAUUACUGCCAAGCAAUUGAUAGAAAAGCACAUAAUUAUGAUUACAUCUAAGGCAAUGAUCAUGAACAUAGGUAUCACUACUGUGUCAAGUAGACUGACUCCUGCCUGCAUCUACUACUAUUACUCCACACAUCAACUGCUAUCUAGCAUGCAUCUAGAGUAUUAAGUUCAUAAACAACGGAGUAACACAUUAAGAAAGAUGACAUGAUGUAGAGGAAUUAACUCAAUCAAUAUGAUGAAAACCCCGUCUUGUUAUCCUCAAUGGCAACAAUACAAUACAUGCAUUUUUGCCCCUACUAUCACUGGGAAAGGACACCGCAAGAUUGAACCCAAAGCUAAGCACUUCUCCCAUUGCAAGAAAUAUCAAUCUAGUAGGCCAAACUAAACCGAUAAUUCGAAGAGACUUGCAAAGAUAUCAAAUCAUGCAUAUAAGAAUUCGGAGAAGAACCAAAUAAUAUACAUAGAUAAUCUUGAUCAUAAAUGCACAAUUCAUCGGAUCUCGGCAAACACACCGCAAAAGAGUAUUACAUCGAAUAGAUCUCCAAGAACAUCGGGGAGAACUUGGUAUUGAGAAUCAAAGAGAGAGAAGAAGCCAUCUAGCUAAUAACUAUGGACCCGAAGGUCUGUGGUAAACUACUCACGCUUCAUCGGAGAGGUAAUGGUGUUGAUGUAGAAGCCCUUCAUGGUUGAAUCCCCCUCCGGCAGAUCGCUGGAAAAGGCCCCAAGAUGGGAUCUCAUGGGUACAGAAGGUUGCGACGGUGGAAAAGUGGUUUCGUGGCUCCCCCUGAUGUUUUUAGGGUAUAAGAGUAUAUAUAGGCGAAGGAACACUAGUGCAGAACCGGGCAAUAGCACCGGUUCGUAAGGCCCUUUAGUGCCGGUUCCAUAAUCGGCACUAAAGUGUGGGCACUAAAGGCCCCCCCCUUUAGUACCGGUUCAGCACGAACCGGUGGUAAAGGGCAACCACGUGGCACGAGCCAGCUCCGGGGGGCUGGAGCCCUUUAGUACCGGUUGGUAAUACCAACCGGUACUAUAAGGUUUGGGGGGUUUUUAGUUUUAUGAUUUCUUUUUCAUUUAAUUUUGUGUUUCCAUUUUAAUUCUUUUUCGUUUGCUGGUAUUUUAUGAUACUACACAUUGUACACGUUAUGCAUAUAUAUAUAUAUAUAUAUAUAUAUAUAUAUAUAUAUAUAUAUUUAAAUAGAAUUUCUAGUAGAACCAAUCAUGCAUAUAUAUAUCAUCAAUGUCUCACAAACCACCAUAUUAAUUAAUUCACACAUACACAAAUGUAUAGCUAGCUAUAUACAAUUUCUCCUACAUAUGCAUGUUGCCUUCGGAGCUAGUGGCAUUAGCCUAAUUGGUGCCUUCGGAGCACGAUGACAAUUCGAAGUGGUUUUCAUGGGGGCGGUAGCGGGUAAUAGUAUUCUCCCUUCGGAUUUAUGACCUGGUCGAGCAAAAAUCCCGCUAUUUCCUCUUGAAGUGCUUCUACGCGCUCCGUUUCUAGGAGCUUCUCCCGCACCUCUCUGAACUGUUAAGAAGGAUAUCAAUAUGCAUGUGUAUUAGUCGUGUGACUAGAUAUCGAUAAUGGUGUAAAAAUUGUGAAUAGUGUUCUGACAAGCGUACCCAUUCCUGUCUUUGAGAUCUGCUCCUUUCUGACGACAUCAUGCGAAUGUUCUCGCAAAUGCAGAAUGCACACAGAUCAGUCCCCUGCACCUGCUUCAAGGCCUUUACGAGAAUGGAAUUUGAUCAGAUAAUAAUUAAUCAAGCAUGAUAAUUAAAGAGAUGGCAGCUAGCUAGCUAGAUAGUACUACUUAAUUACUUACCUUGGGUCGAAACCAUUGAAGCUUUUUUUUUCAUUCGCCAUCCGUGACGCUGAUGAACCUUGCCCAAGCCCUGCCCUCCGACAAAAAAAAUGAAUAAAGGGGUUAUUAAAUAGUUCAUAUCAUGAAAUGACGAACUAAAUAGGCCGAGAUAUAUAGUUAAUAAUGAUUGAAAUUACCUGUUGACUAUCCCAAACAAGAUGUUAUAGUCAGUUUUAACUUUGAGUAGUGAGUCGAGUAUUUCAACUGUUCCGUCGUCAACUUUAAUGAUACACAAGACCCAGUGAAAUCUGCACGCACACACGUUUGCAUGUCUUAAUUAAGCGGGCAUAUGUAAGCAAAAACAUGUAGCUAGCUAGUAGGCAAAAAUAGAGAAUUUCUAGUACAAGACAGUGUGACUCACUGGAAGUUGUAAGGAAGUAGUAUAUCUUCAUUGUAUUUGAGGUGCUUCAACAACUCUAGCAUGUUGUCCUCUACGUCCUUUUGAUGAUGUGGAUUUAUCCGCCAUGUGUAUUCAUUAACGGUGUUUGGGUCAAUGAACCCAAUGCCAUAGCGUCCACCUUUUCUCAUUUCAUACAUCUUCAUCCUGCAUAAUACCACAAAAAAGAAUAUAGUGAGGAUAAUUACAGGUAAUGAUUGAUCAAAAGGAUCACUACAACUAGCUUGAGACUUAAAUUACAGAAAGAAAUCACUUACAGACAAUAGCAACUGACGAUAGAUUUGUCGAGUGCGUCUUGAUUGUAUAACUGAAACAGUUCAGAAUACUCAACGGACAAAGCUUUCUCAUGGAAGUAAUGAUCCUCCUUGACAUUCACCAUGAGGGACAAUCGAUCUGAAAUCUUGGUAAUGUUCAUGUACCAUUGAUGCAAUUCAUACAUUCUUGUUGGGAGGUUCUUGACCUUGUCUGGCUUGACCAAAGGUUGGCCCCAGACAUAUUUCCGUUUUAUUUCAUCCUCUCUAAGCACAGGCAUGGGCUCGAUCUCGAAGAGUUGUCCAACAGUGAUUUUGAGAACUUCAGCCUGCAUUAUAUGCUCCUCCGUUAUUACCACAUUGCCCACCUCAGGAACGUAAACUGUUUGCCCACAAUAAUAUUGGGCGCGCGUACUGUCACGUGUUGUUGGCACAACAAGCGAGGGGAUUGAUUGCGCCGCCUGUUCUCCCAGCUGGGGAAUGGUUUUCCCGCAUUUUUUGACAGUUGCUUCUUGUUUGCUCGAUCCCGAGCUCGCCUCCUUACAUAGACGUGCUCGAUUUAACUUCCUGAUGUGGUGCUCAUAGUCUGUGUCAACAGGCUUGGGAGCUGGUGGUUGAGCCAUACGAAUGAAGUGGUCAAUCGUUUCCUCAGGCACUUUCUCCCUUGGCGGCGGUGGCGGUUUCGGUGCAAAAUGGGCUUCCACCUCCGCCUUCAAUAUGGCUGCGAUUUCCUCCUCGGACCUGUCAUAAGCCCUCUGCGGAAGAGGCGUGAGGCUUGGACCAUAUUUAUAUCGCUUGCCUCCGCCUGUACUUCCUGUACUACCUCGACUCGUACCGCUAUGCACCAUAGCUGUGGGGUGUCUCUUCUGCAAUUGCUGAGGCGGCGGAGACGGCUGACGGGGCUGAGUUGGACGAGGAGGAGUGGCUGCCUGAAGUUGUGCCGGACUUGGAGGAGGAGUGGCCUGAGGUUGUGCCGGACUUGGAGGAGGAGUGGACGUCUGACGCUGUGGCGGACUUGGAGGAGGAGGAGUGGCCUGACACUUUGCCGGACUUGGAGGAGGAGUGGUCUGACACUUUGCCGGACUUGGUGGACUUGCAAGAGUGGGAGACUGCUGACUCGGUGGCAAACUUCGACGAGGAGUCGGCUGACGCGGUGUCGGUGGCCUUCGAAAGAUGAUGCAAUCCUUUUUCCAUAGGAUGAUACGAUGUUUGGCCUCUCCGAGAAAGCGCUCGUCGUCACCUCCAGGAAUGUCAAGCUAUAGCUCCGAAUAUGGUGGGUCCACCACCUCAUCAACCAAGACACGAGCAUAGCCCGCUGGAAUCGGGUUGCAAUGGAAGGUUGCCUCGGGGGGAUUUGUAAAAGCAACGGCGUCCGCCACCUUCAUGGAUAUGUUCGUUAUUUUGAUGUGUAGCUCGCAGUUAGUGUUCUCCGUGAUGUCAUCCACGGGGUAUCUACCCAGCAUUGCGUCGUCCGGGGCGGCCGAACCCACGCUGCUUCUCAGCAUGGAUGGGUCGAUGCUAUCCAAUGAUGGAUCAUCCGCUAGCUGCUGCAGCUACUGAGACCCCCUUUGCUGGGUAAGUGAGUCGAUCUGCUCCUGUUGUCGCUGGAAUUUGACUGCCAAUUCUGCUUGACUUGCUUCUAGGCCUUGAAGGCGUACAUAGUCCCGCUUCCUCUGCUCCUCCUCCAUCUUCCUCUUCUUCUCCUCCGCAAUCUUCUUUCUCGCACGGGUUCUGUAGUCGGUGUUCCAGUCUGAAAACCCCUCAUACCACAGAAUAGCGUCCAUGCCUCGUGUUCUUCCCGGGUGUUCAGGAUUUCCCAGGGCACGCGUAAGCUCGUCGUUCUCUCUGUUGGGCUGGAACACCCCCGAUUGUGCCUCUUCUAUUGCAACAAGUAUCGCAUCGUCGGCUCCCUUCAGACUUGCCUUCGUCGAAACAUUGCCUGUCUUCGGGUCCAACUCCCUCCCAUGCGCAUAGAACCAAGUCCUGCACCUGGGGGGCCAGCUCUUGGUAACCGGAGUGACACCUGCAUCCUCCAUCUCUUUCUCAGACUUAUCCCACUUAGGCAUUGCCACCGCAUAGCCACCUGGCCCCAGCUUAUGGAACUUAUCCUUUUUUCGGCAUUCUUCUUAUUUAUUAUCGACCAUUCCUUAGCUAAUUCUGAAUCCUUGAAUUUCACGAAAUCGUCCCAAUGAGCACGUUGGUUCUCUAGUGUUCCCUCGAAUACUGGAGUCUUCCUUCCUCCCUUGACGUACUUGUCCCAUUCACGAUUCUUGUGGUUCUUGAAUUCAACCGCCAUCUUCCUAAGAGCAGCGUCCUUGACUUUCUGCACAUCUGCUUCUGUGAAAUGAUCUGGUAGGGUGAAAUGUUCCAUGAGAGUAUCCCAAAGCAGAUCUUUUUGAUUCUUGUCGACAAAAGUAACAUCUGGACGUGGAGCAGCGUCCUCUUUGCCUUUUUGUCUUCUGUCUUUUACUGGCUCUCUCCAUUCUUGAAGGGAGAUCGGGAGUUGGUCCUUCACAAGAACUCCGCACUGACGAACAAACUUGUCCACAAUCUUCUUAGGCGCUAAUGGUUCGCCAUUAGGUCUGACUGCCUUGAUAUUGUACUUUACGCCCUCCUUCAACUUUUUGUUCGGGCCUCGUUUCGUCCUUUUGCCUGAAGAUUUGCUCGAUCCGGAUGGCUGAAAGAACAAAGAUCGAUUCGUUAAUAUAUCUUCAAGUCAUUUAAAACAUGUGAUGAUCACCAGAUACCUGCUUAUAUAAAUAUAUAUACCUCGCCGGUCUUUGUUGUUUCAGGAUCAACAUGUUCUUUGUCAUCGUCAUAAUCGUAGUUCAUGACUUCAUCAAUUCGGUCGUCGCGAUCGAAUAUCAUAUCACCCUCUCCGGUGUUGUUUAGAAAUUCGGAGUUGUCAUAAUCUUCUUCAUUCUGAUCAUCGUCUGGCCCGCGUAUCAUAUCGAACAUGGUCUGUUCUCCCUCUCUGUCGGUAUUGUCUGUCAUAGCUUUUAUUUAACUAAUCCAAAAGAAAUAUAAAACAACUUAGUAUUCAAAUUACAUCGUCUCGAAUAAUAGAUAUAAUCUCGAAUACUUCGUCUAGAAUAAUAGAUAUAAUCUCGAAUGCAUCGUCUCGAAUAGUAUAUAAUAUUGAAUAGUACAUCACUGGCUAGCUAAUUAAAGAUCGAAUACUACAGAAGAAUCUAGAACACUCGCGGUUCCUGCGGCGCGGGCGGUGGACACCCAAAGAGAAGGAACCCUCACAGGAUCAUAGCUGAAGUGAGAUCCCCGAAGAUACUGCCAGGUAUUGGAGAACCUGCCGCCCUCUAACGCAACCAUGUAGCGAUUGACGUGCUCGUCCUCCUCCCUGACACGGCGAUGUACCACCUCCGGCGGGGCUGGGUCCCUCCGCACCGAAACUGGCCCACGCGAACGCCACCAAACGAGAUCAGGGUCGACGACGGGACCCGGGGCCGGGUUCCUCAUCAAGCGCGCGCCCCUCCAGGCAGCACCUCCCAGUGCCAGCCCGGCGGAGCCCAGUCCCGGACAUGGGUCAGCUGGACGUCGUUGCGGACGGGUCGACGGCGAGGAUGUGGGCCGGGCAUCGUCGAGAACAAAUACUAGCUAUAUGCCCACAAAAAGUAACAUUUUUUUAAUGAUUGGAUUUUGAUAACUAAAAUUUCUAACAUUUCUACUAUUUCAAAAAUCUAUAUACUAUUUCAUACUAAUUAAGCAUCUAACACUAAAAACAGAAAACACAACUUCUAUAUAUCCAUUAAAAAACUGAAAAACAACAUUAUAUAAAAAUUUCCAUACUAAUUAAACACUAAUUAUAUCCAUCUAACAUGCAUUCAUACAUAUAUAAUAGUGAAAAAAUAAUAAUCUAAAUAAUCUAAACUAAUUAAACAUACAAAAUACGUAUAUACUAAUAUAUACAUGCAUUAAUUCAUACAUAUGUGUGUGUGUGUGUGUUCAUCAUGCUUGUGUGUGUGUGUGUGUAUGGGCUCGGGGAGGGGCGGCGCCCAUGGUGGCCGCCGGGGGCGAGGGAGAGGGGUUAGAGGGGGAGAGCUCACAGCGGGGCGACGGCGACGGCGAGGCGACGGCCGGGGGNNNNNNNNNNNNNNNNNNNNNNNNNNNNNNNNNNNNNNNNNNNNNNNNNNNNNNNNNNNNNNNNNNNNNNNNNNNNNNNNNNNNNNNNNNNNNNNNNNNNNNNNNNNNNNNNNNNNNNNNNNNNNNNNNNNNNNNNNNNNNNNNNNNNNNNNNNNNNNNNNNNNNNNNNNNNNNNNNNNNNNNNNNNNNNNNNNNNNNNNNNNNNNNNNNNNNNNNNNNNNNNNNNNNNNNNNNNNNNNNNNNNNNNNNNNNNNNNNNNNNNNNNNNNNNNNNNNNNNNNNNNNNNNNNNAGGGAGAAUGAAAAUUUCGUAAGUGUAUAUAUAGAAGGCACCUUUAGUACCGGUUGGAGCCACCAACCGGUACUAAAGGCCUGUUUUGGCCAGGCCAAGCGGCGGGAAGACGAGGCCUUUAGUACCGGUUGGAGCCACCAACCGGUACUAAAGACCACCCUUUAGUACCGGUUGGUGGCUCCAACCGGUACUAAAGGCCUCGCGCUGCCACCCCAAAGUUUAGUCCCACCUCGCCGGGCGAAGGGCAGCCGCACUGGUUUAUAAACCCAGCCGCGGCUACCACUUCGAACUCCUCUAUAUAGCAGGCUUGUGGGCCUAAACUCUGCGCGCUGCCCUGUGAGUCUGCUGGGCCUUUAAGGCCUAUAAUUACACACCUGUGGCCUAUCAGGCCCACAGGGCAGCGCCCCAAUUUUUUUUAUAGAUUUUUUCUUUUCUGCUUUAUUUUCUUCUAUUUAUUUUUGCGUAGUUUUUUGUAUAGUUUUUUAUUUUCUGUUAUAUAUAUUUUCUUCUAUUUAUUUGUGAGUAGUUUUUCAUCUAGUUUGCCAAAAUUCAACAUUUUCAGAGUUCAUUUUGUAGUGAUUUUCAAUUUCACGGUCAUUUUGUAAACGAUUGAAAAAUAGCAAAUAUAAUUUUUUUUCUUUUCUGCUUUAUUUUUCUUCUAUUUAUUUCUGAGUAGUUUUUUCUUUUCUGCUAUAUUUAUUUUCUUCUACUUAUUUUUGAGUAGUUUUUUUUAUAUAGUUUUUUUCUUUCAGCUAUAGUUUUUCUUUCUUUUCUGCUAUUUUUUCUUUUCUGCAAAACUUGAUGGUCAAAGUCUGGAGUUAUAACUUAAAAAAAAGAAAUGUCGACGUGCAAUUAGUUUUUGCCAUAACAGAAGAAGUCCGGAGUUGUAAUAAGUUAUUGAAAAUAAAAAAGAGGUGCAAUGCUCGUUAAUUUGCUUCAAGCCUUUCGGAAUAGUGUAAACUGCACUGCGCAUAGCUCUGUGCAGUCUACCGUAUUCCUGAAGGCUUGAAGCUAAGCAACGUGAGCAUUGAUCCUCUUCUUCAUCGUCUCUGCACUCAGGGCUUAUAAACCGCUCCUAGUCCCUCUCACUUCGUGAGGUGGGACUAAAAAACAGCUUACGUCUGGUUCAUCCAUGAACCGGUACUAAAGGUGCUCGUGGGGCCCCAGCCUUACCUGACACAACCUCAUUAGUACCGGUUCGUGGUACGAACCGGCACUAAAUGGUGAUGGUGGGGCCAUAGCCUGACCGGAGGCUGACACAGCCUCUUUAGGUACAAAAAAUUACAAACUUUCUGUUAGUGCCCGUAGUUUUCAAACUUGAAUAGUUUAAAUUUUGAAUUAUUUGAAAUUAGUGUGAAUUUGUUUGCACAUAAAAUUUCUUCGCGUUUCAAAUGCCAAAACACAUAACUACCCUAACUAUUACAGAGAUUCCCCUCUAGGUGCGAAACACAGAAGAAAGUGAUGAUAGCUAGUGAAGCCGAUCACAUCCCAGAUCUUUGGGUGUGAAACUUUUUCUUCGCGUGUGUCCCUUUGCGUCGUAACCAUGGAAAAUCUUCAUCAUUUAACGGGAUGCUCGGGUCAAUAUUCACUGUGAAUGGAGCAAUUUCAUCAAAUUUUUUAUAAUCUUCUGACUUGUCUGUCUUGUCAUCCACUCCCACGAUGUUUCUCUUCCCAAAAAGAACUAUGUGCCGCUUUGGCUCAUCGUACAAUGCAUUCGCUUCCUUAUCUUUUCUUUUUCUUGGCUUGGUAGACAUGUCCUUCACAUAGAAAACUUGUGCCACAUCAUUGGCUAGGACGAAUGGUUCGUCUGCAUACGCAAGAUUGUUGAGAUCCACUGUUGUCAUUCCGUACUGCAGGUCUUCCAUUACCCCGCCUCGUGUCAUAUUGACCCAUUUGCACCAAAACAAAGGGACCUUUAAACCACGUCGAUAGUCAAGUUCCCAUAUGUCCUGUAUAUAACCAUAAUAUGUUUCCUUUCCCGUCUUGGUUUCUGCAUCAAAGCAGACACCACUGUUUUGGUUGGUGCUCUUCUUAUCUUGGGCGAUUGUGUAAAAUGUAUUACCAUUUAUCUCAUACCCUUUGAAAGUCAUUAUAUUCAAAGAUGGUAACUGGGACAGCAAGUACAGGUCAUCUUCAAUAGAGGUGUCAUGCAUGGUACGUGUCUGCAACCAGCUGGCGAAACUCCUGGUUUGUUCAUGUGUAAUCCAGUCAUCAGACGCUCCGGGUGUUUGGAGCGUAGAAAACUCUUGUGUUCAUCCAUAUAUGGAGCCACCAAGGCGGAAUUCUGUAGAACUGUGUAGUGUGCUUCAGUGAGAGAAUGUUCGUCCAUACAUAUUAUUUGUUCCCCUCCUAGCGUGCCUUUUCCAUCCAGUCUGCCCUUAUGCCGCGAUUCAGGAACACCAAUCGGCUUAAGGUCAGGAAUAAAGUCAAUACAAAACUCAAUGACCUCCUCAUUUUGAUGGCCCUUGGAGAUGCUUCCUUCUGGCCUAGCACGGUUAUGAACAUAUUUCUUUAAGACUCCUAUGAACCUCUCAAAGGGGAACAUAUUGUGUAGAAAUACAGGACCCAAAAUGUUCAUCUCUUCGCAUAGGUGAACUAGGACGUGUGUCAUGAUGUUGAAGAAGGAUGGUGGGAACACCAACUCGAAACUGACAAGACAUUGCACCAAAUCAUUAUGUAACCUUGGUAUGAUUUCUGGAUCGAUUACCUUCUAAGAGAUUGCAUUGAGAAAUGCACAUAGCUUCACAAUGGCUAAUCAAACGUUUUCCGGUAGAAGCCCCCUCAAUGCAACCGGAAGCAGUUGCGUCAUAAUCACGUGGCAGUCAUGAGACUUUAGGUUCUGCAACUUUUUCUCUGCCAUGUUUAUUAUUCCCUUUAUAUUCGACGAGAAGCCAAACGGUACCUUAAUACUGAGCAGGCAUUCAAAGAAGAUUUCCUUCUCUUCUUUGGUAAGAGUGUAGCUUGCAUGACCCUGAUGUAUGCCGUCUUCUGCGUGCAUACGUUGCUGGUCCUCCCGUGCCUCAGGUGUAUCUUUUGUCUUCCCAUACACGCCCAAGAAGCCAAGCAGGGUCACGCAAAGAUUCUUCGUCACGUGCAUCACGUCGAUUGCGGAGCGGACCUCUAGGUCUUUCCAAUAUGGCAGGUCCCAAAAUAUAGAUUUCUUCUUCCACAUGGGUGCGCGUCUGUCAGCGUCCUUUGGAACAGGUUGUCCGCCAGGACCCUUUCCAAAUAUCACCUUCAAAUCCUUGACCAUAUCAUGUACAUCAGCACCAGUACGGUGGAGAGGCUUCGUCCGGUGAUCCGCCUCACCUUUGAAAUGUUUUCCUUUCUUUCUUACGGGAUGCCUGCUCGGAAGAAAUCGACGAUGUCCCAGGUACACAUUCUUCUUACAACUAUUCAAAUAUAUACUGUCGGUAUCAUCCAAACAGUGCGUGCAUCCGCGGUAUCCCUUGUUUGUCUGUCCUGAAAGGUUACUGAGAGCAGGCCAAUCAUUGAUGGUCACGAACAGCAACGCCUUUAGGUCAAAUUCUUCCCCCAUGUGCUCAUCCCACGCACGUACACCUGUUCCAUUCCACAGUUGUAAGAGUUCUUCAACUAAUGGCCUUGGGUACACAUCAAUGUCGUUGCCGGGUUGCUUAGGGCCUUGGAUGAGCACUGGCAUCAUAAUGAACUUCCGCUUCAUGCACAACCAAGGAGGAAGGUUAUACAAACAUAGAGUCACAGGCCAGGUGCUAUGGUUGCUGCUCUGCUCCCCAAAAGGAUUAAUGCCAUCUGCGCUUAGACCAAACCAUACGCUCCUUGAGUCAUCUGCAAACUCCUUCCCGUAUUUUCUUUUGAUUUUUCUCCUGCGACCCGUCAGCGGGUACUCUCAACUUUCCGUCUUUUUUACGGUCUUCUCUGUGCCAUCGCAUCGCCUUGGCAUGCUCUUUGUUUUGGAACAAACGUUUCAACCGUGGUAUUAUAGGAGAAUACCACAUCACCUUGGCAGGAAUCUUCUUCCUGGGGCGCUCGCCCUCGACAUCACCAUGCUCAUUGCGGCUGAUCUUAUAGCGCAAUGCACCACAUACUUGGCAAGCGUUCAAAUCCUCGUACUCACCGCGGUAGAGGAUGCAAUCAUUAGGGCAUGCAUGUAUCUUCUGCACCUCUAACCCUAGAGGGCAGACAGCCUUCUUUGCUUCGUACGUACUCUCGGGCAAUUCGUUGUCCUUUGGAAGCAUAUCCUUUAUCAUUACCAGCAACUUUCCAAAUCCCUUGUCAGAUACACCAUUCUCUGCCUUCCAUUGCAGCAAUUCCAGUGUGGUACCCAGCUUUUUCUUGUCACCUACGCAAUUCAGGUACAACAAUUUUUUGUGAUCCUCUAACAUGCGUUGCAACUUCUUCUUCUCCAAAUCACUUGCGCAGUUUCUCUUUGCAUCGGCAAUGGCCCGACCUAGAUCAUCAACGGGCUCAUCUGAUGCCUCUUCUUCAGCUUCUUCCCGCAUUGCCGGCUCAACUUCUUCCCGCAUUACCGGCUCAGCUUCUUCCCCCAUUGUUGUAUCAUCGUAUUCAGGGAACCCAUGGCCAGGAUAGCUGUCGUCGUCCUCUUCUUCUUCAUUGUCUUCCAUCAUAACCCCUCUUUCUCCGUGCUUGGUCCAAACAUUAUAGUGGGGCAUGAAACCGGACUCAAACAGGUGGACGUGAAUGGUUCUUAACAUAGAGUAAUUGCGACCAUUCUUACAGCCAGCACAUGGACAAGGCAUAAAACCAUCUGCCCGCUUGUUUGCCUCAGCCGCAAGCAAAAAAGUAUGCACGCCCUCAACGAACUGGGGAGAGCAUCGGUCAUCGUACAUCCAUUGCCGGCUGAUCUUCAUUACACAACACCGAAUAGACCAAAUUAAUACAAGUUCAUACAUAAAGUUCAUACAAGACUUAAAUGCAACAAACAAAUAACUCUCUAGCUAAAGCAUUUAAAAUUCCAUCUUCUCCCCCUCAAUUCUUUUCAAUUUUUCUUUCAAGUACUCGUUUUCUCUUUCAACUAAAUUUAACCUCUCGACAAUAGGGUCGGUUGGAAUUUCCGGUUCACAUACCUCCUAGAUAAAAAUAUCUAUGUCAACUUGAUGGGCAUAAUUUGUCAUAAACACGACAUGCAACAAAUAGUUUUAAAAGAGAAUAUACCACAUCCGAAUCAUAACAAGGAUGAGGGCCGACGGGGACGGAUAUCAAAACCAUGGCACUAUGUAUAACAAACAACGUACGGGUAAUACAAUUAUUAUACGAGUAAAUAUAUAUCCAAAUCACACAAACAUCAAUUUUUUAUAUAAAAUUUCAUGAACAAGAGGCUCACCACAAGGUGGUGCCGGCGACGGGAUGGUGCGGGCGAUCGACGGUGGUUAUGUUGAAGAUUUAGAAGGCACUAAGUAAACCACACCUACAUAUGCAAACUAAGUGUUAUUUUGACCUCAAAUUGCAUAUAAAUCAAAUACUACCACCUAUAAUUCCUCCCAAAUUACUAAAACCCACAAUUAAUCACUAUAUAAACCAAUGCAAGAGCUAAUCUAGCAAUGAGAGAUGAAAGGACAAAGUUGCUAACCUUGGUGAUCAUUUGAAUGGAUGAGGGCCUGCAAAUCUUGACAAAUUUGGGGCAAAUUUUGUGAUGAACUCGAGAGGAAGAAGGGAAGAACAGAGGAGAGGGAGAGGGGAAAGGGGGAAGAACAGAGUGCGGGUGGACGAAGAGUUUAUAUAGGACGACCUUUAGUACCGGUUCGUGCCACGAACCGGUACUAAAGGUGCUGGAAGGGGCCCACUCUGACAACAUCCUGCCACCACUCUCAUUAGUACCGGUUCGUGGCACGAACCGGUGCUAAAGGUUUGCCACGAACCGGUACUAAAGAGCUCCUCCCGGCUAGCCGUUGGAACCGGCACUAAUGGACACAUUAGUGCCGGUUCUGUUACAAACCGGGACUAAUGUGUCCACAUUUGACCCUUUUUCUACUAGUGGAACUAGGUCAGGGGAGCUACAAGGGGCCCACGAGGGUGGGGGCACACCUACCCCCCUGGGUGUGCCCUCCUGCCUCGUGGCCUCCUUUUUGCGUCUCCGACUUCAUCUCCAAGUCUUCUAGUUUGCUUUCGGUCCAAGAAAGAUCAUCGCGAAGGUUUCAUUCCGUUUGGACUCUGUUUGGUAUUCCUUUUCUGCAAAACUCUAAAAUAGGAAAAAACACAGAAACUGACACUAGGCCCUCGGUUAAUAGGUUAGUCCCAAAAAUAAUAUAAAAGAGUAUAUUAAUGCCCAUUAAACAUCCAAAACAGAUAAUAUAAUAACAUGGAACAAUCAAAAAUUAUAGAUACGUUGGAGACGUAUCACUCCCUGCUAAACUUAUAGCAAGGCACACAUCAGGUCUGGUACAUAGCAUAACAUACAUGAUAGAACCUAUGGCUGAAGCAUAGGGAAUGACUUUCAUUUUCUCUCUAUCUUCUGCAUUGGUUGGGCAUUGAGUCUGACUCAACUUCACAACUUGUAACACAGGCAAGAACCCUUUCUUUGACUGAUCCAUUUUGAACUUCUUAAAAACUUUAUCAAGGUAUGUGCUUUGUGAAAGUCCUAUUAAGCGUCUUGAUCUAUCUCUAUAGAUAUUGAUGCCCAAUAUAUAAGCAGCUUCACCGAGGUCUUUCAUUGAAAAAAUCUUAUUGAAGUAUCCUUUUAUGCUAUUCAGAAAUUCUACAUCAUUUCCAAUCAACAACAUUUCAUCCACAUAUAAUAUUAGAAAUGUUAUAGAUCUCCCACUCACUUUCCUGUAAAUGCAUGAUUCUCCAAAAGUCUGUAUAAAACCAAUGCUUUGAUCACCUCAUCAACACUACUAGAAAAAGGGUUAUAGAUGGGAUUGACACUAAUGGCGCACCAGACAAGGGGUGCGCCAUUAGUAUAUACUAAUGGCGCACCACCUUCUGAUACGCCAUUAGAGUUGAAACCACUAAUGGCGCAUCUUAUUGAAUAGGUUUUUGAGGUCCGCGAAGGCCGAGAUGCUUCAAAAGAACGAGACGGAGAUAAGAUGUCCGUGUCGAAGAUGCAAGCUGAAGAGCGUUAUUGCGGACCCGGAUUCCGGGCAGGUGCGGGACCACCUGCUCUUGCGUGGUUUCAUGGAUGGCUAUCAGUGGCAAGGUGAUGAAGAUGACUACUAAGUCGUCCAUGGGGCCGGGCAAGAAAUGAGGAAGGGCAGCUAGACAACCACCGCGGCUCGGGCGGGCGAGAAGACGAAGAAUCCCCAGGAGAUGAUCACGGCGGUGAUGCUGUACAUAGUCAUCAUGUACAAGAUGCAGGACAUGAUGAUGAGGAAGAUGUCGAAGCAGACGACAGGCAUGAUCAUGAAGAUGAUGAUGCCGGCGGAGCAGACGACGCUGGACCAUCGAUGGGCUGGGUGCAGGACCCUCAUAUUUAAGAGCUGCUUCUCAAGAAGACGGAUAACACAAGAGCUGCCGUCCGAGAGAAAGCCAAGAUGGAUCAACUUGAGUUAGACGUGGUUACUCCAUUGUAUGAAGGAUGCAGGCCCGAGGAUACCCGCCUGAAAGUAACGCUCAUGGCUCUGGAGAUGAAGGUAAAACACAAAAUGACCGACGCAUGCUUCGACGAGAACAUGUCAUUCUGGCACGAACGCCUUCCCAAGGGGAACAAGUGCCCGACCAGUUUGGAGGAGGCGAAGAAAAUCGUGUGCCCUCUGGAUUUACCGCACGUGAAAUACCAUGUGUGCAUGAACAAUUGCAUCAUUUACCGGGACGAGCACGCGGAGUCUACCAUAUGUCCGGUGUGCGGCGUCACUCGAUACAAGAAGAGGAAGAAAGCUCCUCGAAAAGUGGUGUGGUACUUUCCGAUCACUCCUCGUCUGCAGCAGUAUUUCACGCAUCCUAAGGUAGCAAAGCUCCUGCGUUGGCACGUGGAUAGGGAGGAGAAGAAGCGAGAAGAUGACGCAAAUGAUCCGGAGAUAGAUAAAAAAGACAAGAUGCUGAGUCACCCUAAGGAUGCGAGCCAGUGGCAAGCGUUGAACUUCGAAGACCCAGAAUUUGGGAAUGAUCCAAGGAACAUCAUGCUGGGCGCGAGCACCGAUGGGGUCAAUCCGUUUGGCAGCCAGAGAAGCACACAUAGCACCUGGCCUGUGUUUGUGUGGAUGUACAACCUUCCCCCCUGGUUGUGCAUGAAGAGGAAGUACAUUCACAUGAGUAUGCUAAUUGAAGGGCCGAAACAACUAGGGAAUGACAUCAAUCUGUAUCUGGGGCUGCUGAAAGAGGAGCUUGACACGCUGUGGAAAACGCCAGCCAAUACGUGGGACGCCAGCCAAUACGUGGAGGAAACACAAGGAUCUGUUCGAUGGUGAAACCGAACCCCGAAAACGCCCGUGUACGAGGAGCGGCGAGGAAAUAGACAAGCUGUUGAAAAAUUGGAAAGACUGCCCACUGCCGGGAAAGAAGCAAAAGGCGCCAGAGCCGGGAAAGAAGCGAAAGGCGCCAGAGCUGCUGCUGAAGGUAUGGAAAACGAGGUCUGUUUUCUGGGACUUGCUGUACUGGAAGAUCCACCGUGUGCCUCACAGCCUUGAUGUCAUGCAUAUCACGAAGAACGUGUGCGAGAGUCUGCUUGGUACCCUGCUCAACAUGCCAGAGAGGACCAAAGAUGGGCCGAAAGCAAGGGCAGACUUGAAAUCAAUGGGCAUCAGGCAGGAGCUUCACGCUAAUGAUGAUGAUGAUGAUGAUGAUGAUGAUGAUGAUGAGGCGAAGAAGGACACAGAAAGUCGUCGCAAAGGCAAAAAGGCCAAGAAGACUGGAAAUGACUACCCUCCCGCGUGCUUCACUCUAAGUCAGGAGGAGAUCGAGCAGUUUUUCACCUGCCUCCUAGGAGUAAAACUUCCUUACGGUUACGCGGGGAAGAUAAGCAGAUACCUAGACCCAGCGAAGCAGAAGUUUAGCGGGAUGAAGUCUCACGACUGUCACGUGCUGAUGACGCAGAUACUUCCAGUUGCAAUCCGUGGGAUCAUGGACGCGCACGUCCGUGAAAUGCUAUUUGUCCUAUGCAACUUUUUCGACGUCAUCUCUCGGAAGUCGAUUGGCGUGAGGCAACUCAGAAGGCUACAGGAAGAGAUCGUGGUGAUACUAUGCGAGCUUGAGAUGUACUUCCCGUCCGCAUUCUUCGACGUUAUGGUGCAUCUGCUGGUCCAUAUCAUGGAGGAUAUCAUCCAACUCGGGCCGACGUUCCUGCACAGCAUGAUGCCGUUCGAAAGGAUGAAUGGUGUCAUCAAAGGAUACGUUUGGAACAUGUCACGUCCAGAGGGAAGUAUAGCCAGGGGCUUUCUGACCGAAGAGUGCAUCUCCUACUGCACGAAUUAUCUAGGCAUCGAGAACCCGUUGGUCUGCCCGUCAACAGGCACCUCAGCAGGCUCGCUGGAUGGGGUCACCGUGAGGGUCGCAGCGAAAUGCAUGUCGACUUCGAGGGUCGACUCGCCGACUUUGAAAGAGCAAACCUAGUCACGCUACAACACAUAGACGUGGUCGAUCCUUGGGUGGUAGAGCACAAAACCUUUAUUGAGAAGACGUACAAUGACCGAGGCCAACAGAGGACGGACGGAGAUAUACUCAAAGAGCACAACUCAUGUUUCACGCGUUGGUUCAAGCAGAAGCUUCUGUCGUACCCUUUACAUGAAGAUUCUUCCGUGGAAGAACAACUCAUAUUCACCUUGUCACAGGGCGCCAAGCACAACUUGAUGACCUAUGAGGCGUACGAUAUCAACGGCUACACAUUCUACAACGAGGACAAGGACAUGAAGAGCGAUGGUUAUCAGAACUCCGGGGUAACGAUGGAAUCCUACACCGGUAAGGACAAGGACAGAUACUACGGAAGGAUCGAGGAGAUCUGGGAGCUGAGCUACGCUGGAGAGAAGGUGCCUAUGUUCCGUGUCAGAUGGGCCAAGAGCGUCCUAAAAGAAGACUGAUAUUUCACCACUAAGCCAAAUCCAAGACCGCGGGCGCAAACGUCACCGCGAAAAAUGAGCCAUGGGUACUGGCUUCCCAAGUGGACCAAUGCUUCUUCAUUACCGACCCGCCAAAGCCCAGUCGUGUUGUCGUGAGGAGAGGCAAAAGGAAGAUCAUCGGAAUGGAUGGAGUAGCCAAUGAGCAAGACUUCGACAAGUACGGAGACCCGAGGAUCUAACAUGACGACGAUGAUGAAGUAGCAGCAUACACCACAAGAAGAAGCAGGACCACCCUACCUAAAGGACGUCCGUUCCACAGAAGAACUCCAUUUGCGAAAAAGAAGGGCAAGAAGAUUGUGAACAGAUAGCUAGCUAAGAUCGAUUGUAUUUAAAUCGUAGCCUUCAUUUCUCGAUUGUAUUUCAUGGGAACUUUUUGAACUAUCAUGAAUAUUUUUAAAUUUCAUGGACACUCGAUCUCGAUCCCCCUCCAUCUCGAUCGCUAUCCCACCUUGCCAGAUCCGGUCCCCCUCGCCGCCGAGCACCCCCCGGUCCACCGGCCGCCGCCGCCGACCCCUCGCACCCUCGAUUCCCCUACUCAACCGCCGCCGCUGACCCCCCGCACACCCCUCCCNNNNNNNNNNNNNNNNNNNNNNNNNNNNNNNNNNNNNNNNNNNNNNNNNNNNNNNNNNNNNNNNNNNNNNNNNNNNNNNNNNNNNNNNNNNNNNNNNNNNNNNNNNNNNNNNNNNNNNNNNNNNNNNNNNNNNNNNNNNNNNNNNNNNNNNNNNNNNNNNNNNNNNNNNNNNNNNNNNNNNNNNNNNNNNNNNNNNNNNNNNNNNNNNNNNNNNNNNNNNNNNNNNNNNNNNNNNNNNNNNNNNNNNNNNNNNNNNNNNNNNNNNNNNNNNNNNNNNNNNNNNNNNNNNNNNNNNNNNNNNNNNNNNNNNNNNNNNNNNNNNNNNNNNNNNNNNNNNNNNNNNNNNNNNNNNNNNNNNNNNNNNNNNNNNNNNNNNNNNNNNNNNNNNNNNNNNNNNNNNNNNNNNNNNNNNNNNNNNNNNNNNNNNNNNNNNNNNNNNNNNNNNNNNNNNNNNNNNNNNNNNNNNNNNNNNNNNNNNNNNNNNNNNNNNNNNNNNNNNNNNNNNNNNNNNNNNNNNNNNNNNNNNNNNNNNNNNNNNNNNNNNNNNNNNNNNNNNNNNNNNNNNNNNNNNNNNNNNNNNNNNNNNNNNNNNNNNNNNNNNNNNNNNNNNNNNNNNNNNNNNNNNNNNNNNNNNNNNNNNNNNNNNNNNNNNNNNNNNNNNNNNNNNNNNNNNNNNNNNNNNNNNNNNNNNNNNNNNNNNNNNNNNNNNNNNNNNNNNNNNNNNNNNNNNNNNNNNNNNNNNNNNNNNNNNNNNNNNNNNNNNNNNNNNNNNNNNNNNNNNNNNNNNNNNNNNNNNNNNNNNNNNNNNNNNNNNNNNNNNNNNNNNNNNNNNNNNNNNNNNNNNNNNNNNNNNNNNNNNNNNNNNNNNNNNNNNNNNNNNNNNNNNNNNNNNNNNNNNNNNNNNNNNNNNNNNNNNNNNNNNNNNNNNNNNNNNNNNNNNNNNNNNNNNNNNNNNNNNNNNNNNNNNNNNNNNNNNNNNNNNNNNNNNNNNNNNNNNNNNNNNNNNNNNNNNNNNNNNNNNNNNNNNNNNCUCCUCCUCUCCCCUCUCCCCCUCGCUGUUCAAAUCUGUUCAAAUGGCAUAAUUUACUUGCUGAUAGAUAGUAUAAAUCUGUUCAUUGUGAAGAAAUGUGUGACAGUUUCACUAACUUAAUUUCAUUCUGAAGAAAUUUGCGCCUAGAAUUUCUUUUUGUUACAAUGCUGCUUGUUGAAUGGAGUGAUGGCAUCAAAUUGAAACAUGGAUAGAAAAAAAUUGGCAACGCCGUAUGCAGAAAUGUAAAUUGUUGCUUCUGUUCUGCGUAUUUAUAUUAUGCUAGAAUAACUGAUUUGUGGUGACAGUGCUGCCUGCUGUAUGGAAUAAUGACAUUAUACCGAAAUAUUUAUAGUAUAAUUUGGCAGUGCCAUAUGCAUUUUCAUAUUAUCAUGCGAGAAUAACUGGUUUGAGGCUAUUUUGUUUGUGUGAUCACAUUGUGGUGCCUACUGCACGAAUUAUCUUGGAAUUAUUUGAAGAUGUGUGGUGUUAACCUAUCGGUAAUAAUUAUGUGUUAGUGUGAGUUUAUUCUUCCUGUGAGCAUUCUAAUUUUAUUUCUCUGGAUUCAAGCAAUGGGUUUGGACUUGCAAGAUUCAGUUCACAAGUACUUGUGGGCUUUGGCUUUUAGCCUAAUGAGGUCUCUUACUUGUGACAGUUCAGUUGUUAGUGUAAUAUGUUAGAAACUGCUACUAUGUCUCUAGAAGAAUCAUCACUCUUUACACACUUAUUAGAAACCCGUUUAUUUCAUCUGGUGAGACUUGUCUGUCUUCAGGCUCAGCUGCCGCAGGGCUGUUAGACAUGAGCAGCCGCCAAUUAAUUCUGCUCCUGGUGUUCCCCACUUGCAGUUAAUAAGAAAGUAUUUUGGUUUUGCAAGAUUCUGUGUUUUACUACUAGCACAAUUAUGCAUUGUCUUGUGUCUGCUCAGAACACGAAUGACCUUCCUUUAAUUGGCACACCCUCUGUUCCUAAAUAUGAGAUGUUUUCACAGUUCAACUAAACUGUCAAAACGUCUUACAUUUAAAAAUAGAGGUAGUACUUGCUAAGUUACUACACCCUCCAUUCCAAAAUACUUGUCUUGGUUUUAAUUCAGAUUUGAACUAAAACAAUAAAAGCAAGCAGAACUCUAAUACACAGCAAAGUUAUUCUGAUCCAGUAUUGCUUGUAGUGGUUUGUCCAAAAUGUUGAAUGAUACUGCUUGGAGAUGCAUAUAUUGUUUCACCUCUUCACAUGCCAAUGUAUUUUCCAUGUUGUGAUGAAGGCAUUUUUUGCCUUGUCCACCCGAGAGGCCCUUGAGUUUGCUGAAAUGUCGAUUAACUUCCGUUCCAGCAAAUUCGGGUACUCCAUAUGUCCUAUUUUCAGCAAAGGUCAUGCUGAAAUUUUCCGUGAAUUUUAGCAUGACUUUGCUAAAAAUAGGACAUAUGGGGUACUUGUGACUAAUGCAUGGGCCGGGGUACUUGUGACUAAUGAUGAAAGCUUAGGCUUUUAGGGUGCCUCGGCGUCGAAAAACCCUCAAUGAUAAAAGCUUAGCUUUUAGGAUGCCUCGGUGUCGACAAACCCUAAAUGAUGAGACCAUGAUCUUGUUCCUUGACAAUAACCAACUUUGUUCCUAUUUAGAGAUAAACAUGGCCAACAACGAUGAGGCCGGGGGUUCGGGCGGCAAGGCAUUCUGGAAGCUGUCCCAGGAGAUGGAGGAACAACCUCACUUGUAUGAGGACGCCGCCUUCCCCACCGAUCCUAGGACCACUGAUGGUACCGCCGAGGAUGACCCCACUGAUGCCACCACUGAUGGUGCCGUCGAGGAUGCCACCACUGAUGAUGGCGGCGCACGCAUAGAUGGCAGCCAACCGAAGAGGCAACGGAAGGACCGGCGCCCGACCGUGCUCCGCACCCUCAAGGAGGAAGUUACUGAAGUGGACUCCGACGGGAAUCCAACGGCGCCCGAACGAAUAGUCAAGGGGUACUCGCUUCAGCUCGGGUGCAUUCUCCGGAGCACCGUCUCGAUCAACACCGAGAACCUGAGGCAUCCUGACUGAGGGAAUUUGCGCAACCUCCUCUUCACGAAGCUGCACGAACGAUACAAGUUCCCCGCUGAAUUUGAAAACAGAAGCCUCAAAGGGAAUAAAGUGAACAAUGUUGCCCUCGUGAAGAUGAGCAAGGCCCUGUCUACUUGGAAAAGCAAUGUGAAGAGAAUGAUCGAGAAAGGUGAGAGUUAUGAGAAGAUCAAGGAGAAAAAUCCUUCGAUCACCGAAGAUGACUACAACGACUUCAAGAUCAAUUGCUCGAGCACCGCAAACUCCGAAUCAAGUCAGUGGGGGAAAGAAAUGCGGGAGUUGAACUUAGGGGAACACAAACUCGGUCCCGGCGGUUACAGAGUGGCAGAGCCUAUAUGGGACAAGGAGGACGCGGAGCGUGCCGAGCAAGGCCUACCGCCCCGCUUCGAGAAAUACAGCGGUAACAAGCAGACCAGGAACUAUGUCAGGGCCCGGUACAAGGAGGACCCGGUAACAAAGGAGCUUACCACGGAUCUAAAGACCAGGGCGCUUGAGCUUGUUCUGGUAAGGAAUACACCCCCGUGUAAUUAGCUCCAUAUGGUUGCAUUCUAAUUAAUGAAGCCAAAUUUCUAAAUGGUUCACAUUCCUUCCGCAGGCGACUGAAAGCAGUAGCAUGGGGUCGACUAAGAGCAACCCUUGGGACACCACUCUAAAUAGGGCGUUGAAUGUAAUGAAGAACAAGGAUAAGCUCAGUAAGCCGACGUCAGCUGGUCGUGUGGCCGGCAAAGGCUUGUCCACAAAAUGGGGGUCAUACUAUACCGCUGCUGUGCGAAAGGAGAAAAAGACCAGCUCGGAAAGCCAGGCGCGCGAGGUUCAAGAACUCAAGGCACAGGUGGCGCGGAUUCCGGAGAAUGUCCAAGAGCAAGUGCAACAACAACUCGGAGCGACGAUCACCGCCAUUGUGCCUACCUUGAUCCAGGGGUUGAGUGCGUGGAUUGCGGGCGGCCAACAGGGGCCACCCCGAUUCCUAGCUUCACGGCCAGCAACUCGCAGAAUGCGAUGGCGGGGCCAUUGGUGUCUCCGGGGAGGCGGCAUUGGUGUCUCCGACGCCGGCACGGGAGCUUAAUGCACCCGGGUGUACGCCGGCCGGCACCUCUGCAGCAAGCGGCCCCUCCGUCAACUGCACGCCCGCCGUUGGCGGUGCCUCGACAUUAGCCGAGCUCGACGCCAUCAUCACGGUAACUAAUUAAGCCUCUCUCGGUCGAGGACUUCAUCUCCUUGCCUUUGACUGGGCAUCCCUGACGCCCUACAUGUUUUCGCAGGGUGCCGCCGAUGUUCCAUGCACUCUCCUGCACUUCGUGAACAACGAGUUGGUCGAUGUCGCCAAGGGCAAAAUCGUUCAACCGGGCAACCCCUUGUUCCACGGUACCCAGAUGCCACCCAACUUGUUUAGGGUUGAACUGGUUCGGAUGCUGCCAGGCUGCGACGAGUUGUUACCUCCGAUUUGACCCGUCGGGGCCGACGAUGAUGACGUGAUGACCCUCAGCGCCUGCCUGAGCUGGCCCCUGCUUUGGCCGAAGAGCCAGAUUCGUUUGGGGGCGGGGGACACCACCCCAAAGACAACACCGCCAGUCGUGCCGGCGCCAAGUCGGCCCCAUGGCAAGACCGCCGCAAUGGUGCCGGACAUCCCUAUGCCACUGGAUCCAAACAUGCAUAUGGCACAGGAUCAGAACAACGACGACGACGAUACAUUUGGCAACGUCGAUCAGUACUUUGCCGAACAUGGGUAUGAUGGCGACUUCAUGGGGCCUCCUUCUCAAGAACCCAACCCAACAAAAGACGUGCGCGAUCUAGCUGGUACCGCGGAGAAGCCAAGUUGCAACAGGCGUCGUCUGCCGUUCAGCUCUCAGGAGACGCCUCUAGCUGCCGACUUCACCGAGCCUCAGAUAGGUGAGGUGCGAAAUAUUAUCAGCCCAAACACACUCAAGAAGGCGGUCUGUGAGCAGAACUCGGUCCCAUUACAGGAGAAGAAGAAGGCACGCAAAAGAAAGACUAACAAGGGUGCGAGCCAGCCGGCACCAAGUACGAUCCGUGCUUAGGACGGGCCACCUUCACCUGAGGAUAUCUCGAGGAGGGUGCAUGUGGCGGGUAGGGCGAUGCUACCGACAAAUAUGCUCAAUGCUGCAACCGGUGCUAUGCGGAGUCUACAUGACAGGGUUCUUUCUUUGGAGAAGCGGCGUCUCAGAGAGAAGGAUGUGGCAUACCCGGUUUUUGCGGCCAAGGUGCCAGAGGGCAAGGGCUUUGUGGAUAACUCCAUCGGGCAUACGAUCGUCCUGCGGUUUGAUGACAUCCACGCUAUGAUGAACCUUCAUCCGCUGCACUACACCUUCGUUCGGCUAUUUUCGCUGAGUAUGGAGAUGCGGAUCAUUUGCGACAAGACCCCGGACAUCGUGAUAGUCGACCCCUUCUACAUGCGUGCCAAGAUCUUGGGCAGCGCUGGGGACCGGCAAGUCGCGAGUUCUUACCUCGAAGGCGUCAUUCUGGCAAACCAAGAUAAGGAUAACUUCCUCGUGCCUUACUUUCCUGAGUAAGUCCUCCCCUCAACCGGCCCGUAACAUAUGAAUUCUUAGAUUUCGAUCGUUUUUCUUUUAACAUUCCGUGUUUUCUGCAGUGACACACAUUGACGCUCAUCCUCCUAAGCCCCAAAUAUUCCAUGGCCACGUAUUUCGACCCGGACCGUCAGUCGAACGUAGACUACACAAAUGUCAAGAAGGUUCUUGAUGAUGUUCUCCCCGGCUACGCCAAAUCUGGAGGCACCUUCACCAGGCCUAUUCGUAAGUACGGCAAGCACGUGUUCUCCCACAAUACGACGUUCUGCUGCGUCAAGCAGCCGCCUGGCGGUCAGAAGGGUGCCUACUACGCCAUCCAUCACAUGCGGGCGAUCGUACGGGACCAUCAUCAACUUCUGCUACCGAGUAAACUCAAAGAUUGGGCCGCGAGCGUGUCGGCAAUCCAGGACGCGGACAUCAGACAAGAAUUCUUUCGCAUCCAGUCGGAGUUUGCGGAAAUCAUCCAUCAAGAUGUCCUUCAUACCUCGGGGCAGUUCUACCUCAGAAAUCAACCGUCCAACAGUGACAUCGACACAAUGCUACAAAUGCAGGCUGACAACGCCCGUUCUUUCAUGACUCCCAUGAUAGACGGCGGCUUCAUCCACGCUCCGGUCCCUUGAGUCGAGUCGAAAGCAGUGAUGCUGUGUCUAGUUCUGAAACAUCGAUUGGCUCAUGUUGUAAUUAAACUUUAAUGAACUUGUAGUAUGUCUCUUUGGUUUCGGGAGUCGUUCAACUUAGAUGUAAUCGAUGCUAUUAAUGUCUUGCUUUUCUCUUCCGAUUGUUCUGUUGCAUACUUAUAUAUUGCUUAUGUAUUGUCUGUGAAUUGGUACUAACGUUUCAUUUGGCUAGUGCAUAGCGAUGCUGUCGUAUGUCGUGUACAAGGGUAAGGUUCCCGGAGUCUACGACGACUGGGAGGAGUGUCGGAGACAGGUUCAUCGAUUCAGCGGUAACAGUUACAAAGGGUACACCACUAGGGCCGAGGCCGAAUCUAGAUACGCCCGCUAUCUAGCGGGAGAGGGGAGGGAGCGUUGGAGGAACCGGAUGAAGACGAGUUUCAUCAUGAUGAUGCUCAUCGUGAUGACCGCAGCUCUCUUCUAUGUGAUGGUAGUUUAGAUGAUCGAUAUCGACUUGUAAUGUGAAGACAAACUCGCUACUCGCGGUCUCGAGACUUGUAAUAUAAUGUUCUAUCUUUGUUCGGUCUUUUCAAUUCGGAGACUAAUAUGAUGAAUUGUAUUCAGAGACUAAUAUGAUGAAUUGUAUUCAGAGACUAAUCUUCUAUUGUAUUCGAUGAAUCUGUUGUUGAUGUGUGUUGUCUAUAUUUUGUCCAAUUAUACAUUUUAUAACCUGUGCAAAAAACAGAAAAUUAAAAAAAUAAAAAAAAAACCUAAUAUUCAUACUAAUGGCGCAUCACAUCACAGUGCGCCAUUAGUAUGCCAAAGGAUACUAAUGGCGCAUCAUUAAACAGUGCGCCAUUAGUAUGCCGAAGUUACUAAUGGCGCAUCUUGUUGUUGUGCGCCAUUAGUAUGCCAAAGCACCUGGGUAUACAUGGCCCCCUGGGAGGCAUACUAAUGGCGCACUGUUGUAUAUACUAAUGGCGCAUCCAGUGGUGCGCCAUUAGUAUACCAGAUACUAAUGGCGCACCAGUGGUGCGCCAUUAGUAAAAUAUACUAAUGGCGUGGCACUAAUGGCGCACCACUAAUGCGCCAUUAAUGGCCAAAUUAGGUGCGCCAUUAGUAGGCCUUUUCCUAGUAGUGCAAAGUGUAUAUUCCAACUCUGAGAUGCUUGCACCAGUCCAUAAAUGGAUCGCUGGAGCUUGCACACUUUGUUAGCACCUUUAGGAUCGACAAAUCCUUCUAGUUGCAUCAUAUACAACUCUUAUUUAAGAAAUCCAUUAAGGAAUGCAGUUUUCGCAUCCAUUUGCCAGAUUUCAUAAUCAUAAAAUGCCGAAAUUGCUAACAUGAUUCGGACAGACUUAAGCAUCGCUACGGGUGAGAAACUCUCGUCGUAGUCAACUCCUUGAACUUGUCGAAAACCUAUUGCGACAAGUCGAGCUUUAUAGACAGUAACAUUACCAUCAGCGUCAGUCUUCUUCUUGAAGAUCCAUUUCUUCUCUAUGGGCCGCCGAUCAUCGGGCAGAUCCACCAAAGUCCACACUUUGUUCUCAUACAUGGAUCCUAUCUCAGAUUUCAUGGACUCAAGCCAUUUAUCGGAAUCUGGGCUUAUCGUAGCUUCUUCAUAGUUCGUAGGUUCAUCAUGGUCAAGUAACAUGACUUCUAGAACAGGAUUACCGUACCACUCUGGUGAGGAUCGUGCUCUGUUUGACCUAUGAGGUUCUGUAGCAACUUGAUCUGUAGUUUCAUGAUCUUCAUCAUUAGCUUCUUCUCCAGUUGGUGUAGGCAUCACGGGAACAGAUUUCUCGGAUGAGCUACCUUCCAAAUUGAGAGCAGGUACAAUUACCUCAUCAAGUUCUACUUUCUUCCCACUCACUUCUUUCGAGAGAAACUCCUUCUCUAGAAAGGUUCUGUUCUUAGCAACAAAGAUUUUGCCUUCGGACUUGUGCUAGAAGGUUUACCCAAUUGUUUCCUUAGGGUAUCCUAUGAAGACGCACUUCUCCGAUUUGGGUUCGAGAUUAUCAGGUUGAAGCCUUUUGACAUAAACAUCGCAUACCCAAACUUUAAGAAACAACAACUUAGGUUUGUUGCCAAACCACAGUUCAUGCGGACUUAGACGGUGCCCUGUUUAACGUGAAUGCAGAUGUCUCUAAUGCAUAACCACAAAACAAUAGUGGUAAAUCGGUAAGAGACAUCAUAGAUCGCACCAUAUCCAAUAAAGUGCGGUUACGAUGUUUGGAGACACCAUUACGCUGUGGUGUUCCAGGUGGCGUGAGCAGUGAAACUAUUCCACAUUGGUUUAAAUGAAGGCCAAACUCGUAACUCAAAUAUUAUCCUCCACGAUCACAUCGUAGAAACUUUAUUUUCUUGUUAUGAUGAUUCUCCACUUCACUCUAAAAUUGUCUGAACUUUUCAAAUGUUUCAUACUUGUGUUUCAUUAAGUAAAUAUACCCAUAUCUACUCAAAUCAUCUGUGAAGGUUAGAAAAUAAUGAUACCCGCCACGAGCAUCAACACUCAUUGGACCGCAUAUAUCGGUAUGUAUUAUUUCUAAUAAGUCAUUAGCUCAUUCCAUUGUUCCAGAGAACGGAGUUUUAAUCAUAUUGCCCAUAAGGCAUGGUUCGCAAGUAUCAAAUGAUUCAUAAUCAAGUGAUUCCUAAAGUCCAUCUUUAUGGAGUUUCUUCAUGUGCUUUACACUGAUAUGACCCAAACGGCAGUGCCACAAAUAAGUUGUACUAUCAUUAUCAACUUUGCAUCUUUUGGCAUUGAUAUUAUGAAUGUGUAUCAUCACGAUCAAGAUUCGCCAGAAAUAGACCACUCUUCAAGGGUGCAUGACCAUAAGAGAUAUUACUCAUAUAAAUAGAACAACCAUUAUUCUCUGAUUUAAAUGAAUAACCGUCUCGCACUAAACAAGAUCCAGAUAUAAUGUUCAUGUUCAAUGAUGGCACCAAAUAACAAUUAUUCAGGUCUAAAACUAAUCCUGAAGGUAGAUGUAGAGGUAGCGCGCCGACAGCGAUUACAUCGGCCUUGGAACCAUUUCCGACGUGCAUCAUCACCUCGUCCUUAGCAAAUCUUUGUUUAAUCCAUAGUCCCUGCUUCGAGUUACAAAUAUGAGCAACCCGAACUGGUAUCAAAUACCCAGGCACUACUACAAGAAUUAGUAAGGUACACAUCAAUAACAUGUAUAUCAAAUAUACCUUUGUUCACUUUGCCAUCCUUCUUAUCCGCCAAAUACUUGGGGCAGUUCCAUUUCCAGUGACCAGUCCCUUUGCAGUAGAAGCACUCAGUUUCAGGCUUGGGUCCAGCUUUGGGUUUCUUCCCAGGAGUGAAAACUUACUUGUCAUUCUUCUUGAAGUUCCCCUUCUUUUUACCCUUGCCCUUCUUGAAACUAGUGGUCUUGUUAACCAUCAACACUUGAUACUCCUUCUUGAUUUUUACCUCAACGGCCUUUAGCAUCGUGAAGAGCUCGGGAAUAGUCUUUUCCAUCCCUUGCAUAUUGUAAUUCAUCACGAAGCCUUUGUAGCUUGGUGGCAGUGAUUGAAGAACUCUGUCAAUGACACAAUCAUCUGGAAGAUUAACUCCCAGCUGAGUCAAGUGAUUAUGGUACCCAGACAUUUUGACUAUGUGUUCACUAACAGAAUUGUUCUCCUCCAUCUUGCAGCUAUAGAACUUGUUGGAGACUUCAUAUCUCUCAACUCGGGCAUUUGCUUGAAAUAUUAACUUCAACUCCUGGAACAUCUCAUAUGGUCCAUGACGUUCAAAACGUCUUUGAAAUCCUGAUUCAAAGUCGUAAAGCAUGGCACACUGAACUAAGGAGUAGUCAUCAACACGCAACUGCCAGACAUUCACAAUGUCUGGAGUUGCUGGGGCAGGUGGUACACCUAGCGGUGCAUCAAGGACAUAAUUCUUCUGUGCGGCAAUGAGGAUAAUCCUCAAGUUACGGACCUAGUCUGUGUAGUUGCUACCAUCAUCUUUCAACUUAGCUUUCUCUAGGAACGCAUUCAAAUUCAAGGGAAUGGUAGCACGGGCCAUUGAUCUACAACAUAGAUAUGCAAAAAACUAUCAAGAGUAAGUUCAUGCUAAAUUAAGUUCAAUUAAUCAUAUUACUUAAGAACUCCCACUUAGAUAGACACCCCUCAAGUCAUCUAAAUGAUACGUGAUCCAAAUCAACUAAACCAUGUCCGAUCAUCAUGUUAGAUGGAGUAGUCAUCAAUGGUGAACAUCUCUAUGUUAAUCAUAUCCACUAUAUGAUUCACGUUCGACCUUUCGGUCUCCAGUGUUCUCAGGCUAUAUCUCUAUAUGCUAGGAUCGUCAAUUUUAACCCGAGUAUUCCGCAUGUGCAAAACUGGCUUGCACACGUUGUAUUUGAACAUAGAGCAUAUCACACCCGAUCAUCACGUGGUGUCUCGGCUUGAAUAACUUUCACAACAGUGCAUACUCGGGGAGAACACUUAUACCUUGAAAUUUUAGUAAGAGAUCAUCUUAUAAUGCUAUUGCCGUACUAAGCAAAAUAAGAUGCAUAAAGAUAAACAUCACAUGCAAUCAAAAUAUGUGACAUGAUAUGGCCAUCAUCAUCUUGUGCUUUUGAUCUCCAUCACCAAAGCAACGUCAUGAUCUCCAUCAUCACUAGCUUGACACCUUGAUCUUCGUCGUAGUGUCAUGGCUGUCUCGCCAACUAUUGCUUCUACUACUAUCGCUACCGCUUAGUGAUAAAGUAAAGAAAUUACAUGGCAUUUGUAUUUCAUACAAUAAAGCGACAACCAUAUGGCUCCUGCCAACUGCCGAUAACUUUUACAAAACAUGAUCAUCUCAUACAACAACUUUAUAUCACAUCAUGUCUUGACCAUAUCAUAUCACAACAUGCCCUUCAAAACAAGAUAGACAUCCUCUACUUUGUUUGUUGCAAGUUUUACAUGGCUGCUACGGGCUUCUAGCAUGAACCGUACAUGCCUACGGCACAAAAACCACAACGAUGAUUUAUCAAGUUUGCUGCUUUAACCUUCACAAGGACCGACUGUAGUCAAAUUCGAUUAAACUAAAGUUGGAGAAACAGAUAUCUGCCAGCCACCUUUAUGCAAAACUAGUUGCAUGUCUGUAGGUGGAACCAGUCUCAUGAACGCGGUCAUGUAAGGUUGGUCAGGGCCACUUCAUCCAACAAUACCGCCGAAUCAAAAUAAGAUGUUGGUGGUAAGGAGUAUGAUGAUCACCGCCCACGACUCUUUGUGUUCUACUCAUGCAUAUCAUCUACGCAUAGACCUGGCUCUGAUACUACUGUUGAGGAACAUAGCAUGCAAUUUCAAAAAAAAUCCUACGCUCACGCAAGAUCCAUCUAGGAGAUGCAUAGCAACGAGAUGGGGAGAGUGUGUCCACAUACCCGCAUAGACUGAAAGCAGAAGUGUUAACUUAACAUGGUUGAUGUAUUCAAACGUCUUCUCGAAUCAACGGAUCAAGUACCGAACGUACGGCACUUUUGAGUUCUGCACAAGUUCAACUCGAUGACGUCCCUCAAACUCUUGAUCCAGUAGAGGUACGAAGGAUUAGAUGAGUUCCGUCAGCAUGGUGGCAUGGUGAUGUGAUCUGCGCAAGGCUUCGCCUAAGCACUACGAUAAUAUGACCGAAGGAGUAAAUGGUGGAGAGGGGCACCACACAUGGCUAAGAAACAAUUGAUGUUGUUCCUAGCGGUGCCCCCGCCCCCGUAUAUAAAAGAGGAGAGGGGAGGAGGCCGGCCCUAGGGCGCGCGCCAUGGGGGGGAGGGUCCUACUAGGACUCCAAGUCCUAGUCGCCCCCUUCCUUCUAACGGAGGGGGAAAAGGGAAAGAGAGGGAGAGGGAGAGGGAGAGGGGGGCCGCGCCCCCUCCCCUAGUCCAAUUCAGACUCCCCAUGGGGAGCACACGCCACCUCCUCAUGGUCUGCCUCUCCUCUUCCCUAUGGCCCAUUAAGGCCCAUUACUUCCCCAGGGGGUUCCGGUAACCCCUCGGUACUCCGAUAUUUAUCCAAAAUACCCGGGAACCAUUCCGGUGUCCGAAUAUAACCUUCCAAUAUAUCAAUCUUUACCUCUCGACCAUUUCGAGACUCCUCAUCAUGUCCGCGAUCUCAUCCGGGACUCUGAACUACCUUCAGUCACCAAAACACAUAAAUCAUAUAAUAAAUAUCGUCAUCGAACGUUAAGCGUCCGGACCCUACGGGUUCGAGAACUAUGUAGACAUGACCGAGAUACCUCUUCGGUAUAUAACCAAAAGAGGAACUUGGAUGCUCAUAUUGGUUCCCACAUAUUCUAUGAAGAUCUUUAUCGGUCGAACCGCAAUGUCAACAUACGGUAUUCCCUUUGUCAUCGAUAUGUUACUUGCCGGAGAUUCCAUCGUCGGUAUCUUCAUACCUAGUUCAAUCUCGUUACCGGCAAGUCCCUUUACUCGUUCCAUAGUGCACCAUCCCGUAACUAACUCAUUAGUCACAUUGCUUGCAAGGCUUCAUAUGAUGUGCAUUACCGAGAGGGCCGAGAGAUACCUCUCCGAUACUCGGAGUGAUAAAUCCUAAUCUCGAUCUAUGUCAACCCAACAAACACCUUCGGAUAUACUUGUGGAGCAUCUUUAUAAUAACCUAGUUAUGUUGUGACGUUUGAUAGCACACAAGGCAUUCCUCCGGUGUCCGGGAGUUGCAUAAUCUCAUAGUCGGAGGAAUAUAUGUUUGACAUGAAGAAAGCAGUAGCAAUAAAACUGAAUGAUCAUAAUGCUAAGCUAACGGAUGGGUAUUUUCCAUCACAUCAUUCUACUAAUGAUGUGAUCUCGUUUAUCAAAUGACAACUUAUGUCCAUGGCUAGGAAACUUAACCAUCUUUGAUCAACGAGCUAGUCUACUAGAGGCAUACUAGGGAAAUGAUAUUUUGUCUAUGUAUUCACACAUGUAUCAAGUUUCCGGUUAAUACAAUUCUAUCAUGAAUAAUAAACAUUUAUCAUGAAUAAGGAAAUAUAAAUAAAACUUUAUUAUUGCCUCUAGGGCAUAUUUCCUUCAAUAUCAUACGGUCCUGCAUUUUACUCGCCAAGAAGCCUCUCCACGUGGUCCACAGAGUAUAUGACCUCCUCCAUCGUUUGCCAAGAAAUAGGGGCAUACAUCAUGUCCACUAUCGUAUGAGUUUGUUUGGAAACAAACAAGUAAGUUGUCCAAAUUAUAUUAAUUACAACGACUAAUGUAAAGGUUACUCAAAAUUAUCAUGUAUGGUUACAAAAAACAUGCAUGGGUGAAGGACUGGAGGAUUGUGCAAACGAAACAAGAAUCCAAGAGCUUUUUCGCCAAGAAUAUACAUAUUAAUCUAUAUCCCCAUAUUAAAUAUGUAUUCCUGGUUCAAUCCACUCUAACCAGGGUAACCAAAAAAGUUUGAUCUUUCUCAUUUAUAAUUAAAACCAUGAAGUUAAAUCCCUCUCGUGUCUUGAUACGGGCAUCAACUAUGACAUCUUGAUGUAGGGGAAUGUGCAUCAUAUCCAAGACUUCAGGCCUUGCAAAGCAAGGGAUGUUCUAAGGAAAACAAAGAUCAGACAUAUGUUGGGCAUAGCUAAGAAGAACUCAGCCGCAACAAUUUAUGAAAAAAUGAACCUCAAAACAUAUCUCUAUCGUCCAAACUCCUCUCCACACAAAAGUGAGAAUUAAUUGUCCUUGAUCCACCUAUACCCUAGUGUCGAACCACAUUGUCGCACCUUCGAACCUGGUUCAUGCCACUAUUUGGGCACACCGGGUCCAUUUGUUGGGUUUACCUCGAAAAAUCAUUAGAAUGUGAAGAAUAUUUAUAACUUGAACAACCUAUAAAUUUAUUUAAAACUUUGGCGUGAAAUUUGCUAAAAGUGGCAAAAAUUGAGUGCCAUAAAUUUGACGAAUCAACAUUUUGUCAAAACAUCAGUUUUCACGUAUAUUUCCGUGAAAAAUAAACCACACAACUCAAUACACAUAUAUAUCACAAAUUCUCAUGGGCUUGAUGACUGGUACCGAGGCAUAAACAUGAGCAUGAAACAUAAACAUCAACAUAUAGGAAUGGACAUGAAUAUAUUUUUCUUCAUUCUUCACAUCUCUUCUUAUUUGUUCUUCUCAUGUGUCCUCUUUUCUCUCUUACCCCUUUACUAGUUGUUAUGGUUUAAAUAAUCUAAGACCUACGGUACCAGCACAAGCCAAACAACACUACAAAAGUAUAGCAAUAACCACAAGAUACCUCUCUGGCAUAUCUAUUAUUUGUUACGUUCAUAGUAUGCUUAUAUCAUUUUUACAACCUUUUGGCACAAAUUUAUAUAAUUUUUAUUUGGACUAACCUAUUAAUCCAGUGCCGAAGAACAAUUCCUGUUUUCUAGUGUUUUGACUUUGUAGCUGAAAAUAUUUUGGAGCCAAAAAAUUCCCAAAAAAAAGCUAAAAAUCUUUUAGGCCAAAAGACUCUACCAGCGAGAGGGUGGAGGCCACAGUGACCACCAGUUGCCCACAAGGCAGGGCCACACCUCCUGGUGCGUGGGGCACAUGGAUCCUCCUUAAGUCGGUUAGGGAUCUACUUUUACGAAAAGAAGUUCCUAAAAUAAUAAAAUUCCUCUUAAAAUUUGAGCCCAGUCGGAGUCACGGAUCUCCAAUUAUUUAAUAAAACAUGAUUUGCGUUAGAAAAGUACCUAAAACGGAGAGAAACGGAGAGAAGAGAGAUCCAAUCUUGGAGGGGCUCUCGCCCUCUAGGAGCAUGGGGACCAAGGAAUAGAGGAGGAAACCUCUUCCCCUCUUACUCAGAGGACAAGGGCGAAUAAGGAGGGGAAGCUCUCUCUCCCUUUUUCAUCCAGCAGCGUCGGGGAGCCGUCGGGGGAACCAUCAUCACUGUCGUCAUCUCCAUUAACUCCACCGCCUUCACCAACAUCUCAUCACCUUUCUCCCUAUCUAUUCAGUGGUUCACUCUCCCGCUACCCAUUGGAAUCCCGUUCAUGAACAUGGUGUUUGAAGCGAUUAAUGAUUAUCAAUGAUAUAUUGCAUGUUCGUUAUGUUUGACUAGAUUCCUUUUGUCCUAUGGUUAAUUGGUGAUCUAUUAUGAUUGAUUGGAGUUGUAACUUGAUAUGUUGUAGUCCGUUUGUGCCCAUCAUAUAAGCACAGAUGUAUGUGGAUCGCACUUUAGGGUUAGUUGUAUGUUGAGAAAACUAUACAUGCAUAAGGCUGCCAGGGUGAUAGAUAUUACCUUGCGUGAGUGUAGGGAUUGAUAUAUAUGGGGUGAAGACGGGCCAAUUUAUAUUAAUGCUACAGUUGGGUUUUGCCUUAAUAAAUUGAUAGUAUUUGCAUAAGCUUGCUAAGGAUUUCAAUCAUAAGUAUGUAUGAUUCCAAGUAUGGAUAGUAUGUUAGUGGAGGCAUCUUCCACAUAUUAAAUUGCAAUGAGAAUUAUCGUCUAAAUUAAUAUCAUGGACAAUUGCACAGGGACAAUUCCGCACAUCCUAACACCGCCACUCCACACUCACUAUCUUUUGCUUUCUCUUUUAUAUUGCAACAACUAACUUUUAUUUACAAGUUCUUUAUUAUCUUGCAAAGCUAUAUUUUUAUACCUGCAAAGUACUUUUAGUUUUAUUUCCCAUUUCUAUGUAAAGUAAACGUUCGGUGUAUGUAGGGUUGUAUCAGUGGCCGAUAUAUCCUGAGAGAAUACAAAUCAUACCUUUAGCUCCUUUUGGUUUCGACACUCCAUAUUUACCACAUCCACUUUGGAAAGUGCUGCAAUUUUCCUGCACUUGGGGAUUAUCAAGUUCUUUUCUAGCACCGUUAUCGGGGAGCAAUAGUGUAGGGUGAAUAUUCUUGUGUGCACUUGUUGGAUUUCUCACUAAGUAGCUUUUAUUUUUGUUCUCGUUUUCUAUCUUUAAUCGGCAGGAAAUGCCAAAUAGGAAAAAACAGAUGUACUUGCUCCUAAGGUUGCGGAACCUCCCAAAAUCCUCAAUUUUGAGGAGAGAUACUUGAUGGAUUAUCUUAAAUCCAUUUAUGCUCGUGCUAAGAACCCCAACUAACUUGGUUGGGGGGGGGGGCUCAUUAGGAGAGUUUACACACUUCAUGAAAUACCGCUUGUCUCAAAAAAAGGAAACACUUGACUGGUUUAUUAAUCAGAUUGCAUAAAAAGAAACACUCGAAUGAUUUAUUAGCCAUAUUAUAUUGCUUUGCUAGAACUUUGUGUGCUCGACAUAAAAAAUGUGUUGUUUUUGGAAGGAUAUUAUGCACCUUCCCUUCCAAUGUGAGUAUAAUGAUAAUCUUACAUUAGUUUCUAAUGUUAAGCGAGAAUAUCAUUAUUAUGAUACAGAAAAAAUGAAGAAUUUGUUACUUGUAGUGGUGCUUAUGAAAUUGCCUCUUUGCUUGAGAAUGUUGGAAGUGAUGAUGCUACUAGGAAAUCUAUUUUUUGCUAUACAUAAAUAUUGCUUUAAAAUUUUCAAUAGUAAUCCUUAUCUUACUAAUGAGAUCAAAAGGAUCGAGAGACUAAUGUUUUGGAGGAACAGGGCCGGCCCUGAGAUUUUUGGGGCCCGGGGCGAGACUAACUCGGGGCCCUUAAUAUGGAAGCCAUAACAAUAAAAUGAAUAUACAUAUAUAUGAAAUAUUUAUUGAUAACACUCAAAUGCAACUAAAUCGGUAUGCAUAUUACCUUAAAAAUUUCUUCUAAUAAUCCUCGAUGCAAAGUCAACUAUGGUGGGGUCGAUGUCAAUAUCAUCCAAUAAUUUUUUUUCUCGAUGCAUAAUGUUGCCAAAUCAUUUAACUUCUCUAAACCAUUGUUUACCUCAGAUAGUUCUUCAGUAAUUUCAACUUUGUAAGCUAGUCACAGUCAUAGUAAAUAAGAUGCGGUAGGCAAUGAAGAUAUUAGGAUAACAAUCAACUUCUUGGACAUGCUCGAAAAUCUCCACUGCAAACAUUACACCAUCUGGCAAAGUUAAUAUUAUAAUAUUCAAUUCAAAAAUAAGAUCAUAUACCUCAACAUCUCAUGAAUCAUUAAGAGAGAAAGUUUCUACGAAUUUCGCGCAAGACUCUUCAAGUUUAGAUCAUGCAAUGACUUCAGGGUGUCCGAGCUCAAUAAUAAUACGAAUAUAUAUCUUUAUACAUAAUCACCAUGAGUUCUUUAAAUCUACCUUUCAAAGAAGUGAUCGCCAUAUCAACCAAAACAAAAGAAAUAUUUAACUUUAAAAUCUUGUCAUCUUCUAGGGUUUCUUCAUCAUAGAUAUUUCCGCACUGUGAUUGUACGAGUCCUCCACAACUUUCUUCAUUUUCCUUUUAUCCCUACCGGAUGGAUACUUUCUUCUGGACGGCAUGAUAAAACACAAUGUCGAAAAUAAAUAUAAAAAAUACAUCAACUGACAAUUGUUGAACAAUGCCGAUGUGAUGUGUUGGCUAUUCAUCUAGGAGACUAGGAAGUCAGAACCGCAAUAUGAAUAUAAGAUAUACCUUGCAAGGUCAAAUUAUUGAUGGAUGGAGAGCAAAGCCAGGUUGCGCCGGCCGCCGAGAAUAGAAAUUGAUGGACGACCUGACUGGAUUAGGAACGAGCAAUUGAUUUAGGAGAAAAGGGAAAAGAAGCCCCAUGCACACACAGACAAGUGUCGGCGGCCGCUGGGAAAUUGAUAAGCGUUGCGUGAUGGAAUGGAAAGGGAUCAAAUAGUCCCUUCUUUUUCUAAACGUGCAUGUACUAACCUAAGGAAAGAAUCGGAAGAGAUCAAUCAGUUCCUUUUUUUCUAUAUGCAUGUACUGAAUGGAUCGAAUCGAGCGCUGGCUCAUCCUCGGUGACUCGCUGCUUGCGGUCGUUCUGUUGGGCCAUAGGCCAUAGUAUACGUGUGUGUAUACCGGGGAGAGCCCCCUCAAUUUUUGGGGCACGGGGCGGCCGCCCCCGCCCCUCCUCAGGGCCGGCCGGCCCUGUGCAAGAAUCAAUGGAAGAAGAAAAUAUUGUGAGCUCACUAGAUGAAAAGGAGGACGAGGGGAGUGAACAAUAAAAGAAGCAAGAGCGGAUUAGCUACCCAUGUCCACCUCUCAAUAAGAGUAACUUUUUAAUUCAUAUGUUGUUUAAUCAUUCCCUUUUUGAUUGUGUUGAUGCUUAUGGGGAUGAUGCCCCUAUGAAUGAUACAUACGGGUAUGAACUUGCUAUGGUUUCUUUUAUUAGAAUGAAAUUUUUAAUGUUGCACCCGCACUUGAUAGUCUUUUUUUUUAAUUCUUCUAGUUACAUUAUGCCGGGGAAGUUUGCGCUUAUCAAGGAUUAUAUUGAUGAGUUGUGUUUCUCUUACGCACAUAGUAAUUUAAAAAAGAUGCAUGUCCUUGCUGCUCCUACUUGCAAUAAUUAUGAGAGAGGGGCCUUCUUCUCUCCCUCUGUAUGUUUUCAGUACACUAAAAUUGCAAGAAGCUGCUUAUACUAUGUGUGGGCGUUUAAUGUGUUUAUUAAUUGUUCUCUUACUAAAUGACCCGUUGUGACUUCGUUGGCCGGCUUUGUAUGGCCGGGUCGGCAGGCUGCACGCACGGGCACCGCGUGGCACUUUUACCCGGGUCUUGCCUGCCUGGAUCCUUGCCAUCGCGAAGAAAAGCGAUUAGAAAGUACUCCCUCCGUUCGGAAUUACUUGUCCAAAAAAUAAAUGCAUCUAGAUGUAUUUUAGUUGUAGAUACAUCCAUUUUUGUGAUAAAUAAUUCCGAACGGAGAGAGUACAAAGGAAGGACAAGAAGACACAAAUGGCAUGUAAAAAAUAAGAUUACACCAAAAACCAUAGAAGUCGUCUUCUUCAUUCGAAUGUUCGCCGCUCGCUGUAGCAUGAAAAAUACAUUGAAUAUGUAGUAAGGGAUAAAGACACAUGCAAAUGCCCUUGCUAUAUAAGGUAUCAAAACAUGGAGUUCCAUACUAGACUGAAAAUAAAUAAAUCGGAGCCAGGGAGAUGAAUGACUGAACGUGCAAUGGAUGAAUCUUCAGGUUCAGGGUUAGAACGAAUCGAAGAACAAUUUUGCCUACAUUCAAACCAGGGCGUCAUAUUUGCUCCUCAAGAGUCGUGGUGGUGUGUGCCCUUGGAUGGAUUGACUAGAUGGAGAAACUAUAUCGACCAUGAAUCUCAUAUGAAACACACGCUUUAAUUUUUGAGGAAUCACGGGGGGAAGGAUCCUCGCCCUGAAAAUCACGCGCUGUGUGAACGUGUAUAUCAGUGACAAAAGCCACAAAGUUGGUCAAAUUUGAGUGGACCUGAUUACAUCUGCGCCGGCUUUCCAAAAGAGAGAGCAACGGCAUCCGUUCUUUGCUACCCGACCAAUUGCUAAUCAACAGCUUUCUUUCUUUUUUUGCAAAAAUAAUCAACAGCUUUCGUAGCACUCAAACAAAAAAAUCAACAGCUUUCGUGUGCGUCCAAUUCCAAUCAUGGGUCCGCCGUCCGCAUCGUCAAGCGCAAAAUAUUGUUAAGAGAACAUCUACCAAGAUUCUGGAUAGAUGCUAACUUCUUCCCUCCUUUUUAUUUGCUUGUAGGAAUCAGGAUGUCAGCAGUGAACAUGCAGGGUCUUCAUAUAGGGAGAACUUUUUUUCAUUGGAAGUCAUAUAUGAAGAAUAUAUAACUAGGCUUAUUGAUUUACUAACUCUACAUCCGUACCGAAUUCUCAACCAAACAGCACCACGGGUAUAGUUUUUUAGCUCUUUUAUUAUUAAUAAGGUGCACUACCUUAGGUGCCUAGAGGUAAGACAUACUUUUAAUUCUGACCGUCCGGUGGACAAGGGUAGCAUUGUACUUCGUAAAAUUUCAUUUUGCAGCUGCAUUUAGAAUGUUGUGGCUAAAUCUUAGUGGACUGAAAAUUAACCAAAUCAAUUGACUGACACCAUCAUGUUUAGAUAAAACCGACGAAGUACUAUUAUGUAACCUAUUAGAUCAUAAAAAGAUUAACAGUCUAUACAGAUUUCGAGCAUUCUAAAAUUCCACAUCGUUCUUAGAUUUUGUGAGUGUAACAUGUCUAGCGUGUACUGUAUACUUGACAAGCGCACACACACUUCAAUUGCGUUAAAGCAUCUACAGCCGCAGACACCAAAUCAGAAUCAGCAAAUGCCGGCGGACAAGACAGCGGGCAUCUGCGGCCACUGACUGGCCAGAUCUUAGAAUUGUUGCUAUGCAUCUGAGAACCUCGUAUUUUCAUCCCCUAAAACCAUACAAACCAUGCAAAAGAAAUCCUAGGUACUACGCACAUCACGCUAGUCUAAACUACGCUUUGUCGUCAGAGAUGUCCACGACAUCCGUGUUGGGCGCCGGGUAGAUAGGCGCAUAGGAGGGCUCCGGCUCCUCCUCCUCAUCCAUAUAAGCGAGCAUCUUGUCCGCAGCGUGCUCCGCCUCCUGCAGAUGACGACGGUUGGCCUCUGCCUCCGAUUCCGACCGAAGGGAAUCAUGGAUUGCAUGCAGAUCCGCGUGCCCAGCGUCCUCCAUGUCCUCCUCCUACUACUACUACUAUGCGUCCUCCCCGUCCUCCUCCACCUCCUCCAAGUCCUCAUUCGGAUCCACUACAUGCGUGGGUAGCCCGGCGGCAAUCCGGGCUUCACGCCUUGCCCGGAUCUACUCAAGGAGCUGCAGGCGGUGCUCCGACGUUAGAUAUGGAUAGCUCCUUACCUGGCACUAUGGUGGCAUGACUACUAGUGGUAGCGGACGGCGAGUGGGAAGUGAUGGUGGCGGUGGACGGGAGGGGGGAAGUGUGGACAGAUAGGAUUUCGGUGCUAGCACUUGGCUUAAAUAGCCGGCUAGGGCACUACGUGGCCCACUGGAGCGGCGCUAUAGUCCGACGGAGGAGACGAGCUUCGGACCGCCGGGUUUCAGAGUGUUUUCCUGUGUGAUCCGGUCGUCAGUCCGACGUGGUUGAUGCGCCCAAUCGCGUCUGGGCCUCCCUAUAUCCGCCCUACAUUUGGGCUGGAAAUGAAGGGUGUCGUUCAGCCCGGGCGUUUGAGGCGCCCGUCUAGGUCGGAUUCUUUUGACCAGUCACUGACCGGGCCAUCCACCCACGCAUUUGAGGGGGUUAUGGGGUGCCCGGUUCUGGAUGCUCUUAUCUUUCUUGAGAGAAGUCCAGUUGACUCGAUUGAUUAGCAAGCCAAACAUCAUUUGCAUUGUAAUUUCAGCAAUUUGAAACUAGCUAGCAUGGUCCCUCGUAUCAGCACAAAAGGACCACUUAGCUAGUUGCAUUAUUAAUAGAAGGAAACUGAGAAGCAUAUGCUUCGUUUGUGCUUACAAAAUUUUAUAUAUAUUUUUAGCAAUCGGAAAUGCCUAAUGGAGCUAGAGCUCCUUGGAGCCCUUUACUUGAAAACAUCAAAUUUAAAAAAAAAUAAGUUUCAGAAAUAACUGAAAAAAUACACAUAUAUGUAUGGAUGUAUACUACUAGUCUGUGAAGCUUCAUGACAAAAUACUUUUUAAUGCGAGCUACACAAAAAUGACAAAUUUGUGUAUUUAUAGAACAUUUACUAUUCACUAUAAAAUCACAUGAUUUUUUUGUACAGGCCACUUAGAAAUUAUUUUGUGAUGAAAUUUCACACACAUUUAAUAUACAUCUAUAAUUACUUGUGUAUUUAAAAAAAUUGUAAUUUAAAAAGUUGAUUUUGGAAUGUUUGAAAAUAAAGGGCUCCAUGGAGCCUGAGAGCAAAAAAUACACUAUCAUGCUAAAUUUCUUUUAUAAUUUACUGAGACAAUAUAUAUAGUUACAGUUGUCUCUAUGUGUUUAAAAUAAUAAAAAUUCAAGAAAAAUUGCAGGUAAUAUAUAGAGCGUCUAGAUGGAUCCGUAUGUGGUCAUUACUACACCAUGUGGAAGCGGGGAGCUUAUGACUUUUGGGUGCAAGUGAUGAGAGACAAUACAUAGCACGGGAUACAUACAACCACUUUGGAUGACUGUCCAAUAAUAUGAUAUGUGUGUAGGUAUUUUGUCUUAUUUGUGCCGGUUGUGGCAUUUUGUUAUGUAAUUUUUGCUUUGUUUCUACUAGAGCCGCUCUUGAUACUUUGAUACUUGGUUCAUUUUACUAAAUGGCUGUGUGCAUCUUUUGAUGCAGAGGCUGAGAGUAAUCCCUUUCUUUUUUGAGAAAAAAAUAGUUAUAAGUCAGAAUCUCUUUGGUACAUGUUAUCUAGCAGUCUACGCCCGUUUGUAGUCUAUUCUUCAGCGAUAUGAACACCGACAAUUGUUUAUAUCCAUGUGUACGCGGGCGGAAUAGAAGGACGAGGAUGUCUUUGCCCGACAUGGUUGGAGGCAUAGUCUGAGCCCCCCUCCCCCUCGCCUUAGUUAUUGUAGUCUCGAACAACUUUUUUUUUGUCAGCGUUAUUUAGAGUGCAUGUGGUUGUGUGUUUAUCUUGGUACGUACAGAAUGGAUUUGAACUUGUUUUGAUUGUAUUACAUUGAUGUGACAUUUUGAGUCAAAGAUAGGCCCUUUAUCGAAAAUUUUGUAGGUCAUAAUUAAACAACUAACUACUGAAGUAAUAAAACCUACAAAUCUAAUCUCGAACAGCUUAUUAUAAUCUACCACAAUGCUAUGGAGGUCUAAGACAUCCCAAGCUUAUAUAAGCAAGGUCAAACACUUCACUACUAUUUUUCAGAAAUUGUACAGUAAAAUAUGUUGUAAUAGUAAAACAUGGUUCUACGAGUCAAUUCGAUUGGAAAGUUAAGCUGCAUGACUUUUUUUUAUGGAUUUGACGAUCUAAGACAUUGGUUGCAUCAUUUCUAGGAACUAAUCUUUUGGGGACUAUGGUACUCGCAUAAAUACAUUAUUGGAUUAUGUUUAUAUGAAAUAAGGUUAAGGUGACUAACAUUAUUUGACUGUAUGUGCAAUUGCAUACUUCUUAAAAGUUAUACCAACUCCGUAAGAUGAGUAUUUAUUAGUGCAUUCAUUACUAAAAGUACAAUUAUGUCGGUACAUUCGAUUAAUAACUCUUUGCUUACAUUUUUAGUACGAGAAGGCUGUUAAAUUAAUUCAAUUUUUGGACACUAUGUUUAUCUAUCAUUAUGUCUAAACACUGACAAGGAAAAUAGAUAUAGCAUAUAAACUUUAUUAUUUAUUGCUGUAAGACAUUUCUUUCAGUAAAUUCAAGGAACUAAGGGUCUGAAGUGUCCUCUCAGUUGGAAUGUCUUAUUUGGUUCGCACUUCUCUGGCGGCUAAUACCACACCCCAAAGAUCUAGGGGUUGGGAAGAUCAGAAGAAUGACGUAGUGCAACACAAUUCGGAGUGUACAACAAUUCAGCAGCAGAGGCAUUAUGCACACUAAAGCUAAAGAGUGCACCAAAGCGACAACUUUUUAAAAUUUCCAUCAUUAUCUCUAUCAAGCAUAGCACAUUAGAUAAGCUCAAUUAUUCAUUGCUGGAAACCCUUUCUUUUUUCUAGAAAGCCAAUCACUAAUUUUGUGUGGCAUAUGUGUGAUCGGACAGCUUGCAUACGCCAAGGCAGUCAUGUCUUCCUGCCUAUAUAAAGCACCCAUUUACCAACCUUACAAUUCAGGCUAAGAGUUUCAACCAACUUAGAGAGCUCUCCUCUCCAUACCUCUCCCUUCGCUCCACCAGGAGUCUAGGGUUAGAGAGAGAGAGAGAGAGAGCGAGACGAGCAAAAACAAUCUCUCGCCCCACUGUUAUACCAAGUUCGCAUCCAUCUCACUGUUAUACAUCCUUGUAUCACAAUGGGUGGCCUAUCCAUGGAGCACCCUUGGGCAUUCGCCUUCGGCCUACUAGGUAUAUUAUUCUCACCAUGAACAACAGAUGACCGACAAUUACCCCUUGUAUUAUCAUAGUUUCUUAUUACAGCUACUAUUUGUUAGUGCAGUACUAGUAGACUACUUUGUGUCGUUUGAGAUCACCCUUUUGCAGCGUCUAUCUAUAUAUCCUAUCUUUGCCACUGAUUGAUUAAUUGAUGUGUAGUCUAGUACUGGCUCUAGUGGCAUGUAGCUCGGUGCGCCAAAAACCCAAAAAGAAACAACAACAAAGCAAAUUGCUUAUGUUUUUCGAAAAGGAUAAAGCGCAUAAAAGAAAGAUGUAAAUGUGUCAUACAAUUAUCACAACUCAUCGCUAACUUUGCUAAACUUUAUGCUUUGCAGGCAACGUGAUCUCUUUCUCGAGCCUCCUGGCCCCGAUGUAAGCGACUGUCUAUGUUGGUUUUUGUUUCAUUUGAUCCUGUUAAUUAUUCUCCAUAAUAACUAACUAAUGUACUCACAAAAAUAAAAUAUUAGACCAACAUUCUACCGGAUCUUCAAGAGCAAAUCCACGGAGGGGUUCCAGUCGGUGCCCUACGUCGUGGCCCUGUUCAGCGCGAUGUUGUGGAUCUUCUACGCACUGGUCAAGACCGGUGAGGGCCUCCUCAUCAGCAUCAACGCUGCCGGCUGCGUCAUCGAGACCGUCUACAUCGUCAUGUACCUCGUCUACGCCCCCAGGAAGGCCAAGAUUUUCACAGCCAAGAUCGUCGUCCUCCUCAACAUCGCCGGCUUCGGGCUCAUCUUCCUCCUCACCCUCUUCGCCUUCCAUGGCGAGACACGCGUUGUCUCGCUCGGCUGGAUCUGCGUCGGCUUCUCCGUCUGCGUCUUCGUUGCCCCACUCAGCAUCAUUGUGAGCCCUUUUUGACCGACAAACCUCCUACUUGAGCUCAUGCAUGGCGGGACCUCUUGUACGUGCGUCAACUAAUUAACUUGAUGUGUUCCUUCCUUUCCCAGGGACGAGUCAUCAAG